GAUGGGGAGUAUGAGGGUGAUAAGUCAGUGAUGGAAGGCCUUCAACCACACCGACACCUAAAGGAUAUCUUUAUAGAAGGUUAUGGAGGUACGGAGUUUCCAAGUUGGAUGAUGAAUGAUGGGUUGGGUUCCCUGUUUCCCUACCUAAUUGAAAUUGAAAUUUGGGAAUGUUCAAGAUGCAAAAUUCUGCCACCCUUUUCUGAACUCCCUUCUCUCAAGUCUUUGAAGCUUGAUGAUAUGAAAGAAGCGGUGGAGUUAAAGGAGGGUUCAUUAACAACGCCACUCUUCCCAUCUCUUGAAUCGCUCAAACUCUGUUCCAUGCCAAAGUUGAAGGAAUUGUGGAGGAUGGACUUACUAGCAGAGGAGGGUCCUUCAUUUUCUCAUCUUUCGAAGUUAUAUAUUUAUAAAUGCUCUAGUUUGGCAUCACUGCAUCCGUCUCCUUCUCUUUCUCAAUUAGUGAUCAGAAAUUGCCAUAACUUGGCAUCACUGCAUCCUUCUCCUUCUCUUUCUCAAUUAGAGAUCGGACAUUGCCGUAACUUGGCUUCCUUGGAACUGCAUUCAUCUCCUUGUCUUUCAAAAUUAGAGAUCAUAUAUUGCCAUAGCUUGGCAUCCUUGGAACUGCAUUCAUCUCCUUGUCUUUCAAAAUUAAAGAUCAGCUAUUGCCAUAACUUGGCAUCCUUGGAACUGCAUUCAUCUCCUUGUCUUUCAAAAUUAGAGGUCGGAAAUUGCGAUAAUUUGGCAUCCUUGGAACUGCAUUCUUCUCCUUCUCUUUCUCAAUUAGAGAUCGAAGCUUGCAGUAACUUGGCUUCCUUGGAACUGCAUUCAUCUCUCUCUCCUUCUCGAUUAAUGAUCCAUAGUUGCCCAAACUUGACAUCCAUGGAACUGCCGUCAUCUCUUUGUCUUUCUCAAUUAUAUAUCAGAAAUUGCCAUAAUUUGGCAUCCUUGGAACUGCAUUCUUCUCCUUCUCUUUCUCAAUUAAACAUCCAUGAUUGCCCAAACUUGACAUCCAUGGAACUGCGGUCAUCUCUUUGUCUUUCUGAUUUAGAAAUCAGUAAAUGCCCUAACUUGGCAUCCUUCAAAGUGGCUCCAUUACCUUCUCUUGAGACACUAUAUCUGUUCAGAGUUAGAUAUGGUGCGAUAUGGCAGAUAAUGUCUGUCUCUGCUUCUUCUUCGUUGAAGUCUCUGCAUAUUGGAAGCAUAGAUGAUAUGAUAUCUCUCCCGAAGGAGCUACUUCAACAUGUUUCUGGCUUGGUAACGUUAGAGAUCCGUGAGUGUCCUAACUUGGCAUCCUUGGAACUGCCGUCAUCUCCUUCUCUUUCUGGAUUAACGAUCCGUGAUUGCCCAAACUUGACAUCCAUGAAACUGCCGUCAUCUCUUUGUCUUUCUCAAUUAGAGAUCAUCGAUUGCCAUAACUUGGCAUCCUUGGAACUGCAUUCUUCUCCUUCUCUUUCUCAAUUAGUGAUCAGAAAUUGCCAUAACUUGGUAUCCUUGGAACUGCCGUCAUCCCAUUGUCUUUCUAAAUUAAAGAUCAUAAAAUGCCCUAACUUGGCAUCCUUCAAUACGGCAUCAUUACCUCGUCUUGAGGAACUAAGCCUGCGUGGAGUCAGAGCAGAGGUACUGAGGCAGUUCAUGUUUGUCUCUGCUUCUUCUUCAUUGAAGUCUCUGCGUAUACGGGAGAUUGAUGGUAUGAUAUCUCUCCCAGAGGAGACGCUUCAAUAUGUUUCCACUCUCGAAACUCUCUACAUUGUUAAGUGCUCUGGUUUGGCAACAUUACUACACUGGAUGGGCAGCCUUUCCUCGCUUACGGAACUUAUUAUUUAUGACUGCUCUGAAUUGACAUCACUGCCAGAAGAGAUCUAUUCCCUAAAAAAACUGCAGAAAUUUUAUUUCUGUGAUUAUCCACACCUACGGGAAAGAUACAACAAGGAAACAGGUAAAGACCGGGCCAAGAUUGCUCAUAUCCCACAUGUUCGUUUCUACCUUGAUUCCGAUAUGGAAUGGCAGGUAGGUCCGAAAUCCCUAACCUUUCUUCCCAUUUUUAUUAUUUAAGAAUCAAAAUGCUAUGUUUUCAUUUUGUCUCUGGUAGUUCUUUUAUGUUGGCACCUCAUAUGUUUGUUUAAAUGCUCACAUCAAUAACUUUUUGAAAAAUUUUCCAGAUUAACAUCAUUUGCUGAUGCUGUGCACUAAACUAAUCAUUUUACUUGGGAGUUGUACAUUCUAAGAGUUUGAGGAAAUAUUGAGGUCUGGUAUGAUAACUCUCAAUCCUUGGAACUGCAUUCAUCUCCUUCUCUUUCUCGAUUAACAAUCCAUGAUUGCCCAAACUUGGCAUCCUUCAAUGUGGCAUCAUUACCUCGUCUUGAGGAACUAAGCCUGCGUGGAGUCAGAGCAGAGGUACUGAGGCAGUUCAUGUUUGUCUCUGCUUCUUCUUCAUUGAAGUCUCUGUGUAUACGGGAGAUUGAUGGUAUGAUAUCUCCCAGAGGAGCCGCUUCAAUAUGUAUCCACUCUCGAAACUCUCUACAUUGUUAAGUGCUCUGGUUUGGCAACAUUACUACACUGGAUGGGCAGCCUUUCCUCGCUUAAGGAACUUAUGAUUUAUGAAUGCUCUGAAUUGACAUCACUGCCAGAAGAGAUCUGUUCCCUUAAAAAACUGCAGAAAUUUUAUUUCUGUGAUUAACCACACCUAGAGAAAAGAUACAACAAGGAAACAGGUAAAGACCGGGCCAAGAUUGAUCAUAUCCCACGUAUUAAUUUCCAAAGUGAUCGAGUUAUGGAAUAUAAGGUCCGAAAUCCCUAACCUUUCUUCCCAUUUUUAUUAUUUAAGAAUCAAAAUGCUAUGUUUUCAUUUUAUUAUUAUGUUUUCAUUGUAUCCCUGGCACCUCAUAUGUUUGUUUUUACUGCUCACAUUAAUAAUUUUGAAAUUUUUUUCCAGCUUGGAUACGCUUUCCGAUGAUGUGCACUAAACUAACAAUUUUACUUGGAGUUGUACAUUCUAAGAGUUUGAGGAAAUACUGAGGUCUGAUAUGAUAACUCUCAAUCUUAAACGUUGUUUUGUGUUUGGAACGUUACUACACUUGAUACAUACCCUCACCUCACUUACAGAGCUUGGAAAUCGUGGCUGCCUUGAAUCGACGUCACUGUCAGAAUAUAUGUUCCCUCAAAAACCUGCAGACACUAAAUAAUCUGCAUCUGUUCACAGAAAGAUGCUGAAAGGAAAGGUGAAGACCAACCCAAGAUUGCUCAUAUGCCACAAAUUGAUAUCAUACAUCCAUGAAGAUUGAACUGAUACACAAUGCCUUUCAGGUCUGAAAUCCCUAACUUUUCUUCUCAUUUUCUAUGACUUCAUUUUCAUUAUCUUACUUUUAAAAUGCUCUGUUUUCAUUUGUUUUGGUAGUUCUUUGUAUUUGUGCCUUACUUGUUUGAUUAAAUGCUUACAUCUUCAAAUUAUUUUAUUCUAAGUGUUUUGCAUUCUAAGAGUUUGAGGAAAUACUGAGCUCUAAUAUAACUAGUAGAGUCCACCAUUCCUAAGAAGCUUACCAUUUCCUAGUGCCCAAAGGAUCCCGAAAGGAGACAACUUUGGAUUGGCUUGAAGAUUUCCCAUGGUCCAAAAAUUUGUAUUUACUAGACGCUUGAUACAAAAAGUAGUUUAAAUUUAGCCAUUAAUAUAACUUUUUUAUUAGAGAAAUAAUUGCCAAACAAAUGCAAAAUAGAAAAUGGUGUUAAUGAAUUCAGUCCUUCAUCUAUAUUGCAGUUUAGCAGCUUUUGUUAGAUAACAGGUAUGGGGUUGGGUUUAUUAUGUUACCAUUCCAAAUAUUCUUAAAAAAAUCAUCAAGGCUUUGUUUGUUUUCUUGAAAAUUUGAAGGAAAAAAUAAAGAGAAAAAGUGGAAGGAAAAAAAAAAGUGGAAGUCAAUAAAUUAUUUUUAUAUUAUACUUUAAACUCAUUUCACUUUUUUUUAACUCUUUGAUUUAAAGAUUAAAUAAUUUGAAAAUGUAUAAAUUUAUAAUUAAUCUUAAUUAUAUUUGAUUUUCUUUGGUAUUUUCCAUAGGACAAUUAAACUUGAGAAAAUCAUUUUCCUUAACAUUAUUUUCUUAGUACUUUUCGGGAACCAAGCAUAACCUAAAUGUUCUAGUUUAGUUUAGCAGCUUCAUCAAAUUAGAUAGACAACCUCACAUCUCUUAUUCAGCUGAGGUGUUAUGUUAGUUAAUGUUUUGUCUCUGCUUCUUCAUUGAAGUCUGUCUAUUGGAUGCACAGAUGAUAUGAUCCAAACUUAAAUUGAACGUUGCUCUUGUUUUGCAACAUUACUGUACUAGAAAGGCAACUUGAACUCACUUAUAGACCUACCUAUUGGUGACUGCAUUGAAUUGACAUCACCUUAGAAGAGAUGUGUUCCACAUGGAAAAUCUUUCAUUAUAUGCACCUACUUGCAAGAUACCAAAAGGAAACGGGUGAAUACUUGCCCAAGAAUACAAAGGGCCACACUUGGUGAAGGUUUCAUCAGUAAGGAGAACCAUUUCAAGUAUGAAAUCCUCCAUUCUCAUUUUUUGAUGACUUCAUUUUUAUUCAAUAUCCAUUUGAAAUAAUUUAAGUUCAUUUUCUUUAGAUAUUAUAUUUUCUUGCUUGCUCAAUAAUUUCAUUCAAGUAAGUUGUUUGGAUAUCACAUUUUCUUUGGGUUUUUUUCUUUUUAGAAUAAUUUCAAAAUGUCAUUUUUUACUAUUCACAAAAUUUGAUCAUAGUUGAGUGAUUAAAAUUCAAGUUUAUUCUUAUUAUCAUUAGUAGUUAUUUGAUAUAUUUGUUUGCUAAUACAAAAAUAAGACUAACAAGUAAUGUGCAUAGAGUUUGUAGAAGAGAAGAAAGAUUUGAUCCAAGAUAUUCCUAAAGAUCGGAAACUUUCAAAGCCACCCAAGAUCCCACAGGUUGAAUUCAGAUUCAUUCAGUUUACAAUCCAUUAAUUCUACUUAUAUCAUCUUUGUUAUGUUACAAUUUGCCUUUACUUGUUAUGCAGCCUACCUUAAUAAUUUGGGGAGACCAAGAUAAGGUAUUCCUAGUAGAAUUGGCUCACAAAUUGAAAAGGUAAACUUGUAUCACCUACCUACAUACCUACAACAAUACAAACACUAGCUCAUGUCUUUCUCACUAUUGAAAUUGUUAUUGCAUGCAGACAUUUCAGGUGAGGAGGCCCAACUUGUGAUCAUAGAGCAUACUUUUAUUAUAGAGAAGCCCAAGGAAAUAUUUAAGCACUUGAAAUCCUUUCUCAUUGAUUUGCUUCCACCUCCCAAGCAACACCUAGAACCACUCGCACCAUGACGAAGUUAAAAGGAACUAAUGCAACAUUCUCAAUAUAUUAGAAUAUAUCGAAGGAAGGGUGGCCACAUAUGAAGACCCUAUUCCAAGGUCAAAUUUUAGAUUUUUGUGUUUUUCUUAUCACUAUUCCUAUACUAUUACUAGUGCACCUUAUUUGUCAAGAUGAUUAAAAGGGAAUUCCCUAGGAUAACUAGUGUCUCAAGUGAUCUUGAGGUUCAUAAAUUUUUGGUUUCCAUAAGAUAGGUGCCAACUAUUUUUAUUUUUUUUACACCCAUGCAAUAUUCCGGUCAUCUAUUAACAAAGGCUAAAAUUUCUUGUAGAGAAUAGAAUAAAGAACUAAAUUACAUGCAAAUAGGACAUUAUUAUUCUAUUUACAAGUAAGGGCCAAAAAUUAUUGAGGGCCAUCAAGCACAUUGUUCCUAAAAUAAUAGCAUCCAUGUUGUUGAGCAAAAGUUUUUUUAUAUUGGCACCUCAUAUGUUUGUUUAAAUGCUCACAUCAAUAACUUUGAAAAUAUUUUCCAGAUUUUCAACAAAUUGUAAUGUUGUGCACUAAAUUAAUCAUUUUACUUGGAGUUCUACAUUCUAAGAGUUUGAGAAAAAACUAAGGUCUGAUAUGACAACUCUCAAUCUUAAAUGUUGUUUUGUGUUUGGAAUAUUACUGCACUUGAUAGAUGCCCUUACCUCUGUUACAGAACUUGGAAUUCAUGGCUACCCUGAAUUGACAUCCCUACCAGAAGAUAUGUUCCCUUAAAAGCUUGCAGACACUAAACAAUUUGCAGCUGUUCACACUUAGAGGAAAGUUGCUGAAAGGAAAAGUGAAGACUAACCAAAGAUUGCUCAUAUCCCACAAAUUGAUAUCAUACAUCCAUGAAGAUUGAACUGAUACAGAAUGUCUUUUAGGUCCGAAAUCCCUAACUUUUCUUCUUAUUUUCUAUGACUUCAUUUUUAUUAUCUUACAUUCAAAAAUCUUCUGUUUUCAUUUGUUUUGGUAGUUCUUUUUAUUUGCACCUUAUUUGUUUUAUUAAAUGCUUACUCCAGUAAGUUUGAAAAUUUUUACAUCUUCAAAUCAUUUUGCUUGAGUGUUUUGCAUUCUAAGAGUUUGAGGAAAUACUGAGCUCUAAUAUAAAUAGUAUUGGUCAUAGAGUCUUCCUUUCUUAAGAAGCUUACCAUUGACCUAAUGGCCAAAGGAUCCCAAAAGGAAACGACUUUGGGUUGGCUUGAAAAUUUCACAUGGUCCAAACAUUCAUAUUUACUAGAUGCCUGAUAUAAAAGAACUUUUGUUCUCUUUUCAAUUUAGCCAUUGAUGUAGUCUAAAUGUUUUAUUAGAGCAAUAAUUGUCGAGUAAAUGCAAAAUAGAGAAUGGUGUUAAUGAAUUCAGUACUUCAUCUAUGUUGUAGACUUGUAGUUUAGCAGCUUCUGCUGAUAAUGAGUGUGGGGUUGGCUUUAUCAUGUCACUGUUCCAAAUAUUCUUUAAAAAAUCAUUUAAGCUCUGUUUGGUUCUUAGAAAAUUUGAGGGAAAAUGUGAGGAAAACAAAAUAGAGAGGAAAAGUGGAAGGAAAAAAAAAGUGAAAGUCAAUAAAUUAUUUUUGUAUGCUACUUCAAACUCACUGCACUCUUUUUAACUCUUUAAUAUAAAAAUUAAAUCAUUUGAAAAAUGUAUAAAUUUCUAAUUAAUUUUAAUUAUAUUUGAUUUUCUUUGGUAUUUUCCAAAAGACAACCAAAUAUGAGAAAAUCAUUUUCCUUAACAUUUUUUUUCUUAGUACUUUUAGGGAACCAAACAUAACCUAAAUGUUUUAGUUUAGUAGUUUCAUCAAAUUAGAUAGAUAACCUCACAUCUCUUAGUGAGCUGAGGUGCUAUGUUAAUUAAUGUUUUGUCUCUACUUCUUCAUUGAAGUCUCUAUCUAUUGGACGCACAGAUGAUAUGAUCCAAACUCAAAUUGAACACUACUCUUGUUUUGCAACAUUACUUUACUCAAUAAUUUCAUUCAAGUUCUUUGGAUAUCGCAUUUUCUUUGGUGUUUUUUUUAGAAUAAUUCAAAAUGUCUUUUUUAACGGUUCACAAAAUUUGAUUACAGUUGAGUGAUUAAAAUUCAAGUUUAUUAUUAUUAUUAUUAUUAUUAUUAUUAUUAUUAUUAUUAUUAUUAUUAUUAUUAUUGGUUAUUUGAUAUAUUUUUUUUCUAAUAGAGACAAAAGACUGGCAGCUAAUGUGCAUAGAAUUUGUAGAAGAGAAUAAAGAUUUGAUCUAAGCUAUUCUUAAAGACCAGAAACUUUUAGAGCUACCCAAGAUCUCACAGGUUGAAUUUUGAUUCACCUAGUUUACAAUCCACUAAUUAUCCUUAUAUCAUUUUUGUUAUGUUACAAAUUGCCUUUACUUAUUAUGCAACUUGUCUUAAUAAUUUGGGAAGACCAAGAUAAGGUCUUCCUAGUAGAACUGGCUUACAAAUUGAAACGGUAAACUCAUAUCACCUAUCUACAUGCCCACAACAAUAUAAACACUAGCUCAUGUGUUCCUCACUAUUGAGAUUGUUGUUGCAUGCAGGCAUUUUGGGCGAGGAGGCUCGACUUGUGAUCAUCAAUAACACAAGGCAUGUUUUUAUACAGAGAAGCCCAAAGAAACUUUUAAGCAUUUUGUUAGCCCAAGGGUUCUCCUAAUCAGGUUUUGAUGAUAACAAACCAUGGUUAAGUGACUAAUUGGUUUGAAUGGUAAAGAAUCUUAGGUAUAAAUUUGGAAAUUCAUCAAAUGACCAAAUGGAUACAAGAUCGAGACUUUUGGAAGACUUUUGAUUAUAGGAAACAAAUGUAAGAUGAAUGCAUGGGUGCACUUAGGUUUUACAUAUCUUUUUAUGCAUCUUUGAAAACUCGGUUUAUUCCUUAAAAUUACGAUUUCAUUAAAACCCAGGUUUUAUCAAAUGUAUCUUAGGCAAAACGUUUCAAAAUUGGCAUAUCAAUUUACCUAAAGACCUUGCCUAAGUGUUAGAAAGGAAAAGAAUUGAAAAAUAUAGGUUUUCGGGGCUAAAAGACUGAACCGAUCGAGGCACAGUCAAUCGGCUCAACCAACCAGGGAACCGAACGAUCGGUUGCUCUUGUCCGACCGAGAUCUGGUCGAGGAGUGUCAAAAACACACUCUCUCAUCCAGUAGCCUUCUCUUCCCAGUCGAGGUACUCUCCUUCCCGAUCGACCUCUAGUCGAGGUUCAGUCGAGGCAACGGUAACCUACCAAAGCAUUAAAUGCUCCAACGGCUAGUGAACCAAUCGACCCCCAGCUCGACCGGUUAAGGCUGUUUUUUGCUUUUUUUGGCUCCCAAGCUUAGAAACCUAUAAAUUGAGAGCUCCACUUCAUUUAUGACAUAAAGAACACUUGCAAUCAAUUUUCUACCCACUUGUUCUUGCCUUAAAAGCUCUCAUUUAUUUCUUAGUGCAUUAAAUCCUCACUUGCAUAUCCUUUAGUGCACCCUUGUGAAUCAUCCUAGCUUUGAUUUGUAUUUGAGCUAUCAUUGAGCUAGAUUGAGGGCUUCAUUCUUGUAAAAAUUGAGUGUUAAAGCCUUCAAGAGGUUUGAAUCUUGAAGAGAUUAUGUAAGAGCCCAUUGGAGCCAGAAUCCAAGUUUAAAGGAGAUUGGAAGCUUUGUUGAAGCUUCAAGUUAGUGGAACCCUCACUCGGUUAGGAGAUUGAGGAGAGUGGACGUAGGCAAGGAAAUGUCGAACCACUAUAAAAUCCGAGUGUAAAUUUUCUAACUCUAUCUCUUUAUUUUUUAUUAUAUUGUGAUUGAAUUUGUUGUGUUGAAAAAGUUUUUGAAAAACCCAAUUCACCCCCCUAUUAGGUGUUUUUCUCAUUAAUUUGCUUCCACCUCAUAAGCAACCCUCAGAACCACUUACACCAUGACAAGGUGAAAAGAAACUAAUGCAACAUUCUCAAUAUAUCAGAAGAUAUCAAAGGAAGGUUGGCCACAUAUGAGGACCCUGUUUCUAAGGUAGAAUUUUAGAUUUUUGUGUUUUUCUUGUCACUGUUUCUAUACCAUUACUAGUGCACCUUAUUUUUCAAGGUGAUUAAAAGGGAAUUCCCUAGGAUAACUAAUGUCUCAGAUAAUCUUGAGGUUCACAAAUUUUUGGUUUCAACAAAAUAGACGUCAAACCAUUUUUAUUUUUUUCUACACCCAUGCAAUAUUCCAUUCAUUUAUUAAUAAGGACUAAAAUUUCUUGUAGAGAAUGGAAUAAAGAACUAGAUUAAAUGAAAUAAGACAUUAUUAGUCUAUUUACAAGUAAGGGCAAAAAAUUCUUAAGGGUCAUUAAGCACACUGUUCCUAAAAUAAUAACAUCCAUGUCAUUGAAGUUUAUUGCAAUUACAUUAGCAUAUAAAACAAAACUAUUUUUUUUUUCUUUAUGUUCACACCUUAUCCAUUUGAUAAAAUGCUUAAACAAGUAAGUUUGAAUUUUUUUUUUUUUUUUUUUUGUUUUCAAAUCAAUUUAAAUUUUACAUUCAAAAGUUGAAUUAUUAUUAUUUUUUUUGGAAAAUUUAACCGCACUUUAGAAGUUUGUGAUUAUUCUUUGGUCCAUCUUAAAAUGAGUUCCUGCAUUCUUCCAUUCCUCAAAUUAAAAUCACAAUAAAAAGUUUUAGAUUGACCUAAAAUUUUCUCAUGGCUUAGAAAUUCAUAUCUACUAGAUGGCUAAAGCAAAAAACACUUUUGCCUUGUAUUUUAAGUAAUCCUUGCCUGCUAUUUGUUUAUUGAGAGCAUCAUACAAGUUGUGAUUAUAUUUCUUAAUUUUUUUAUAUGAUAAGACAGUAAUUGGAUUGAGAAAGAUGCAACUUGUGGAGCAGAAAAUUUCUUAACUACUUCCCUUGUAUUUGCUUUGUGUGUAUCAACUGUUCUAUUAAUUAUUUUUUAAAAAUAUCACUAAAACAAACCUAUUAUGUCAGUGCUCUCUAUUGUUAUGUAUCAUAAUUUAGCUAUUUUUUCCCUAGAAAUCAUGCUUGUUAUUGUGUUAAUCAGUAGGUAGCAUAAGAACUAUUUUGUUCAAGUUAUUUUGUAUUGGCAUUCUUCAUGUUUCAAAAUAUUGUCAGACUAGCAAUUUUACUGCAGAUAUAAUGUUCUCAAAUCAAUGCAAAAAUGGACGAUUGUGGGUCUUGGGCACAACCUUCCUUGAAGAGUUGAAUUGAGGGUUUCUAUAAACUAGGUCUCUAUAUCAAUAGAUUCUACAUUUCAUCACUAUGGAGACCUUACAAUAAAUAUCGCAAAAAGCUUCAUUUACUACAUAGUAAGGAUAAUCCUAAGGACUUAAAAGUUUGAGUUGUCUCUUCCAUGGCAGCUUCAGAUCUCUUAAUGAGCUCCCAGUCAUUGCCUACCUUGAAUAUAAAUCACUGCUAGAAGUAUGUGCCCUCAACAUUCCCAUGUUCCCGAUAUUGACUAGAUAUUUGUUGCUAAUUCAUGAAGAAUUGAAGGGAUCUUUGAUAAUGACAUCUAUAAUGUACUUCAAGUUCAUGAUCCAAACUCUCUUCUUGCUUUCAAUAACUUCAUUUUUUUUUAUAUUACUUUAUGGUCAAUGUUAUAAGAAUGUUGUAUUUUGUUUACCUGAUUCUCAUCCAUCAGCACACAGGAAAGGAAAAGUUUUACAUUGCUUUCCUUCCCUUUGCUCUGUGUUUAUAUAUGUUUAUGCAGCUAAUGUGAACUUCCACCAUAACUUUUUAAGUUUUUUUCAUUCUCGAGUUUGGGAAACAACUAGAUUUGAUUGUAAUAUUUUCUUGUAGAUAUCACCUUUCUUAAAAAGCUUGCAUUUAUUCACAUUUUCAAGAUGACUAAGUCAUCUGAUUAUGCUUAGAACUAUUGGUUUCUAUUAAAUUCAGGUAUGAUGUUUGCAAUUUUAAGCCUCUUACUCCUCUUGAAGACUACAUAAGUUUCUAGUGCUUUUACUUUAAUGGUUAUGGUCAAUGUAUCCUCUUGUUACUUCCUGUUUGCAUUCUAUAUGUUCAAGAGCUUUAUUAAAGUAAUUAUUUUAUUGAAGAUAUAAUUGUUUUCAAGUCAAAGAAAAAUUGAAUAAUGACGUGGUUUCAACAACUUCUCAAAAGUAAUUGGAAAGUAAGGAACUUUGUGGUAGUAUUCUGAUAUCACAUUGGGCUUUCAAAUCGUUGUCUUGAAUUGACAUAAAUAACAUAAUUUCUUUUCUAGUUGAGCUACUUCAACAUGUUAUUAUGCUUCAUACUCUUUCAAUUAUGUUUUGUUUAGGUUUGGAAACAUUAGUACAUUAGAUAUGUUGCCUCGAGUUACUUACACGACAUAAAAUUCAUCUUUGUUGUUAACUGGCAUCACUACCACAAGAUGAGUUCCCUCAGCAUUCUACAGACAACUAUAAUUUGGGACAAUUCUGGUUUGGCAACAUUAUCGGAGUUGAUAGACAACCUAUCUUCAUUAACAAAAACCUUUAAAUUUAUAUUUAUCCCGAACUAGCAUCACUGUUGGAAGACGUGCAUCCUUAACACCCUAUAACCACUCAUAAUUGGAGACUGUUAUGGUUUGUAAACAUUCAACAAACUUGAUAGGUAACCUUGCACCACUUACAGAGCUUCAAAUUCAUGGCUAUCUUGAAUUGACAUCACUUUCAAACUAGAUGGUUCAUCCAAACCUCAAUUAACACCCACAAUUCAGGACUUCUCCAUUUUGGCAAUGAUAGCAUAUUUGAUAAGCAUCCCUACUUCACUUACAUACACUAAAAUUGAUAGCUACCUUAGAUUCACAUCAUUAUCACAAGAGAUUGGUUCCUUCAUAUCCCUGCAGACACUUGUGAUCUUUUAUCGUCCAUGUAUAUUAGAAAGACUUAAAAGGGAAAUAAGUGAAGAUUGGCCCAAUAAUCUUCAGUCCUAGAUAUUCAUAUUUGGUGAAGAUUGGACUAAUAUAGAGUUAGUUUAGGUUUGAAAUCCCAAUCUUUCUUCUCAUUUUUUAUGGUUUUGUUUUUAUCAAUAUGCUCUGUUUACAUUCUAUAUGGUAAUUUUUGUAUGUAUUAGCAUAUAAAUAAAAAAGGACUUAGAUGAUUAAUUUGAAAAGUUUGCAUCCUCAAUUAAUUAGUAAUUAAAGACCAAACUGAUCAUAUUACUUUAAGUCUUGCAUUGUAAGAGUUUGGGAAAAUGUUAGGGUUGACUGAACUACUAUUUUAUAAUAGAUUUUGCCUUACUCAAGAAUCUUGUGAUUAUCCCUUGGCACAAUCAUUUCUCGUGUCUAAGAAAUUCAUAUCUACUACAUGACCAAAGAAUUUAGUAGCAUUCAAAAUUUCUGUUUUCUUUCAAGUCAGGUGUAUUGCUUGCAAUUCUAACAUGUUUCCUAUUUUGAACGUUGUAUUGUUAUUUUACUAUCAAUGUGUUAAGAGCAUUAUACUCUAUUUUCUAUAAUGUUGUUUACUUGUCAUAUGUAUUAAUUAUUUUAUUGCAAAUGUACUUGUUGCCAAGUUAAAGCAAAAUAGGAAAGUGAGGAUUUUUCAUGGACCAAUGCCUCUCUCAGUUGCUGCCACACUUUACUUCUCUCUAAGUUGUUGAAAAUUUAGAAGUGUGGUAGCAUAAAGUAUUCAACUCAAGUGCUUUAGUGCCUCACUACCCUUGAAGCUUUAGAAGUUGUCAAUACAAUUGGGGUUUCAACAUGUAACCAUUUUGGAAAUUCUAAGAAGUGUAAGUAUUAUGGUUUUGCAACUUUAUUCUACUAUAUAGGCAACUUCAAAUUGCUAAAUGCCCUGAAUUAAAAUCACUACUAGAAGGAACCCAUGAGACUAUAGAAACUCAUAAUCUACUACUCUUGCCACUUAUUAAGAAUGCUAAAAGGAAAAAGUGAAGAUUGGCCUGAGCAUGAUUGAUUAAUAAACCACACAUGGUCUCUUUAAUUCAAGUGUGUCAUAUGUUAUAUGUUUCAUGUCAGUAAUCCUACAUUUCUCUUGUUUCUAUUGGCUCUAUUUUUUUUGAAUUAUUUUACAAUCAAUCUUCUAACAAUGUUCUACUUUUUUUACAAUUUUUUAUUAUUCUAAAAUGAAUUAAGACAUAUAAAGAAAAAAAUCACCUUGUUUGAUUUUCAUAUACUAUAUGCUUAAAUGUACAUGUUUUUUUUUUUCAUAUGUAAUAAGAUACCAACAAAUUGAGUGAGGAGCACAUCUUACUAAGUCGCUUGUCAAUCUAUUCACCUUCCUAAUCUCAAGAUUCUUCAUGUUUGAAUUAAAAUACCAUGAAGUACAAAAACAAAAAAUGAUGAAAAGUAUUUCUCAUCAUCUUUAUUUUUAUUAGAAGGCAAUUUGUAGCAUCCUCUUUCCCAUUCCUAAAAAAUACUACAGCUUUGUAGGUUGAGAAAUUAGACAUGUUUUCUUAAAUGAUCUUCUUGGUCCAUGCAUGCUUAUAUUUGGAAGAUUUUUAAACCAAGUAUUUUAUGACAUAUAUGAUAGCUUUCAAGUUAAUGCAUAAAUGGUGAUGGUUAGGAUGCAAAAUAUAGUCUAUGCUCAACCUAUUUAUUGACAAACUACCAAGGGCUAAUGCUAAGGUAAACACCCAGCACUUGCAUCAUACUCGCUCUUCUCUGCCCUCUUUAUUUGUUUUCCAAAGUUCAUAUAUAAUGUCUUUAUCAUUCAAUUUUUCAUUUUCAACCACUUUUUAAACUUUUGUCUUUUUAUGGUUUAUUACACGACGAUCCAUUUCUAAGAAAUUGUUGUACUCUAUUUAUAAAUCUUAUCUUUUUGUUCUUAUAGACAAUAGAACAACGUGGUAAUUGCAUGACAUACAAUUUGUAAUAGAUGUUCAACUAUAUAUUAGGUAAUCUUUAAUUGCCUUGGAGUUGAAACGUUUGAUGUUGAUAAGGUUUGAUAAUUCUCGCUUUGGUGCUUUGUUGGAUUUCAAUUUAGGUAAUUAAUUGAUCUUGUUAUGAUUCUUUGAUUGUUAUUAUAACUAUUGUGAUAAUCAUUCUUAUUUUAUCGUGGUAAUUGACUUCACUGACUUUUUAACAAUUAUAUCAUGAGUGAAAUGCCCAACCUAUUAUUGUUAGUAUUCCAUUAACAUACCUCUAAUGCCACCACUAAUAAACAUCAUGUAUUAAUAUUUAUAACACGUUUCAUUACUGAAAUAAUUUAAUAUUUUCAAAUUUCUUUUUAGAGUGUGAGAAAUAACCAUUAAUCUUUACAACAGCAUAAGUAUCAUUGAUUUGAUAUUGCUUUCUUGAGUAAUUUGGCAAUUUAAUUAUGAAGUUUAGUUGGACAUUACUUGAGAUUCAUGUCUUAUGUAUAUGAUCUAUUUUCCAAGCUUCAAUUAUAUUUAGUAGACUUGUAAGUGGUGUUUGUCUUUGAGUUUCAACUCUUGAAAACUACUAUUGGAGCCUAAGUUCACUUUCAGUAAGGAAAAAAAAAAAAAAUCAACCUUUUCCUCAAUUGUGUAAUUUUAUUCACUAUUGACAUGCCCUUAAAUGGCAUUGCUAUUAUUUGUAGGGAACAUUGUCAAGUUCUAUAUUUGUCUAGAAAGUUAGAAGAAGUAUUUAAUUUGAUAUGGUUUGGACAUCUUGCUACUAUCUUUUUAAAUUAGUUAUCAAUAAUUUUUCAAAGUUGACCUUUUUGUUUAUCUCAUACUCCUUUUAUAUUAAAAGGUACCGCAUGGGUAUUGUGUAGAGGAAUCAUGCCUUCUUUAAUUGAGGUGAGCCUCUUGCAAAAUAUUUCAAGUUUGCUCUCAUUCCAUUUGUUACUUCAUGUCUAUUUUUUUGUAAUCAAUCAAGCAAGAGUUUCUUACUUGUACAAUGGUGAACUUGCUUGCAUGAAUAAUACUCUUUUUACUAUUUUUUUUCUUUCUUUAUUAUAUUCAUUGAUAUGCUUAGAAGUUAAUAGUGAAUCAGGUUUUUUGUUAAAAGAAAUCAAAUAUUGGUAAUUAUUUAGUAUGAUGUUUGUAAUAAUCAAUUAUUGAUUGUCAAGAUACUUGACUUAAUCAAUUAUUAUAUUGAAAUCAAUUUAGUACUAUGACUAAUACCAAAAGGAUAAUAUUUAGUCUUGUUUGACCAUUAGUCACUAUUCUAGAGACAAAUGCUCACAAGUUUUACAUCUUUGAAGCAUAUGAGAAAAGUUGGCUCAACUGUAUCACCAACUUACAAGCUCCUUAUAGUGUCCAUAUAUAUAACCUUCGUUGUUCAGGUUUAUGAUUCCUAUCUCAUUUUCUUUUUUCAUCUUUUUAUUGUUUAUAAUUUUUUAAUUGAUUUGUUUAUAAAUUUUUAAACUUUAUUAGCAAUACUAUUUUUUUUUUUUUUAUUCUCAUCUGCAAUAGAAUAAUAAGUUGAAUAAGAAGCAUAAACUACUUAAUUGGUAUAACCGUUUACUCAAUUCUCUUCUCAGAUAUUUUUGUUCAAGGUAAUCAAAGUAUCAUUCUUUUUAUUUUUAAAGGUACUUGAACUCAGUGAGGACCAUUCCCAAAACAAGCAAUAACUACAGUUGGAUUACUGAUAUCAUAUCCUUGAUUGACAUCUAUGCCAUUACAUUUGCAUCUAAAGGAUUUAUGAUGAAAAAAAUAUUUUCUUUAUUUCCAUUUUCCUUCCUUCUUUUGAUCAUAAUUUGUGUGCUUAUUGAUAGCAUUCAUACCCUAAUAUAUUUGCUAGCAUAUAUAUGCAUGUCACAAUCUAUUGAAUUUUUUAGCAUAAGGUCUUAGAGUAUUCACAUAUCUCUAGGUUCUAUAUAUUUAUAAUUUUUCAACAUCAAAUGAAGUAUAUGAACCUUAUCCUGAAGGUGAAGUCUCUUUAAAAGGAGUUUCAACAUGUUAGCAAUUACCUAACUUAAUAAUCUAACAAUUUGGCACUAUAUAUAAUUUUGCAACUCUUUCAUAAAGUAAUUGUGUUACCUUUAUUCACAUUUUCUAUCUUUAUUUAAAAAAAAAUGAAUUGGUAAUUGUGUGUCAAAUCUUGCUUACAAUCAUUAAUAGGUACUUAUAUGCUAAAUGGAUAAAGUUAUUUUACAAUUGUUUCAACAUAUUUGACACACAAGUACCUAUUAAUAAGUAUAUAUUUAUAGAUGUAAUCACUACCAAGCCAAUGCGAAAAGCUAUAACAAUGAGGAUUACAACGCUUCAAUUAUGUCUUGGAGAUUCAUAUUGAAAAGUUGUAAAUGGUGGGUGAAGUCUCUUUAAAAGGAGCUUCAACAUGUUAGCAGUUACCAAACUUAAGAAUAUAACAACUUGGCACAAUAUAUCAUUUUGCAACUUUUCAUAAAGUAAUUGUGUAACCUCUAUUCACAUGCUCUAUUUUUUAUUUUUUUUUAAAAAAAUUUGAAUUGGUAAUUGUGUGUUGAAUCAUUCUUACAAUAUUUAAUAGGUACUUAUACACUAAAUUGAUAAAGUUAUUUUACAAUUGUUUCAACAUGUUCUGAAAACAAAAAAGAUUUAUAAGUAUAUUUUUUUCUAGAUGUAAUCACUAGCAAGCCAAUGUGAAAAGCUAUAACAAUGAGGAUUACAAAACUUCAAUUAUGUUUUGGAGAUUCAUAUUGAAAGUUGUAGAUUAUGGAUGUAUAGUACAGGAGUUAGAUUGAGUUUAUCAUUCUAUCUUUGACAUCUUAGUUUUCUAUGUAUUGUCCAUCAUAUAUAUUUGUCAUCUAUUCUUUACAACCAAUUUUUUAAGGACUUCUAUGAUUUGUUUAAAUUUAUAUAUUUGUUUUUAUUUGUACUAGAACUUCACCAAGCUACAAAAGCAUCACAAGUUUUGCAAUUGGAGUUCAUGGAUCAGGUAUUUUAGUAGUUUUUGUACCUGAAAUUUUUUUAUGAUACUAAUGAGGAUGUUUACCUUGAUUAAUUUAACACUUAUAUUGCAAAUAUCUAUAUAGGAGUUCUAUACAUUUAUUUAAACAUUUAUAGACAUAUUUAUCCUCUUUCUAGCACAUUCUAAUGAUAUUUUUAACAUUGAUAUAAAUUGUUUGCUUGAAGGUUUCAACUAUUGAAAAAUUAUUAUUCAAGCCAAAUGUUAAUCUUUUUCUAUAGUGGAUUUCAAAUAAUAAAUUCUUAUUUGAUUAUUUGUAGGGAAAAUAAACAACUUCUAUGUUUGAUAAGAAAGAAGAUAGAGUAGAUCAAUUUCACAAUAUACGAAUGCUACGCUUUCUAUACUUUUAAAGAUGCUUACAAUUGGCUUUCUAUACUUAACAAGUACAUCUUAGCUAAAAGUGAAAAAAUGUUUCUCUUUGCACAUGCCUUCACUACUAUUUUAAUUGCUAUCUUAAUAUGUUAUGGAAAAACCACGACAAAUAACAAUAAUAAGGAGAAGAAAUAAAAGAACAAAAAUAUAAAACUUAUAAAGUAGGACGAUCUAUGUGGUUUGGCCUAAACCUACAUUUAUAUGUGAAAAUGAAGAAGAACUUCCACUAUUAUUAAAGGAGAUUAAAUUCCUAAAGCUUUCAAAUCUCAUGAUUACACUAAAAAUGGACUUUUUUUUUUCAAUCAAAAUCUCUUCCUUUAUUUUCUUGAUUAUAUAAGAAUAUUCCAUAGAGAAUUAAUUGUGUAAUUAUCAAAGAUAACUAUUCCUAAAAGAAAAAUCUUAUAAUAUGAUAUUUCCUUUAGAAUAAAAGAAAAAUCUCUUAUAUAAAUAUAUCAUAAUAGGAAAAUAUUAAAGACUUAUAAAUUGACUCAAAACAAUUUGAAAUAUUUUUCAACAAUCUCCACAUUGGCUCAAAUUCUCAAUAUUCAAAUAAACUCAAAAGUCUUCUAUGUUACUUUGCUCUUAUACACCCUUGAGGGGACUUCAAGUAAUGUCAAUACCAAUUAAGUCUAAGCAAUGCAUGAACUUAAUCAUAGAAAUAAGUUUAGCCAUCAUAUCUAUAACUUUAUCAACUAUAAUAAAGUGCUUUCUAACAUCAAUAUGUUUGGUGCUCUCAUGUAAUAUAUGAUUUUUAGUCAAAAGUAUGAGACUUGGCUACCAUGAUAACAAUAAUCAAUGAUUGGAAUCAAAUAAGUACAUUUUGUGUGCCUAAACUUAGGCAUUCAUAUUUAAUAUCCAAUUCUAGUUUCAUCCCUUUACUCAUUUUAUUCCUAAGUCCUUAAUUUUGGGUUUAAUGUAUUUUUUAAAUAUUUUCCUUCUUUUUUGGUAUAUUUAUAUCACAUUUUUGCUAGCCAUUAUAUUUUUCAUGUAUUGGUUGCUAAUUUUACACUCCAUAGUUGUCACAUCAUCCAACUAAUGGUUGUUACAUUAUCCAACUAUGGGCUACCACAUGCUCCAGCUACCUUAGCCUCCUUGCCAAGUAUUUUCCAUGCCAAAAAAAGAUUGACAACUAUUUCAAUUGGUUGGUAAAGUUGAGAAAAGCUUCCACCAACCUCGCCAUUAAGUUGUGCUCCUUGCUCCAAUUUCUAAUUUUGCUUCCUACCCUCUUGUGGAGUUAGUGUGGAAAUGACUUUAUACAAGGGAGAUGAAGGUUGGUUUUGUAAGGUAGUUUAUUUGUAAACUUGUAUUUCCUUUAUUCAGACGAUAGUUCUCAUUUCUUAGCCUUGAUUUUCAAUUUUGAUCCUCUUGUCUUGCCACUAUGAGUGGCCAACAUCCAAACCAAGGAAUAAUUUUUAAUAAAAUAUUAAUAUUAAUAUUCAAAUAAAAUCAUAUAUUUAUAUUCCUUAGCACAUUUAUAGGAAGAGAAAUAUUUGGGCACUAGGCCCAAUUCACUUUUUAUCAUAAAAAUAUGAAUAUUAAUAUCCUUAUCCUCAUAAAAGCAUAAUUAGCUUAUUUUCUAAAAAAUUGAUAAUAAUAAUAAUAAUAAUAAUAAUAAUAAUUACUAGUACGAUUUUAUUUUAAAUGGAUUUAAAAAUAAAUAAAGUUUAAUUUUUAAGGUAUACGUGCAUAAGUUUUUCAUUACAUAUACACAUUUAAUACUUAAUUAGUAAUAAUGUAUUCUAAAAUUUUUUUAUCUAGCCUAUAACUAAUUAAUCACUUUUUUGGAAUUCUAAAUUGUUCUUAAAAAUUAAAAUAUUCAUUAAAGAAUUGAAAGUGUUUAUUAUGUUUAACUUAAUUUAAAUUUAUUUAUCUAGUGAGAAAAUUCAUAAAAUAUAGUUUUAUGUAUAAAGGAAAUAGUAACGACUUUACAUUUAAUGAAUCUUUUAUUUUAUUUUGAUUCAUUUAAUAGUCUAUUAUCUUGUAGUGAUUAUAUAUAUAUAUAUAUAUAUUUAAAAUUUAUUAAACUCAUUAAUAAAUUCAAUACAAAGUUUUACUUAAUUUGAAACUCAUCUCUCUAGUGAAAAAAUUGAAAAAAUAUUAUUUUGUGAAAAAAAAUACAAUAAAAUCAUUUUAAACUAAUUUUUAUCCAUAGAUUUUUGUAUUUAUUAGUUUAUUAUUUAAUUUUUAAAUUAAUUUAAAAAAUUAUUAGACUUAUUAAUGAAUCCAAUACAUUAUUUUUUUUGUUUAAUUUAUUUAUCACACUAUCAAACAAACUUUUAUUAUUUAGUAAAAGACCUCUUAAAAGAUGUUUUUUUUUCUAAAUAAAAAUAAAAAUAAUAUUCUAAACGAUGUUUGAUUUGAGAGUUUUUUAAAAAUAAAAAUAAAAAUUAUUUUAAAUUAUGUGUACAUAAUUGUUGCAAAUUUAUUUCUUUUUCCAUUAUCAUUUUCAUUCUUACCUAACAUUGAAAUGGAAACAAAUAAUCAAUCAAACCUUACAUUUAUUCUUGAUGCCCUCUGUGAAAAAAAAAAGUGCAAAACAUUUAUUUUUUCUAAUCAUCAACCAUCCAUACAUAGAAAAACUACGUGUGAUCUUAAGCCAAAAAAGAUAUUGCAUCUAAUCAAAUUCAAUAGACAUGAUGAUAUCUAUACUAUUUUUUUUUUAAUUAUAUUCAUAUUUAUGUCAGAAAAUAAUUUUUUUAUUUUUAGAACAUUAAACUUUUUAAAAGUCCUUUCUAGGAUAUUUUCUAGCUUUUUCCUUUUGCUAAUUUUUGCUAUUCAAACAAAUCUUAAGAAAUGAAUCAAACCUGGACACAAUUGAAGAGUUUGGCAUCCUUGUUUUUAUAUUCCAAAGCAUAUAUAGAGAUUGGGGUAAAACAACUUGUACCUAAGAAAAAAAAAGGAAAAAAAACCACAACAAAAAAUUAACCAAAAAUCAGAAAAUUAACUAGAAUAAAAAAUCAAGAAAAUAUUUUUCUGGGUUAAUAAUUAAUUAUAAUGAAAUCAAAAUCAAAAGAAAAAAUACAUACUUCCUCCUGGCUUUGCUUACACUGAAAGCCAUGAAAGAAUUGGGAAAGUAGUAAAGAAUAAGAACAAGAACCACAUCCAUAUUCUGGGGAAAGCAAAUCCUCUGCUUUGCUGCCUUCUUCAGAUUGAAGGCAACUAUUAAACGGGUUGAGGGGUUAUGAGUUUGACUUGGUUGAGUUUGAAGCUACAAAAGUAAGAAGAAUGGUAGUAAUUUUGGAAGCAUUUCUAACUCUUCUAUAACUUGAAAGAUAAAAAAUUUUAAGUGUUAAAAAUGUUAAAAGAGCUUUUUAGAAUCACCCCCAAAUGUACUCUAAAUUAUUUAUGACUUGAUGUCACCUUCACACUCAUUUUCCAGUGUCAUUUAAUUUUGUUGUUCCCAUAUUGAAGAUUUAGGGUAAUGUAAUGUUCAAGCCUUCACAUUUUGCCUUCACAUUUUGCCUUCACUAACCUUUGAAUUUUAAUUAAAUUCUUUGAAGGAUAUUUGACCACUUCAUUGUCCAAAAAUGCUUAUAUUGCCAUUUUUUUUGUCUUUUUCUACAAUUCCAAUUUUACUAUUUUUCUUUUAUUUAUUCCUAUUAUUAUUUAGGCUAUUAUUUAUAAUAUUCUAAAUAUUAUAUUUAUAAUUGUUAAUAGUAUAAUUACUAUUUUUCAUUUAUUUGUCAUUUAUAUUGCUUAUCUUAUCUUUAUUCAUGUAUAAGACUCAAAAACUGCAAAAAGCAUUAAUAAGUAACAACUAAACUUCAAAGUGAUAAUAAAAUUCAACUACAUUGAUAUUACAAUAAUACAAAUGAAAUAUAUAGCAACCAGCCCUUAAAGGGGCUUUUAAGAGAUAAUGAGUCUACUUGAGAUUGAAAUUUAAAGUAGAAUCACCAUCUCUAUAGAUAAAUAUAAAGCCUAAAAAGAAUAGAACAUCACUAAAUAAUAUUAAUAAAGCAACAACUAGAUCAAUGGAUAGUGAAAAUAAAGGUUUACAAAAUGAGUCACAUAAGUAAGAACAACUAAAUUAAGAAAUGAAUUACAUGUCUGACAGAUCUAAUGAGGGAAAACAUUGGAUCUAGGUACCCAUGAUUGGCUCCUUGAAGUUGACCUACCUCCUCAAGAGGUACAUAGGAGUCCUUACUUGAAAAAUAUUAAAAUCUAUAGGGUGAACAUAAGAUCUAAUAAAUAGGCACGAUAUGCAAAUGUUAGGAUGGUUAGUCCAAGGUAAAAAAAUAGUUCUAAAACAUAUCACGUAAUAAUUUUGGUGUAUUAUGAGAGGAAAAUUGAUUUGUGAGAACUAUACUUUAUGAAUAGAAAUGUGAGGAAGAGUGAAAAACACUUAGUAGAGUAAGAGGGCUAACAGUUCAGGGUAGUCAUACAAGUAGUCAUACAAAGUGUGGGGAAAUAGAUGUAUCUAUUUUUGUCCCUUACAAUAUUUUUUAUUGUAUAGUGAAAUAUUAUCUUUCAAAUAUGGAAAUAAGCAUGGUUAGGUGUACCAUGUUAAAAUCUUAAGUAUUUGUUUUAUUUUGUGUUCUUCCAUUAAUAUAUUUCAAUAUUAGAGCUUCCAUUGACUCAACAAUUUAUUAUACUAUGAAUCGUCAUAAGUGAAUAUAUUUUUAUAUUAGAAUAAACCAUUUUCUUAAUUAUAAGUAUAUUUGAAUAUUUUACUAAACUAUUUUAAAAUAAAAAUAUAGUAAAAAAAAUUUAAUAUAUAUAAUAAUAACAUGAUAAAUAACAUAUCCCAAACCAAAUGCAACAUAAAUUUCUAAAUUGUCUCUUCUUCUUAGUUCUCUAUAAUAAUAUUGUCAUACCCAUUGUUUAAGCUAUAAAUUAACAUUUUAUGUUCUUUGAAACAUAUGUAUUACCAACUCAAUAUAAAUAGCUACGAAGACAUAUUUCUCAUUUUCCCAAUCAAAAAGCAUUGUGAGUUGAAACCUUUUUGUUUAGAAAGUUAACUUGCAAUGUUAAUAUUCUUUUUUUAUAUUAGCCCCCUAGGAAUGCCAUUGCCUUUCACCACACUUUUAGUUUUUUUUUGUUUUUUCAAUAUUCUUUUUUACUUCUACACUAGAAUUUAUGUAACUUCUUGUUUUUUAUUAUUAUUAUUAUUUUGCAAUAUUUUCUCUUAAGUCUACCUUACACUUCUUAUUACCUCUCAUAUAUAUAUAUAUUUGUCUUUUUCAAGUACUUGGUUGCUUCUCUAUUACAAUUCAUUAACUUCCUAUCCUUUUAUUUAUUUUUAUUUUUUGCAAAAUUCUUUCUUAAAAUACAUAAAUCCAUAGUUUUUAUUUUAAAAGUAUCAAGUAAAGAACAUAUACCUACUCAAACACCAUUGUAUAAUACCCCUAAAAUUUCCAAAAAUCCUUAAAAUUUCAUAAAUUCUCUGCAAACUUAUCCCUAAUUAGAUGCUAUUACAUUAAAUAUAUCUAAUUCACUCUAAACACAUGAUUGAUAAUAAUACAAAAAACUAAAACAAUAUUAAUAUGCAAUUUAUUAUUUUUCAACACACUGUAAUAGUUCCCAAAUAUUUUCAAACAUCAACUAACAAACCUAAAUUUAUUCACUCAAAAUACAUAAUUGAUAACAAUGGAGAACUAAAAAAAAAAUUAUAAAUAUAACAAUUUUAUACUUUGAAUACAAUUCAAUAAAUCCUAAAUUUUUAAAAACAUUUAACUAAUAAACUUAACCAUACUCAAAUAUUAUUGUAUAACAUCUAUAAAAAUUUCAAUAAUUUAUCAAAUGUGAAGACUACACUCACCGGUUUAGUAGAAUCACUUGCCUCUUCUAUUGGUAAUUGGGAUUUUUGUUCAGUAGCUUCGCUUUCCUUUGCUUCACUUUCUUUUGCUUCACUUUUUUCUUCUGUUCGCAAUUGGCAUUUUUGUUUUUUCGUCACUUUUUUUAAUCUUUUUAUAAAAUCACUCUUCAAUGAACUCAUUGUUUCCUUCGUGCUUGAAGAUACAAUAUGAGAUAACUUGAAAAAAACAGAAUAACAAUUUUUCUAAGGAUUCAGAAUGAAACAAAGGAUGAAAUGAUAGACGAGAAAUUUUCUAGGGUUCUUGAAGGAAAGAUGAGAUUUUCAUUUUGUGCAUUAAAGGAAGAUAAUGAAAUAGAAGAAGACGAUGAAAGAUGAAGACUCGUUCUAUAAAUGAAGCGAAAGAGGAUUAGAGUUUUCCUUUUUGUGCACCAAAGGAAGAUAAUGAAGUAGAAGAAAAUGAUGAGAAAUUUUUUUUGGAAAAUAUGAGGAGUCAUUCUGUAAAUGAAGCCGAAGAUGAGAAGGUGUAAGUGUUGGAGAGAAAAAAGAAGAAGGGCAUUUUUGUCUCAAUCAACAAUUUUGUUUUAUUUUUUAACCGGUGGGUUAUAUUUACAAAUAUGAGGGUUAUUUUGACCCCUUUAACCAAAUAGCCUUAUUUUUUUAUCGAGUUACAACUUUAAAUUAGGUGUAAAAAGAAAUUUUGAUAUGGUAGAUAUUGUACAGUUAUAUAUUGAAAUUCCAUGGUUCAUUAGAUAAACCAUCCUUGAAUUUCUUCGGUUUCAAUCAAGAUGAUAGAUCAUCCUUCCACAGAGUGUGACCUGAUAUGACAUUGAUUUUCUAGGGCUUCAAACACGAAGGGUGUCAAUGACUAAGAACUCCAUUUGAUUACCGAGAAAAUGAGGAAAAAACCCCUCAAAUAAAAUAUAAAUACAAUUCAGAAUUUCAAUUUUACUUUGUUAGGGACCCCAAAAAUGGGAAUAUUCACUUAACUAGCCUAAUCCAACCACCUACCUUAGUUCAAUUCAGUCCCCACUUUCUAGAGACCAAAACAAUAUAAACAUUCAUGUGUUUGGCUGCUCAGAAAGCAUAGGAUAAGCAAAGAAAAGGACGGUGCCUCCUCGAUCAAAUAGUCUUUUUUUUUUUUUCUUUUCUUGCAUUUUCUUUUUUCAGCAACCAAAUAGAACUUUUUAAUUGAGCAUUGUUGUAUACAAUUUAGAUUUCUUUCCCUCGGUUUCUCCGCAACCAAAUAGAAUUUUUCUCAAUUGAGCGAGGGUCUAGUAUAUCCUUUGUUUUCCUGUAACCAAACAGAACUUCCCUUGUUAUUUUUUUUAUCUUUUCUUUGAAUUUCUCAGAAACCCAACGGAGUUUACUUCUGGUGCAACCGUGCAAGAAAAUGGUUUUACCUGAUCGCAAUUCACUGGACUAGCCGAAGCAACAGAGGCUUAAGAAAAAAAGACUGAGCUUUGUUUGUUAGACCCCCUCUGUGAGUACGCAAAGUAAGAAGAAUUGAAGCUGAAAUUAGGCGGCUUCCAAACACGUCCUAGGAGUUGGUUUUAAAACCCAUUUUUCCCCUUUUUGGUUGCAAUCGGUCUGCAAAGAUGCCAUUAAAAGGUAACUACAGUUGGUUGCAUGAACAAGAAAAUGAAAAAAAAAAGUUAAAAUUAAUUAAAAUUCUAUGUAUUUUAAAAUUAUUUAAUAUUUACAUUGAAGAGUAAAAAUAAUUGCAAUAUAUUUAAAUAAACACAUAAAAAUAAUAAUUUAUUAAUUUUAAAUCUAUUUUUAAAAUUUUCAAAUUUUCAUUUAUUUUAUUCCCUCUAAGCUUUCUAACUAAGGUCAUAAUUUGGACAAAUUGUUGGGUUCAUAGUAGAUCUAAAUAAUCUAAUAGGGAUAAAUAAUUGAUUAAUUUAAGUUCAACCCAACCUCUAAGCUUUCUAACUAGGGUCAUAACUUGAACAAAUUGGAUGGUUAACAUACAACUUGGACAAAUUGGUGAGUUCAUAGCUAAUCUGAAAAAUUUAAUAGGGAUUAACAAAUAAUUAAUUUAAGUUUAGCCCAACCUCUAAAUAGAGGUAUUUAAUUCAAGCUCAACCAACUUCAUUUCUUUGAGCUCUGGUUGAUGAGGUUAAACUUGGGUUAACCCCUGAUUGUAUAAUUCAAAAUACAUAUAGAAUGUUUUUCAAUAAAAAAAAAUUAUGUACUUAUAUCAAAUUUUAAAUAGUAAGUAGGACAAAAUUUUAAAAUAACAAAAAAGAAAAAAAAACAAAAAUAAAAACAAAGUUAUGUAUCUUUUUUAAAAAGUGAAAAAAUAUAUUAUAUAAUAUAAUUUGAUUUUUUUUUAAUAAAAAUUUAGAAAGAAUAAAAUUAUUAUAUAAAAUAACAUAUAUUGGAAAUAUUAUAAAAACAUUAAAAGUUUAUUAAGUAGUUAUUCAAAUAAGUGUUUCUAUCCCUAAUUUAAACUUUGGUUUCAAUCUAACUCGAAUUGAAUUUGAGUUGAAAAAGUUUAAUUUGAAUAUUAAAAAUAAUUGUCUAAACACGAUCAAAUAUCGGAUUGGAUUCGACUAAUCUGCCAAAGUUGCACUCCUACCAAGAACCAUACACAAUAAAAAAAAUUUAAGCUAUUUUUUGUUCUAGGAAAGUACUCAAAAAGGAGAAAUAAAGAAAAAAAAAAUGAUUUUAUAUGUAUAAUUAAAAUUAGUUAAAUUUUAUAUAUUUUAAAAUUAUUUAAUUUUUUUAUAUGGAAAAGAAAAAAAAAGAGUGAAAUAAGUUUGAAAAAACAAGUAAAAAUGAUUUGUUAACUUUAAUAUUUUUUUCUUUUCUUUUCUUUAGUUUAUUUUUCUCAAAAUUUUCAAAAAAUAAACAUAGAAUUAAAAAUAAUAAUAAUAAUUAUAGAUUAGGAAAAUCAAUUUUAGAACUUGCUUAUAUGAUUGCAUUAUUUUUUGUAAAUAAUAAUUUUAUUGAAUGUUAAGAGAGUGGUAUUAAAUGCACAUUAUUUAAUAUUUUUAUAUGGAUAUUUUUAUUUCUAAAGAAAGUAAUCUUUACAUGGAUUGGACCACUGUUUAUUUAUCCAUGUGGGCCAGCCUAUUAAAAACCAUCAAACCAACAACCCAAGGGGCGACCCUGAUCAUUCUCGGGGGCCCACAACCUUCAUCUCUAACAAAAGCUCUUACUCACUGAAACAUGGGCAGGAUCACCUUCCACACACAUCUUCAUACCAGUCACCACGCUACCGCAACAAUCCUCCUCCAUGAAAGCCCACCUCCAUCACAGCAAGCAGAAAAUCCAUCACGUCAACCAUCAACCUCCACACAGACCUAACACUGCAUAGCCGUGUUUUGGGAGUGUUAGAACGUGAUUAAAGAUGAUUUAAUUUGAGUGUUCAUGGAGUUUCGCUAUAAGAGGGUGAUAGACCAGAGUAUCAAUGCUCCCUUUGUAACUUUAGGGCCAAAGAGGAGUCAGUUUACCAAAAAUUCUUCAUGAAACCAUCCAUUUAUCUCAGGGAACAUUUAUUAAGUAGAGUCAAAUAGAUUUACAGAUAAGAGACGAUUUAUUCCUUUGAAUGAAAUAACCUUAUUUCAAAUUGCCCUAAUGUGGCCUAAUAAGCAAAAUUACUGGUUAUAUUUUGGACACAUCUCAGUAGAGGUUUGGGGGAGAAAAUAGAAGAAGCAGAGAUGCUUACUUACUUCAGAGGGGCCACUGCUCGCCACCACCACUUCAUGGCUGUGCCCAUUUCACUUGCCCAAGUCACUCUCUUCUCCAAACCCUCCAUUUUACUCCACAGAAAUGCCAUCAUUGGCUUCUCCUUUUCCAUUCCUUUCUCCUCUUCUUCUGCUCACAAGAUUCAGACUCACAAGUGGAGGCAACCGGUGGUCUCGCUUCUGGAGCUUGGUGGAGUCAAGAUUGGCAGAGAUGGUAACAUACCCACAUCCCAAAAUUGCGUUUAAAAAGGAUCUUUAGCUUGAAUUUCGUGUGCCCAAUUUGCGUUUUUGCAGACAUUUGCACUCAAGUCGUGUCGUUUGUUUGCAAUUUCACAAUCUGAUUUCUUUUCUAUUGUGCGUUUUUUUUCUCCUGCUAGGUUCGAAUUCAAGCAUCCAAUUUGCGUUUUUGUGGGUAGUCUUAUGCCCAACUUGUGUAUUCAAUUUGCAAUUGUUGUUAUCAGACUUCCUUCUCUCUUUUGAGACUUACACAGUUAGAGACGUCAUUUCUGUGAAAUUAAGAAUGCAUGUUCCAACUUUCACUUCUUUCUCUCUCUCCCUCUUUUUUUUUUUUUUUUUUUGUGAAAUUGGAAUUCAAGAACUUAUUUUGCGUUUUACAAGCUUAGCGGGUUACGUUUCUGUUCUAUUUGUUGUGCUGUUGGAGGUGUUUGGUGCAUUUAUAUAACUAGGCUUGCAAUUUCGCCCUCUGAUAAAGGUUAAAUUUUCUCCCUUUUUAUUUUUUAUUUUUUUAAUGGUGUAUUUGUUUUGGGUAUUUGGUGAAAUGAGGAUUCUGUACUGGGUUUAUGGCAUUUUUUCAAUUGGUUUGAUAUAUGUGAAUGUGGGUUUUGUAGGGAAGAUAUGCAAAUUUUUUGAAAGAAGCAUGCAAUUACAACUCUGAUUUCCUUUAUAUUUAUAUUUUUUUAUGCUUAUUUGCAUAUUGGUUGAUGUCAAAAUUCAUCUAAUGGGUUGUUUUUUAUUGCUUUGGAUUGGUUUAAUGUAGUUGAAUGGUGGAUUUUGUUUCUAAAACUUAGGGUCAAUUUCAAUUUUUUUUUCUUUUUUUCAAUUUGAAGACCUGGGAGUCUAUGUGAUUGGAAUUGAUGUACUCGAGUUUUUGGAUUUUGCUGAUUGCUUGAUAAACUUGGGAUGCAGAGCCUUAAAAAAUAAACUAUAUUCACUAAACUAUAUCUCUGAUUAUACUUCGUCAAAGCGUGAAAUGCAACUUGGAGUCUUUGUAUUUUUAAAAUUUUUUGGGUUAUUCUAUUCUGAAUAUUUGGUAAAAUUAGAACUCAUGUACUGAACCUUUUUCAAGUUCUUUUGGUUGGCUUGAUAUAUUUGGUUGUGGGGUUUGUAGAUGUGGUGAGGGAUGAUCCUACAAACAAUGUCCCGGAUGCAAUUUUUUUGAAACUUGGAAUGCAGCUUCACAGGAGGGAUCAACACCCAAUUGGAAUUCUGAAGAAUGCAAUAUAUGAUUAUUUCAAUGCCAAUUACUCUAACAAAUUUGAUAAGUUGGAUGACCUUUGCCCAAUAGUCUCCACAAAAGAGGUUUGACAUUAAGAUAUAAAAUAAAAAUUGUAUGCAUGUUUUUUUUUUUUCACUGUUUUGAGCUAUACAUUGCACUAUUUGGAACUUGUAUUAUCUUGCUAUGACUGGUGCCUGACAUUUUGUUGCGGUUUUUAUUUAUUUUGCUGCCCAUUUCCUGUUGGUUUUUGUCCUGUCCUAGGUCUUUUAACAUUUAAGAAUCCAUGAAAGUGGUAUUUGCAUAUGUUGCCAAUUAUUCCAUUGACGAUGUUCUAAGUAGGGAACCUAGUAUCCAAACUUCCAUCCAAACUUCCAUAUAAAAAAAGUCCAGAACAGGCAUUCGGUUUACCAGGUUUAUCAGUUCUCUCCAGUGUUUAUUCAACUCUUAAAUGCAGUAUUCUGGACAUACUCCAAAUUUGAAAUUCCUUUGGUAAAAUAAAGGCAUGGUACUUAUAGUGGUCUAUUAAGGAAAAGGUUUGUUUGACCUAGCUUUUGUACAAAAAAUUCAAGGAUAGUCUUGCAGAUAUGUAUUGUAUAGGUGUAUAUUUCUCUAUCAUGACACAAGUGAGAAAAAAUUCACGAAAGUUGUUUUGUUUUAAUAAAAAAUUGAAAGUUAAUUUAUGUUUUGAGAGGGACAUUAGACAACCUAGGAUUCAAAGGGACAUGUUGUCUCUUAGGAAAAUAUAAUUCAUAGCAUUCUCAAUCACUUACAGGUUAUUUUAAUCCUUUUAAAUUGAUUUAUUUAAUUUUUUUCUUUAUAGUAGGCAAGCAAAAAAUAUAUUUACAACACCUACUAUUAUCAUUAUUUUGGUAAUUAGCAUUGAUGGAGAUUGUAAAAAUUCUCUAAUAGUAUUGCAGGAGAAAAAUAAUAUUUAUGAAUUUUUGUUAAACGCAAUUGUCAUAAUGAUAAUAGUUAAUUAGAAUAAUAUAAGUUUGUAAUUGGAAAAAUUUUAAAAAAUAAUAGCUUUUGGAAAUAGUUUGAAUAGGAGUACAAAAUUCUUGGAUUUCAUGGAGAGCUUAGGUGGGAUCUAAAGCAUGGGGCUGUUUGCUAUCUAUUUUAGUAUUUGCUGCUCUUCUCUCUUAUAGGUGUUCAGUUGCAGCUUGUAUUCUCUGAGCGUACUUGGGUUGUGCCCCCUUUUGUGUUCUUCAAUAUAAUCUUCAGGCUCAUGACUAGUGCAAUUUCUACUAAUUGAUCACUUUUCACUUCAAAUAAUAUUCAGUAAUCCAAAUAGCAUUUAUCAAAUUAUUUUUAACUGCCAUUAGAUUUAUAAAGAACCCAAAAUGUGAAAAUUUCUUCUUAGGCAUGAGAAAUUGUCAUUGUUAUAAACCCCAUGUUUGUCUUGUACUUACAAGCAUAAUUAUAAAGCAUGAUCUGCAUGUCUUAUCAUGAAAUAUAACAAUGUCAUAAAAUAGAUGAUUGAUAAAAUAUUAGAAGUCCAUUACAAAUGCUUAAUGGAACUGAAAAUUAUUACAGAGCAAGUGCAUAUUUCAGUCAAACUUUUAUGCAGUAGUGGUAGCUUAUAAACUCACAACUUUGUAAUCAUGUGCUUGAAUCAAGUAAACUUAAUGGAUCUCAGCUACAUCUGCUCUACAUUUUAACCAUUGUUUUAUGUUAUGGGAAUAGUGACUGAAUUUCACAGUCCCAUCAUUAUAAUUUAUGCAUGUAAAUUCAUUUGGGACUUAGUUUUCACAUGUGUUCACAUGUCAUAACUGUAAUUUCCCUAAUUUUAUGAGUAAGAAAAACUCUUUAAUUUUCCCUAUUUUGACUGAAACUUUAGGAACUUGGACUUUAUUUGGUGCAAAUGUAUGUUAUCAACUAUUGCUUUUGACCAGUCAUGAGUAGAUGCUAUUUAUAAAAGGACACAAAGGAGGAUAUAAUCCAAGUGCACUUGUAGUCGACAAGUUACUCUGGGCAUCAAAAUUGAAAGAAACAACAAUGAAGAAAAGCAUCAAGAAAGUGCCCCUACCUCCCAAACUGUCAAUGAACUACUGGAAGGAUCUACUACUAUUCAAGAUAACUUCUUCUAAGCACAACUACAUGUAACAGUACUUAGCCUGCGCUAUGGUGUCAAAAGGUAGGCUCAUUGGAACAUGCCUAUUUUGAUGGAUUUUAGUUUGUGGGGAUAGUUAAAGUGUAAAGUGUAAAGUGUUUGAUAAAAUAAAUUUGCUAGUUUUAAUAAAUUGGAAUUACUACUGAAUAAAAUGUGAAGCUAGGUAUUAGGAGGAGAAAGAAAGGUAAUUAAUUUAUUUGUAUGACACUAUGACUUACACACUGUGAAGCUUACUGGUUGGGAAUUGUUGAACAGGGGAACUUACUUAAUAGGGGAGAAAGAAUCACACAUAUUACUUGAUGAGAAAAUAUAAUUACAUUAGCCAAAGGCCAAAAAUAUAUGAGUGGUUCACUGAUUGCAUAUUAUUGGAAAGAGAGCUGAGCAUCAUAUGAUUCAUAAACUUUUUACAAUUUAAAGGCCUGGGUCCAAUGAGAUAUGUUGCAUCAUAUUACCUAAUGAACCAAUGAAGUUUAUGGAUUUCCAAAACUUCUUGGAGAGGUUCACUAUUUUAUGGUUCUUUUUUUUGAUAAGUAAAAGUAUUGUAUAAAAACCACCAAUGCAGUGGAAAAAUAAAUACAAGAAAGAACACACUCCCCACUCCCUAGCUAAAAGCCAAGGACAGAGGAGCAGCCCAACACACACCCUUAACGGGUUCUCACCCAACCAACAAAAUCAACUAAGGUCGAGGGACCAUCUUUUAUAGACAAUUUCGUCUCCGACCAAAGAAAAUAUACAAACGAAUACUUAAGCCUUUGAAUAGACAACUCUUCUUCCUCAAAGGCAAUUUUGUUCCUUGCCUUCCAAACCAUCCAAAAAAGACACAAAGGACUUGCUCUCCAAACACCCUUCCUCUUUUUUCCCACAAAAGACCCAUUCCACCCCAACAACGUCUCCUUAACAAUUUUGUUCUUUUUUUUUUAGGGUUCUUUAUUCCAAAACUUUUUGCUCCAUACCUCUUUGGAGCUCAAUUCUUUGGCAAAGCAGGAAGAAAACAAAUUAGCAUCAACUUUAGCUUGACUUGAGAUCACAAAUCCGACUAGAGAUUUUGCAGUAGUGUGUUGAGGUCUAAUCCGAAUCCAGGUUGUGAUGUGUGCAUCAAAGAGUCUUUCCAUAAGCCAUGAAGCUUUGAGGUGUUUUGUGAUGGCAUGACUGGAUAAUGAGAUGCAUUUUGGUCUGAAAUUUGGAGUUCGGUUAUGCAUUUCUGUAUCUAUAUCUCCAAAAUUAUUAACUAAUUUUAAUCAUUUUAUCUAUUUUUCAAAAUAAACAUUCAAAAUUGAAAGUUUGUGUCACGAGUCUUCAGGCUUAUCCGGAAUAGAAUGUCCUGCAUUAACUCUUGCUGUUAAUGCAUAUAAUACCAGGCGAGUCAACACAGCCAUUUGCUUGCUUAUGUUGACUUUCAAUGGGUUAAAAUUUAUGGCUUCAAUGGUUAUUACCAUGCUAACACUAAAACUAUUUUUUUGUUUUUGAUAGGUGUUGAAAUAAUGCCAAAGUUAGGACUUUAAUUUAGGAAUAAAAAAGGAGAGAUCAUUUAGGAUAUUUCCUUAUGAUUUAGUUUCCUAAUUUUAGGAGAGAAUUAAGCUAGAUUGAUUUUUUCUUAUUCAGUCAUUUGUGUAUAUAUAUGUGUAUGGUGUGUACCGAUUAAUCAUCAAUAAAGGAGUUCAGAAAUUCUUCAUGGUAUCAGAGCCAGUUUUCUGAAACCCUAAUCCCUUCUGGCCACCUCUUAUUCAGGCCAUCACUCAUUCCGGCCAAAUCUCUCUAGCCAUAUCUCAAUCCGAUCAUCUCUCUCUCUCUCAUUCCGGUCAUCAGUCCCUGUUCUCAGAGCCAAGGGAGAAAACGCUUUCUGGUCAGUCGAAUCGUCGUCAGAAAACACUCACCGCCGGCAACUUUUCCGGCGAACUUUCCGGCGACUGUUUUUUUUUUCUACACCGCAAGGAGCGCCUGGAGGAGAUCUCCAAUUUGUCCCAAAGCACCGGAACCAGAAACCCAUCCACGCGCCACCCACGCGCGUUUUUCCGCCCGGCGACUGCAUCUCACGCGCCGGCGCGUGAGGGCGCGUGAGCCACUUUCCGACGACGCGCUUCCUCCUCCAGGCUCGCCUGACGCCGACCAGCCACCCUUCUUACCUGUUUGUGCAAUCCGAGCCCUGCACGUGCCUCUUUUGGGGUUCUUUUGCUUCCGCGGGCCCUCUGAUCAGAUUUUCCGGCGUCCUCCGGCUAUUUUUUCACAACUCCAGUCCCUGCACGUGCCUUGGGAAGUGUUCUUCUACCUUUCCGGUCCAUGACAAAAUACGGAAUGGCAUCAUCACAAGUAUCCAGCGUCACGUCACCAGAAUCAGGGGGCAGAUCUGAAAUUCCAAACCUUGGUGGCAAUGAUUCCUCUCCUAUUCUCAUCACAGGACACAAAUUAAAUGGCCAUAACUAUUUACAGUGGUCACAAUCUGUGUUGCUGUUCAUUUGCGGUAAAGGAAAGGAUGAGUACCUCACUGGAGAAGCAGUCAUGCCAGAAACUACAGAACCGGGUUUCAGGAAGUGGAAGAUUGAAAACAGCAUGAUCAUGUCAUGGCUUAUCAAUUCCAUGAACAAUGACAUAGGCGAAAAUUUCUUGCUGUUUGGGACUGCAAAGGACAUAUGGGAUGCAGCCAAAGAAACUUACUCAAGUUCUGAAAAUACUUCAGAACUGUUUCAGGUUGAAUCAACUCUACAUGACUUCCGCCAAGGAGAGCAGUCAGUUACUCAGUAUUACAACACACUCACAAGGUAUUGGCAGCAACUUGACUUAUUUGAGACUCACUCAUGGAAAUGUUCGGAUGAUGCAGCAACAUACAGGCAAAUUGUGGAACAAAAGAGACUGUUCAAGUUUUUCCUAGGACUAAACAGGGAAUUGGAUGAUGUUAGAGGCCGAACCAUGGGCAUUAAACCCCUGCCAAGUCUCAGGGAGGCUUUUUCAGAGGUUAGGCGUGAAGAAAGUAGAAAGAAAGUGAUGAUGGGAUCAAAAGAGCAACCUGCCCCGACAUUGGAUGCCUCUGCCCUUGCUGCUCGGUCAUUUAAUAGUAGUGGUGGAGAUCGUCAGAAACGGGAUAGGCCUUGGUGUGAUUAUUGUAAGAAACCAGGCCAUUAUAAGGAGACUUGCUGGAAGCUUCAUGGCAAACCGGCUGAUUGGAAACCAAAGCCACGGUUUGACAGAGAUGGCAGAGCACACGUGGCUGCCAACUCUGAGAGCACAUUUGUUCCCGAGCCGAGUCCAUUCAACAAAGAGCAGAUGGAGAUGCUACAGAAAUUAUUAAGCCAAGUUGGCAGUGGCAGUACUACCGGUGUAGCCUUCACUGCUAAUCGAGGAGGAAUGAGGCCGUGGAUAGUAGACACAGGUGCUUCUGAUCACAUGACAGGAGAUGCUGCCAUUCUUCAAAAUUACAAGCCAAGUAAUGGUCAUUCAUCCGUCCAUAUUGCUGAUGGUUCAAAGUAAAAAAUUGCCGGGACAGGUUCUAUAAAACUUACUAAAGACUUAUAUCUUGACUCUGUCCUCCAUGUUCCAAACUUGGAUUGUAAUCUUUUGUCCAUUAGCAAAUUGGCUCGUGAUCUCCAAUGUGUUACUAAAUUCUAUCCAAACUUGUGUGUUUUUCAGGACUUGAAAUCGGGGAAGAUGAUUGGCAGUGCUGAACUGUGUUCCGGGCUCUACCUCCUUUCAUGUGGCCAAUUCUCAAACCAAGUCUCUCAAGCAAGUUGCGUACAGUCUCAGAGUAUGUCAGAGUCUUUCAAUUCUGUGUCAAAUUCUAAGGUCAAUAAAGAUAGUGAGAUUAUAAUGUUACACUAUCGCCUUGGUCAUCCUAGCUUUGUUUACCUUGCAAAAUUGUUUCCCAAAUUAUUUAUCAAUAAAAAUCCAGCAUCUUAUCACUGUGAAAUUUGUCAGUUUGCAAAGCAUACUCGAACAGUAUAUCCUCAAAUCCCAUACAAACCUUCGACUGUUUUCUCUCUAGUACAUAGUGAUGUGUGGGGUCCCUCCCGGAUAAAAAAUAUUUCUGGCACUCGAUGGUUUGUGACAUUCGUUGAUGAUCAUACUCGGGUAACAUGGGUUUUCCUUAUGAAAGAAAAGUCAGAGGUCGGACACAUUUUUCAAACCUUCAAUCUUAUGGUUCAAAAUCAAUUCAAUUCCAAAAUACAAGUCCUCAAGUCAGAUAAUGCAAAGGAAUACUUUACUAGUAGUCUCAGUACUUAUCUUCAAAAUCAUGGCAUUAUCCACAUAAGUUUUUGCGUUGACACCCCACAACAAAAUGGGGUGGCUGAACGCAAGAAUAGACAUCUCUUGGAGGUUGCCCGGUGCCUUAUGUUUUCCUCUAAUGUUCCAAACUAUUUCUGGGGGGAAGCUAUUCUCACAGCUACCUAUUUGAUUAACCGUAUGCCAUCCAGAGUGCUUACCUUUCAAUCCCCACGUCAACUUUUCUUAAAACAGUUUCCUCACACCCAUGCCGCCUCUUCUGAUUUACCACUCAAAGUAUUUGGUUGCACGACAUUCGUUCAUGUGUAUCCUCAAAAUCGUAGCAAAUUUGCUCAUCGAGCAAAUAAGUGCAUUUUUCUAGGGUAUUCUCCAACCCAAAAAGGGUACAAAUGCUAUUCUCCAACCAACAAAAGAUUUUACACCACCAUGGACGUCUCUUUCUUUGAACAUGUCUUCUUCUAUCCCAAAUCUCAUGUUCAGGGGGAGAGCAUGAAUGAACAUCAAGUUUGGGAGUCUUUUCUUGAGGGUGUACCUUCUUUUCAUUCAGAGUCACCAAAUCCUUCCCAAUUCGUGCCCACUGAGUUGUCCACACCCAUGCCGCCAUCAGUUCAGCCAGCCCAGCACACAAAUGUUCCUUCUCCCGUGACCAUCCAGUCUCCCAUGCCUAUUCAACCUAUAGCCCCACAACUUGCUAAUGAGAACUUACAAGUUUACAUCAGGAGGAGGAAAAGACAGGAAUUAGAGCACGGAUCACAGUCAACAUGUGGCCAAUAUAUUGACUCCAAUUCAAGUCUUCCUGAAGAGAACAUAGGUGAGGAUAGGGCUGGAGAGGUGUUAAUUCCCAGCAUUGAUGAUUCUACUUUGCCAAUUGCAUUGAGGAAGGGUGUUAGGAGAUGUACAGAUCAUCCAAUUGGGAAUUAUGUUACGUAUGAAGGGUUAUCACCAUCUUACAGAGCAUUUGCCACUUCUCUUGAUGAUACUCAGGUUCCCAACACAAUACAAGAGGCAUUAAAAAUUUCAGAAUGGAAGAAGGCAGUACAAGAUGAGAUUGAUGCACUUGAGAAGAAUGGGACGUGGACUAUCACAGAUUUGCCGGUUGGGAAGAGGCCUGUGGGGUGCAAGUGGAUUUUCACCAUAAAAUACAAAGCAGAUGGAUCAGUCGAAAGAUUCAAGGCUCGUUUGGUAGCUAGAGGGUUUACACAAUCCUAUGGGAUAGACUAUCAGGAGACUUUUGCUCCUGUUGCAAAACUGAACACUAUCAGGAUCCUUCUCUCAUUGGCUGUCAAUCAAGAUUGGUGCUUGCAACAACUGGACAUAAAAAAUGCGUUUCUAAAUGGGGACCUAGAAGAGGAAGUCUACAUGGAAAUACCACCUGGUUUCGAAGAAAGUAUGGCAAAGAAUCAGGUUUGCAAACUCCAAAAAUCCUUGUACGGCCUUAAACAAUCUCCUCGAGCCUGGUUUGAUAGAUUCACAAAAGCAGUCCUGAAGUUGGGCUACAAACAAGGUCAGGCUGAUCAUACUCUAUUUGUCAAGAAGUGUCAUGCCGGGAAAUUGGCCAUAUUGAUAGUCUAUGUCGAUGAUAUUAUUCUAUCUGGGAAUGAUAUGGGGGAGUUACAGAAUUUGAAGAAGUAUUUGUCAGAAGAGUUUGAAGUUAAAGACCUUGGAAAUUUGAAAUAUUUCCUUGGUAUGGAAGUGGCGAGAUCAAGGAAGGGAAUCGUAGUCUCUCAAAGAAAAUACAUACUCGAUCUUCUUAAGGAGACCGGUAUGCUUGGAUGCAAACCAAUUGAUACUCCUAUGGAUAGUCAGAAGAAACUUGGUAUCGAGAAAGAAAGUACACCGGUAGACAGGGGGAGAUAUCAGCGGCUUGUCGGGCGCUUGAUUUAUCUCUCACACACUCGGCCAGAUAUUGGCUUUGCAGUGAGUGCUGUAAGUCAAUUCAUGCACAGCCCCACUGAGGAACACAUGGAAGCAGUCUACAGAAUUCUUAGAUAUUUAAAAAUGACACCAGGGAAAGGCCUAUUCUUCAGAAAGACAGAGAACCGUGACACUGAAGUAUACUCAGAUGCGGAUUGGGCAGGAAACAUCACUGACAGGCGGUCCACUUCCGGAUAUUGUUCUUUUGUCUGGGGAAAUCUUGUUACCUGGAGGAGUAAGAAGCAAUCAGUUGUAGCCAGAAGUAGUGCAGAAGCUGAGUACAGAGCUCUUGCACAGGGAAUCUGUGAAGGGAUUUGGAUAAAAAGGGUUCUUAGUGAACUGGGACAAACGAGUUCAUCUCCAAUUCUGAUGAUGUGUGAUAAUCAGGCAGCUAUAAGCAUAGCAAAGAACCCCGUGCAUCAUGACAGGACCAAGCAUGUUGAGAUUGACAGACACUUUAUCACAGAGAAGGUGACUAGUGAGACGGUCAAAUUGAACUAUGUUCCUACCAAGCACCAAACCGCAGACAUCCUCACCAAAGCUUUACCUAGGCCUAACUUCGAAGACUUAACUUGCAAGCUGGGAUUAUAUGAUAUAUAUUCUCCAGCUUGAGGGGGAGUGUUGAAAUAAUGCCAAAGUUAGGACUUUAAUUUAGGAAUAAAAAAGGAGAGAUCAUUUAGGAUAUUUCCUUAUGAUUUAGUUUCCUAAUUUUAGGAGAGAAUUAAGCUAGAUUGGUUUUUUCUUAUUCAGUCAUUUGUGUAUAUAUAUGUGUAUGGUGUGUACCGAUUAAUCAUCAAUAAAGGAGUUCAGAAAUUCUUCAUGAUAGGUAAAUAAGAGCUUGUAUUAGAAGGGCCCAAGAAACUAGGCAAAGAAGACAAAAAACUUUUCCCCUAACUAGACAUAUGGCCACUCUAUAAAAUCAAUCAUAGACAAAGUAUGAUCCUCCAUAAACACUCUAACCCAAUUUACAAACGUAUACAAAAAGAAAUGUUUUAAAGGUUGGUCGGACUGUUCGAUAUCAUUAAAUGCUCUUUCGUUUCUUUCCUUCCAUAAAGUCUACAUUAAGCAUAAAGGGGCAACCCUCCAAGACUUCUCCCUUCUCUUACCCACAAAGGCACCAUGCCAACCAAGCAAAUCCCUUUUAAUCGAAGAAUGCAAAACCCACUGCACACCAAAAAGGGAGAAAAUCAAACUCCAAAGCAUCGUAGCCUUUCUGCAAAACAAGAUUAAAUGGUCACUGGUUUCCUCUUUCUCUUUACACAAGCAUAUUCAAACUAAUAACUAAUAGUUAUUGGAUUUAAAGCUUGUUUGUUAACGUUCUUCAUGGUUGUGCUUCUAUUUUUAAUCAAUUCUCUUGGCCAUCACCGUUUCCCCCUUAUUAAGAUUGGGUAUUUAAGUUUCAACGAAACAGCCUACUAAAUCCUCAAGAUAGAUCCUAUUUAUAAGGCAUGGGAGUUUUGGUCAAUGUCUGCUUCCAAAAUUCUUAUCCAUAUUUCUAUGAAUUCUUAUGCCAGAAAGUCUACUUCUUGCAGAAUUUUGAUGAUGUCUUGGUUCCUCCUGAUCACAUCAGUAGGAGUUACAAUGAUACAUACUACAUUGACUCUCAAACUGUCUUGAGGUGCCACACUAGGGCUCAUCAAGCAGAGCUGUUGAGGAGGGGACACACUCAUUUCCUUGUGACUGGAGAUGUUUAUCAUAGAGAUUUCAUUGAUUCAACUCACUACCUGUUUUUCAUCAGGUUUCUUAUUUCUGAUUUUAUCAAUGAUUGUUUUCUAUUAACAAGUUUCUUAUGUUUUCUUCAGUUCAAUAAUUUUGCUUCCUGAUCAUGCAGAUGGAAGGUGUUCGUGUCUUCUUUCCAGGUGAUUGGGAGACAUCUGGAAUGGAUGGCACAUCUUAUGUGGUUGAGGAUUUAAAGAAAUGUCUUGACGGUUUGGCGCAGCACUUGUUUGGUAAACUUAGAUCAGGAGAUUGUCUUAAUCAGAUACAAACUUAAUACUAUCAGUUGAUGCUGCAGUGAGAAAUAUGGGUUAAGGAAUUAUUUACCAGGUCUCAUAAUUCAAAAUCUGGGAAAUACAUCAAGUAAAAGGGGAGGAAAAUAAUGAAAUAAUAAAAUAAUAAAUUUAAGUGGGGGAAAGCAAUUCAUGUUAUGCAAAAGCAGUACAGGUUGGUCAUUUAGAAGUCAAAUCAAGAUAGUCCAGAAUAAUAUAGGGAAUUAUUUGUGAUUCUCAAGGUACUUGUUAAGAAUCAUUGACAAAUUACCUAAAGAAACAUUUAAGAGUGCUAUUAUUCUUGAAAUUUCUGAAAUCUAUCAGAAAGGUAGUUUUCAUCUUGGGGUUUACCAUAUACUGUAUAGAAUCUGCGUGGGCUAAAUCUGUUGAAAUUUGCAGGUAAUGUAGAAAUGCACUGGAUUGAUACAUAUUUCCCUUUCACCAACCCAUCAUUUGAACUUGAGAUAUAUUGUCAGGUAUGCUUUUGAUCUAGGUGGUGGUUACAUUUUAGCACUAUAUACUUUGAAUUUCUUUAAAACUUUGUUUUUGAACUAAUUUUCACAGAAACAGGCUCCAUUUCAUUUUUCUGUUUUCACCUUUUGCAAGAAAGGGUAAAAAUCAUUUCAAAAAUGUGAACUUCAGUUUAUUCCAUUGCUGGCAUGUGUGGCUUUCAUCUGUUAUUGAAGACACUAAGAUUCAUAGACUGAUAAUAUUCCAAUGCUUAUAAUAACAGUAAUGUUGGUGAUAAAAUAAUAUAAAAGUAGAAACAAAAUUAGUUGUCUCCCUUUUUUUUCGUUUAGUUUCUUUGUUCUUCUUACCCCUCUGAUGUGGGGAGGGGGUGUGGGGCUCUUUGUUGUCGCCAAAUGUGAAAAAGAAGAGGCAUUAUGUCCUUUUAUUUUGGAUUUACAGGACCUAUUAUGAAGGCAUUUAUGACUUCAAGACUUUUUUGUAUUUUAUUUUAUGGAAGCAUUUUUUUAGCGUCACUAGUGAAGGAGAAAUUCAUAAACAUAUAUACACACAUGCUAGUGGGCAUACACAAACACUGAUGUUCCACACAGUAAUUAAAAAAUUCUUGCUUUGAGGAGUAUCUUUUUCCUGAACUCAUGUCCAUGUCAAAUGGCAACAUGCCAAUGACUAUUUGCCAGCAGAUGGAAUGCUGGCAACACUUUUAUGGAUUGAAUGUUUUCCUUUCCCCUUUCUUUGUAGUGAAUGAUGUGUACUCUUUAGUUGCUCUUACAUAUUUGAUGCAUUGUGCUUCAUGCCCUAAUUGAUGCAGAACAGAAAAGUACCAGAAAAAAUGAUGGGAGUCUAGGAAUUACUUCCAAAAACCUUAGGCUUCGCAUAUAGGUUUAGUUUGCAUCACACAAAAAAGAAACAUUGCAAGCUGGAAGGUUUUGUGUUUUCAUUCAUUGAUCCUUUUAGAAGAUAGAGUGAUCAGCUUUGUAAACUACAACCCUAAGACCCCUAAUACUCUUUGGAACCAAUCACAGUAAUAAUAAAGCUGAGAAAUCAGAAACUUGAACUGAUAAAUAAAAAUUAAAAGGCACUUGCAAAUAUAAAGCAUUAAUGACUUUGGAAAUAAGAACACUCCAAUACCCCCCAUGCCCUUCGGAAAACUCAACCUUGACAAGUUAAAGUCAUGAAAUUUCUCAUAACGAUCACAAUUCAACUGCUGAAAUUCAUUGCUUGUGAUCCACAUACAAUCUCAAAGUGGCCUUUCUCUCCAUUCCACAAGAUGCUUUUGAUAACCUCCUCUUCUGGUUGAAACAAUUUAGUGACCAACAACUUUUCAAUCUUCUCUUUCAAUCAAGGGGCUGGUAGAAGAUGACCAUUUGGACCAUUAAUUGAUGUAGCAGCUUUAGGAUUAGGAAAAAGGGUGUGGUCUUCAAUAUUAGAGAUCUUAUUAAUGCCCAUAUUUUCUGGCAAGUCAAGUACAUAAGCGUUGGGACUUGUUUUCCUGAGAAUUUUAUAGGGACCAACAUUCUUUGAGUGGAGUUCUUAUAGGCACCUCUAGGAUAUUGUUCAGGCCUUAUUCACACAAUAACCAUAUCACCUUCAAUAAGUUCAGCAAAUUUUCUUUUCACAUCAUCGUAUGACUUAUUUAUUUAUUUGAUAGGCAAGCGGGAAAAACAUGUAAUCAUAUGACUUAUAAUUUCAUUGAUGAAAACAAGUUUCAUUGAACAUGAUAAUGUAUGCCAUCUAUAUGCUCACUAAAAGCAUCAGAUUCAAUGCUAGGUCAUGCAUCCAUUGGUAAAGGAACCAAAUCCAUAGGCUUUCUAGGAAGUGAUUCAGUCACAAUCUCAAAUGGACUGUGACCAAUAGACCUGUUCAGGGAGCUAUUAUUUGCAAAUUCGGCCAUUGAUCUGAUCUCCAGCUAGGCAGUGAAGUAAAUGAUCCAAGCUUCAAUUAACGACUUCUAUUUAGCCAUCUGUUUGAGGGUGAAAAGCAAAAGAAAACUUUAGUUUGGCAUUCAGUAUUUUCCAUAAAGUUCACCAGAAGAAACUCAUGGACCUACCAUCCAGUUUAGGAAAAUCAUGAAGGCGAACAAUUUCCUUGAAGAAGAGGUUUUUUUUUUUUUUUGAUAGGUAUUCCUUGAAGAAGAGUUUAACAAUUAGGCAACAUCUUUAGUCCUUAAGCAUGGGAUAAAUUGUACCAUCUUGGAGUAAUGAUUUACCACUACACGUAUGCAAUCAUGUCUCUGACAGUUUUCGGCAAACCAGGGACAAAAUCCAUGCAUAGGUCUAGCCAUGGCUCAUGUGGCACAGAAGUGGCAUGUAUGGAUCUGUAUUCUUCCUUUUCCUCUUUGAUAAUUUGCAGGUUCGAUGUCUGGAGACAUUCUUAGCCACAUCUUUUUCAGACUUGGUCAAUAAAAAUGAUUUUCCACCAUUGUAAUGGUUUUAUCUCUUCCAAAAUGACCAGUUGUUUCUCCAGCAUGAAGUUCCAAUAUUACUUGCUCAUGAAAUGAUGUUUUGGGUAAGCAAAGCCGAGUCCCUUUGAAGCAAUAUCAAUCAUGUAAAAAAUCACCAUAUUCUCCCGAAUUUCUAGGCACUAAAGCAACACAUAUAGUGCUAAAAUCUUUGCAAGAAGGAUAAGGGCUCUUAAACGAGUCAAAUCCAACAACUUGUACAGCAAUAGAAGAAAGAGUGUAUGCCAAUUUGCUAAGAGCCACUGCAAAGAAUUCUUUGUCAUAGAUACAAUAUUUCUGCUUUGCUUCAUUAAGAUUUUUGCUGAGAAAUGCAGUAGGGACACCUCUAACUCUUAUAUUUGAUGCAUUGCAUGCCGCUUCUAACACCUCCCGGAAAAUUGGAAGCUGCAAAACCAGUGCUUCAAUUAACGUUUUUGCCUUGGUCCAAUUCAACUGAUUUUUCUUCAUAGAAUAAGUUAUAGGGGCUGUAACAUUGCUGAAACUUAUGAUGAAAUGUCCAUGGAACAUUUCUAGCCCAUAGUAACUUUGUACUUAUUGUGAUGUGUUGGGAAUUAGGAUGGCUUUUACUUCAUUCAUACUUCCAAUCCUUUUGCCAAAACAAGAAGCCUAAGAAUACUACUGCUGAGAUCAUGAAAGAGCAUUUCUUCAAAUUUAUGUAGAGCUUUUCUUGGGGAACAACUGUCAUAACUUGCGAUAGAUGAGAGAUGUGAUCUCCUUUGGUCUUGCUGUAAUUAAGAUGUCAUCAAAGUAAACAACCAGGAACUUUUCAAUAAAUGGCUGAAGUACUUGAUUUAUGAAGCACAUGAAUGUGCUAGGGGCAUUUGAAAGGCCAAAAGGCAUGACUAGCCACUCAUAGAGGCCAUCUUUUGUUUUAAAGUCCGUCUUCCAUUCCUUUUCCAGUGUGCUGCUUAUUUGAUGAUAUCCACUCUUUAAAUCCAUCUUUGAAAAUAUGCAAGAGCCAGCCAUCAUGUCAUAUCUAACAUGUGAUUGAAUCAAGGGAUAGGAAACUGAUACUUGAUGGCUAUCUUGUUAGUAGUGUGACUGCCAACUACUAUCUUUUUUUGGUGUUAGCAAGGCAGGGACAGCACGAGGGCUUAAACUUUCAUGAAUAGUUCCCUUGGGCAGCAGCUACUCCAAUUGUCCUUUUAGUGCUUCAUGCUCACUUGGAUUCAUAUGAUAGGCUGGAAGAUUAGGCAGUUGAGGCCUUGCCAUAAAAUCUAUAAGCAUGCUGGAUGUUGCACAGAGAGGAAAGUUUUUGAGCAACAUCUAUGGUAGGUCUUUUCGAGCAACAUCUAUAGUCAUCAGGAUCAUAGGCUCUAUAAUCAAAUGAAUUUCGGUUUCUUCAUCUUUUUGUUGUUCUUGUUGUUCUUGUUGUUCUUCAUGCUCCAUUCCGAUGUACAAAUUGUUCUUUGGACAAUUUAGGUUAUUUGGCCGGGUUGUUGACACUUAAAACACCUAUUAACCUUACCCUUAGGGUUAGCGGCAUUAGAAGAAUACAACUUAGACCCUGUAGGUUGGACAAAUGGCUCGGAUUGGCCUAUUCUUGCACUGCAACCUACAUCAGUGAACCUCCUCUGCACUGGUUCUAUGGAUGAAACUCACAUCCCAGGUACGCCUCCAUAUCUAAUGCAAAUUGAAAAGCUUUUUCUAGGCUGUAUAAUGGAUGAUGCAUCAACUCUCUUCUCAUUUUAGGUCUCGAUCCAGCUUUGAAUCAUGCAAGAGUUUGCCCUUGGGUCUUCUACUAUUUGACUCCAAGUCUUUAGCUCAUGUAAUCUUUGCAUGUACUUUGGUCUCUGCAACAGACAUGUUGUUUUGAUUCAUAGUAAUGAGGUGAUUACAUAACUUAUUACAAUAAUUGGUCCUGCAUAUAUUUUUCACAUAGCUUAUCCUUCAUCUCCUGCCAUGUGCUGACAGGUGGUAGCCUCAUCUUCCCAUCUUCCUAGUAUCUCUUUCAACAUCUAUCCACUAAUCUUUUGCUAGGCCUACUAGUUUCAUUUUAGUAAACCACCCUCUCUGUUCAUCAUUCAUACAUACCAAUCAAAACAGUCCUCAAUUGUAGCUAGCCAAUCAACAAAUUGAGUAGCAUCGCCCUUCCUUCAAGUUAGGAACUUCUCCUUUUACUUUCCUUGUGAUAUCUUCAGCAGUUUCACAAGGUUUACACCUUGUUUCAGGUAGUCCUCUAGCCCAUUCAGAUAUAGGAUAUUGUGGUGCAUGUCCGAUGUUCCUCCAAGUUUUUGUUGUUAUUAAUUUGAGAUAAUUCUCCUUGCACAACACGUGCUAAAUCAUUAGUGGGCUGAGAUAUUUGUGUCUCAAUGUUGCUUAGUUGAAUAUGCAGGCUAUCAAGCUGUUCCAUCACCAAAAUAGUAUCUCAUCAUGUUGAUUAUUAGAUAAAUCUAUUUUGAAACUCCUCCUAGGUCUUGUAAUCAUGAUCUCAGCUUGCUCUGAUGCCAAAAUUGAUGCCAAACAGAAAGGUAAUAGAAAACAUGUUGGGACUCUAGGAAUCACUUCCAAAUCUUAGGCUUCACACUUAAGUUCAGUUUGCAUCACACAAACAAGUUGAACUGUCACAGUACGAUUGGUUCAUAAUAAGGUGUCAUCUGAUUGGUUCUCGUGGAGGCAACCUGUGAUUGUUCAAACUGGAGGCUGCACCUGAUUGAUUACAUUGAAAGUUGGAAGGUUUUGUAUGAGAUAAAUGAACCAACUUUAUCCACUAUAACUCUAGACCUUAGACUCUUUUGGAGCUAAUGGCAAUACUAAUGAAGUUGGAAAAUCAACAAUGUGAACUGAUAAAAAAAAUUGAAAGACUCUUGAAAAUGUAAAGCAUUAAUGAUUUUGGAAAUAAGAACACUUGUGAUCCUUUGACUAGACUCAUAAACAAAACUUAGACUGAAAUCCACAUUGAAGUAUAUAAAAUCCCAACUGGGCCUAUUAUCAUCCUAAGUAUACCAAAUCAUAAUUUGGGCCUUAAGAGUCCAAUCUCUAUGCAUUUGUUAACCUUUCACAGGUGAUUGCCACUUGUCUUCAUCGCUAACAAACACGAUUAUAGCAUCAGAGAAGAGCCAUGUCCCCAAAUCUGGCAGUAAAAGUUCUUUUUACAAGCUAACCUCAGGGAUCCAAUUACUACAUUAUUGUGUUAACCAUGAGCAUUGGUGCUCCUGUUCUGCUUGCAUGGUUACACUGAACCUGCUAUCCAAAUGUGUUGGUUGACCGAAUGAGAAACUCUAGGAAAAUGAAUGAAUUCAUAGUGACAUAGCAACAUUGAAUGCAACUUGUGUGUUUGUGUGAACAGGAUUGGGCGAGUUAAAGAGAGUUUUUAGAAGGGAUAAUACCUUUUUAAUUGGUCUUAGUGUUCAGUAUGCAGCUGGUUCAGUGAUCAGGAGGCCAGUUUAUAAUACAAUUUUCUUGAGAUUUUUAUUGAAGUGAUCCCUUGAAAAGUCAGGCUACUUUUCCAAGAAGUAAAUAUUUUAUCUUGUAGGUUGUAAAAGAUGCAUUCUCAGAAUAGGUGCCUUGAUUAUGUUUCUUCAGCAGAAGAACCUACAAUUAGGAUCCUGUGUAUAUCCUUUCUUGGAAUUUUCAUAAAUUUACCAGUAUUAACUUCCUAUUUUAGGACUAACUGUUCAGAAAAUCUAUGGAAAAGACUAAAGAGUAAGUACUAAGUAGAACCUCCAAGGGCUGCUAAAAAGCACUUCCCAGGGCCAUGAGCCAAAACUGGGCCAUUUGGAAAGGGGUUGUAACAAGUCACUUGACUAGGGGUUGUUAGAGGCCAUCAUUAGCCAAGAUUGGUUUUAGAUUCAACUUUAGGAAUUUAUUUAUUUUUCCUGAUUUCUCUUUUAUUUUUAGUUACAUAAUCAUAUUUGACUCUUGCUUUCCACUCUAAAUUCACAAUAUGUGAACCUUAUGAUAGAAAUUUUUAACUUCAGAACAUGAGUUGGGAUGUAUCAGAGAAGAAAGUUUCAAAUCCCUGGACUAGCAUUUCUGUAAUGCCUCAAUGAAAUUUUAUUGUAUGAUUAUCUACUUGAAGUAGCAAACCAUUAUCCUUUUAUUGCCAUUGAAUUGUGAAACCAUUAUGCCAUUACAUUGACAUCUCCAAAUGAAUUAUUUUAAUUUGAAUAGUUUUGCAUUAACUUAUUAUUUGACAAUCAUUGCCUAUAGUUUUUUGGCAGAACACUAUGAUCUCACUAAGCAACAUCCAUUGAUAAUUUAUCAGGAGAAAUGGUUAGAAGUUUUAGGUUGUGGGGUGACAGAGCAAGAAAUAUUACAGAAAAGUGGUAAAACAGGUAAUGUUGCUUGGGCUUUUGGGCUUGGAUUGGAACGGCUAGCAAUGGUUCUGUUUGGGAUACCUGAUAUUCGGCUUUUCUGGUCAACUGAUGAGCGGUUGACCUCUCAAGUAAUUCCCCAAUUCAGUAAAUGAUACUGUAUUUUAUUUUAUUCUCCUUUUCUGUCUUUGUGGUUAAGUAAUCAUUACCAAAAUUGAUAUCCUUAGGAAAAUAAAGCAUGCUGAAAAUUGACCUUGUUGACAUUCUUAAUGUCUGAUUUAGGUUCCCUGAAUGUUUAAUUUAAAUGCUUUGUAUGCAGUUCUCAAAGGACCAGCUUGGGGUCAAGUUCAAGCCAUUUUCAAAGGUAUUGCUUAUAUUUUUCUCAGUUUGAUAAUAGUAGUAUCUUCUUCUGAUGUUGUGUUAAUUGAAACUGUUGCAUAAUUUUCAUGCAAAAGGAUCCAAGACAUUUUGGGGGCCGGCAUUUCUAAGUAUAACCAGAAAAAGUCCUUUAUGCAAAUAUGUCUUUUACAUUCUGAAAUCGAAAAAAUUAAUUACACACAACAUAAUAACUAAAUAUUUAUACCUGUUAGAGCCCCUUGUAACCUUCUCUAUUGGCUGCUAGAAACUGACUAUUGUCUUUUUGCAGUAUCCUCCUUGUUACAAGGGCAUGAGUUUUUGGAUUAAUGAGUCGUUCACAGAAAACAAUUUAUGUGAGGUUGUAAGAGGAGUUGCUGGAGAUUUUGUCCAGGAGGUAUGCCUUUUUAUGUUUCUUCUUGUAAAUUGUUCAUUAGCUAUAGAUCUCUUCAUGGUUCACUUGGUAGAAUUUUCCUAACCAUUUGUAUAGUUACACUGAAAGCACCGAACCAAUUUGUGUUUUAAUUAGGGGUGUGCAGGGUUUGGUUUGUUUAGUUUCGAACUUUAAAAUAAAACCAAACCAGUCUAAUUGGUUUUAUGUAUUAGGAACCCAAGCUGGCCUAAUCGGUUUUAUGUAUUAGGAACCAGACUAAUUGAACUGAAAGAGGGAACUGAUCGGUUCAGUUCAGUUUAAUAGCAAUAAUUGAUAUAAGUUAAUUUACUAUAUUUCGGUCAAGAAAUAAAAUAAUUUUUUUUUUUUUAAUCAAUUUGGGUCGAAACCAAAAAGCUCAUAAUAGGACAUUGUUGGUCAAAAAGCUUAUAAUAGUUUAUUACAACAAGUUGCUUUAGAGUUUGCUCAAAUUACAUCAUUGUAACUCAUUUCAAAUCAUAUUAUUGUAACACAGCCGCAUGAAUAACUGUUGUUAUAGUCUAUGCUUAUCAUACUAAGUUUGGUUUGGGAUUCUAUCGAGUGUGAAAGAAGUGCACCAAAUUAAUAAGGUAACCAAUGGUUAUUGUAUAUUAUAGGUGUAUGUAUAUAACUUUUGAUUUGGUUUGGUUUAUUAUUUGUUUUCUAAAUGGCAUAGUUCAGUUUUUUUUAGAAAACCAAAAUUGUUGAAAAAUCUUUAAAAAUUGAUUGGUUCAGGCCAGUGUGGCUCAGUUCUAUCAUUUUUGUCCAUUUAAUCGGUUUUUAACACACCCCUAGUUUUAUUUCACUUUUCAGUUCUUGGACUUUCCAUGAAAAUAAUAUUGUUGUCAUGAAGCUACUGAGGCAGUUAUGGACCAAUUCCAUCCUCUGAAUUUGCUCAUAAAAGAGAUCCUCUCUCUUCUCUUCUUUUCUAUCUACCAUCAGUUGCAAUAAUAGAUCCAGUUUGCACAAAGCCAAGCUUAGAAAAUCUGGUCAUUGACAACCUGAAUAGUCUCUGGGAGCAUCCAGUAUCUUUUCUCCUUUGUGAGGGUGGAUAACUGGUCUGGGUCCCCUGCAUCAUUUUUCAUAGGUUGCAGAGCUGCUGUGUCCGUAUAGGAAAUAACAUGUUCUUCCUUCAUAGCUUUAAGUGCCAUCAGGAAUUGGAUAUGCUAAUAUGAGUGGGAGGACUCCAGAUGGUGGACUUACGAAGACCUCCACUCUGAUUCAUUGAUGCCAAACAUAUAAUUGUGAUAAAGAGAGGCUUCGGAAGUUGAUAUUCUUUUAAAGUGUUUCCAAUAUUGAAGGUUUAUAAAGAGGUUCAAAUUGAGAAAUUACUAUUCUCUAAAUAAUAGGAUCGUAGUCGGUUUUUCGUUCAAAAUUUGUCCUAUAUUCCAAGAUGAUUGUUGACAAUCUGAUCUAUAGUUAAACAGUGGCCAUAAUAAGUCCCUAUUUUCCUAGUGCCUGAAAGUGAAGCUCCAUUCUGAAGUUUUCUAAACUAUAAGAUACAUUUUUGACUUCCAGGUGCAAUUGAUCGACAAUUUCACCAACAACAAAGGAAUGACCAGUCAAUGUUAUCGGAUAGCAUACCGGUCCAUGGAGCGUUCACUUACAGAUGAGGAGAUAAAUGAGUUGCAGGUAUUUCAUGUUUAGGGGAUUUUGUACAAGUGAUUAAUAUUUCGUCUUGAUUACAGGUAAUGACUAAUAACCUGGAAUUUGGCUAUGAUUCUGGGGUGCAGUGGAAUGUUAGGGAGCAAGUGCACAGCAAGUUGAAGGUUGUUCUUAGAUGAGAUUUCUGAUGCUGGGAACCUAAUUUUUCUAUCUCACUCUGAUAAGUCUCCUUGUGAACAUUUUCUAUUAUUAUUCUUUUUGUUCCUACCUUUUACAUUUUGAACUAGGUACAGUUGGGAAAUUAGGCAUUCAAAACCAGCUUUAAUGGGAGAAACACUUUAGGAAAAUAAGGAAAAUGUACUAGAAAGAAUAAUGCAUACGUUGAUCAAUGUGAAAUUUAUUUUUGUAUACAAUGUUUCUCUAAUAAUUUUAACAAUGCCUGACCUUAAAUAUAGUAAUUAAUUGCUCUUUUGCAGUUGUAUUCCCUUUUAUUUUAAUUUUUAAAUUUUUUUUUUUUUUUUAAGAACAUCACAAACAACUAUUUUAUUAUAUUAAAAUAGUAGGUACAAAGCAAGAUGAGAAAUCUUCCCAAUUAGUAUAAAACACCCUUAUGCAAUAUUUAUGAAAAUAGGUGUAUAGUGUCCAAAAAGAUCAAUUUAUCUUAUAGGCCAAACUGGUUUGGACAAUGCUCACUAUAGAUCCAUAAGGUAAAAAAAUCUCUUAUAGAAGAAACCGAAUGUCUUCCUCCAUGCUUUGCUAACACUCCCAGCACAAUUGCUUUAGCAAUGAACAGCAAUGAACCUAAUAAAAUGGCCAUAUCAUUUCUGAUCUAAUAUCAAUGAUUUGAAGUUAUGACCCCUCAAACUUCUAGGGUUCUCUUUUUUUUUUCCUUGGUCAUCCGUGAUAUUAGAAUGGUAGAAGCUACUUCUAAUAGGAGAUUGGAGAGGCCUAAAGCUUUUGCUUGCAAUAAACUCUCUAGAAAGGUUAGGAUCUUUGCCUCAAUGGCUAAACUCUGACUUGCAUAUAUAGAGAAUUCUCUUAUUAUUAUACCAAAGUGGUCAUUGAGUAACUCUCUAAUCCCCAACUCCCCUAGUUACCCAAAGAACCCCAUUAACAAUUAGCAUAUAACUUAUGCAGCACAUGCUACACUGAUGGAGCCUUUAGGAACUAUUUUCAUGUUUGUUAGGCUAAUUCAUCCUCAAUAUUAUGUCAAUGCCAACUUUUAGCUUGAGUUUGAAUUGCCUAUAUUAUGGAAAGAAAAUAAGAUAGGAAGAAACAUGAAAUUCUCUUGUUUGAUUUACUAUAAAAAAAUAUGAAGAAAAAUAAAAUAUAGUAGAAAUGACUUAAAACCGUUAUACGUUCAAAUUCUUUAGUUUUUCUAUGAUAGAAAAAUAAAUUUGAAGAAGCAAGUAACUUUAGUUCAAAUUCAUUUUAUUGGGUAAUCAUUGUUUUUAUUACCCAUCUCAAGUUGUUAAGUCUUUCAAGCCUUAAAACUGAUUAGAGGUGAUUGUGAUAUCCUACAUGGGAUAGGGAAAAAAGUUUAUGACAUUAUACAUGUAUACAUUUCUUUUAAUAAUAUAGACACAUUUAAAGUCACGAGGGAUCAAAAUGAACGAUAUCAAUAUAAAAUGAGAACAAUCUAUUACAAUUAUACUUGCAAUAACCUUAAAAAAUUUGGAUACAUAAAACUACAAUCAUGUUUUUGUUGGGAAAAACGGUGUAGUAAAUACUUUUUUGUUGUUAUAUUAUAAAAACCAUAAAUUUCUAAAUUUCCGUUUCCUUUUCAAUUCUUUAUAUGUUUAAAAUUUUCAUCCAAACCAAGAUCCAAGAAAAACUUAAAACAAAGAAAAAAUGAAAAAUUAAUUUAACAUGUAUAAUUUUUUAAUAAGAAUUUAUAAUUCAUAAUUCAAACGAUAUUGUGAAUUGUAGACACUGGAUUAUACUUAGAGAAUCAUUCAAAGAAUGACGGUCAUGUGAAUGACAUAGGAUACCCAUUGCGUGCAUGUGACAUCUACUUCAUUUAGAGUCAGUUUGACAAUUAUUCUAAAAAACGUUUUUAGUGUAAAACAUGUUUUUGAAAAAAAAAAUUAGAUGCUUGACAAAAUUUAUGAAACACUUUUAAGAAUCUAAAAAAUCACGUAUAGUGUUUUAUGAAGAAAAACUUAAUAAAAAGUGAUUAUCCUCAAAAUACUUUCAAAGAAUACUUUCAUUAAAAAUACUUUAAAUAAAAACACUACAAAACAUACCUUUGAUUCAUUAUAAAGUAAUUUUCAUAUUUUAUAUAAUUAGACCCAUGCGAUUUGUCCACUAUUCAUGAUGAAUUUCCCUAUUUUAUAUAAGAACCCAUGAGAUUUGUCCACUGUUCUCUUUUCCAACUCUUCCAACUUCUUAUCUAAUAUUUAAAAUUGAUAAAUAUGAAUCCCUUUACCCUAGAGAAUAGUUCUAAGUGAACAGCUUAGCUUAUUUCAGUUUUCAUCUAAAGCAUAAUAGGUAUUCAUUUUACAUUCUAAUUCAUCUCCAUUCUCAUCCUAUUCUUCUUAGUCGGACAUGCCAAACACAUCCUUAAGCCAAGGAUGAACUUAUCGGUUAUGACUAAUAUAUCGAUAAUUUAAUUUUAUGGAUGUAUUGAGAUACAUGGAGAAAUAUCGGUGGAUAUUUUGAUAUAAAAUAUAAGUAAGAUAAAUAGAUUAAAAUUCAUGAAAAUGUUAAAAGAAACUUUAAAAAUGAUAUAAUAAAUAACAAUAAAGAUUUUAAAGUUGGUAUACUAACGAAAAUGAUAUAUGUAUGAUAUAGUUUAUCAAAUUUGAUAAUAAUAUAUGUGUGUUAAUAAAAAAUUAUUAUUUUGAUAUGUCAAAUAUUAUUCGAGAAUAAUGUUGCAACUUUUGUUUAUAAUACAAGUAAUUUUAAAAUAUAAUUAAUAUUAAAAUUGUGAUCUAUUUAAUUCAAUUAUAUAUAUAUAUAUAAAAUUUCUUUAACAUUUAGUAAAUAUAUUAAUGAUAUAAAAAAAGCUCUGUGAAGAAAAUUGUCAUCAUAAUUUUUAUGCCUUUUGUAUUCAAUUAAAUGAAAACUUUCAUUUAAUUAUCAAAUGAUUAUAAUUAAUUAAUUUAUUAAAAUAUUCUUAUAAUAUUUAUUUUUAUAAUGGCUUUUAAUAUAUAUAUAUAUAUAAUUGGUCGUCUUUUGUCUAGAAUUCGAAUUUACCGUGUUGACCAUGUUUGAUCAAGAAUAUUACUCGAGUUUUGACCACAUUUGAUGAUUGAGAAUGUCAUCGAUGUUUCGUGAUUUUUUAAUCCUUACCUAAAACAUGACAUUUUAUUUCGUUUUUAUUCUCAUCCUAUUCUAAUUUCUAAUCUGACAUACCAAACACAUCUUACGGUCUUCAAAGGUUUUGUCCAAGGUCUAACUCCCAAAGAAUUGGUGUGGUGAUCAUUAUUUUUGUUAGCCAUCAAAAGUCGUUGGAUCUUUCAAGUCCAAGGGAAAAAAAAAUUAAGCAUUUUUUAAAUAAACAUACCAAUUUAAACAUUUUUUUAAUAUAUAUAUUUUGGUAGCUUUCGUAUCAUGAUGUUGACAUCGUUUAAAAUUGGGAAACUUGUGUUUUGGUCCUCUGAUAUAAAAAAUAUAUGCUUUUGGAAACUAAAAUAUAUGAAAUAUGAAAUCCAACUAUUAAUGGGAAAAAUGAUAUCGGAAACGUGCACUAUGUCCUGUUUACUUUUCCUCUUCCCAUAUUGCCCCUAAAUUUCCCCAUGUCAUUAGCAAGUCCUCUCCAUGUUAGCAGAAUAAUCUGAAACUUGAACUAAUUCUCAAAGUUGGAACAUAAAAAAACCCAACCCUAGAACCAAAAGUAUGGAAACUCGUCUACGUUACUGAACAAGGAAGUGUCAAAAUGUGCCUUUUAUUGUGCCUUUGCCUGAGACGACUUAGUAGGCGCUUGCCUUAUGCCCUAAAAAUGAAUAGAAAAGAAUUAAUGGCUUGGAUUGUGUACCAACAACCAAUCUCCAUAAAAGUCAUUUGCCUUGAGUUGGUAAGGGAACUUGCUGCAAUUCAAUCUAGGGUUAUCAUAGAUCAUCUAUUUUAGCUCUCAAUGUUGUUUCAGGUAACAUAUUUGAAUGAUAUUUUAUGAAUUUCAUUUAAUACAAUAUGUGUUCUAAAUGAUGCUUCUUUUUUUAUAAUUAGAGUUAAUCUCUAUUUACUUUUCUUAGAUUUUACCAACUGUAGUUAGAAUUCCUCCAGUUCAUCUUUUAAAGAAAAAACAACAUUCGGUUGAUUAUGGGUGUUGCAAUUUCUAUUGGAUGUGUGAGCAUCAUACUAAUAUGUGAAGUUUUUUACAUAAAAAGGAAAUCUUUAGAUGUUAAUGAGGAUGAAGGCACUUCUUUUGCUCAAUAUUACUAAAUUUAAGCUUCAGAUGUCAAUGAGAAUGUCAAUGGGCUUUUUUCUACAGAUGUCAUGGUAGCAUCUUUAGUUAGUAUUAUUUGCUGCCCAAUUAUAGAAGACCCAAGAAGCUGGAUGGGCUUGAGAUGCAUGGAGUGGUAGUUGAGUGAUUUAUCUUAAUGUUCUUGAUUCAACUUUUUGCCUGUAAUAUAGCAAUGACAUUUCCCUAAGAAUAAAGUCAUCUCCAAAGAAUCUUUGCACAAAUACACAAUGAUCAUAAGUUGUCUUGUUGUAUCCUUGCUUCUCCAUAAUUGACUCAAACUUCUUGUAUCAUUGCCUAGGUGCCUGUUUCAUGCCAUAAAGACUUUUCUUCAAUCUAUAAAAAUAAUCUUCUUGUCCUUUUACUUUGAAUCCCUUUGAAGGCUCCAUGUAUAUCUCUUUCUCCAAGUCACCAUGGAGGAAAGCAAUUUUCAUAUCCAUUUGUUUAAUCUCUAAGUCAAGACUAGCUGCAAGACCAAACACUACACAAAUGGAUGACAUUUUCACAAUUGGAACAAAGAUUUCUUCAAAGUCAAUGCCUUUCUUCUAGCUAAAUCCCUUGACAACUAGUCUAGCCUUGUAUCUUGGGUAUGAAGUGUGUUCUUCUUGCUUCACCCUGUACACCCAUUUGUUUUCCAAGGCUCAUUUUUCCUUUGUGCAGCUUCAUUAACUCAAAAGUGUGAUUAGCAUGCAAGGACUUCAUCUCAUCUUGUAUAGCCUCAAUCCACUCUCUCUUCUACUUACUCUCUAUAGUUUCUUCAAAGCUCUUAGGUUCUUCCCCAUCAAUGAAUAUGACAUACUCUUUUAGGGAGCAUCUUGUGGAAGACUGACGAUUCCUGGUAGACCGUCUAGAUGAGACUAUAGGAGUAGCUUGUGGUACUUGUGGCUAGUCAAUAACUUCAGAAUUUAUAACCUCUAUAGGUUCUAAAUCAUCACUUGCACCAUGUGGUCAUUUUGUGUCUCAACAUCAAGUUGAUUUGCCAUUGGUGUUAAAGAAAUUAUUUCCAAGUCAAUCAACUUGUCACUACUAUCAAAUUUUGCUUUCUCCACUUCAUCAAGGUCUAUUAUUGUCUAGUCUUCCAUAAAUACAAUGUCUCGACUUCUAAUCAACUUAUUCUCAACUGGAUUAUACAAUCUGAACCCAAAUUCAUUUUGGCCAUAACCCACAAAUACACACUAGCGUGUCUUCACAUCAAGCUUGGACCUUUCAUCUUUAGGAAUGUGCAUAAAGGCCUUACAUCCAAAGACUUGCAAAUGAUCAUAGGAAACAUCUUUGCCUAUCCAAACUCUAUCUAGCACAUCAAACAACAAAAGAAUAGAAGGUGAGAAAUUCAACACAUGAACCACUAUAUUUAAAGCCUCACCCUAGAAAGAUUUAGGCAACCUUGCUUGUGAAAGCAAACAUAUCACUCUCUCAACCAAUGUUCUAUACAUCCUUUUAGCCAAACCAUUCAAUUGCGGUAUCUGUUAGCCUAAGGGCUCCUAAUCGGGUUUUGAUGAUAACAAACCAUGGUUAAGUGACUAAUUGGUUUAAUGAUUAAGAAUCUUAGGCAUAAACUCGAAAAUUCAUCAAAUGACCAAAUGGAUACAAGAUCGAGACGCUUGGAAGACUUGUGAUCAUAGGAAACAAAUGUAAGAUGAAUGCAUGAGUGCACUUAGGAUUUUCACACGUUUCAUGCAACUUAGAAAACUCGGUUUAUUCUUUAAAACUUUGAUUUCAUUAAAACCCGAGUUUUUAACUAAUGUACCUUAGGCAAAAUGUUUUAUAAUUGGUUUAAUAAUUCACCUAUUGACCUUGCCUAAGUGUUAGAAAAGAAAGAAAAUAAAAAAAAUAGGUUUUCGAGGCCAAAAAGGCUCAACUGGUCGAGGCUAUGGCCAAUCGGCUCAACCGGUUAAGGAACCGCUCGACUGGUUGUGCUCGUCCGGUUGAGGGAUGCGAAAAACUUUCUCUCUCUCCCAGUGGCCUUCUCUUUCUAGUCGAAGUGAUUCUCUUCCCGAUCGAUGUCCGAUCGAGGAUCGGUCGAGGUUCGGUCGAGGCAACGGUAACCUAUCAAGCAUUAAAUUCUCCAACGGCUAGUGAACCAGUCGACCCCUAGCUCGACCGGACGAGGUUACCUUUUGCUGUUUUUGACUCCUGAGCUUAGAAACCUAUAAAUUGAGAGCUCCACUUCAUUUAUUGAUAAGAGAACACUUGCAUUCAAUAGUCUACCUACUUGUUCUUGAUCAAAAAGUUCUCAUUUCUUUCAUAGUGCAUUAAAUCACCACUUGCAUAUCCUUUAGUGCACUCUUGUGUGUCAUCCUAGCUUUGUCUUAUAUUUAAGCUAUCCUUAAGCUAGGUUGAGGGAUUAUUUCUUGUAAAAAUCUGGGUGUUAAAGCCUUCAAGAGGUUUGAAUCUUGAAGAGAUUGUGUAAGAGCCCAUUGAAGCCGGAAUCCAAGUGUAAGAAGAUUGGAAGCUUGGUUGAAGCUUCAAGUUAGUGGAACCCACACUUAGUUAGGAGAUUGAGGAGAGUGGAUGUAGGCAAGGAAGUGCCGAACCACUAUAAACUCGAGUUUGAAUUCUCUAGCUCUAUCUUUUUAUUUUGCUUAUAUUGUGUUUGAAUUUGUUGUGAUUGAAAAGUUUUUAAAAACCCAAUUCACUCCCCCCCCCCCCUCCCCCCUCUCCCCUCUCCCUUUUGGGUGCUUUUCUUAAUUAAGCAUAGCCUUUGUUUUCUCAAUUGGAAUUAGAGCUAGACCUCUUGUUUUUUAAAGACUUAAUCAUCUAAGAGGAAAUGGCUAUUCCAUCAAGCUCAUCCCAAGCUGAAAAUUUUUCAAAACAUAGAGCUCCAUUCUUUACGGGAACCGACUAUCCCUAUUGGAAAACUAGAAUGACUUGGUAUUUGCAAUCUACAAAUUUAGAUGUAUGGGAUGUCAUUGAAGAUGACCCAACUUUUCCCACUAAAUUAGUUGAUGGAGUUUUGGUUCCAAAACCCGAGUAAGAAUGGAAUGAGCUUGAUAGAAGAAACUUUCAAUUAAAUGUUAAAGCCGUUUUUACUUUGCAAUGUGCUAUGGAGGUUGCUUGAAAUAACUCAUGAAGGAACUAAUCAAGUGAAAGAGUCAAAAAUUAAUUUACUUGUUCAUAAGUAUGAAUUGUUUUUAAUGAAAGAAAAUGAGACUACUAUUGAGAUGAUUACUAGGUUCACUGACAUUGUCAAUGGUCUUGAAACUUUUGGAAAAACCUGCAAGGAAUCCGAGAAGGUGAUGAAGAUAUUGAGGUCUCUCCCAUCAAAGUGGCAUACCAAGGUCACCACAAUUCAAGAAGCAAAAGAUUUGACUAAGCUACCUAUGAAAGAGCUCAUAGGGUCAUUAAUGACAUAUGAGAUCAAUUUGACAAAUAAGCUACAAGAGGGUGAAGAUAAAAAGAAGAAGAUCAUAGCCCUCAAAGCUACAACCAAGGAAGAAGAAGAUGUUGAAGAAGAAAAACCAAGUGAUGAAGAUGAUGAUUUAGCCCUCAUCACAAGAAACCUCAACAAAUACAUGAGAUGUGAAAGGUUUCGAGGAAGGAAGUUCACCUCUAAAAGAGAUCCUCCUAAAAAGGAAUCAUCCCAUGGUGAAAAGGAGAAAUGAGAAGAGAAAAGAGAUUUGAUAUGCUUCAAGUGCAAAAAACCGGGACACAUUAAAUAUGAUUGUCCUCUAUACAAAAGUGAAGCCAAGAGAAGAAUGAAAAAGGCAAUGAUGGCCACUUGGAGUGAAAGUGAAGAAUCCUCCGAAGAAGAAAAGGAGAAGGAAGUGGCAAACAUGUGCUUCAUGGCAAUAGAUGAUCUUGAUGAGGUAAACUCUAAUUUUAUUGAUGAAGAUAUGCAUGAUGUUUUUGAAGAAUUAUAUGAGGAUUUUGAAAAACUUAGUUUGAAAAAUAAUUCUCUUAAAAAGAAGAUUCAAGAACUUGAAGAAGUCAAAGAAAAAAUUUCAAUUAUUGAAAUAUCUAAAACUCAUCUUGAAAAAGAAAAUGAGAUUUUGAGAAGUGAAAAUGAGAUUUUGAAAAAGAAAAAUGAAUGGUUGACCUCAUUUCUUUCAAUUUUCUCUUGUGGACAAAAAUAUUUUGAAAUGAUCUUAGCUAGCCAAAAAUGUGUCUUUGAUAAACAAGGGUUAGGAUUCAAAUCUUCAAAAAAUCAAAAGUAUUUUAAAAACUACUUUGUAAAAGAAUCCACAAGUGCAAGUCCUUCUACCAUUUGCAACUUUUGUGGAAGAGGAUGACACAUUAGUAGUACAUGUCCCCUAAGAAAUGGUUCUUAAAAGAAUUCAAAUGCCAAGCUAAAAAGGUUUGGGUUGAAAAAUCCAAAAUCACUAACCCUCAAGGACCCAAAAAAAUAUGGGUACCUAAAUCAAUUUAAAUUUUGUUUUGUAGGGUUUAAAAAAGGAUAAAUGGUUCUUGGAUAGUGGAUGCUCAAGACACAUGACCGGGGAUGAAUCCAAGUUUGCCUUCCUUACAAAGAGAAAGGGAGGAUACGUUACCUUUGGAGACAAUGCAAAAGGAAGGAUCAUUGGUCAAGGUAACAUUGGUAAUGGCACAUCCUCUCUUAUUGAAAGUGUUUUAUUAGUGGAUGGUUUAAAACAUAAUCUCUUGAGCAUAAGUCAACUUUGUGACAUAGGUUUUAAAGUGAUUUUUGAAGCAUCUCAUUGCAUCAUCAAAGAUAUUCAAAAUGAUAAAACCAUCUUCAUGGGCCAUAGGUGUGACAAUGUUUAUGCUAUAAAUAUUUCAAAAUAUGAUGGCCAUGAUAGAUGCUUUUCAAGCAUGCAUGAUCAAAGUUGGUUGUGACAUAGGAGGUUGGGACAUGCUAACAUGGACUUCAUUUCCCAACUCAACAAAGAUGAACUUGUUAGAGGCCUUCCCAAAAUAAAUUUUCAAAAAUACAAAGCUUGUGAAUCUUGUCAAAUGGGAAAGCAAAUAAAAAACUCUUUUAAAAACAAAAAUUUCAUUUCAACAUCUAGGCCUUUUGAAUUGUUGCAUAUGGAUUUAUUUGGUCCCUCUAGGACACCAAGCCUUGGAGGAAAAUCUUAUGCUUUUGUUAUUGUGGAUGACUUCUCUAGAUACACUUGGGUUUUAUUUUUAAGUCAAAAGAAUGAAGCCUUUUAUGAGUUUUCAAAGUUUUGCAACAAGGUUCAAAAUGAAAAAUGUUUUACAAUUACUUGUAUAAGAAGUGAUCAUAGGAGAGAAUUUGAAAAUAUUGAUUUUGAAGACUAUUGCAAUGAGCAUGGUAUUAACCAUAAUUUUUCGGCUCUUAGAACUCUUCAACAAAAUAGGGUAGUUGAAAGGAAAAAUAGAACUCUUCAAGAGAUGGCUAGAACCAUGCUUAAUGAAAACAAUUUACCAAAAUACUUUUGGGCCGAAGCGGUUAACACUUCUUGUUAUGUUUUAAAUAGAAUUUUAUUAAGGCCUAUUCUUAAGAAAACUCCCUAUGAGCUUUGGAAAAACAAAAAACCCAACAUUAGCUAUUUCAAAGUCUUUAGGUGCAAAUGCUUUAUAUUAAACACCAAAGACAAUCUUGGAAAAUUUGAUGCAAAAUCGGAUGUUGGAAUUUUUCUUGGUUACUCAACUUCAAAUAAAGCCUUUAGAGUUUUUAACAAAAGAACCAUGGUUGUUGAGGGGUCCAUCCAUGUUAUUUUUUUAUGAAUCUAACAAUUCUCUCCAAAAAAAGAGAGAGCUUUGAUGAUGAUUUAGGCUUGGAGACCUCCAUGGGAAAAUUACAAAUUGAAGAUAGAAGGCAACAAGAAGGAAUUGUUGAGGAUCCCAAGAAAGAAGAAUCACCUUUAGCACUACCCCAUCCUCAACAAGUGCAAGGUGAAUCAAGCCAAGACCUUCCUAAAGAUUGGAAGUUUGUCAUUAACCACCCACAAGAUCAAAUUAUAGCUAAUCCAUCUAGUGGGGUAAGAACUAGAUCAUCUCUUAGAAAUAUUUGCAAUAAUCUUGCUUUUAUCUCUCAAAUUGAAUAUAAAAAUAUAAAAGAUGCUCUAGUUGAUGAAAAUUGGAUGAUUGCUAUGCAAGAAGAGUUAAACCAAUUUGAAAGAAGUGAAGUAUGGGAAUUAGUGUCAAGACCUCAAAAUCAAAGUGUUAUUGGAACUAGAUGGGUCUUUAGAAAUAAAAUGGAUGAAAUGGCAUAAUUAUAAGGAAUAAAACAAGAUUGGUAGCCCAAGGUUUUAAUAAAGAAGAAGGGAUAGAUUAUGAAGAAACCUUUGCUCCCGUAGCUAGAUUGGAAGCCAUUAGGAUGCUACUUGCCUUUGCAUGUUUUAAAGACUUUGUUUUAUAUCAAAUGGAUGUGAAAAGUGUUUUCUUAAAUGGCUUUAUAAAUGAAGAGGUAUAUGUUGAACAACCACCCGGCUUUCAAAGUUUUAACUUUCCUAAUCAUGUCUUUAAACUUAAAAAGAUACUUUAUGGUUUGAAACAAGCACCUAGAGCAUGGUAUGAAAGAUUGAGUAAAUUUCUUAUGAAAAAGGAUUUUAAAAUGGAAAAAAUUGAUACAACUCUUUUCAUAAAAACCAAAUAAAAUGACAUGCUCUUAGUGCAAAUAUACGUUGAUGAUAUCAUUUUUGGAGCUACUAAUGUCUCUCUUUGUGAAGAAUUUUCUAAAUGCAUGCAUAGUGAGUUCGAAAUGAGCAUGAUGGGAGAACUUAACUUCUUCCUUAGACUUCAUAUCAAGCAACUAAAGGAAGGAACCUUCAUCAAUCAAGCAAAGUAUAUAAGAGAUCUCCUCAAAAGGUUCAAUAUGGAGGAAGCCAAAACAAUGAAGACUCCAAUGAGUUCAUCCAUCAAGCUUGACAUGGAUGAGAAAGGUAAGUCCCUCAACUCAACUAUGUAUAGAGGCAUGAUAGGUUCUUUGCUAUAUUUGACUGCUAGUAGACCCGACAUCAUGUAUAGUGUAUGCUUAUGUGCUAGAUUUCAAUCUUGUCCUAAAGAAUCCCACUUAAGUGUUGUAAAACGAAUCCUUAGAUACUUGAAACGGACAAUGGACAUAGGUUUGUGGUAUCCUAAGAGUGAUAACUUUGAAUUAAUUGGAUUCUCGGAUACCGACUUUGCCGGUUGUAAAGUUGAAAGGAAAAGCACUAGUGACACUUGUCAUUUCCUAGGACACUCACUUGUUUCAUGGUAUAGUAAGAAAUGAAUUUUGGUAGCUUUAUCAACGGCGGAAGCCGAAUACAUAGCAGCCGGUUUAUGUUGUGCACAAAUUCUUUGGAUGAAACAAACACUUAGUGAUUUCAAUUUGAUUUUUGAGCAUGUUCCUAUUAAAUGUGAUAACACUAGUGCCAUAAACAUUUCAAAAAAUUCAGUGCAACACUCUAGGACUAAGAAUAUAGAGAUAAGACACCAUUUUCUUAGAGACCAUACACAAAAGGGUGACAUUACACUUGAAUUUGUAAGCACAAAAGAUCAACUUACUGAUAUUUUUACAAAACCUCUAAGUGAAAAACAAUUUGUUGAUAUUAGAAGACAACUAGGGGUGAUUUCUUUAUGAUCAAAUGAUUGCUUGAUGAAUUCUUGAUUGAAUAUACCUUAUGAUUACGUGAAUUUCAUAUCAUAUAGAAAUAAUCUUAGGAAAAAGGUCAAAUUUUGACCAAAAAUCAAAAUUCCCUUGGCAUUGGACAUAAAAAAUUGGGGAUUUCAAUUGAAAAGGGUAGGGGGAGGAUCACAAGACAAGAAAAUACCAAAAAAUUGGAGCAUUGACCGUUGACCAUUGACCAAGCGGUUCGUCGAGGUUGGGAAUUUAAAAAGGCCCCCUGCGCUUCAUUUUUCACAUGUUAUCCUCCAUACCUUGAAGACUCUUCACAUCCAUGCUUCUAGAAGUCAAUUUUGGCAAGAUCUUGGACUGUUUGCAGGCUUUGGAGUGGAUUUUGAGACGUUUUGAGGCUAGGGUUUUGAUUUGAAACCCAGAGUUUCAGUUUUUGGGGGUGAUUUCUCUCUAUACCACGAACCUCAGGCUUGGUUCAACUUCUUCUCCGUGCGCCUAGGGCUUUAGGUUGGUGUUUUCUCUCUCUUGUUUGAUUUCCUUCUCCUUUUGGACUUCUCCUUCUCCCUAUUCCAUUCGUUGGAUGGCUCCUAGGCGAGAGACGGGCACCUCUAGGGCUCAAGGCAAGCGCCCUACUGAGCCAUCUCAGCCUGAGCAGACGGAGGCUCACCGAAAGGCGAGGUAUGAUACGACCCUCUUCAGUUCCGUUGAAGAUCUUAAUUAAGCAUAGCCUUUGUUUUCUCAGUAUCUUUGGAGGAGUCUUUUGAUGGCGGAUACCUUGCUAUUUGUGGUACUCAUCAAAUGACCUUGAAUAUUCUCCUCUAUUAUCAGUUCAGAUACAUUUAAGUUUUCUUCUAGUUUAUCUCUCAAUUGAAGCCUGAAAUUACUUGAACACACCCGAUACCUUAUCUUUAUGCUCAAUGUGUAUGCACAAAUCUUCUUUGAAUGAUCAUCAAUAAAAGUCACGAAGUAUAGUGAACCACCAAGGGUUUUUACCUUCAUUGGACCAUAUAAACUAGAAUGGACUAAGUCAAGCAAAUUCUCAUUUCUUGAAGAAGAAGGGCGUGUCUUGAACGCAACUCUAUUUUGCUUUCCUACCAAGCAAUGAGCACACUUUUGUAGACAUGUGUUUGUCAUCCCAAACAAGUGAUUUUUUCGGAAUAGUACCAUCAUUCAUUUCUCACCCAUGUGACCGAGUCUCUAGUACCACAACUCAAUUGUAUCCACAUUUUCAAUAGCAUGAAUGACAUCUUUAGAAAGUCCAACUUGCAUUAUGUACAAAUUAUGAUUCCUUUUACAUCUUGUUAUGACCAAAGAACCCUUAGUAAGCUUCCAUUGACCAUUACCAAGACCACUAUAGUAGCCACCAUCAUCAAGCUUGCUAGUAGAGGUAAGGUUCAACCAAAUGUCUGGAACAUGCUUUACACCUUUGAAAAGCAGUUUCAUACCAUUACGGGUUUCUAAUAAAAAAUUACCUAUGUCAAUAACCUUAGCCACACCAUUGUUGCCCAUCCUUACAACUCCAAAGUCAGAUGUGUAAAAAUCCCUACAAAAUGUAACAUGAAUAGUAGCACCACUAUCAAUUACCCAACUAGUCUCAUCAAAUGCUGAAUUGAUCAUAUCAUCAUCAUACAUUAGUAAAAAGUCUUCUAUAGUGGUGGCAACUCAAUCUUCAUCACUGCUCUUAUUGCCUUUUUCUUUCCUGUUGUUCUUCUUAUUUUCUUUCUUCAACUUUCUACAAUGUUUCUUGAUAUUCCCCUUCUUACCACAAUGGUAACACUCAACAUUAGCAAAUUUGCCUUUGGACUUAUUUCUACUACUUUCCCUGUUUUUCGGAAUCCUACUCUUGUUUCCCCCUCAUGGCUCAGUAACUAUCAUAUCUGACUAUGAGGAGGAACGAUGUGACUUUUUUCUCAUCUUUUCAUUUAGAACAUUGCUCUUAGCAAUUUCCAUUGUAAUCUCACCAUCUAGAGUUGAAUUAGACAAUGACAUUUUAAAUGUCUCCCAAUAAUCUGACAAAGUGCCCAAAAGCCAUAAACCCUAUACCUCUUCAUCAAAUUUUACCCCCAUUACAUCCAACUAAUUUAUCAAACCUUGGAAUGAAUUCAAGUUAUUGGUCAUAGGAGUAUCCUCACGAUAUCUCAAAAGAAUAAAAUAUUUCAUCAAAUACAUUUUGUUGUUUCUGGUCUUUUGAGCAUACAACUUUUCAAGUUUGAUCCACAAUGUACAUGCAUUCUUCUCACCACUAACAUGGUUUAACACACUGUCAUCUACCCAUUGUCGAAUAUACCAACACACCUGCCUAUAAAGUAAUGUACAUUCCUCAUCAGUUUUGCCAGUGGGUUUUCCUUGGACAAACAUAGGGUGAUGGUAACCCUUCUCAUAUAAUAAAUCCUCCAUUUUAUCCUUUCACAAGGCAUAAUUUGAGCCAUUUAAGCUUACCAUUCUGUUUGCACUAACAUCCAUUCUUCAACACAACACAGGCAGCCAAAGCUCUAAUACCACUUUGUUGGGAGAAAGUUGAACACAGUAUCACAAUUAAAAUCAACCAUGCAUGCACUGGAAUUUUAAUGUGGAAAACAUCUUCAAUGUGAGAAGUAAAAACCACAGGACCAGAGUCCACUCAGAAAGGGUUCACUAUCAACCUAAGUGAGAGUACACAAUUUGUCCCAACAUUAAUUGGGGACUAUCAAUAGCAACAACCAUCAAGAAAAAUCUUAGCUUCACAAGCAUAAACACCAAAUAUUAAAAGAAUAAUAGAAAAAGAUCACAAAUUUGGUGUUCUGUCCGAAUAUACUAAUCUGUCCUGAAAACUCCAAUCAACGAUCCAAUCGUUAAAAUUUAAUUACCAUAAGUUUUGAACCUCCUAUUAAAAUUUCACUUCAAUCAGACCAAAGAUCAAAGAAAUACCACUCUUUGAUGAAGACUGCAUAGAACCGAGAUUUUCUCCUCUCAUUUUCUGUCCUGUUUUAUUUGAAUGAUUAUAUAUUAUAGUCAACUACUCUGAUCGACGAGCGAACCGACCAGAAUUAAGAGACAUAAGAGACGAAGAUACUAUACAAAUUUCAACACGAUCCAACGGUGUAAAAUAGAGAUCAAGAAGAUUGAUUAAAAUUGCUCUAAAAUGAUUCUAUUUAUGACCAACUCUGUUUAGGCGGCUAUAGAGUGAAAUAGAAAAGUUCAACUAGAAUAAGGAGUUGCUUGUGAUAAACCAACUGACCAAGUUUCAGUUUAAACAAGCCUUAGACCAUCAAGAUCUAUUACUUGGAUGAAAAUAGCUCUUUCACCUCUUCAAUUUCUUAUUAUUUUUUUUUCUCUCUCAAAAUCAUCAGUUGCACUCUUCUCACUGUAUAUUUCAAGAAGUGAAUCUUUUUUGGGGUUUUCAAAAAAACCUUACACCGAAAGACAAAAAUGCCCAUAUAAUAUGGGAUUUGUUGGGUUUGACAUAUAUGGGUCAUCCUCCACAUGAGAGGGAAACCCAACCCAACAAUAGUUUAGUACCUCCUAAUUGGAAGGAUGACUUGUUUUUGUCAUCACGAUGAGUUUUCCAUGGUGAGUGCACUAAUGUAUAUGGUUACACAUUGGACAGGACCUAUGAUGAGUCAUGAUAUUGGCUAUCAAGUAGUCAUCAUCUUAUAAAGCUACUAUAUUGUAUGAGCUCUCAACCUUGAGAAGAUAUUAAGCUAGUAGUAAAAUUUUUAAUGACUUUAACAUAUAGGUAAGAUCCUAAAGUGGUAAUAUAUUCCCUAUGGAUUGAGAUAUUAUUGAUAGAGGUUGGUGAUAACAUGUAUACUCAAGAUAGACACCAUGAUAUCUCCUAGGUUUUAGAUAAUAUAUCCAUUUGAGUGAUCCUAAGGACAUGUGAUUAGGAAAUCCGUGGUCAUAGUAAUUCUUUAAUUGGAAUUUGACAUAUGCUUCUUAUGAAAUAAAGUAUGUCGAUUUAUCACAUAAGAAGAGGAUUAGAGACUCAAGGACUCUAAAGGAAAUUUUAUAAGGUAGAUAACAUUCACUUUAUUAGACUACGAUCAAUAGCUUAUGAGAAGUUUGCAUAUAGUAGACAAUGGAUCAUAGACUAGAGGUUUGUAUCUCAUAGUUAUAAUAUCAUACGAUAAUGGAGUAUAGUUAACUCUAUGUAGUAGGAUAUUAAGUCAAUUUUAGAAUUGAAAUAUGAGGUAGCCAGUAUUUUCUUAUGAGUCUUAGUGGUCCUCACUUAAAAUCAUAUUCCAUGGUGGCAUGAUUUUUUUAAGAGAUUAUGAGUUUUAUAUUCAUAUGUAUGCAUACAGACAUUUUGGUAGACACGAAACGUUGCACAAGAGUUUAUGAAUGUUUUUGGGUUGAGUUAAUUAAUUAAUUAGAACCCAAUUAAGUUAGUUAAUUAGGACUCAUUGGGCUAAAUUAAGUGACCCAACUCAAUUCACUUAAACUUAGAAGUAAUUCUAUAUAAACCUCCUUAAGUUUUAGGGCUUAUAUUUUGAUUCAUUCUAUCUUUCAGAAUGAGAGAAUCCCAUUCUUCAUUCCCAAGUGAGAAUUCCAUCAUUUUUAAGUGACAAGGUCUAGGAAAGAGCUAUUGGGUGGAAGAUCAUGAGGUUUUCGAGAUCCAUACCAUCAUUUUCUUUGAUUGGAACUAAUCUAGGCACAUCUAUUAGUUUAUUGGCCAUUGAAUCAACAAAGGACUAUAAUGCAAAAUUGUUUCAUGCAGUACCUUAAAAUAAUUAUGAAGGGCUGUAAAAAAAUUGAACCAAUGGUUGUUACUUUCUACAAACAAUAUAAGGCGUAAAAACCUAAAGCUUAGUUGAUUUUGUGAGAGCCAACUAGUCCAAAAGAUCAGUUAUAGCGGAAUAGAACUCUUGAAUACUCAUGUUCUUAUGUUCAAGAGCUCAAAUAUCAAUCUUUAAAUAAUAUUGAUUUGCAAAUGUUGCUAGAUCUUGUUGACAAAUUCAUACUUUGCCAACUACGUACUUAUCAAAUUCUCAAUAAAUUUGUUGAUCCAAUUGAUAAUUUUUGAAUUGUUUACUGCUCAAAUGUUUAACUGUUCUAUAUAUUUUUCAUCAUCUCCAUUUCUAGGUUUGUGUAGAGUUAACCCCACAUCUUUUUUACCUUUGAAAAAUUUCCCAUUGCAUAACUCCAAUGUUAGGAUAGAGCCCUUAAAAGCAUAGUAUGAUAUAACAAAUUCAAAUUUAUUAUUCAUUUAAUAAAAUUUUAGUUUCCUAUUUCUAUCUAUCUUAUUACAUGCAUUAUAACUUAUAACCAUUUUAGCCUAACAUUUUUUGCAUUGUACAUACUUUGGGUGCAUUAGGAGUUACACAGAAGAUCCAAGUCAUGAGUUGCUUGCAAGUAGAUGAUUUGUUCACAACUAGUUCAUAGAAUUAGGUAAUUCAUUGAAAGUUGUAGUACACUACCUACUAAUGGAAUGGAUGACUAGUCUUGGUCAUUUGGGAUGAGUUUCCCAUGUUAAGUCCAUUAGUUUGUACAAUUCAACAUUAAAUAAGGCCCAUAGUGAGUUAUGAUGUAAAGUUAUUGAGUAGUCAUGACCUCACCAAGCUGCUAUACUAUAUGGUCUUUUAACCUCGAGAGAAUAUUUAGUUUGUGCCAAAGUUUAUAAUAGCUUUGACCUAUAAGUGAGAUCCUAAGAUGGUCAUAUAUUCCCUAUAAAUUAGGUCAUUAUUGAUGGAGGCUAGUGACGGCCGGUAUUCUCAAUAGAGAUACCAUGAUAUCUUAUGGAGAUUGAGACAAUAUGUCCCAUUAGGUGAGCCUAAGGAAGUCUUGAUAAGGAAAUUAAUGGUCAUAAUAGUUUUUUAAAUUAGAACUUGACAUAUGCUCUUUAUGAGAUAAGAUAUGUCACUUCAUCUCAAAAUAAGAGAAUCUGAGACUCAAGAAUCAUAAAGGUAAUCUUGAAAGGUUGAUAACAUUCAUCUUGUUAGAUUAUGGACACUAUUUCAUGGGGAACUUGCAUACAAUGGAUAGUAGGUGUUAAUGGAAACCCUAGAUUUCUUCGUUCGUAAACCCUAGAUCGUAUAGGUAUAUGCAAAUCUACCUAGGCUUCUCUAGAAACUAACAUAAGUGGAAACAUGGCUUUUAAAAACCAUUUAGAUUAAUAAAACUAGAGAAGAAUGAAUUAUACCUAGAUUUAGAUGUUCCUAGAUCAAUUCAUUGCGAUGAAGAUGUUUCAAUGUUCUAGAGGUCUUGUACACCCAAAGUCUUCUGUCUAAUUACUCAAUCCAUGACCUUGGCACUCUAAAGAGUGGACUUUGAAAAAGAGAUGCCUUGGCUCUCUCUCUUUCUCUCUAUUUCUCUCUGGAAGUGGAAGACGACAAGCAAAAGCCUUAGAAACCCUAACCCCUAAGGGGAUAUGUAUAGGGUUCCCCUACUAGGCUUAAGUGACUUGAGCCUACCAAGGAUUAGGUCACUUAAUCUAGCCCAAAAUAGAUCUUGAUUUAUUAAUCAACCACACAGGGUCAUCUAAUUAAUCAAUUAGCUCAAUGAAGAGAACUUGUUCUCUAUUCCCCUAUGCAACCUUGCGUGAUUGCUAAAACACCUUUAUACACAUCUAAUCCUUAGAAAUCGUGUCAUCAUGGUAUAUGAGCUCAAAGUGAGGACUACUGGGACAAAUAGGCAUACUAACUCUCUCAAAAUCGAAUUCCAAAGUUGAUUCACUAUCCCACUAUAGAAAAUCAAUUGCACUCCAGUACCUUAUGUAGAUAACAAUAAGAUGAAGUUUGGGUCUGUGACCUACUAUCUACUACAUGCAAUCUCUUCAUGAAUUGGUGUCCAUAAUCUAACAAGGUGGUGUUAUCACAUAAUGUAUGAUAAGAAAUAUGAAUUUGUUACAUUAGAUAAUAACAUAAUGUAUCCUGGUAGGAAAUAUGAAUUUUAAAAAUGCAUCCUCUAUAUUAAGGUAAAGUUAAUUUUUUUAAACAUAAAAUAAUAUAUUUAUAACAAAGUUAGUAAUAUGGAUGAGAUAUAAAUUAGUAUUGGUAUCAAGUAUUUCAAUAUGUAAACCUAAAACAUAUUACAUUUAUAAUAUUAUUGAAAUUUUACCCAUAAUAUAUCUUUAUUAAAAAAGUCAAUCUAAAAUUUUUCAAAUUUUUAUUACUCAACUAUAUCCAUAUAAUUUUCUAUUAGAAUCAUCUAAAAUUUCUUUAAUAUCUUUAUAUUCAUUUACUUGAAAAAUGAAAAAUAACCAAUAAAAUUGUUCAUUUUAUUAAGAUAUUUUUAUUAAAUUUUGUUAAAAAAAAAAUAAAUCAUUCAAAAUUUUAAAUAAGAUUUCAUGUGAAAUAUUUUAUUUGAAAGUUUAUUUGGUUUCAUUAACAAAUUUAUUUGAUAUUUUUUUUAUUGUAAAUAUAUUAAAUUAUUAAAAUUAUAGUAUUUGUCCUAUAAAAUUAGGGUUGCAAUUUGGACGAGCUAACCCAAACCAACAUAAAACCAACCCAAUGUUUGGGCGGGCUUGGGCACCAUUUUUUGUAACUUGGGUUGGGCUUGGAUUCAUUUUUAUCAACCCAAAUUAAAUUCGGGUUGGGCUUGGUCAGAUGACUUGGGCAACCCAAACUAACCCGAACCUGACUAUAUAUAUAACUUUAAGAAAAUAAUACAUUGGUUCUUUCCAUUCUAUUCUUUGAUAGAGAAAAAACCUUCAAGCCCUAGUCCAAGGUUCUUCCAUUAUUCGAUAUUGUUCAAAUCCUCAAGCCCUAGUUCAAGAUUCUUUCAUUUUUUGAUGUUGUUGUCUCCAUUCAAGGUCAUCUGACAGAAAGCAAAAACCAUCAGGCCUUAGGUUAAGAUUCUUCAUCAUCAUAUAAUGUUACAAUCGUCGUUCAAUACCACUGUUGUUCACAUUAUAUUACUAGGUUUUUGAUUGCCAACAAUUUAGUUAAUAAAUCAUGGAAAUAAUGGAAAAGGUUGAUUUGAAAAUAAUUCUAAGAUAUCCCUUUUUGGUUUUAAAUUUAUCUUCCUUGAGUGAUGAAUAAAGAGGACAAGGCAAGUUAUUUAAGGCAAUGGUGAAGCCCUUAUCCUUUAUAUGGAAGAAGUGUAGAAUUGUUACCUAUACAUAAAUUAUAUUAUAAUGGUCUACUGUAAUAUGCUUGGCUUAGCAUCCCUCAUCAGGGGCAUGCCAUGGGAGAAAAGUCUUCCUUUUGUAAAAGAAGGGUUGUGCAAUAAAUGAAUGUUGUGUGUUUGCUUUUUGAACUAAUUUUUAUUGGCCUAACUCAACCCAACUUAGCCAUCACAUAAUCAACUCGAGCUCAACCUAUGUUAAAUAAUUUCAAUUCGAGUUGAGUGCAUAAGAUUGGAAGUCGAGUUAGGUGAUCCUUUGGGUUGAUGUAUUUCAAGGUAAGAUUGAGCUUGGGUUGGCCAACUUGCCGAGUUGCAACCCCAUAUAAAAUUAAUUUUUCUUUAACAUUUAUAUUUUAUGAAAUAUUAAAAAUUAUAUAUUUUAUUAAUUGUUUUCCAAAAAUCGCAAUUUUGGUGAUUUAGGUCUUGUUUGGUAAUUGUUUUUGAAAACAUUUUUGAAAAAAUAGUUUUUAAGAACAGUUUUUGAAAACUGUUCUCUGAUGUUUUUUAGAACAAAAGUCUAUUUGGGAACCUAAAAUUAUUUUUAAUAUUUUUAAAUACGUUUUAAAAAUAAUUUUUAUAUCCAUAACUUUAUUUUUAUUAAUCAUUAUAUAUAUAUUUGUAUAAUUAUUCUUUAAAAUAACUCUCAAAAAAUAAGUGAAAACAACUUAAAACAAUUAAAAUAUAUUAUUUGAAAACACCCUGUUUUCUAUUUUUUAAUAAUAUAAAACAGAAAACAGUUUUUAAUUGUUAAACGUGUUUUUAAGUUUUUUUUUUCUAAAAAACAAAAAACUGUUUUUGAAAACAGUUUCCAAACAUAGCAUUAAUGCAAAGCCAGCCAAUUUUUUGUGCUGCCAACCAUACUGGAAACCCAUCUUGUUGGCCACCCAGAGGAGCUCAGUUUUUUUUAUUUUUAUUUGUUAGAGGAGUGGGGGACGAUUUCUAUGAACGAGCUACAUGGGACAUGUGGAAAAAAAAAAAAAAAGAUGGCCACCUUGCCAUGGUGGUGGUUGAAGAUGGAGACUUGCUAAGCGGUGAACAGUGGAACGAGUAGAAGCUUAUAAGAGAAAAAAAAAAACAGAGCAAAGGGACUGGGAGGGUUGAGUUGUGGGUGAGCUGAUUCAAGAGGAAGGAAAAAAAAUGAAGCUGAAACAAAGGGAGGUUUUUAAGAGAAAGUGAAAACAACGAGUUAAUUUGGAAACAACUAGGAUGAGAGUUGUAGGUCGGCUGAUUAGAGGAGGUUUUCAGCAAGAGCUAAAGAAGAGGACCUUUAAACUCUACCGGAAAAGUUCUCUCGUCUCACCGGUGACUACGGAUCUGGAAAACUAAAAUGCGCAGGUGGUGGCGUUGCUCCCCCUACUAUACUUACGGAUUUUAAGCUCAAUGGCUACGGAAACCUCGAUUUCUACAACGUGUGCUUGGUUGACGGGUAAAACCUUCCUUUGAUGGUGGUGCCACAGGAUGGCACCGGGGGGAACUGUACCAAAAUCGGGUGCUGCUCUAGACUUGGGAAAUGAACAGGUUUGUUCGUUUGUCUCGUUACAACUUCUUUCUGAAUCUUUCUUUGAUUAAGACAAGUAUGUUUUUCCAAGUUUUGGUUUUUGCUCUCAAAAAGGGUCUUUUUGAUGAUUCUACUGUUUUUUUUAGGAGUUGAAAUGGGUUUUUGAUGAAUUCAAGUGGGCGUCUUUUGUUUGUUAAUGGAACGGUUUUGUUUUUGGUGGUCAAAACAUUUUUUUUUUAUAAUGAUUUUGUAGUCAUUUUAAGGAGCUGUGAAAUGGGUGUUUGAUGAAUUCAACUGGGUUUCUUUUACUUGAUGAAAUGCCACCAUCCGUGGGGUUUGGUUAUGUAAACAUGAAUUUUUUUUUUUUUUUUAUGAUUUUGAAAGUGAUUUUAAGGAGCUGUGAAACGGGUAUUUGAUGUGUUGAACUGGGUCUAUCCUAUUUGCUAAUGGAAUAGGUUUUAGUUUCUGAACUUGGAACAUGAAUUUUUUUAUUUUUUAUAUGAUUCCGUGUAUAUUUUGAUGAGCUUGACAUUUUGUAUGAUGAAUUGAACUCAGUUUUGACUAAAUGGGAUAGGUCUUGGAUUAUGGUUCAUGGUUUAUUUUGAUGAUUUAUUGAACCGGAUUUCCUCUGUUUUGGGACCCACUCCACUCCUGCAUGGCCAUUUUUGACAUGCAAUUCCAUCGAACACGUGUCAUCCUCUUUGAUUUUUCAUCCUCAUAUGUUAAAAUAUGAUUUUCAAAACUCCAAUUUUCACGUUUAAUUUUUAAAACUUUAAUUUUUAAAAUUCCAUUUUUUUUUAAUUUAAUCUUCAAAACUCUAAUUUUCAAAUAAUCUUCAAAGUUCCAAUCAUCGAAAUUUAAUUUUUAGAACUUCAAUUUUCAAAUAAUUCUCCAAAAUUCCAAUUUUCAAAAUUUCCAUUUUCAAAAAUAAUUUUCCAAAAUUCUAAUUUUCAAAAAUUCUAAUUUUUCAAAAUUUCAAUUUUCAAAAAUUCUAAUUUUUCAAAAUUUCAAUUUUCAAAACUUACAUUUUCAAAAAUAAUUUUCCAAAAUUCCAAUUUUCAAAACUUCCAUUUUCAAAUAAUUUUCCAAAAUUCAAGUUUUCAAAUUUAAUUAUUAAGAAAUCCCAUUCUCAAAUAAUUCUCCAAAAUUCCAAUUUUCAAAAUUUCCAUUUUCAAAUAAUUUUCUAAAAUUCCAUUCUAAAACAAUUCUCCAAAUUUCCAAUUUUCAAAACUUGAAUCAUUUUCUAAAAUUCCCAUUUUCAAAUUUAAUUCCCAUAAUUUCCAUUCUCAAAUAAUUUUUCAAAAUUCCAAUUCUCAAAUUUAAUUUUUGAAACUCCCAUUUUUCGAAUAAUUUUUCAAAUUUUCAUUUUUUUUAAAUUUAAUUUUUAAAAUUUCAAUUUUCAAAACCCUAGUUUUCUUUCAAAUAGUUUUAAUCCCACUUCAGUUUUCAAAUAUUUUUAAUUUUACAACUUUUCAUCAUUCAUUAGGGUUUUAAGUCACUAAAAAUCAUAUUUUUAAAUAAACUUGCUACUUUUCCUUUCAGGUAAGCACUUUCACAAAUUUUCUUUGUUUUUAAAAUAAUAUUUUGUUUCUCUUAAUUUUAAAUAAACAUGAAGGCAAUUUUCAUAAUUUCAAAAUAAUGGAAUUUAUGGAAUUAAUUCAUGCAAAAUAAUUGGGCUUUGGUGGGAGCCUAACAUUCAUGACAUUUCUUUCAAAAAUAAUUCAAGUGAAUUGCAUUAUCGAUAUUGUUUGAUUUUGAUUGGUUUUGUGUGAGAUAUUUUACACUUAAUAUUGUGCACUAAUUCUGUUUCAUGAUAGCGCUUUAUUACCUCUAGUCAAGGUACGCUCUCACUCUCAUUUUGUUUAUUUAUUCGUUAUCAUAACUUGCUUUUGAUCUAUUAUCUUUUUGGUAUUCAUUGAUUUUUCUAGUUAAUUGUCAUGUUUGCUUCACCUUAUUUAGUAGAGACCCAUUUUUCAGGGGCUUAGAGGGGUGCUACGGUCUUUACCGUACUUUUCCAAUAAGUAACCUAACCCUCGAAUCCGACUUUGGUCUUCCACAAACUAUCUUUUCCAAAUAAGGAGUCACACUUAGAGUUUUCUUUCUUAUUUUGUUUUCCCUUAAAAAUAAAAUAAAAAUAAGUGGUGACUCCAAGUAUUUUCUAAAAAUCAUUUUUUUUUUCAAAUAAAAAAAGCGAGUUUUGCCAUCAAGUGGAAACACAUCUUGCGAAAAUGUGGGGUCCACAUAUCCCCUUCCAUUCCUUCAUACCCAAUGAAAUCUAAAUAAAUCGCCAGCCUAUUUUUUCAUUCUUGCUUCCAACCUCUUUUUUAAUAUUUAAAAUUGAUAAUAUAAAAUCUCUGCACAUGAUAUUGCCCACUUUGUCAUGGAAUUGAGAACAAUGAUAAAUCACAAUUUUCACACAAAUGAAAGUCUGUAUACUUUUUUUUUUUUUUUUUUGUAAGGAAUAAUAUUGUGUAAGGAACCAUUAAUGUAAACAUAUUGAAGGAAAAACAUAAAAAAUAAAACAAAUAUCACAAAAGAUAUAUAGGUUUAUCUCCACUUUGAACCAUGAAUUCUUUUGAUCUACUAGAUGUUUUUCACUUUAGGUGUUUCUUACUCCUCUCAUAAUUUUUUCCUUUCAUAAUUUAGAAUAUUUAUAGAAAUAUUUCCACUGACUUUCCUUAUUCUAUAACGAAUUUAAUUACAAUCACCUAAAAUUAGAAAAUAUUCAUAACUUUAUGAUAUUCUAAAUAGGAAUUUAAGACACCUUCCUAACACAUAAUCAUUUAAAUUUAUUUUUUUCACACAUUAUACAUUUUAAUUUUUCAAUAACAAUUUCCACACAAAUAAUUAUUUUUAGAUUUUUCUUUUUAAAUUUUAACAACAUUAAUAAUUUAAUAUUUCAUCCAAAUAAAAAAUAGUGAAAUUAAGAAAAAUUAAAAGAAAGAUAAAUAAAUAAACUAGUCACAUAAUAUAUAAUAGUUUUUCAUAAAAAUUGUGAAUUAAUAAUCCAACCAGAGCUCUGGGCCCACAUGUUAUAUAUACUGAGAAUCCACAUGUUAUAAUGAGAAAAAAAAAUGGAUUUAAAAUUUAAAAUUAUUUGAACAUGUUUCUUCUAACUCGUUGUAUAUAUUUUCCUUAUUUAUAUAAAGAUUAAUUAUUUUAAUUAAUUUUGAUAAUAUUUGAUUUUGUUUUUCAAUGAUAAACGAAAUAUGAUCAAAUGAAUAAACCACUGAAGUAUACUAUGCAUUUUAUAUAAAGUUUUUUUAUAUUAGUACCCAUGUGAACUGAUCAUAAGAAACUGGGUACCAUCAAAACUGUACAUCUGGAUACUGAGGAUCAGCAGAACAGAUGUAAUAAAUGUUCAUAUUUUCUAUAAUGUCACAUGGGACUUAGGAUGGUUCUUGGUAGAUAAGUUAAUUGACUUGGAAUCUUAACCUAAUCUAUAAUUUAAAAAAUGGAUAAAUUAAUUAAUUUAAGAAUAGUAACGGUCCAUAUUUUGUCAGGCCACAUGGGAGUUAGAAUAGUUUAAAGUGAACAUGUGACCUGAUGUAUAAUAUAAAGUGGAAAACUUGUCCAUCGAAUCCAUAAAUUAUAUUAUAAUGGUCUACUGUAAUAUGCUUGACUUGGCAUCCCUUAUAGGGCUAUGCCAUGGGAGAAAAGUCUUCCCUUUGUAAAAGAAGGGUUGUGCAACAAAUGAAUGUUGUGUCUUUGCUUUUUGAACUGAUUUUUAUUGGCCCAACCCGACCUAACUCAGCCAUCAUAUAAUCAAUUUGAGCUCAACCUAAGUUAAAUAAUUUCAAUUCGAGUUGAGUACAUCAGAUUGGAAGUCAGGUUGGGUCAUCCUUUAGGUUGAUGUAUUUCAAGGUCGCACUGAGCUUGGGUUGGCCAACUUGCCGAGUUGCAACCCUAUAUAAAUUGUUUUACAAAAAUCGCAAUUUUGACGAUUUAUACUUUAUUUGAUAACUGUUUUUAAAAACAUUUUUAAAAAAAUAGUUUUUAAGAACAGUUUUAAAAAAUUGUUCUAUGAUAUUUUUUAAAACAAAAGUUUAUUUGGAAACUUAAAAUUGUUUUUAAUCUAUUUUUAAUAUUUUUCAAUGUGUUUUAAAAAUUUUUUUUAUAUCCAUAGCUUUAUUUUUAAUCAUUAGAUAUAUAUAUAUGUAUAUAUAUAUAUAUAUAUAUAUAUAUAUAAUUUUUAAAAAUAACUCUAAAAAAAAAAUUGAAAAUAAUUAAAAGAUAUUAUCUAAAAACACCAUAUUUUUUAUUUUUUAUUAUCUAUUUUCUAAUAAUAGAAAAUAGAAAAUGGUUUUUUAUUAUUAAAUGAAUUUUAAAAUUCUUUUAUUCUAAAAACCAAAAAUUGUUCUUGAAAACAAUUGCAGGGCAUUAAUGCAAAGUCCAAGGCAUUAAUGCAAAGUCGCCCAACCAUCCCCUUCCAUUCCUUCAUACCUAAUGAAAUCCAAAUAAAUCACCCUUUUUUCAUUCAUGCUUCCAACGUCUUUUCUAAUAUUUAAAAUUGAUAAAUAUAAAAUCUCUCCAUAUGAUAUUGCCCACUUUGUCAUAGAAUUGAGAAUAAUGAUAAAUCACAAUUUUCACACAAAUGAAAGUUGUAUACUUUUUUUUUAUAAGGAAUAAUAUUGUGUAAGGAAGUAUUAAUAUAAACAUAUUAAAGGAAAAACACGAAAAAUAAAACAAAUCAUAUAAAAGAUAUAUAAGGUUUAUCUUCACUUUGAAUCAUGAAUCCUUUCGAUCUAUUAGAUGUUUUCACUUUGGGUGUUUUUUUCUCCUCUCAUAAUUUUUUUUCUUUAUAAUUUAGAAUAUUUAUAAAGAUAUUUAUACUAAUUUUCCUUAUUUUAUAAGAAAUUUAAUUACAAUCACAUCUAAAGUUAGAAAAUAUUCAUAACUUUAUGAUAUUCUAAAUAGGAAUUUAAGACACCUUCCUAACAAAUAAUUAUUUAAAUUUAUUUUUUUCACACAUUAUACAUUUCAAAUUUUCAAUAAAAAUUUCCACAUAAAUAAUUAUUUUUAGAUUUCUCUUUUUAAAUUUUAACAACAUUAAUAAUUGAAUAUUUCAUCCAAAUAAAAAAUAGUGAAAUUAAGAAAAAUUAAAAUAAAGAUAAAUAAAUAAAUUAGUCUCAUAAAUAUAUAAUAAUUUUUCAUAAAAAAUUAUGAAUUAAUAAUCCAACCAAAGCUCUGGGCCCAUAUGUUAUAUAUAUUGAGAAUCCAUAUGUUAUAAUGAGAAAUAAAAAAUAAAAAAAUGGAUUUAAAAUUUAAAAUUAUUUCAACAUGUUUCUUCAAACUCAUUGUAUAUAUUUUCCUUAUUUAUAUAAAGAUUAAAUAAUUCAAAAAUAUACAAGUAUUUUAAUUAGUUUUGAUAAUAUUUGAUUUUGUUUUACAAUAAUAAACGAAAUAUGCUCAAAUGAAUGAACCAUUGAAGCAUACUAUGCAUUUUAUAUAAAGUUUUUUUAUAUUAGUACCCAUGUGAACUGAUUAUAAGAAACUGGGGACUAUCAAAACUGUACAUCUGGAUACUGAGGAUCAGCAGAACAGAUAUAAUAAAAAAUGUUCAUAUUUUCUAUAGUGUCACAUGGGACUUAGAAUGGUUCUUGGUACAUACGUUAAUUGAUUUGGAAUCUUAAUUAACCUAAUCUAUAAUUAAAAAAUGGAUAAAUUAAUUAAUUUAAGAAUAGUAACGGUCCAUUUUUUGUCGGGCCACAUGUAGCCCUUACCUGAUAUAUAAUAUAAAGUGGACAAGUUGGAGCAUGCUUCCCAGAGUGAUUUAAAAAUUGUUGAAAAUUAAUGUAGAUGGCACCACAUUUUAUAUUAUUGAAUACAUCCACAACCUUUAAUUACAACUGGCAUGGCCUGGCAUGACUUGUCCACGGAAUCCAUAUUAUUAAUCAAUACCCAUGUGACCUGGCCUAUCCCAUCCACCAUAAAGAUAUCUCUUACUUUGUUCUCUAUUCUCUCACAAUUCCCUCAGCUUCUCAUCCUGUACGUGCUGUAUUUUCUUGGCUUUCUGCUACUUUGAGUUGUUCCGAAAUGGCUGAUCAAAUUCCAUUCGGUGUUGUGGAGCACAUUUUGACCAAGUUGGGGUCCAAGGCGUUUCAAGAAAUUGGAUCCAUGUAUGGUGUUCCAAAGGAGAUGACCAAGCUCAAUGGGAAACUGGGCACCAUCAAGGCUGUGCUUUUGGAUGCUGAGGAGAAGCAGCAACAGCAGAGCAAUCGUGCAGUCAAAGAUUGGGUCCGGAGGUUCAGAGGUGUUGUUUAUGACGCAGAUGACUUGGUGGAUGACUAUGCAACCCAUUAUCUUCAGCGAGGAGGAUUGGGAAGGCAGGUCAGUGACUUCUUCUCAUCUGAAAAUCAAGUUGCUUUUCGUUUAAACAUGAGUCAUAGACUCGAAGAUAUCAAAGAAAGGAUAGAUGAUAUUGCAAAAGAAAUCCCCAUGUUAAAUCUGACUCCACGGGACAUAGUACUACACACACGGGUGGAGAAUAGUGGGAGAGACACCCAUUCAUUCGUGUUAAAAUCUGAAAUGGUAGGAAGAGAAGAAAACAAAGAGGAGAUAAUAGGGAAGUUAUUGUCGUCCAAGGGUGAAGAAAAGCUUUCGGUUGUUGCCAUUGUAGGCAUUGGGGGGUUGGGUAAGACCACCCUUGCUCAAUUGGUAUACAAUGAUGAAAGAGUGGUCAAUCAUUUUGAGUUUAAGAUAUGGGCUUGCAUUUCUGAUGAUUCUGGUGAUGGUUUUGAUGUUAAUAUGUGGAUCAAAAAAAUUUUAAAAUCUCUGAAUGAUGGGGGUGCUGAAAGUCUGGAGACUAUGAAAACUAAGCUUCAUGAAAAAAUAAGUCAAAAGAGGUACUUGCUAGUCCUCGAUGAUGUUUGGAAUCAAAAUCCUCAACAAUGGGAUCACGUGAGAACUUUAUUAAUGGUUGGUGCUAUAGGUAGUAAAAUUGUAGUAACCACCAGAAAACCUAGAGUUGCAUCACUCAUGGGAGAUUAUUUUCCAAUUAAUUUGAAAGGUCUUGAUGAAAACGAUUCUUGGAGGUUGUUUUCAAAAAUCACAUUUAAAGAUGGAGAGAAGGAUGUGCAUACAAACAUCACCCAAAUUGGAAAAGAAAUUGCAAAAAUGUGUAAGGGAGUUCCUCUCAUUAUUAAGUCUUUAGCAAUGAUAUUGCGGUCUAAAAGAGAACCGGGGCAGUGGUUGUCUAUUAGAAACAAUAAAAAUUUGCUGUCACUCGGAGAUGAAAAUGAGAAUGUUGUAGGGGUGCUGAAAUUAAGUUAUGAUAAUUUGCCAACUCAUUUGAGACAAUGUUUUACAUAUUGUGCUUUAUUUCCAAAAGACUAUGAGAUUGAGAAAAAGUUGGUGGUACAACUAUGGAUAGCACAAGGUUAUAUUCAAUCUUCAAAUGAUAAUAAUGAGCAAUUAGAGGAUAUAGGGGAUCAAUAUUUUGAGGAAUUAUUGUCAAGGUCAUUGUUGGAAGAGGUUGAAGAUGAUUUUGCUAAUACAGUAAUGUAUAAAAUGCAUGACCUUAUACAUGAUCUUGCACAAUCAAUUGUAGGAUCUGAGAUCCUUGUUUUAAGAAGUGAUGUAAAUAAUAUUCCAAAAGAAGCUCAUCAUGUAUCAUUGUUUGAAGAGAUAAAUCUUAUGAUCAAGGCUCUAAAGGGAAAACCCAUAAGAACCUUUCUUUGUAAAUAUUCUUAUGAAGAUAGUACAAUUGUAAAUUCAUUUUUUUCGAGUUUUAUGUGUCUACGUGCGUUGAGUUUAGAUGAUAUGGAUAUAGAGAAGGUGCCAAAGUGUUUAAGUAAAUUGAGUCAUUUAAGGUAUCUUGAUCUUUCCUACAACAAUUUCGAGGUACUUCCAAAUGCUAUUACAAGGUUAAAGAAUUUGCAAACACUAAAACUCACAAGCUGUCGAAGAUUAAAAAGAAUUCCAGACAAUACAGGAGAAUUGAUCAAUCUUAGACACUUGGAGAAUGAUAGCUGUUAUAACUUGGCUCAUAUGCCACAUGGAAUCGGCAAGUUGACUUUACUUCAAAGUCUACCAUUGUUUGUGGUUGGGAAUGACAUAGGGUUAAGGAAUCACAAAAUUGGUAGCUUGAGUGAAUUGAAAGGCCUUAACCAACUAAGAGGAGGGUUAUGCAUAAGUAAUCUUCAAAACGUGAGGGAUGUUGAACUGGUAUCCAGGGGGGGAAUUUUGAAAGAAAAACAAUAUCUUCAGUCCUUGAGAUUGGAAUGGAAUCGGUGGGGCCAAGAUGGGGGGGAUGAGGGUGAUCAGUCAGUGAUGGAAGGCCUUCAACCACACCAACAUCUAAAGGAUAUCUUUAUAGACGGGUAUGGAGGUACGGAGUUUCCAAGUUGGAUGAUGAAUAGCCUGCUUCCUAACCUAAUUAAAAUUGAAAUUUGGGGAUGUUCAAGAUGCAAAAUUCUGCCACCCUUUUCUCAACUCCCUUCUCUCAAGUCUUUGGGGCUUCAUGAUAUGAAAGAAGUGGUGGAGUUAAAGGAGGGUUCAUUAACAACGCCACUCUUCCCAUCUCUUGAAUCGCUCGAACUCUCUUUCAUGCCAAAGUUGAAGGAAUUGUGGAGGAUGGACUUACUAGCAGAGGAAGGUCCUUCCUUUUCUCAUCUUUCUCAAUUAAAGAUCAGUUAUUGCCAUAACUUGGCAUCCUUGGAACUGCAUUCUUCUCCUUCUCUUUCUCAAUUAGAGAUCCAUUAUUGCCCAAACUUGACAUCCUUGGAACUGCCGUCAUCUCUUUGUCUUUCUAAUUUAUAUAUCGGAUAUUGCCCUAACUUGGCAUCCUUGGAACUGCAUUCUUCUCCUUGUCUUUCUCGAUUAGAAAUCAGGGAAUGCCCUAACUUGGCAUCCUUCAAAGUGGCUCCAUUACCUUAUCUUGAGACACUAUCUCUGUUCACAGUUAGAUAUGGUGUGAUAUGGCAGAUAAUGUCUGUCUCUGCUUCAUUGAAGUUUCUGUAUAUUGAAAGCAUAGAUGAUAUGAUAUCUCUCCCGAAGGAGCUACUUCAACAUGUUUCUGGCUUGGUAACGUUACAGAUCCGUGAGUGUCCUAACUUGCAAUCCUUGGAACUGCCCUCAUCUCCUUCUCUUUCUGAAUUAAGGAUCAUAAAUUGCCCUAACUUGGCAUCCUUCAAUGUGGCAUCAUUACCUCGUCUUGAGAAACUAAGCCUGCGUGGAGUCAGAGCAGAGGUACUGAGGCAGUUAAUAUUUGUCUCUGCUUCUUCUUCAUUGAAGUCUCUGCGUAUACGGGAGAUUGAUGGUAUGAUAUCUCUCCCAGAGGAGCCGCUUCAAUAUGUUUCCACUCUCGAAACUCUCUACAUUGUUAAGUGCUCUGGUUUGGCAACAUUACUACACUGGAUGGGCAGCCUUUCCUCGCUUACGGAACUUAUUAUUUAUGACUGCUCUGAAUUGACAUCACUGCCAGAAGAGAUCUGUUCCCUUAAAAAACUGCAGAAAUUUUAUUUCUGUGAUUAUCCACACCUAGAGAAAAGAUACAACAAGGAAACAGGUAAAGACCGGGCCAAGAUUGAUCAUAUCCCACGUAUUAAUUUCCAAAGUGAUCGAGUUAUGGAAUAUAAGGUCCGAAAUCCCUAACCUUUCUUCCCAUUUUUAUUAUUUAAGAAUCAAAAUGCUAUGUUUUCAUUUUAUUAUUAUGUUUUCACUGUAUCCUUGGCACCUCAUAUGUUUGUUUUUACUGCUCACAUUAAUAAUUUUGAAAUUUUUUUCCAGCUUGGAUGUGCUUUCCGAUGAUGUGCACUAAACUAACCAUUUUACUUGGAGUUGUACAUUCUAAGAGUUUGAGGAAAUACUGAGGUCUGAUAUGAUAACUCUAAAUCUUAAACGUUGUUUUGUGUUUGGAACGUUACUACACUUGAUACAUACCCUCACCUCACUUACAGAGCUUGGAAAUCGUGGCUGCCUUGAAUCGACGUCACUGUCAGAAUAUAUGUUCCCUCAAAAACCUGCAGACACUAAAUAAUCUGCAUCUGUUCACAGAAAGAUGCUGAAAGGAAAGGUGAAGACCAACCCAAGAUUGCUCAUAUGCCACAAAUUGAUAUCAUACAUCCAUGAAGAUUGAACUGAUACACAAUGCCUUUCAGGUCCGAAAUCCCUAACUUUUCUUCUCAUUUUCUAUGACUUCAUUUUCAUUAUCUUACUUUUAAAAUGCUCUGUUUUCAUUUGUUUUGGUAGUUCUUUGUAUUUGUGCCUUGUUUGAUUAAAUGCUUACUUCAAUUAAGUUUGAAAAUUUUUACAUCUUCAAAUUAUUUUAUUGUAAGUGUUUUGCAUUCUAAGAAUUUGAGGAAAUACUGAGCUCUAAUAUAACUAGUAGAGUCCACCAUUCCUAAGAAGCUUACCAUUGCCUAAUGCCCAAAGGAUCCCGAAAGGAGACAACUUUGGAUUGGCUUGAAGAUUUCACAUGGUCCAAAAAUUUGUAUUUACUAGACGCCUGAUACAAAAAGUAGUUUAAAUUUAGCCAUUAAUAAUAUAACUUUUUUAUUAGAGAAAUAAUUGCCAAACAAAUGCAAAAUAGAAAAUGGUGUUAAUGAAUUCAGUACUUCAUCUAUGUUGCAGUUUAGUAGCUUUUGUUAGAUAACGAGUAUGGGGUUGGGUUUAUCUGGUUACCAUUCCAAAUAUUCUUAAAAAAAUCAUCAAGGCUUUGUUUGGUUUCUUGAAAAUUUGAGGGAAAAAAUAGAGAGAAAAAGUGGAAGGAAAAAAAAAAGUGGAAGUCAAUAACUUGGCAUCCUUGGAACUGCAUUCUUCUCCUUGUCUUUCUCGAUUAGAAAUCAGGGAAUGCCCUAACUUGGCAUCCUUCAAAGUGGCUCCAUUACCUUAUCUUGAGACACUAUCUCUGUUCACAGUUAGAUAUGGUGUGAUAUGGCAGAUAAUGUCUGUCUCUGCUUCGUUGAAGUCUCUGUAUAUUGGAAGCAUAGAUGAUAUGAUAUCUCUCCAGAAGGAUCUACUUCAACAUGUUUCUGGCUUGGUAACGUUACAGAUCCGUGAGUGUCCUAACUUGCAAUCCUUGGAACUGCCCUCAUCUCCUUCUCUUUCUGAAUUAAGGAUCAUAAAUUGCCCUAACUUGGCAUCCUUCAAUGUGGCAUCAUUACCUCGUCUUGAGAAACUAAGCCUGCGUGGAGUCAGAGCAGAGGUACUGAGGCAGUUCAUGUUUGUCUCUGCUUCUUCUUCAUUGAAGUCUCUGCGUAUACGGGAGAUUGAUGGUAUGAUAUCUCUCCCAGAGGAGCCGCUUCAAUAUGUUUCCACUCUCGAAACUCUCUACAUUGUUAAGUGCUCUGGUUUGGCAACAUUACUACACUGGAUGGGCAGCCUUUCCUCGCUUACGGAACUUAUUAUUUAUGACUGCUCUGAAUUGACAUCACUGCCAGAAGAGAUCUAUUCCCUUAAAAAACUGCAGAAAUUUUAUUUCUGUGAUUAUCCAGACCUAGAGGAAAGAUACAACAAGGAAACAGGUAAAGACCGGGCCAAGAUUGCUCAUAUCCCACAUGUUCGUUUCAACAGUGAUUUGGAUAUGUAUGGGAAGGUAGGUCCGAAAUCCCUAACCUUUCUUCCCAUUUUUAUUAUUUAAGAAUCAAAAUGCUAUGUUUUCAUUUUGUCUCUGGUAAUUCUUUUAUGUUGGCACCUCAUAUGUUUGUUUAAAUGCUCACAUCAAUAACUUUUUGAAAAAUUUUCCAGAUUUGCUGAUGCUGUGUACUAAACUAAUCAUUUUACUUGCAGUUGUACAUUCUAAGAGUUUGAGGAAAUACUGAGGUCUGGUAUGAUAACUCUCAAUCCUUGGAACUGCAUUCAUCUCCUUCUCUUUCUCGAUUAACGAUCCAUGAUUGCCCAAACUUGGCAUCAUUACCUCGUCUUGAGGAACUAAGCCUGCGUGGAGUCAGAGCAGAGGUACCGAGGCAGUUCAUGUUUGUCUCUGCUUCUUCUUCAUUGAAGUCUUUGCAUAUACGGAAGAUUGAUGGUAUGAUAUCUCUCCCAGAGGAGCCGCUUCAAUAUGUUUCCACUCUCGAAACUCUACAUUGUUAAGUGCUCUGGCUUGGCAACAUUACUACACUGGAUGGGCAGCCCUUCCUCGCUUACGGAACUUAUUAUUUAUGACUGCUCUGAAUUGACAUCACUGCCAGAAGAGAUCUAUUCCCUUAAAAAACUGCAGAAAUUUUAUUUCUGUGAUUAUCCAGACCUGGAGGAAAGAUACAAGAAGGAAACAGGUAAAGACCGGGCCAAGAUUGCUCAUAUCCCACGUGUUCGUUUCAAGUGUGAUUUCAAAUUGAAAUGGAAGGUAGGUCCGAAAUCCCCAACCUUUCUUCCCAUUUUUAUUAUUUAAGAAUCAAAAUGCUAUGUUUUCAUUUUAUUAUUAUGUUUUCAUUGUAUCCCUGGCACCUCAUAUGUUUGUUUUUACUGCUCACAUUAAUAAUUUUGAAAUUUUUUUCCAGCUUGGAUGCGCUUUCCGAUGAUGUGCACUAAACUAACCAUUUUACUUGGAGUUGUACAUUCUUAGAGUUUGAGGAAAUACUGAGGUCUGAUAUGAUAACUCUCAAUCUUAAAUGUUGUUUUGUGUUUGGAACGUUACUACACUUGAUACAUACCCUCACCUCACCUCACUUACAGACCCAAGAAUACAUAGGGCCACACUUGGUGAAGGUUUCAUCAGUAAGGAGAACCAUUUCAAGUAUGAAAUCCUCCCUUCUCAUUUUCUGAUGACUUCAUUUUUAUUCAAUAUCCAUUUGAAAUUAUUUAAGUUCAUUUUCUUUAGAUAUUAUAUUUUCUUGCUUGCUCAAUAAUUUCAUUUAAGUAAGUUUUUUGGAUAUCACAUUUUCUUUGGGGUUUUUUUUCUUUUUAGAAUAAUUUCAAAAUGUCAUUUUUAACUAUUCACAAAAUUUGAUCAUAGUUGAGUGAUUAAAAUUCAAGUUUAUUCUUAUUAUCAUUAGUAGUUAUUUGAUAUGUUCGUUUGCUAAUACAAAAAUAAGACUAACAAGUAAUGUGCAUAGAGUUUGUAGAAGAGAAGAAAGAUUUGAUCCAAGAUAUUCCUAAAGAUCGGAAAAUUUCAAAGCCACCCAAGAUCGCACAGGUUGAAUUCGGAUUCAUCCAGUUUACAAUCCAUUAAUUCUACUUAUAUCAUCUUUGUUAUGUUACAAUUUGCCUUUACUUGUUAUGCAGCCUACCUUAAUAAUUUGGGGAGACCAAGAUAAGGUAUUCCUAGUAGAACUGGCUCACAAAUUGAAAAGGUAAACUUGUAUCACCUGCCUACAUGCCUACAACAAUACAAACACUAGCUCAUGUCUUUCUCACUAUUGAAAUUGUUAUUGCGUGCAGGCAUUUCAGGCGAGGAGACCCAACUUGUGAUCAUAGAGCAUACUUUUAUCAUAGAGAAGCCCAAGGAAAUAUUUAAGCACUUGAAAUCAUUUCUCAUUGAUUUGCUUCCACCUCCCAAGCAACACCUAGAACCACUCCCACCAUGACGAAGUUAAAAGGUACUAAUGCAACAUUCUCAAUAUAUUAGAAUAUAUCGAAGGAAGGGUGGCCACAUAUGAAGACCCUAUUCCAAGGUCAAAUUUUAGAUUUUUGUGUUUUUCCUAUCACUAUUCCUAUACUAUUACUAGUGCACCUUAUUUGUCAAGAUGAUUAAAAGGGAAUUCCCUAGGAUAAUUAGUGUCUCAAGUGAUCUUGAGGUUCAUAAAUUUUUGGUUUCCACAAGAUAGGUGCCAACUAUUUUUUUUUUUUUUUUUUUUACACCCAUGCAAUAUUCCAGUCAUCUAUUAACAAGGGCUAAAAUUUCUUGUAGAGAAUAGAAUAAAGAACUAAAUUACAUGAAAAUAGGACAUUAUUAUUCUAUUUACAAGUAAGGGCCAAAAAUUGUUGAGGGCCAUCAAGCACAUUGUUCCUAAAAUAAUAACAUCCAUGUUGUUGAGCAAAAGUUUUUUAUAUUGGCACCUCAGAUGUUUGUUUAAAUGCUCACAUCAAUAACUUUGAAAAUAUUUUCUAGAUUUUUGAAAAAUUGUAAUGUUGUGCACUAAACUAAUCAUUUUACUUGGAGUUCUACAUUCUAAGAGUUUGAGAAAAAACUGUCUGAUAUGACAACUCUCAAUCUUAAAUGUUGUUUUGUGUUUGGAAUAUUACUGCACUUGAUAGAUACCCUCACCUCUCUUACAGAACUUGGAAUUCAUGGCUACCCUGAAUUGACAUCCCUGGCAGAAGAUAUGUUCCCUCAAAAGCCUGUAGACACUAAAACAAUUUGCAUAUGUUCACACUUAGAGGAAAGAUGCUGAAAGGAAAAGUGAAGACUAAGCGAAGAUUGCUUAUAUCCCACAAAUUGAUAUCAUACAUCCAUGAAGAUUGAACUGAUACAAAAUGCCUUUCAGGUUCGAAAUCCCUAACUUUUCUUCUUAUUUUCUAUGACUUCAUUUUUAUUAUCUUACAUUCAAAAAUCCUAUGUUUUCAUUUGUUUUGGUAGUUCUUUUUAUUUGCACCUUAUUUGUUUUAUUAAAUGCUUACUCCAGUAAGUUUAAAAAUUUUUACAUCUUCAAAUCAUUUUGCUUGAGUGUUUUGCAUUCUAAGAGUUUGAGGAAAUAUUGAACUCUAAUAUAAAUAGUAUUGGUCAUAGAGUCUUCCUUUCUUAAGAAGCUUACCAUUAACCUAAUGGCCAAAGGAUCCCAAAAGGAAACAACUUUGGGUUGGCUUGAAGAUUUCACAUGGUCCAAACAUUCAUAUUUACUAGAUGCCUGAUAUAAAAUAAAUUUUGCUCUCUUUUCAAUUUAGCCAUUGAUGUAGUCUAAAUGUUUUAUUAGAGCAAUAAUUGUCCAGUAAAUGCAAAAUAGAGGAUGGUGUUAAUGAAUUCAGUACUUCAUCUAUGUUGUAGACUUGUAGUUUAGCAGCUUCUGUUGAUAAUGAGUGUGAGGUUGGCUUUAUCAUGUCACUGUUCCAAAUAUUCUUAAAAAAAAUCAUUUAAGCUCUAUUAGGUUCUUAGAAAAUUUAAGGGAAAAUGUGAGGAAAACAAAAUAGAGAAGAAAAGUGGAAGGAAAAAAAAGUGAAAGUCAAUGAAUUAUUUUUGUAUGCUACUUCAAACUCACUUCACUUUUUUUAACUCUUCAAUAUAAAGAUUCAAUCAUUUGAAAAAUGUGUAAAUUUCUAAUUAAUUUUAAUUAUAUUUGAUUUUCUUUGGAAUUCUCAUUUCUUCUCAUUUUCUUAUGACUUCAUUUUUAUUCAAUAUCUAUAUGAAAUUAUUUAUGUUCAUUUUCUUUAGAUAUUACAUUUUUUUGCUUUCUCAAUAAUUUCAUUCAAGUUCUUUUGGAUAUCACAUUUUCUUUGGUGUUUUUUUUAGAAUAAUUCAAAAUGUCUUUUUUAACGGUUCACAAAAUUUGAUCAUAGUUGAGUGAUUAAAAUUCAAGUUUAUUAUUAUUAUUAUUAUUAUUAUUAUUAUUAUUAUUAUUAUUAUUAUUGGCUAUUUGAUAUAUUUGUUUUCUUAUACAGAUAAAAGACUGGCAGCUAAUGUGCAUAGAAUUUGUAGAAGAGAAUAAAGAUUUGAUCUAAGUUAUUUCUAAUAGGUUGAGGAAUUCAUUCUUGUAAAAUUUGAGUGUUAAAGCCUUCAAGAGGUUUGAAUCUUGAAGAAAUUAUGUAAGAGCCCAUUGGAGCCAGAAUCCAAGUGUAAAGGAGAUUGGAAGCUUGGUUGAAGCUUCAAGUUAGUGAAACCCUCACUCGGUUAGGAGAUUGAGGAGAGUGGACGUAGGCAAGGAAAUGUCGAACCACUAUAAAAUCCAAGUUUAAAUUCUCUAACUCUAUCUCUUUAUUUUUUUUUAUUAUAUUGUACUUGAAUUUGUUGUGUUGAAAAAGUUUUUGAAAAACCCAAUUCACCCUCCUCUUAGGUGUUUUUCUCAUUUAAGCAUAGCCUUUAUUUUCUCACACUUGAAAUCCUUUCUCAUUAAUUUGCUUCCACCUCAUAAGCAACCCUCGAAACCACUUACACCAUGACAAGGUGAAAAGAAACUAAUGCUGCAUUCUCAAUAUAUAAGAAGAUAUCAAAGGAAGGUUGGCCACAUAUAAGGACCCUGUUUCUAAGGUAGAAUUUUAGAUUUUUGUGUUUUUCCUAUCACUACUCCUAUACUAUUACCAGUGCACCUUAUUUGUCAAGAUGAUUAAAAAGGAAUUCCCUAGGAUAACUAGUGUCUCAAGUGAUCUUGAGGUUCAUAAAUUUUUGGUUUCCACAAGAUAGGUGCCAACUAUUUUUUUUUUUUUUACACCCAUGCAAUAUUCCAGUCAUCUAUUAACAAGGGCUAAAAUUUCUUGUAGAGAAUAGAAUAAAGAACUAAAUUACAUGAAAAUAGGACAUUGUUAUUCUAUUUACAAGUAAGGGCCAAAAAUUGUUGAGGGUCAUCAAGUACAUUGUUCCUAAAAUAAUAGCAUCCAUGAAGAUUGAACUGAUACGAAAUGCCUUUCGAGUUUGAAAUCCCUAAAUUUUCUUCUUAUUUUCUAUGACUUCAUUUUUAUUAUCUUACAUUCAAAAAUCCUCUGUUUUCAUUUGUUUUGGUAGUUCUUUUUAUUUGCACCUUAUUUGUUUUAUUAUACUCCAGUAAGUUUGAAAAUUUUUACAUCUUCAAAUCAUUUUGCUUGAGUGUUUUGCAUUCUAAGAGUUUGAGGAAAUAUUGAGCUCUAAUAUAAAUAGUAUUGGUCAUAGAGUCUUCCUUUCUUAAGAAGCUUACCAUUGACCUAAUGGCCAAAGGAUCCCAAAAGAAAACGACUUUGGAUUGGCUUGAAAAUUUCACAUGGUCCAAACAUUCAUAUUUACUAGAUGCCAGAUACAAAAGAAAUUUUGCUCUCUUUUUAAUUUAGCCAUUGAUGUAGUCUAAAUGUUUUAUUAGAGCAAUAAUUGUCCACUAAAUGCAAAAUAGAGAAUGGUGUUAAUGAAUUCAGUACUUCAUCUAUGUUGUAGACUUGUAGUUUAGCAGCUUCUGUUGAUAAUGAGUGUGGGGUUGGCUUUAUCAUGUUACUGUUCCAAAUAUUCUUAAAAAAAAUCAUUUAAGCUUUGUUUGGUUCUUAGAAAAUUUGAGGGAAAAUGUGAGGAAAACAAAAUAGAGAGGAAAAGUGGAAGGAAAAAAAAGUGAAAGUCAAUGAAUUAUUUUUGUAUGCUACUUCAAACUCACUUCACUUUUUUUAACUCUUCAAUAUAAAGAUUAAAUCAUUUGAAAAAUGUGUAAAUUUCUAAUUAAUUUUAAAUAUAUUUGAUUUUCUUUGGUAUUUUCCAAAAGAUAAUCAAAUAUGAGAAAAUCAUUUUCCUUAACAUUUUUUUUUUCUUAGUACUUUUAGUGAACCAAACAUAACCUAAAUGUUUUAGUUUAGUAGUUUCAUCAAAUUAGAUAGACAACCUCACAUCUCUUAGUGAGCUCAGGUGCUAUGUCAAUUAAUGCUUUGUCUCUACUUCUUCAUUGAAGUCUCUAUUUAUUGGAUGCACAGAUGAUAUGAUCCAAACUCAAAUUGAACACUACUCUUGUUUUGCAACAUUACUGCACUCGAAAGACAACUUCAACUCACUUAUAGACCUUCUUAUUGGUGAUUGCACUAAAUCGACACCACUUUGGAAGAGAUGUGUUCCACAUAGAAAAUAUUUCAUUAUAUGCACCUACUCGCAAGAUACCAAAGGGAAACAAGUGAAUACUUGCCUAGGAAUACAAAGGCCAUACUUAGUGAAGGUUCCAUCAAUAAGGAGAACCAUUUCAAGUAUGGAAUUCUCAUUUAUUCUCAUUUUCUUAUGGCUUCAUUUUUAUUCAAUAUCUAUAUGAAAUUAUUUAUGUUCAUUUUCUUUAGAUAUCACAUUUUUUUGUUUUCUCAAUAAUUUCAUUCAAGUUCUUUGGAUAUCACAUUUUGUUUGGUGUUUUUUUUAGAAUAAUUCAAAAUGUCUUUUUUAACGAUUCACAAAAUUUGAUCACAGUUGAGUGAUUAAAAUUCAAGUUUAUUAUUAUUAUUAUUAUUGGUUAUUUGAUAUAUUUGUUUUCUAAUACAGACAAAAUACUAGCAGCUAAUGUGCAUAGAAUUUGUAGAUAGAAUUUGUAGAAGAGAAUAAAAAUUUGAUCUAAGCUAUUCCUAAAGACCAUAAACUUUUAGAGCUACCCAAGAUCUAACAGGUUAAAUUUUGAUUCACUUAGUUUACAAUCCACUAAUUAUCCUUAUGUCAUUUUUGUUAUGUUACAAAUUGCCUUUACUUGUUAUGCAACCUAUCUUAAUAAUUUGGGAAGACCAAGAUAACAUCUUCCUAGUAGAACUGGCUCAAAAAUUGAAAAGGUACACUCAUAUCACCUAUCUACAUGCCCACAACAUUAUAAACACUAGCUCAUGUGUUCCUCACUAUUGAGAUUGUUGUUGCAUGCAGGCAUUUUGGGCGAGGAGGCCCGACUUGUGAUCAUCAAUAACACAAGGCAUGCUUUUAUACAGAGAAUCCCAAAUAAACAUUUAAGCACUUUGUUAGCCCAAGGGUUCUCCUAAUCAGGUUUUGAUGAUAACAAACCAUGGUUAAGUGACUAAUUGGUUUGAAUGAUAAAGAAUCUUAGGUAUAAAUUUGGAAAUUCAUCAAAUGAUCAAAUGGAUACAAGAUCGAGACUUUUGGAAGACUUUUGAUCAUAGGAAACAAAUGUAAGAUGAAUGCAUGGGUGCACUUAGGUUUUACAUAUCUUUUCAUGAAUCUUUGAAAACUCGGUUUAUUCCUUAAAAUUACGAUUUCAUUAAAACCCGAGUUUUAUCAAAUGUACCUUAGGCAAAACAUUUCAAAAUUGGCAUAUUAAUUUACCUAAAGACCUUGCCUAAGUGUUAGAAAGGAAAAGAAUUGAAAAAUAUAGGUUUUCAGGGCCAAAAGGCUGAACUGAUCGAGGCACAUGCCAACCGGCUCAACCAACCAGGGAACCGGUCAAUCGGUUGCUCUUGCCCGAUCGAGAUCUGGUCGAGGAGUGUCAAAAACACUUUCUCUCAUCCAGUAACCUUCUCUUCCCAGUCGAGGUACUCUCCUUACCUCUGGUCGAGGUUCGGUCGAGGCAACGGUAACAUGCCAAAGCAUUAAAUGCUUCAACGACUAGUGAACCAAUCGACCCCCGGCUCGACCGGUUGAGGCUAUUUUUUGCUCUUUUUGGCUCCCGAGCUUAGAAACCAAUAAAUUGAGAGCUCCACUUCAUUUAUGACAUAGAGAAAACUUGCAAUCAAUUGUCUACCCACUUGUUCUUGCCUUAAAAGCUCUCAUUUAUUUCUUAGUGCAUUAAAUCCUCACUUGCAUAUCCUUUAGUACACCCUUGUGAAUCAUCCUAGCUUUGAUUUGUAUUUGAACUAUCAUUGAGGUAGAUUGAGGGAUUCAUUCUUGUAAAAAUUGAGUAUUAAAGCCUUCAAGAGGUUUGAAUCUUGAAGAGAUUAUGUAAGAGCCCAUUGGAGCCAGAAUCCAAGUGUAAAGAAGAUUGGAAGCUUUGUUGAAGCUUCAAGUUAGUGGAACCCUCACUCGAUUAGGAGAUUGAGGAGAGUGGACGUAGGCAAGGAAAUGUUGAACCACUAUAAAAUCCGAGUUUAAAUUCUCUAACUCUAUCUCUUUAUUUUUUAUUAUAUUGUGCUUGAAUUUGUUGUGUUGAAAAAGUUUUUGAAAAACCCAAUUCACCCAUUUCUUAGGUGUUUUUCUCAUUUAAGCAUAGCCUUUAUUUUCUCACUCUUGAAAUCCUUUCUCAUUAAUUUGCUUCCACCUCAUAAGAAACCGUCAAAACCACUUACACCAUGACAAGGUGAAAAGAAACUAAUGCAACAUUCUGAAUAUAUCAGAAGAUAUCAAAGGAAGGUUGGCCACAUAUGAGAACCUUGUUUCUAAGGUAGAAUUUUAGAUUUUUUUGUUUUUCUUGUCACUGUUUCUAUACCAUUACUAGUGCACCUUAUUUGUCAAGGUGAUUAAAAGGGAAUUCCCUAGGAUAACUAAUGUCUUAGAUGAUCUUAAGGUUCAUAAAUUUUUGGUUUCAACAAGAUAGGCGUCAAACCAUUUUUAUUUUUUUCUACACCCAUGCAAUAUUCCAUUCAUUUAUUAAUAAGGGCUAAAAUUUCUUGUAGAGAAUGGAAUAAAGAACUAGAUUAAAUUAAAUAAGACAUUAUUAGUCUAUUUACAAGUAAGGGCAAAAAAUUCUUGAGGGUCAUUAAGCACACUAUUCCUAAAAUAAUAACAUCCAUGUCGUCGAGCAAAAGUUUAUUGCAAUUACAUUAGCAUAUAAAACAAAACUAAUUUUUUUAUUAUUUAUGUUCACACCUUAUCCAUUUGAUAAAAUGCUUAAACAAGUAAGUUUGAAUUUUUUUUGUCUUCAAAUCAAUUUAAAUUUUACAUUCAAAAGUUGAAUUAAUUUUUUUUUUUGGAAAAUUUAACUGCACUUUAGAAGUUUGUGAUUAUUCUUUGGUCCAUCUUAAAAUGAGUUCCCGCAUUUUUCCAUUCCUGAAAUUAAAAUCACAAUAAAAAGUUUUAGAUUGACCUAAAAUUUUCUCAUGGCCUAGAAAUUCAUAUCUACUAGAUGGCUAAAGCAAAAAAACACUUCUAUCUUGUAUUUUAAGUAAUCCCUGCUUGCUAUUUGUUUAUUGAGAGCAUCAUACAAGUUGUGAUUAUAUUUCUUAAUUUUUUUAUAUGAUAAGACGGUAACUGGAUUGAGAAAGAUGCAACUUGUAGAGCAGAAAAUUUCUUGACUACUUUCCUUGUAUUUGCUUUGUGUGUAUCAACUGUUCUGUUAAUUAUUUUUUUAAAAUAUCACUAAAACAAACCUAUUAUGUCAAUGCUCUCUAUUGUUAUGUAUCAUAAUUUAGCUAUUUUUUCCCUAGAAAUCAUGCUUGUUAUUGUGUUAAUCAGUAGGUAGCAUAAGAACUAUUUUGUUCAAGUCAUUUUGUAUUGGCAUUCUUCAUGUUUUAAAAUAUUGUCAGACUAGCAAUUUUACUGCAGAUAUAAUGUUCUCAAAUCAAUGCAAAAAGGGACGUUGUGGGGCUUGGGCACAACCUUCCUUAAAUAGUUGAAUUGAGGGUUUCUAUAAACUAGGUCUCUAUAUCAACAGAUUCUACAUUUCAUCACUAUGGGGACCUUACAAUAAAUACCGCAAAAAACUUCAUUUACUACAUAGUAAGGAUAAUCCUAAGGACUUAAAAGCUUGAGUUGUCUUUUCCAUGGCAGCUUCAGAUCUCUUAAUAAGCUCCAAGUCAUUGUCUACCUUGAAUAUAAAUCACUGCUAGAAGUAUGUGCCCUCAACAUUCCCAUGUUCUCGAUAUUGACUAGAUAUUUGUUGCUAAUCCAUGAAGAAUUGAAGGGAUCUUUGAUAAUGACAUCUAUAAUGUACUUCAAGUUCAUGAUCCAAACCCUCUUCUUGCUUUCAAUAACUUCAUUUUUUUUUUAUAUUACUUUGUGGUCAAUGUUAUAAGGAUGUUGUAUUUUGUUUACCUGAUUCUCAUCCAUCAGCACACAUGAAAGGAAAAGUUUUACAUUGCUUUCCUUCCCUUUGCUCUGUGUUUGUAUAUGUUUAUGCAGCUAAUGCGAACUUCCACCAUAACUUUUUAAGUUUUUUCAUUCUUGAGUUUGGGAAACAACUGGAUUUGAUUGUAAUAUUUCUUGUAGAUAUCACCUUUCUUAAAAAGCUUGCAUUUAUUCACAUUUUCAAGAUGGCUAAGUCAUCUGAUUAUGCUUAUAACUUUUGGUUUCUAUUAAAUUCAGGUAUGAUGUUUGCAAUGCUAACCCCCUUACUCCUCUUGAAGACUACAUAAGUUUCUAGUGCUGUUACUUUAAUGGUUAUAGUCAAUGUAUCCUCUUGUUACUUCCUGCUUGCAUUCUAUAUGUUCAAGAGCUUUAUUAAAGUAAUUAUUUUAUUGAAGAUAUAAUUGUUUUCAGGUCAAAGCAAAAUUGAAUAAUGACGUGGUUUCAACAACUUCUCAAAAGUAAUUGGAAAGUAAGGAACUUUGUGGUAGUAUUCUGAUAUCACAUUGGGCCUUCAAAUUGUUGUCUUGAAUUGACAUAAAUAACAUAAUUUCUUUCCCAGUUAAGUUGCUUCAACAUGUUAUUAUGCUUCAAACUCUUUCAAUUAUGUGUUGUUUAGGUUUGGCAACAUUAGUACACUGGAUAUGUUGCCUCGAGUUACUUACACGACAUAAAAUUCAUCUUUGUUGUUAACUAGCAUCACUACCACAAGAUGAGUUCCCUCAGCAUUCUACAGACAACUAUAAUUUGGGACAAUUCUGGUUUGGCAACAUUAUCGGAGUUGAUAGGCAACCUAACAAAAACCUUUAAAUUUAUAUUUAUCCCGAACUAGCAUCACUGCUGGAAGACGUGCAUCCUUAGCACCCUAUAACCACUCAUAAUUGGAGACUGUUAUGGUUUGUAAACAUUCAACAGACUUGAUAGGUAACCUUGCACCAGUUACAGAGCUUCAAAUUCAUGGCUAUCUUGAAUUGACAUCACUUUCAAACUAGAUGGUUCAUCCAAACCUCAGUUGACACCCAUAAUUCAAGACUUCUCCAUUUUGGCAAUGAUAGCAGAUUUGAUAAGCAUCCCUACUUCACUUACAUACACUAAAAUUGAUAGCUACCUCGGAUUCACAUCAUUGUCACAAGAGAUUGGUUCCUUUAUAUCCCUGCAGACACUUGUGAUCUUUUAUCAUCCAUGUAUAUUAGAAAGACUUAAAAGGGAAAUAGAUGAAGAUAGGCCCAAUAAUCUUCAGUCCUAGAUAUUGAUAUGUGGUGAAGAUUGGACUAAUAUAGAGUUAGUUCAGGUUUGAAAUCCCAAUCUUUCUUCUCAUUUUUUAUGGUUUUGUUUUUAUCAAUAUGCUUUGUUUACAUUCUAUAUGGUAACUUUUGUAUGUAUUAGCAUAUAGAUCAAAAAGGACUUAGAUGAUUAAUUUGAAAAGUUUGCAUCCUCAAUUAAUUAGUAAUUAAAGACCAAACUAAUCAUAUUACUUUAAGUCUUGCAUUGUAAGAGUUUGGGAAAAUGUUAGGGUUGACUGAACUACUAUUUUAUAACAGAUUUUGCCUUACUCAAGAAUCUUGUGAUUAUUCCUUAGCACAAUCAUUUCUCGUGUCUAAGAAAUUCAUAUCUACUACAUGUCCAAAGAAUUUAGUAGCAUUCAAAAUUUAUGCUUUCUUUCAAGUCAGGUGUAUUGCUUGCAGUUCUAACAUGUUUCCUAUUUUGAACGUUGUAUUGUUAUUUUACUAUCAAUGUGUUAAGAGCAUUAUACUCUAUUUUCUAUAAUGUUGUUUACUUGUCAUAAGUAUUAAUUAUUUUAUUGCAAAUGUACUUGUUGCCAAGUUAAAGCAAAAGAGGAAAGUGAGGAUUUUUCAUGGACCAAUGCCUUUCUCAGUUGCUGCCACACUUGACUUCUCUCUAAGUUGUUGAAAAUUUAAAAGUGUGGUAGCAUAAAGUAUUCAGCUCAAGUGCUUUAGUGACUCACUACCCUUGAAGCUUUAGAAGUUGUCAAUACAAUUGGGGUUUCAACAUGUAACCAUUUUGGAAAUUCUAAGAAGUGUAAGUAUUAUGGUUUUACAACUUUAUUAGACUAGAUAGGCAACUUCAAAUUGCUGAAUGCCCUGAAUUAAAAUCACUACUAGAAGGAACCCAUGAGCACUCUAUAGAAACUCAUUGUAAGAGUUUGGGAAAAUGUUAGGGUUGACUGAACUACUAUUUUAUAACAGAUUUUGCCUUACUCAAGAAUCUUGUGAUUAUCCCUUGGCACAAUCAUUUCUCGUGUCUAAGAAAUUCAUAUCUACUACAUGGCCAAAGAAUUUAGUAGCAUUCAAAAUUUAUGUUUUCUUUCAAGUCAGGUGUAUUGCUUGCAAUUCUAACAUGUUUCCUAUUUUGAAUGUUGUAUUGUUAUUUUACUAUCAAUGUGUUAAGAGCAUUAUACUCUAUUUUCUAUAAUGUUGUUUACUUGUCAUAUGUAUUAAUUAUUUUAUUGCAAAUGUACUUGUUGCCAAGUUAAAGCAAAAGAGGAAAGUGAGGAUUUUUCAUGGACCAAUGCCUCUCUCAGUUGCUGCCACACUUGACUUCUCUCUAAGUUGUUGAAAAUUUAGAAGUGUGGUAGCAUAAAGUAUUCAGCUCAAGUGCUUUAGUGCCUCACUACCCUUGAAGCUUUAGAAGUUGUCAAUACAAUUGGGGUUUUAACAUGUAACCAUUUUGGAAAUUCUAAGAAGUGUAAGUAUUAUGGUUUUACAACUUUAUUAGACUAGAUAGGCAACUUCAAAUUGUUGAAUGCCUUGAAUUAAAAUCACUACUAGAAGGAACCCAUGAGCACUCUAUAGAAACUCAUUGUAAGAGUUUGGGAAAAUGUUAGGGUUGAUUGAACUACUAUUUUAUAACAGAUUUUGCCUUACUCAAGAAUCUUGUGAUUAUCCCUUAGCACAAUCAUUUCUCGUGUCUAAGAAAUUCAUAUCUACUACAUGGCCAAAGAAUUUAGUAGCAUUCAAAAUUUAUGUUUUCUUUCAAGUCAGGUGUAUUGCUUGCAAUUCUAACAUGUUUCCUAUUUUGAACGUUGUAUUGUUAUUUUACUAUCAAUGUGUUAAGAGCAUUAUACUUUAUUUUCUAUAAUGUUGUUUACUUGUCAUAUGUAUUAAUUAUUUUAUUGCAAAUGUACUUGUUGCCAAGUUAAAGCAAAAGAGGAAAGUGAGUAUUUUUCAUGGACCAAUGCCUCUCUUAGUUGCUGCCACACUUGACUUCUCUCUAAGUUGUUGAAAAUUUAGAAGUGUGGUAGCAUAAAGUAUUCAGCUCAAGUGCUUUAGUGCCUCACUACCCUUGAAGCUUUAGAAGCUGUCAAUACAAUUGGGGUUUUAACAUGUAACCAUUUUGGAAAUUCUAAGAAGUGUAAGUAUUAUGGUUUUACAAAUUUAUUAGACUAGAUAGGCAACUUCAAAUUGUUGAAUGCCUUGAAUUAAAAUCACUAUUAGAAGGAACCCAUGAGCACUCUAUAGAAACUCAUUGUAAGAGUUUGGGAAAAUGUUAGGGUUGAUUAAACUACUAUUUUAUAACAGAUUUUGCCUUACUCAAGAAUCUUGUGAUUAUCCCUUGGCACAAUCAUUUCUCGUGUCUAAGAAAUUCAUAUCUACUACAUGGCCAAAGAAUUUAGUAGCAUUCAAAAUUUAUGUUUUCUUUCAAGUCAGGUGUAUUGCUUGCAAUUCUAACAUGUUUCCUAUUUUGAACGUUGUAUUGCUAUUUUACUAUCAAUGUGUUAAGAGCAUUAUACUCUAUUUUCUAUAAUGUUGUUUACUUGUUAUAUGUAUUAAUUAUUUUAUUGCAAAUGUACUUGUUGCCAAGUUAAAGCAAAAGAGGAAAGUGAGGAUUUUUCAUGGACCAAUGCCUCUCUCAAUUGCUGCCACACUUGACUUCUCUCUAAGUUGUUGAAAAUUUAGAAGUGUGGUAGCAUAAAGUAUUCAGCUCAAGUGCUUUAGUGCCUUACUACCCUUGAAGCUUUAGAAGCUGUCAAUACAAUUGGGGUUUUAACAUGUAACCAUUUCUUUUUGUUCUUAUAGACAAUAGAACAAUGUGGUAAUUGCAUGACAUACAAUUUGUAAUAGAUGGUCAACUAUAUAUUAAGUAAUCUUUAAUUGCCUUGGAGUUGAAACGUUUGAUGUUGAUAAGGUUUGAUAAUUCUUGCUUUGGUGCUUUGUUGGAUUUCAAUUCAGGUAAUUAAUUGAUCUUGUUAUGAUUUUUUGAUUGUUAUUAUAACUAUCGUGAUAAUCAUUCUUAUUUUAUCGUGGUAAUUGACUUCACUGACUUUAUGCCCAACCUAUUAUUGUUAGUAUUCCAUUAACAUACCUCUAAUGCCACCACUAAUAAACAUCAUGUGUUUAUAUUUAUAACACGUUUCAUUACUGAAAUAAUUUAAUAUUUUCAAAUUUCUUUUUAGAGUGUGAGAAAUAACCAUUAAUCUUUACAACAGCAUAAGUAUCAUUGAUUUGAUAUUGCUUUCUUGAGUAAUUUGGCAAUUUAAUUAUGAAGUUUAGUUGGACAUUACUUGAGAUUCAUGUCUUAUGUAUAUGGUAUAUUUUCCAAACUUCAAUUAUAUUUAGUAGACUUGUAAGUGGUGUUUGUCUAUGAGUUUCAACUCUUGAAAACUAUUAUUGGAGUCUAAGUUCACUUUCAAUAAGGAAAAAAAAAAAUCAACCUUUUCCUCAAUUGUGUAAUUUUAUUCACUAUUGACAUGCCCUUAAAUGGCAUUGCUAUUAUUUGUAGGGAACAUUGUCAAGUUCCAUAUUUGUCUAGAAAGUUAGAAGAAGUAUUUAAUUUGACAUGGUUUGGACAUCUUGCUACUAUCUUUUUAAAUUAGUUAUCAAUAAUUUUUCAAAGUUGACCUUUUUGUUUAUCUCAUACUCCUUUUAUAUUAAAAGGUAUCGCAUGGGUAUUAUGUAGAGGAAUCAUGCCUUCUUUAAUUGAGGUGAGCCUCUUGCAAAAUAUUUCAGGUUUGCUCUCAUUCCAUUUGUUACUUCAUGUCUAUUUUUUUGUAAUCAAUCAAGCAAGAGUUUCUUACUUGUACAAUGGUGAACUUGCUUGCAUGAAUAAUACUCUUUUUACUAUUUUUUUCUUUCUUUAUUAUAUUCAUUGAUACGCUUAGAAGUGAAUAGUGAACCAGGUUUUUUGUUAAAAGAAAUCAAAUAUUGGUAAUUAUUUAGUAUCAUGUUUGUAAUAAUCAAUUAUUGAUUGUAAAGAUACUUGGCUUAAUCAAUUAUUAUAUUGAAAUCAAUUUAGUACUAUGACUAAUACCAAAAGGAUAAUAUUUAGUCUUGUUUGACCAUUAGUCACUAUUCUAGAGACAAAUGCUCACAAGUUUUGCAUCUUUGAAGCAUAUGAGAAAAGUUGGUUCAACUAUAUCACCAACUUACAAGCUCCUUAUAGUGUCCAUAUAUAUAACCUUCGUUGUUCAGGUUUAUGAUUCAUAUCUUUUUUUUUUUCAUCUUUUUAUUGUUUAUAAUUUUUUAAUUGAUUUGUUUAUAAAUUUUUAAACUUUAUUGGCAAUACUAAUUAUUUUUUUUUAUUCUCAUGUGCAAUAGAAUAAUAAGUUGAAUAAGAAGCAUAAACUACUUAAUUGGUAUAACCGUUUACUCAAUUCUCUUCUCAUAUAUUUUUGUUCAAGGUAAUCAAAGUAUCAUUCUUUUUAUUUUUAAAGGUACUUGAACUCAGUGAGGACCAUUCCCAAAACAAGCAAUCAUUACAGUUGGAUUACUGAUAUCAUAUCCUUGAUUGACAUCUAUGCCAUUACAUUUGCAUCUAAAGGAUUUAUAAUGAAAAAAUAUCUUUUUUAUUUCCAUUUUCCUUCCUUCUUUUGACCAUAAUUUGUGUGCUUAUUGAUAGCAUUCAUACCCUAAUAUAUUUGCUAGCAUAUAUAUGCAUAUCAUAAUCUAUUGAAUUUUUUAGCAUAAGGUCUUAGAGUAUUCACAUAUCUCUAGGUUCUAUAUAUUUAUAAUUUUUACAACAUCAAAUGAAGUAUAUGAACCUUAUCCUGAAGGUGAAGUCUCUUUAAAGGGAGUUUCAACAUGUUAGCAAUUACCUAACUUAAUAAUCUAACAAUUUGGCACUAUAUAUAAUUUUGCAACUCUUUCAUAAAGUAAUUGUGUUACCUUUAUUCACAUUUUCUAUCUUUAUUUUAAAAAAAAUGAAUUGGUAAUUGUGUGUCAAAUCUUGCUUACAAUCAUUAAUAGGUACUUAUAUGCUAAAUGGAUAAAGUUAUUUUACAAUUGUUUCAACAUAUUUGGAAUAUAUAUAUAUAUAUAUAUAUAUAUUUAUAGAUGUAAUCACUACCAAGCCAAUGCGAAAAGCUAUAACAAUGAGGAUUACAAAGCUUCAAUUAUGUCUUGGAGAUUCAUAUUGACAAGUUGUAAAUGGUGGGUGAAGUCUCUUUAAAAGGAGCUUCAACAUGUUAGCAGUUACCAAACUUAAGAAUCUAACAACUUGACACUAUAUAUCAUUUUGCAACUCUUUCAUAAAGUAAUUGUGUAACCUCUAUUCACAUUUUCUAUCUUUAUUUUAAAAAAAAAAAUGAAUUGGUAAUUGUGUGUCGAAUCUUGCUUACAAUCAUUAAUAGGUACUUAUAUGCUAAAUGGAUAAAGUUAUUUUACAAUUGUUUCAACAUAUUUGACACACAAGUACCUAUUAAUAAGUAUAUAUUUAUAGAUGUAAUCAUACCUAGCCAAUGCGAAAAGCUAUAACAAUGAGGAUUACAACGCUUCAAUUAUGUCUUAGAGAUUCAUAUUGACAAGUUGUAAAUGGUGGGUGAAGUCUCUUUAAAAGGAGCUUCAACAUGUUAGCAGUUACCAAACUUAAGAAUCUAACAACUUGGCACUAUAUAUCAUUUUCCAACUCUUUCAUAAAGUAAUUGUGUAACCUCUAUUCACAUGCUCUAUCUUUAAUUUUUUUUUUUUUUUAAAAAAAAUGAAUUGGUAAUUGUGUGUUGAAUCAUUCUUACAAUAUUUAAUAGGUACUUAUACACUAAAUUGAUAAAGUUAUUUUACAAUUGUUUCAACAUGUUCUGAAAACAAAAAAGAUUAAUAAGUAUAUUUUUUCUAGAUGUAAUCACUACCAAGCCAAUGUGAAAAGCUAUAACAAUGAGGCUUACAAAACUUCAAUUAUGUUUUGGAGAUUCAUAUUGAAAGUUGUAGAUUAUGGAUGUAUAGUAUAGGAGUUAGAUUGAGUUUAUCAUUCUAUCUUUGACAUCUUAGUUUUCUAUGUAUUGUCCAUCAUAUAUAUUUGUCAUCUAUUCUUUACAACCAAUUUUUUAAGGACUUCUAUGAUUUGUUUAAAUUUAUAUAUUUGUUUUUAUUUGUACUAGAACUUCACCAAGCUACAAAAGCAUCACAAGUAUUGCAAUUGGAGUUCAUGGAUCAGGUAUUUUAGUAGUUUUUGUACCUGAAAUUUUUUUAUGAUACUAAUGAGGAUGUUUACCUUGAUUAAUUUAACACUUAUAUUGCAAAUAUCUAUAUAGGAGUUCUAUACAUUUAUUUAAACAUUUAUAUACAUAUUUAUCCUCUUUCUAGCACAUUCUAAUGAUAUUUUUAACAUUGAUAUAAGUUGUUUGCUUGAAGGUUUCAACUAUUGAAAAUUAUUAUUCAAGCCUAAUGUUAAUCUUUUUCUAUAGUGGAUUUCAAAUAAUAAAUUCUUAUUUGAUUAUUUGUAGGGAAAAUAAACAACUUCUAUGUUUGAUAAGAAAGAAGAUAGAGUAGAUCAAUUUCACAAUAUACGAAUGCUACGCUUUCUAUACUUUUAAAGAUGGUUACAAUUGGCUUUCUAUACUUAACAAGUACAUCUUAGCUAAAAGUGAAAAAAUGUUUCUCUUUGCACAUGCCUUCACUACUAUUUUAAUUGCUAUCUUAAUAUGUUAUGGAAAAACCACGGCAAAUAACAAUAAUAAGGAGAAGAAAUAAAAGAACAAAAAUAUAAAACUUAUAAAGUAGGAUGAUCUAUGUGGUUUGGCCUAAACCUACAUUUAUAUGUGAAAAUGAAGAAGAACUUCCACUAUUAUUAAAGGAGAUUAAAAUCCUAAAGCUUUCAAAUCUCAUGAUUACACUAAAAAUGGACUUUUUUUUUUAAUCAAAAUCUCUUCCUUUAUUUUCUUGAUUAUAUAAGAAUAUUCCAUAGAGAAUUAAUUGUGUAAUUAUCAAAGAUAACUAUUCCUAAAAGAAAAAUCUUAUAAUAUGAUAUUUCCUUUAGAAUAAAAGAAAAAUCUCUUGUAUAAAUAUAUCAUAAUAGGAAAAUAUUAAAGACUUAUAAAUUGACUCAAAACAAUUUGAAAUAUUUUUCAACAAUCUCCACAUUGGCUCAAAUUCUCAAUAUUCAAAUAAACUCAAAAGUCUUCUAUGUUACUUUGCUCUUAUACACCCUUAAGGGAACUUCAAGUAAUAUCAAUACCAAUUAAGUCUAAGCAAUGCAUAAACUUAAUCAUAGAAAUAAGUUUAGCCAUCAUAUCUAUAAAAUUAUCAACUAUAGGGAUCUUUUUCAUUACAUUAGUACCUUGUUCAAUCACAUCUCUAAUAAAAUGCAUUCUAACAUCAAUAUGUUUGGUUCUCUCAUGUAACAUAUGAUUUUUAGUCAAAAGUAUGACACUUGGCUACCAUGAUAACAAUAAUCAAUGAUUGGAACCAAAUAAUUACAUUUUGUGUGCCUAAAAUUAGGCAUUCAUAUUUAAUAUCCAAUUCUAGUUUCAUCCCUUUACUCAAUUUUAUUCCUAAGUCCUUAAUUUUGGGUUUAAUGUAUUUUUUAAAUAUUUUCCUUCUUUUUUGGUAUAUUUAUAUCACAUUUUUGCUAGCCAUUAUAUUUUUCAUGUGUUGGUUGCUAAUUUUACACUACAUAGUUGUCACAUCAUCCAACUAAUGGUUGUUACAUUAUCCAACUAUGGGCUGCCACAUGCUCCAGCUACCUUAGCCUCCUUGCCAAGUAUUUUCCAUGCCAAAAAAAGAUUGACAACUAUUUCAAUUGGUUGGUAAAGUUGAGAAAAGCUUCCACCAACCUCGCCAUUAAGUUGUGCUCCUUGCUCCAAUUUCUAAUUUUGCUUUCUACCCUCUUGUGGAGUUAGUGUGGAAAUGACUUUAUACAAGGGAGAUGAAGGUUGGUUUUAAGUAAGGUAGCUUAUUUGUAAACUUGUAUUUCCUUCAUUCAGGCGGUAGUUCUCAUUUCUUAGCCUUGAUUUUCAAUUUUGAUCCUCUCAUCUUGCCUCUAUGAGUGGCCAACAUCCAAACCAAGGAAUAAUUUUUAAUAAAAUAUUAAUAUUAAUGUUCAAAUAAAAUCAUAUAUUUAUAUUCCUUAUCACAUUUAUAGGAAGAGAAAUAUUUGAGACUAGGCCCAGUUCACUUUUUAUAAUUAUAAAUAUCAUAAAAAUAUGAAUAUUAAUAUCCUUAUCCUCAUAAAAGCAUAAUUAAUUUAUUUUAUAAAAAAUUAAUAAUAAUAAUAAUAAUUACUAGUACGAUUUUAUUUUAAAUAGAUUUAAAAUUAAAUAAAGUUUAAUUUUUAAGGUAUACAUGCAUAAGUUUUUCAUUACAUAUACACAUUUAAUACUUAAUUAGUAAUAGUGUAUUCUAAAAUUUUUUUAUCUAGUCUAUAACUAAUUAAUCCAUUUUUUGGAAUUCUAAAUUGUUCUUAAAAAUUAAAAUAUUCAUUAAAGAAUUGAAAGUGUUUAUUAUGUUUAACUUAAUUUAAAUUUAUUUAUCUAGUGAGAAAAUUCAUAAAAUAUAGUUUUAUGUAUAAAGGAAAUAGUAACGACUUUACAUUUAACGAAUCUUUUAUUUUAUAUUGAUUCAUUUAAUAGUCUAUUAUAUAUAUUUAAAAUUUAUUAAACUCAUUAAUAAAUUCAAUACAAAGUUUUACUUAAUUUGAAAUUCAUCUCUCUAGUGAAAAAAUUGAAAAAAAAUAUUAUUUUGUGAAAAAAAAAUACAAUAAAAUCAUUCUAAACUAAUUUUUGUCCAUAGAUUUUUUGUAUUUAUUAGUUUAUUAUUUGAUUUUUAAAUUAAUUUAAAAAAUUAUUAGACUUAUUAAUGAAUCCAAUACAUUAUUUUUUUGUUUAAUUUAUUUAUCACACCAUCAAACAAACUUUUAUUAUUAGUAAAAGACCUCUCAAAAGAUGUUUUUUUUCUAAAUAAAAAAAAAUAUUAUAAACGAUGUUUGAUUCGAGAGUUUUUUAAAAAUAAAAAUUAUUUUAAAUUAUGUGUACAUAAUUGUUGCAAAUUUAUUUCUUUUUCCAUUACCAUUUUCAUUCCUACUUAACAUUGAAAUGAAAACAAAUAAUCAAUUAAACCUUACAUUUAUUCCUAAUCCAAUGACAAGAAUUGGUAUCACCGAAUUCAUUCCAUUCUCUAGUCUCAUGUAUCAAACAUAGUCGUAUAGUACCAAAAACUUCUUCUAAGUAAUGUGGAAUAUCACAUUCACUUUCAUACAGAUACAGUUUUUAUUGUAUCACAUGGAAUUGUGAGGCCUUUUAGUACCAUUUGUAAUGACCCACCUCCAAUUAUAUAAAUAUUAUUUGGUCUAAGUCCAAUGGACUCUAAUCGGUUUUAAAACUUGGCUAUACUGUUAAGAGAAGUCUACUAUGUAUACAAUCUUCUCCUAAUAAACAUGUGACAUAACAAAUGGUGGGACUCAAACUAAAGCAAGGCCUUUCAAACUGUCUACCAUCUUAGUUUCAGCAUGAAUUCAAUUUGUUCCAAACAACAUAACUCUGGAGUAUUUUAAACAAACGAUUUCCAUUUAAAACACAUUAUUAAAGUAUAAAGAAAACAAACCCGAUCUUCAAGCGGUUUUGGGGAUCACCUGUGGAAGAGCAGUGAAAUAGAAAUAUCCACUAAGUGUAUAGGGACCCAAGAUCAACACAUGCAACAGGAUAUCUAAUUCCUCCUAAUAUCAUCAGCAUGAAGAAAAUUGGCAUCAUUUCCACUGAGUUCUGAUGCCCUCUCUGAAAAAAAAAUAAAUGCAAAACAUUUGUUUUUUCUAAUCAUCGGUCAUCCAUACAUAGAAAAAUCUAUGUGUGAUCUUAAGCCAGAAAAGAUGUUGCAUCUAAUCAAAUUCACUAGACAUGAUGAUAUCUAUACUUUUUUUUUUUUUAAUUAUAUUCAUAUUUAUGUCAGAAAAUAAAUUUUUUAUUUUUUAUUUUUAGAACAUUAAACUUUUUAAAAGUCCUUUCUGGGAUAUUUUCUAGCUUUUUCCUUUUGCUAAUUUUUGUUAUUCAAACAAAUCUUAAGAAAGGAAUCAAGCUUGGACACAAUUAAAGAGCUUGGCAUCCUUGUUUUUAGAUUCCAAAGCAUAUAUAGAGAUUGGGGUAAAACACCUUGUACCUAAGAAAAAAAAAGGAAAAAAAAACACCACAACAAAAAAUUAACCAAAAAUCAGAAAACUAACUAGAAUAAAAAAUCAAGAAAAUAUUUUUUUCUGGGUUAAUAAUUAAUUAUAAUGAAAUCAAAAGAAAAAGAAAAAAUACAUACUUCUUCCUGGCUUUGCCUACACUGAAAGCCAUGAAAGAAUUGGAAAAGCAGUAAAGAACAAGAACAAGAACCACAUAUGGGGAAAGCAAAUCCUCUGUUGCCUUCUUCAGAUUAAAGGCAACUAAUAAACGGGUUAAGGGGUUAUGAGUUUGACUUGGUUGAGUUUGAAGCUACAAAAGUAAGAAAAAUGGUAGUAAUUUUGGAAGCAUUUCUAACUCUUCCAUAACUUGAAAGAUAAAAAAAUUUAAGCGUUAAAAAUGUUAAAAGAGCUUUUUAGAAUCACCCCAAAUGUACUCUAAAUUAUUUAUGACUUGAUGUCACCUUCACACUCAUUUUUCAGUGUCAUUUAAUUUUGGUGUUCCCAUAUUAAAGAUUUAGGGUAAUGUAAUAUUCAAGCCUUCGAAUUUUGCCUUCACUAACCUUUGAAUUUUAAUUAAAUUCUUUGAAGGAUAUUUGACCACUUCAUUGUCCAAAAAUGCUUAUAUUGCCAUUUUUUUGGGUCUUUUUCUAUAAUUCCAAUUUUACUAUUUUUCUUUUAUUUAUUCCUAUUAUUAUUUAGGCUAUUAUAUAUAAUAUUCUUAAUAUUAUAUUUAUAAUUGUUAAUAGUAUAAUUACUUUUUUUUCAUUUAUUUGUCAUUUAUAUUGCUUAUCUUAUCUUUAAUCAUGUAUAAGACUCAAAAACUGCAGAAAACAUUAAUAAGUAACUACUAAACUUCAAAGAGAUAAUAAAAUUCAACUACAUUGAUAUUACAAUAAUACAAAUGAAAUAUAUACCAACCAGCCCUUAAAGGGGCUUUUAAGAAAUAAUGAGUCUACUUCAGAUUGACAUUUAAAGUAGAAUCACCAUCUCUAUAGAUAAAUAUGAAGCCUAAAAAGAACAGAACAUCACUAAAUAAUAUUAAUAAAGCAACAAUUAGAUCAAUUGAUAGUGAAAAUAAAGGUUUACAAGAUGAAUCACAUAAAUAAGAACAACUAAAUUGAGAAACAAAUUACAUGUCUGACAAAUCUAAUGAGGGAAAACAUUGGAGCUAGGUGCCCAAUGAUUGGCUCCUUGAAGUUGACCUACCUCCUCAAUAGGUACAUAGGAGUCCUUACCUAAAAAAACAUUAAAAUCAAUAGGGCGAACAUAAGAUCUAAUAAAGGAUAUGAGUUUUCCUUUUUGUGCACCAAAGGAAGAUAAUGAAGUAGAAGAAAAUGAUGAGAAUUUUUUUUUUGGAAAAUAUGGGGAGUCGUUCUGUAAAUGAAGCAGAAGAGGAGAAGUUGUAAGUGUUGGAGAGAAAAAAGAAGAAGGACAUUUUUGUCUCAAUCAACAAUUUUGUUUUGUUUUUUAACCGGUGGGUUAUAUAUGCAAAUGUGGGGGUUAUUUUGACCCCUUUAACCAAAUAUCCCUCUUUUUUAUCGAGUUACAACUUUAAAUUAGGUGUAAAAAGAAAUUUUGAUAUGGUAGAUACUAUACAGUUAUAUAUUGAAAUUCCAUGGUUCAUUAGAUAAACCAUCCUUGAAUUUCUUUGGUUUCAAUCAAGAUGAUAGAUCAUCCUUCCACAGAGUGACCUAAUAUGACAUUGAUUUUCUAGGGCUUCAAACACGAAGGGUGUCAAUGACUAAGAACUCCGUUUGAUUGCCGAGAAAAUGAGGAAAAAAACCCUCAAAUAAAAUAUAAAUACAAUUAAGAAUUUCAAUUUUACAUUGUUAGGGACCCCAAAAAUGGGAACAUUCACUUAACUGAGCCUAAUCCAACCACCUACCUUAGUUCAAUCCAGUCCCCACUUUCUAGAAACCAAAACAAUAUAAACAUUCCUGUGUUUGACUAUUCAGAAAGCAUAUGAUAAGCAAAGAAAAGAACGGUGCCUCCUCAAUCAAACAAAUUUUUUUUUUUCCUUUUCUUUUCUUGCAUUUUCUUUUUUUCGGCAACCAAACAUAACUUUUUAAUUGAGCAUUGUUGUAUACAAUUUAGAUUUCUUUCCCUCGGUUUCUCCGUAACCAAACAGAAUUUUUCUCUAUUGAGCGAGAGUCUAGUAUAUCCUUCGUUUUCCUAUAACCAAACAGAACUUCCCUUGUUAUUUUUUUUAAUCUUUUCUUUGAAUUUCUCGGAAACCCAACGGAGUUUACUUCUGGUGCAACCGUGCAAGAAAAUGGUUUUACCUGAUCGCAGUUCACCGGACUAACUGAAGCAACAGAGGCUUAAGAAAAAGAGACUGAGCUUUGUUUGUUAGACCCCCUAUGUGAGUAUGCAAAGUAAGAAGAACUGAAGCUGAAAUUAGGCGGCUUCCAAACACGUCCUAGGAGUUGGUUUUAAAACCCAUUUUUCCCCUUUUUGGUUGCAAUCGGUCUGCAAAGAUGCCAUUAAAAGGUAACCGUAGUUGGUUGCAUGAAUAAGAAAAUGAAAAGAAAAGAAGUUAAAACUAAUUAAAAUUAUUUAAUAUUUACAUUGAAGAGUAAAAAUAAUUACAAUAUAUUUAAAUAAACACAUAAAAAUAAUAAUUUAUUAAUUUUAAAUCUAUUUUUAAAAUUUUCAAUUUUUCAUUUAUUUUAUUCCCUCUAAGCUUUCUAACUAAGGUCAUAAUUUGGACAAAUUGUUGGAUUCAUAACUAAUCUAAAUAAUCUAAUAGAGAUAAAUAAAUAAUUAAUUUAAGUUCAACCCAACCUCUAAGCUUUCUAACUAAGGUCAUAAUUUGGACAAAUUGUUGGAUUCAUAGCUAAUCUGAAUAAUCUAAUAGAGAUAAAUAAAUAAUUAAUUUAAGUUCAACCCAACCUCUAAGCUUUCUAACUAGGGUCAUAACUUGAACAAAUUGGAUGGUUAACAUACAACUUGGACAUAUUGGUGGGUUCAUAGCUAAUCUGAAUAAUUUAAUAGGGAUUAAUAAAUAAUUAAUUUAAGUUUAGCCCCACCUCUAAACAAAGGUAUUUAAUUCAAUCUCAACCAACUUCAUUUCUUCGAGCUCUGGUUGAUGAGGUUAAACUUGGGUUAGCCCUUGAUUGUAUAAUUCAAAAUACAUGUAGAAUGUUUUUUAAUAAAAAAAAAUUUAUAUACUUAUAUCAAAUUUUAAAUAGUAAGUAGGACAAAACUUUAAAAUAACAAAAAAAAAACAAAAAAAAAAAACAAAAGCAAAAACAAAGUUAUAUAUCUUUUUUAAAAAGUAAAAAAAUAUAUUAUAUAAUAUAAUUUGAUUUUUUAUUUAUAAAAAUUUAGAAAGAAUAAAAUUAUUAUAUAAAAUAACAUAUAUUGGAAAUAUUAUAAAAACACUAAAAGUUUGUUCAGUAGUUAUUCAAAUAAGUGUUUCUAUCCAUAAUUUAAACUUUGGUUUCAAUCUAACUUGAAUUGAAUUUGAGUUGAAAAAGUUUAACUUGAAUAUUAAAAAUAAUUGUCUAAACACGAUCAAAUAUCGGAUUGGAUUCGACUAAUCUGCCAAAGUUGCACUCCUACCAAGAACCAUACACAAUAAAAAGAUUUUAAGAUAUUUUUUGUUCUAGGAAAGUACUCAAAAAGGAGAAAUAAAGAAAAAAAAUGAUUCUAUAUGUAUAAUUAAAAUUAGUUAAAUUUUAUAUAUUUUAAAAUUAUUUAAUUUUUUUUAUAUGGAAAAGAAAAAAAAAGAGUGAAGUAAGUUUGAAAAAACAAGUAAAAAUGAUUUGUUAACUUUAAUAUUUUUUUUCUUUUCUUUUCUUCUAUUUUUUUCUUUUUAGUUUAUUUUUCUCAAAUUUUUCAAAAAAUAAACAUAGAAUUAAAAAAUAAGAAAUAAUUACAGAAUUGGAAACCAAUUUUAGAACUUGCUUAUAUGAUUGCAUUAGUUUGUGUAAAUAAUAAUUUUAUUGAAUGUUAAGAGAGUGGUAUUAAAUGCACAUUAUUUAAUAUUUUUAUUUCUAAAGAAAGUAAUCUUUACAUGGAUUGGACCAGUGUUUAUUUAUCCAUGUGGGCCAGCCCAUUAAAAACAUCAAACCAACAACUCAAGGGACGACCCUGGUCAUUCUCGGGGGCCCACAACCUUCAUCUCAAACAAAAGCCCAUGGGCAGGAUCACCUUCCACACACAUCUUCAUACCAGCCACCACGCUACCAACAAUCCUCCUCCAUGAAAGCCCACCUCCAUCACAGCAAGCAGAAAAUCCAACACGCCAACCAUCAACCUCCGCACAGACCUAACACUGCAUAGCCGUGUUUUAGGAGUGUUAGGACGUGAUUAGAGAGGAUCUACUUUGAGUGUUCAUGGAGUUUCGCUAUAAGAGGAAUCAGUUUACCAAAAAUUCUUCAUGAAACCAUCCAUUUAUCUCAGGGAACAUUUAUGAAGUAGAGUCAAAUAGAUUUACAAAUAAGAGAUGAUUGAUUCCUUUGAAUGAAAUAACCUUAUUUCAAAUUGCCCUAAUGUGGCCUAAUAAGCAAAAUUACUGGUUAUAUUUUGGACACAUCUCAGUAGAGGUUCGGGGGAGAAAAUAGAAGAAGCAGAGAUGCUUACUUACUUCAGAGGGGCCACUGCUCGCCACCACCACUUCAUGGCUGUGCCCAUUUCACUUGCCCAAGCCACUCUCUUCUCCAAACCCUCCAUUUUACUCCACAGAAAUGCCAUCAAUGGCUUCUCCUUUUUCAUUCCUUUCUCCUCUUCUUCUGCUCAGAAGAUUCAGACUCACAAGUGGAGGCAACCGGUGGUCUCGGUUCUGGAUCUUGGUGGAGUCAAGAUUGGCAGAGAUGGUAACAUACCCACAUCCCAGAAUUGCGUUUAAAAAGGAUCUUUAGCUUGAAUUUCGUGUGCCCAAUUUGCGUUUUUGCAGACAUUUGCACUCAAGUCGUGUCGUUUGUUUGCAAUUUCACAAUCUGAUUUCUUUUCUAUUGUGCGUUUUUUUUUCCUGCUAGGUUCGAAUUCAAGCAUCCAAUUUGCGUUUUUGUGGGUAGUCUUAUGCCCAACUUGUGUCAUUCAAUUUGCAAUUGUUGUUAUCAGACUUCCUUCUCUCUUUUGAGACUUACACAGUUAGAGACGUCAUUUCUGUGAAAUUAAGAAUGCAUGUUCCAACUUUCACUUCUUUCUCUCUCUCUCUCUUUUUUUUUUUUUUUGUGAAAUUGGAAUUCAAGAACUUAUUUUACGUUUUACAAGCUUAGCGGGUUACGUUUCUGUUCUAUUUGUUGUGCUGUUGGAGGUGUUUGGUGCAUUUAUAUAACUAGGCUUGCAAUUUCGCCCUCUGAUAAAGGUUAAAUUUUCUCCCUUUUUAUUUUAUAUUUUUUUAAUGGUGUAUUUGUUUUGGGUAUUUGGUGAAAUGAGGAUUUUGUACUGGGUUUAUGGCAUUUUUUCAAUUGGUUUGAUAUAUGUGAAUGUGGGUUUUGUAGGGAAGAUAUGCAAAUUUUUUGAAAGUAAGAAUGCAAUUACAACUCUGAUUUCCUUUAUAUUUAUAUUUUUUUAUGCUUAUUUGCAUAUUGGUUGAUGUCAAAAUUCAUCUAAUGGGUUGUUUUUUAUUGCUUUGGAUUGGUUUAAUGUAGUUGAAUGGUGGAUUUUGUUUCUAAAACUUAGGGUCAAUUUCAAUUUUUAUUUUAUUUUUUUAUUUUUUCAAUUUGAAGACCUGGGAGUCUAUGUGAUUGGAAUUGAUGUACUCGAGUUUUUGGAUUUUGCUGAUUGCCUUGAUAAACUUGGGAUGCAGAGCCUUAAAAAAUAAACUACAUUCACUAAGCUAUAUCUCUGAUUAUACUUCGUCAGAGCGUGAAAUGCAACUUGGAGUCUUUGUAUUUUUUAAAUUUUUUGGGUUAUUCUAUUCUGAAUAUUUGGUAAAAUUAGAAUUCAUGUACUGAACCUUUUUCAAGUUCUUUUGGUUGGCUUGAUAUAUUUGGUUGUGGGGUUUGUAGAUGUGGUGAGGGAUGAUCCUACAAACAAUGUCCCGGAUGCAAUUUUUUUGAAACUUGGAAUGCAGCUUCACAGGAGGGAUCAACACCCAGUUGGAAUUCUGAAGAAUGCAAUAUAUGAUUAUUUCAAUGCCAAUUACUCUAACAAAUUUGAUAAGUUGGAUGACCUUUGCCCAAUAGUCUCCACAAAAGAGGUUUGACCAUUAAGAAAUAAAAUAGAAAUUGUAUGCAUGUUUUUUUUUCACUGUUUUGAGCUAUACAUUGCACUAUUUGGAACUUGUAUUAUCUUUCUAUGACUGGUGCUUGACAUUUUGUUGCUGUUUAUAUUUAUUUUGCUGCUCAUUUCUUGUUGGUUAGUGUCCUGUCCUAGGUGUUUUAACAUUUAAGAAUCCAUGAAAGUGGUAUUUGCAUAUGUUGCCCAUUAUUCCAUCGACGAUGUUCUAAGUAGGGAACCUAGUAUCCAAACUUCCAUCCAAACUUACAUAUAAAAAAAAAGUCCAGAACAGGCAUUCAGUUUACCAGGUUUAUCAGUUCUCUCCAGUGUUUAUUCAACUCUUAAAUGCAGUAUUCUGGACAUACUCCAAAUUUGAAAUUCCUUUGGUAAAAUAAAGGCAUGGUACUUAUAGUGGUCUAUUAAGGAAAAGGUUUGUUUGACCUAGCUUUUGUACAAAAAAUUCAAGGAUAGUCUUGCAGAUAUGUAUCAUAUAGGUGUAUAUUUCUCUAUCAUGAUACAAGUGAGAAAAAAUUCAGGAAAGUUGUUUUGUUUAAAAAAAAAAUUGAAAGUUAAUUUAUGUUUUGAGAGGGACAUUAGGCAACCUAGGAUUCAAAGGGACAUAUUGUCUCUUAGGAAAAUAUAAUUCAUAGCAUUCUCAACCACUUACAGGUUAUUUCAGUCCUUUUAUAUUGAUUUAUUUAAUUUUUUUCUUUAUUGUAGGCAAGCAAAAAAGAAUUUUACAACACCUACUAUUAUCAUUAUUUUGGUAAUUAGCAUUGAUGGAGAUUGUAAAAAUUCUCUAAUAGUAUUGCAGGAGAAAAAUAAUAUUUAUGAAUUUUUGUUAAACACAAUUGUCAUAAUGAUAAUAAUUAAUUAGAAUAAUAUAAGUUUGUAAUUGGAAAAAUUUUAAAAAAUAAAAGCUUUUGGAAAUAGUUUGAAUAGGAGUAGAAAAUUCUUGGAUUUCAUGGAGAGCUUAGGUGGGAUCUAAAGCAUGGGGCUGUUUGCUAUCUAUUUUAGUAUUUGCUGCUCUUCUCUCUUAUAGGUGUUCAGCUGCAGCUUGUAUUCUCUGAGCGUACUUGGGUUGUGCCCCCUUUUGUGUUCUUCAAUAUAAUCUUCAGGCUCAUGACUAGUGCAAUUUCUACUAAUUGAACACUUUUCACUUCAAAUAAUAUUCAGUAAUCUAAAUAGCAUUUAUCAAAUUAUUCUAACCCGCCAUUAGAUUUAUAAAGAACCCAAAAUAUGAAAUUUUCUUCUUAGGCAUGAGAAAUUGUCAUUGUUAUAAACCCCAUGUUUGUCUUGUACUUACAAGCAUAAUUAUAAAGCAUGAUCUGCGUGUCUUAUCAUGAAAUAUAACAAUGUCAUAAAAUAGAUGAUUGAUAAAAUGUUAGAAGUCCAUUGCAAAUGCUUAAUGGAACUGAAAAUUAUUACAGAACAAGUGCAUAUUUCACUCAAACUUUUAUGCAGUAGUGGUAGCUUAUAAACUCACAACUUUGUAAUCAUGUGCUUGAAUCAAGCAAACUUAAUGGCUCUCAGCUACAACUGCUCUACAUUUUAACCAUUGUUUUAUGUUAUGGGAAUAGUGACUGAAUUACACAGUUCCAUCAUUAUAAUUUAUGCAUUGUAAUUUCAUUUGUGGGACUUAGUUUUCACAUGUGUUCACAUGUCAUAACUGUAAUUUCCCUAAUUUUAUGAGAAAGAAAAACUCUUUAAUUUUCCCUAUUUUGACUGAAACUUUUGGAACUUGGACUUUAUAUGGUGCAAAUGUAUGUUAUCAGCUAUUGCUUUUGACCAGUCAUGAGUAGAUACUAUUUAUAAAAAGACACAAAGGAGGAUAUAAUCCAAGUGCACUUGUAGUCAACAAGUUACUCUGGGCAUCAAAAUUGAAAGAAACAACAAUGAAGAAAAGCAGCAAGAAAGUGCCCCUACCUCCCAAACUCUCAAUGAACUAAUGGAAGGAUCUACUACUAUGCAAGAUAACUUCUUCUAAGCACAACUACACAUAACAAUACUUAGCCUGCGCUAUGGUGUCAAGUGGUAGGGUCAUUGGAACAUGCCUAUUUUGAUGGAUUUUAAUUUGUGGGGAUAGUUAAAGUGUAAAGUGUUUGAUAAAAUAAAUUUGCUAGUUUUAAUAAAUUGGAAUUACUACUGAAUGAAAUGUGAAGCUAGAUAUUAGGAGGAGAAAGAAAGAUAAUUAAUUUAUUUGUAUGACACUAUGACUUACACAUUGUGAAGCUUACUAGUAGGGAAUUGUUGAACAGGGGAACUUACUUAAUAGGGGAGAAAGAACCACACAUAUUUCUUGAUGAGUAAAUAUAAUUACAUUAGCCAAAGGCCAAAAAUAUAUGAGUAGUUCACUAAUUGCAUGUUAUUGGAAAGAGAGCUGAGCAACUAUGAUUCAUAAACUUUUUACAAUUUAAAGGCCUGGGUCCAAUGAGAUAUGUUGCAUCAUAUUACCUAAUGAACCAAUGAAGUUUAUGGAUUUCCAAAACUUCUUGGAGAGGUUCAUUAUUUUAUGGUUCUUUUUUUUUAGGGUUCUUUAUUUUCUCUUUGCUGAGAUAUCUAGAAUAUGGCAUGGUAGGUAUUUUUGCUCCAUACCUCUUUGGAGGUCGAUUCUUUGGCAAAGUAGGAGGAAAACAAAUUAGCAUCAACUUUGGCUUGACUUGAGAUCACAAAUCUGACUAGAGAUUUUGCAGUAGUGUGUUGAGGUCUAAUCUGAAUCCAGGUUGUGAUGUGUGCAUCAAAGAGUCUUUCCAUAAGCCAUGAAGCUUUGAGGUGUUUUGUGAUGGCAUGACUGGAUAAUGAGCUGCAUUUUGGUCUGGAAUUUGGAGUUCGGUUAUGCAUUUCUGUAUCUAUAUCUCCAAAAUUAUUAACUAAUUUUAAUUAUUUUAUCUAUUUUUCAAAAUAAACAUUCAAAAUUGAAAGUUUGUGUCACGAGUCUUCAGGCUUAUCCGGAAUAGAAUGCCCUGCAUUAACUCUUGCUGUUAAUGCAUAUAAUACCAGGUCAGUCAACACAGCCAUUCGCUUGCUUAUGUUGACUUUCAAUGGCUUAAAGUUUAUGGCUUCAAUGGUUAUUACCAUGCUAACACUCAAACUAAUUCUUUUUUUGAUAGGUAAAUAAGAGCUUGUAUUAGAAGCGCCUAGAAGUGGCGAAAACAGUACACAUGAAGUAUACAAACAGAUUGCCCAAGAAACUAGGCAAAGAAGACAAAAAACCUUUCCCCUAACUAGACAUAUGGCCACUCUAUAAAAUGGUCAUUGGUUUCCUCUUUCUCUUUACACAAGCAUAUUCAAACUAAUAACUAAUAGUUAUUGGAUUUAAAGCUUGUUUGUUAAUGUUCUUCAUGGUUGUGCUUCUAUUUUUAAUCGAUUCUCUUGGCCAUCACCGUUUCCCCCUUAUUAAGAUUGGAUAUUUAAGUUUCAACGAAACAGCCUACUAAAUCCUCCAGAUAGAUCCUAUUUAUAAGGCAUGGAAGUUUGGUCAAUGUCUGCUUCCAAGAUUCUUAUCCAUAUUUCUAUGAAUUCUUAUGCCAGAAAGUCUACUUCUUGCAGAAUUUUGAUGAUGUCUUGGUUCCUCCUGAUCACGUCAGUAGAAGUUACAAUGAUACAUACUACAUUGACUCCCAAACUGUCUUGAGGUGCCACACUAGUGCUCAUCUAGCAGAGCUAUUGAGGAGGGGACACACUCAUUUCCUUGUGACUGGAGAUGUUUAUCCUAGAGAUUCCAUUGAUUCAACUCACUACCCUGUUUUUCAUCAGGUUUCUUAUCUCUGAUUUUAUCAAUGAUUGUUUUCUAUUAACAAGUUUCUUAAUGUUUUCUUCAGUUCAAUAACUUAUCAUGCAGAUGGAAGGUGUUCGUGUCUUCUUUCCAGGUGAUUGGGAGACAUCUGGAAUGGAUGGCACGUCUUAUGCGGCUGAGGAUUUAAAGAAAUGUCUUGAGGGUUUGGUGCAGCACUUGUUUGGUAAACUUAGAUCAGGAGAUUGUCUUAAUCAGAUGCAAACUUAAUGCUAUCAGUUCAUGCUGCAGUGAGAAAUAUGAGUUAAGGAAUCAUUUAUCAGGUCGAAUAAUUCAAAAUCUGGGAAAUACUGCAAGUAAAAGGGGGGAAAAAUAAUGAAAUAAUAAAAUAAUAAAAUAAUAAAUUUAAGUGGGGAAAGCAAUUCAUUUUUUUUUUUUGAUCAGUAAGUAAUAUGUGUAUUGAAAAGAGGUGCUAAAGAAGCGACUCAAAAGUGGGAAAGCAAUUCAUGUUAUGCAAAAGCGGUAUAGGUUGGUCAUUUAGAAGUCAAAUCAAGAUAGUCCAGAAUAAUAUAGGGAAUUAUUUGUGAUUCUCAAGGUACUUGUUAAGAAUCAUUGAUAAAUUACGUAAGGAAACAUUUAAGAGUGCUAUUAUUCUUGAAAUUUCUGAAAUCUAUCAGAAAGGUAGUUUUCAUCUUGGGGUUUACCAUAUACUGUAUAGAAUCUGUGUGGGCUAAAUCUGUUGAAAUUUGCAGGUAAUGUGGAAAUGCGCUGGAUUGAUACAUAUUUCCCUUUCACCAACCCAUCAUUUGAACUUGAGAUAUAUUUUCAGGUAUGCUUUUGAUCUGGCUGGUGGUUGCAUUUUAGCACUAUAUAUUUCGAAUUUCUUUAAAACUUUGUUUUUGAACUAAUUUUAGUAGAAACAGGCUCCAUUUCAUUUUGCUGUUUUUACCUUUUGCAAGGAAGGGUAAAAAUCAUUUAAAAAAUGUGAACUUCAGUUUAUUCCAUUGCUGGCAUGUGUGGCUUUCAUCUGUUUUUGAAGACACUGAGAUUCAUAGACUGAUGAUAUUCCAAUGCUUAUAAUAACAGUAAUGUUGAUGAUAAAAUAAUAUAAAAGUAGAAACAAAAUUAGUUGUCUCCCUUUUUUUUUCUUUUAGUUUCUUUGUUCUUCUUACCCCUCUGUUGUGGGGAGGGGGUGUGGGGCUCUUUGUCGUUGCCAAAUGUGAAAAAGAAGAUGUAUUAUGUCCUUUUAUUUUGGACUUACAGGACCUAUUAUGAAGGCAUUGCUUUCUUCAAUGUAUAUUUAUGACUUCAAGACAUUUUUGUAUUUUAUUUUGUGGCAGCAUUUUUUAGUGUCACUAUUGAAGGAGAAAUUCAUAAACAUAUAUACACACAUGCUAGUGGGCAUACACAAACACUGAUGUUCCACACACUAAUUAAAAAAUUCUUGCUUUGAGUAGUAUCUUUUUCCAGAACUCAUGUCCAUGUCAGAUGGCAACAUGACAAUGACUAUUUGCCAGCAGAUGGAAUGCUGGCAACACUUUUAUGGAUUGAAUGUUUUCCUUUCCCUUUUCCUUGUAGUGAAUGAUGUGUACUUUAGUUGCUCUUACAUAUUUGAUGCAUUGUGCUUAUGCCCUAACUGAUGCAGAACAGAAAAGUACCAAAAAAAAUGAUGGGAGUCUAGGAAUUACUUCCAAAAACCUUAGGCUUCACAUAUAGGUUUCGUUUUCAUCACACAAAAAUGAAAACAUUGAAAGCUGGAAGGUUUUGUGUUUUCAUUCAUUGAUCCUUUUAGAAGAUAGAGUGAUCAGCUUUGGAAACUACAACCCUAAGACCCCUAAGACUCUUAAGACCCCUAACACUCUUUGGAACCAAUCACAGUAAUAAUUAAGCUGAGAAAUCAGAAACUUGAACUGAUAAAUAAAAAUUAAAAGGCACUUGGAAAUAUAAAGCAUUAAUGACUUUGAAAAUAAGAACACUCCAAUACCCACCCCCCGCCCUUCGGAAAACUCAACCUUGACAAGUUAAAGGCAUGGAGUUUCUCAUAAAGAUCACAAUUCAACUGCUGAAAUUCAUUGCUUGUGAUCCACAUACAAUCUCAAAGUGGCCUUUCUCUCCAUUCCACAAGAUACUUUUGAUAACCUCCUCUUCUGGUUGAAACAAUUUAGUGACCAACAACUUUUCAAUCUUCUCUUUCAAUCAAGGGGCUGGUAGAAGAUGACCAUUUGGACCAUUAAUUGAUGUAGCAGCUUUAGGAUUAGGAUAAAGGGUGCGGUCUUUAAUAUUAGAGAUCUUAUUAAUGCUCAUAUUUUCUGGCAAGUCAAGUACAUUAGCGUUGGGACUUGUUUUCCUGAGAAUUUUAUAGGGACCAACAUUCUUUGAGUGGAGUUUCUUAUAGGCACCUCUAGGAUAUUGUUCAGGCCUUAUUCACACAAUAACCAUAUCACCUUCAAUAAGUUGAGCAAAUUUUAUUUUCACAUCAUCGUAUGACUUAUUUAUUUAUUUGAUAGGCAAGCUGGAAAAACAUGUAUUCAUAUGACUUAUAAUUUCAUUGAUGAAAACAAUUUUCAUUGAACAUGAUGUUGUAUGUCAUCUAUAUGCUCACUAAAAGCAUCAGCUUCAAUGAUAGGUCAUGCAUCCAUUGGUAAAGGAACCAAAUCCAUAGGCUUUCUAGGAAGCGAUUCAGUCACAAUCUCAAAAGGACUGUGACCAAUAGACCUGUUCAGGGAGCUAUUAUUUGCAAAUUUGGCCAUUGAUCUGAUCUCUAGCUAGGCAGUGAAGUAAAUGAUCCAAGCUUCAAUUAACAACUUCUAUUUGGCCAUUUUUUUGAGGGUGAAAAGAAAAAGAAAACUUUAGUUUGGCAUUCGGUAUUUUCCAUAAAGUUCACCAGAAGUAACUCAUGGACCUACCAUCCAAUUUAGGAAAAUCAUGAAGGCGAACAAUUUCCUUGAAGAAGAGUUUUUUUUUUUUUUUUUGAUAGGUAUUCCUUGAAGAAGAGUUUAACAAUCAGGCAACAUCUUUAGUCCUUAAGCAUGGGAUAAAUUGUACCAUCUUGGAGUAAUGAUUUAUCGCUACAAGUAUACAAUCAUGUCUCUAAUAGUUUUUAGAAAACCAGGGACAAAAUCCAUGCACAGGUCUAGCCAUGGCUCAUGUGGCACAGAAGUGGCAUGUAUAGACCUAUAUUCUUCCUUUGCCUCUUUGAUAAUUUGCAGGUUCGAUGUCUGGAGACAUUCUUAGCCACAUUUUUUCAGACUUGGUCAAUAAAAAUGAUUUUCCACCAUUGUAAUGGUUUCAUCUCUUCCAAAAUGACCAGUUGUUUCUCCAGCAUGAAGUUCCAAUAUUACUUGCUCAUGAAAUGAUGUUUUGGGUAAGCAAAGCUGAGUCCCUUUGAAGCAAUAUCAAUCAUGUAAAAAAUCACCAUAUUCUCCCGAAUUUCUAGGCACUAAAGCAACACAUAUAGUGCUAAAAUCUUUGCAAGAAGGAUAAGGUCUAUUGAACGAGUCAAAUCCAACAACUUGUACUGCAAUAGAAGAAAGAGUGUAUGCCAAUUUGCUAAGGGCCACUGCAAAGAAUUCUUUGCCAUUGCAAAAUGUGCACAUAUAUGUUGUUGAAAAAGAUGUUUAGAGCAUGCAUUAAACCUCACAGAUAGGUUUUUUACAAUAUGGGUGUACACAUUGACAUUACUAUUCACAUCAAAAUGAAAGAGAUUAAAAUAUUAAAUAGCAUCAUUAUCAUUUAGAUUCUAUAUAUGUUUUACCUUCAACACACUUAAGUUGUUUGAAAUUUUCAUAAUAUAUCUAAUUUAAUGGUAAUAUAUUAUAAAGACCACACAAAGAAACUUAAGAUGAUUGAAAAUUUCAUAAUAUAUUUGGUUUUAUGACAAUAUAAUAUAAAGACUGAAAAAAUAAAAUAAUGUUUGACGUUCCAACCAUAAUACAUUGCUGUUACUUCAAAAAUUAGAAAAAAAAAACAUUCAUAAUUCAUUGCAAUAAAAACAAAUACAAGAUUCUAAAAACUUUAUCACCUAAAUUCUGCAUGUAGAACAAGAGCAAAGUUAGGAUCUUUCUGUGUGGUUAAGUGAAACUCGGUUUCUUAUCCUACUUUACAAUUUUUGGUUUCUUACUUAUUCAAAACAAAGGUCGAUAAUAUUAAUAGUGUACUUGAUAUAUAUGGAAUUACCAAAGACAACAAGAUUUGCAUAUGGAAUCAUAAAAGAACACUAGAAUGACAAUUAAUAAACAUAUAAAGAUGUACAUUUGAGUUGAGACACACCUUGAGGAGAGAUACAACAAAAAAACAUAAGCAAAUGCACCCAAGGAUUAUGGAAUUCUCCUCCUUUUUCCUCUGGCAAACCUCACUUUUCUACAUGAUAAUGAAUUUAUCAAAAAUACAAAUUGAUACUAAAACAUAAUAAUUAUAGUCAUAUCCCCUUAAGGCAUUAAAAUAUUAGAAAGUCUCUUGAUGAGCACAGAGGGUUAAAAUUAUGUUUAUUGCUUGGAUACAACAAAAUGAAGUUACAAGUAUACUAAAUAAUAUACUAGGAAAUAACAUAUCGACACCAUAUAUAAGAGUAGAAUUGAAGCUAAAACAAGAACUUUGAAUGCAUGUUUUGCACCCUUUGUGUGGCUUUGCCUUAUUAUAUAGUUCUAUACAUCAUGUAUACUUUAAAAAAAAAUUGUUUUGCAUGUUUUUUCUUAGGGGCCUUUUUAUGCAAUUUUAUUUUCUUAUCACAAGAAAGUUGAUUAGAGUUUUUGUAAUUUAUUUUCGUCAUAAUUUCAUUGUAAUAUAAAAAAGAAAAUUUGAGAUUUUUCCUAAUAUUUUUGCUUUACUCGAUACUUUUCAUGAUUUGAAUGGAGUUUUUUACUUUUUUGUGUGAGACUUGGACUCAUCAAUGUCUCAUAGUGUUCAAAAUGGAGCCUUUUGCAGAGGUAGAAGAAGCACCUACAACACUAAUGAUGGAGUUACUUCAGGAAACAUGACUUUCAUUCCUGUAAAAAUGGCUAAGACAUUUCAAUUUUUUGACCACUGCACAAAAACCAUGUUUUCUUAAUUUCUGAAGGAGUUGUAUUUUUUAAAUAAAUUUUAUACAUAAACAACACUUGAUCUCAAGAUCAACUCAAGUAAUCCAUGUCUAAUAAAAGGAUGUGAGAUACACCCUCCUCAACUUGAAGGAGUGUGAGCCAAUUGAAUAAGAGUGUUUUGAACAACUUGAAGACAAGCUAUACUAUAUGUUGUACCAUCCUUUUUGAUGGAACUCAUGAAAGGCUAGUGGAUAUGAGUCUUUGAGGAAUGAAUUAGGCUCAAUGCUGUUGUAUAUAAUUUAGAGUAGAUAUUUGAAAUGUAUGGAUAUUAUUUGUAGUACCAUCAUGGAUAUGAGUUGUGAUGUUUAUUUUCCUUGUAAUUUAUUUUAUGCAUUUAAGUGUCUUAUUUCAAAAAGGUAAAAUUUUUAUAUUUGAUUACAUUAGAGUUUAUAUUUAAUACUUUAAUUAGGAUGACUAAUGAUUAUAUAUUGAUGUAAAUAUUAUUUUUCACAAAGAUAGUUCAAAAGUUAUGUUUGGAACCAAAUCCCAAAGGAAAAGAAUUCUAAAAUUAGAUUUCAGUCUCUUGGUGAUCAUGAUUGGUAUGAGAAGGAAUUGAAAUGAAAACAAUUCUCUCGGGUCUGGUAUUAUAACGAGAAUAAAUAACUUUGGUGUACUAGUUUGACCAUGCUACAACAUAAAUAUGAAUGAUCUAAAUAUUAAUUCUUCUUAACUAAAAUCAACCUAAUUAUAAAUUUAAUUAUAAAAGUAAAUAAAUUUAUCAUAACAAAAGUAAUUAAGAAUGUCAUUUAUAUAAAAAUUACAGAAACAAUCAAUUUCAAUGAUUUAAAAUCACUUCUCAACAUUAAACUUAAAAAUCCCUCUAGCAUGAUCUAAAUUAUCUUAGAAUCGGCUUUUUAAUUCACUUAAAAUGCAAAGUAACUUACACUAGUUUUAAAAAAUUAAAAGAUUAUUAUCAUAAAAGAAUAUUUGUUUUUGUUUAAAUCCCUUUACUCCUCUAUUAAUAAUUAUAAAAAUAGAGAAAUAACUAAAAUAACUAAAAUAACAUGACAUAAAUGAUAAAAAAGAAAAAAAAAAAAGAUAUAUAACCAAUGUUUUAAAAACCGGACCAGUGAUCGAAUCGGAAAAGUUACCGGUUCACGGUUCACUGGUCGGACCGGCGGUUGAACCGCGGUCGAACCGGUGAUGUAAUAAAUAAUUAAAUAUAUAAUUUAUAUAUUAUAUAAAAUUAAAAAUAAUUAUAAAAAUUAAAAAUAUAUAAAAUUGCAAAUUUUAAUAAUGUUUGAUUCUUAUAUAUGGUAUAUUAAAUUAAAUGAUAAAGUUUAAUAUUUUAAAUUUUAUUAAAUAGAAAUAUGUAAUAUUUAAGAAAGAAAAUAUAUUUAAGAUAAAAAAUUUAUAAUAUUUAAUUUUAUCCUUUUGUCUUUGUAUUUUAUUGUUUUUAAAUUAUUCUAUUAAUUAAUUUAUAUUAUUUUUUAUAAUUAUUAUAAAAAUAAAGAAGAAUUAAAAUAUUUACAUUUUUUUAAAAGAUUUUAUAUGAUAAAAUUUUGAAAUAAAAUCAAAGUUCUAUGUGUCCAACCCUCAAGAGGCAAUGUUUUCCUCUAAUAGUCUCAUUCCCAAUCCCACAUCGAAAGCACAAGAAUUUGAUGUGCUCCAUGUGCUCUAUAAAUACCUUCCAACUUGCCUUUAACCCAAACAAGCUAGCAAGUUGGGCGUGGAAGCAUGGCUCAAGUGGAAGUGUUAUUUUAAAAUAAAAAAUGCAGCAAAUUGGGCUUGUAGACAUGGCCCAAAUAACAGUGUUAAUCUUAUCAUUGGACUAGGCCUAGUGGCUUGAACCAAAGAUGAGUUUGUAGGCAUUGGGCCUAGAAUGGGCCUUUUACAUAGUAAACAAAAACUUGUUAUCUAAGGUGUGACCUGCAAACCGGACGGGUUGUCCGAUUCGACGAUUCAACUGUCGGUUUGAACGAUUCAAUGUCGGUUUGAUCACAAAACGAUUCAUUGAGCGGAUCGAACCGGAUAGUUCACCGAUCGAUGGUUUGAUCGGUCGAUUUUUAAAACCAUGUAUAUAACUACAAUGAUAUAAGUGAAAUUAAUUAAAAUUGAGAAUUCACUCAAGUUAGAGAAUUAUUUAUUCUAAUAAAAAUAUUAAAGAAAUACAUUACUUAUUGUAACAAUUUUUUUUUCUUCUUGUAUUCUAUGUGAGCAUCUAUAAUAUUGAAAAUAGAAAUAAAAGAAUCCCCAUUCAUAUUUAAAAUAAUUUAUUUUAGAAGAUUCUACCUUUAAAAAGUCCAUUAAAGUUCAAAAAGAGAAAAAAGAUGAAAUGAAUAGUAUGUAAAGAAAAGAGAGUGAAAAAGACAAAAAUAUAUGUAUUAAUUUAAAUUUAAAGAGAAGAGGUAAGAGUAACAGGGCAACAUCGAAAAAGAGAAAGUUUACUUUAAUAAAAUUGAAAUCUCAUAAAUUAAAAACUCAAUUGCUAUUCGUAAUACCAUUUUUACUAAUGCGACAUUUUACAUUUCUAAACUACCCUCCCUUAUUAUUUCCCCUCUCUCUUUCAUCUCUCAUCUCUCCUCUUUCCCCUUUCUCUUCCCCAACCUCACGUCCCAAUUGCACCAUUUUUUAUUUUCUUUUUAUUUAUUUAUUUUUUCCCAACCCCCACCCCCACAUUUUAGCUUUCUUUUUAUUUUAUUUUAUUUUUAUUUUCCUUUUCAUCUCUACCCACCCAACCCCCCACUCCACGUAAACUUUUAUUUUUCUUUUCAUUUCUUUUAUUUUUUUUCACACUCUAUUGUUUUUCAUAUUCUUCUUAUAUUUUAAAACAAAAUAAUUUCUUUAAAUAAUAAAUUAUAAAAUGAUUUUUUCACCAAAAGUGCGUUAUAUAAAAUGAUUUUAUUAUAUUCAAUAUUUUAAUGUGAAAUUCAUAACUCAAUUUUUUAAAAUAAGAAUUAUUAUUAAAAUUUUAAAAUAAAAAAUAUUUAAUUGAAAUGGUUUAAAAAAAAAUAUUUUAAAAUAUAUAAUUCUUUAUAAAAAAAAAUGAAAGUUAUAAAUCUUAUUUGAAAAUUGUCAUCAGAUAUUGAAUUUCAUUAUUCAUUGUAUUUCGUGUGUGAUUCAUAGCCUUAAUUAAGUAGAAUUUAGGUUCGGUGUUGAAAAGAAGUUAGAGAAAGUUCUUUAUUAAAAAUGGUAUAUGUGGAAAAAAAAGUUUCCUUUAACACAACUUUCCAUUUAAAAUUCUUAAAAAGUUGUCUGCCAAAUCCUUUAAAAUUCUUUCCUUCUAAAAACCUCCACUAUUCCAAAUCCAUUCUUCCCUUUUUCCAUUUAAUUCCCUUGAUUCCAAAUAAAGUAGAAUAAUAACAAUCUUUCUAACAAGUUAAUAUCAUAUAAAAGCAAAUAAUAACAAUCUUCCUAAUAAAAUUCUUUCCUUCUAAAAAUCCCCGUUAUUCCAAAUCGAUUCUUCCCUUUUCCCAUUUAAUUCCCUUGAAGCAAAGUUACGAACAUUUGGAAAUACAUUACAAGAAUUUUGUGGAUUUCUUCAAGAAUGAUUAUAGAAGCAAAAGUUUAGAAACAUUAAAAGGGUAAUUUUUAAAAAUAAAUUAUAGAAAAAUCCAAUAAAUAAUUAUUUUUUUCCUUUAUUGAGGCAUAUUAAAAAAGUACAAUAUUCUAAAAAUAGGUAAUAGAAAAAAUAUUAUAACAAAAAGGUUUAUUUCUUUAGUUAUAUUAAAACAAAAAACAAAAAAUAACAAGGUUAGUUCAAAGAUUGAAAAAAAAAAAUACAUUAGAAAUAUUAUCAAUGUUUUAGUUUUAUUUUCAUACUCAUCUUGGGGUUUAUAUAAAAAUCAUUAAAUGAAAGUGGGUUCUAAAAGUCAAGAAAGGUUUAUUCCCUUAAAUGAAAGUAUUUUUAAAAUAUAAUUCUCAAAUAUAAAAUUCAAUUGCAUAACAAUCGUUAUUACCUUCAUAGAUACUUCUACUAAACAAACAAGUAAACUGCUAUCCUAUUAAAACAUAUGUUUGAAUUUUGUAUAGGCAUUUGAUAAAUAUAUAUAUAUAUAUAUAUAUAUAUAUAUAUAUAUAUAUAUUCACUUUGUGAAUAUAAGCUUCAAUGUUAUUUAAAUUUUCUUUUUUUAAAAAAUAAAUUAAACCCUUAUUAAGAUAUUGAAAACAAUAUUUUUAUUUUUAUUAUUCAUUAAAUCUUAUCGACACUCACUACUUAUUAAUACUCAUAUUUAAAUAACUUUAAAAAUUAUUACCCUUUUUUUUAUAAUAAGUGUCUAGUAAGUUUACAAAAUACAGGAGUUACUAAUUUUUCUAUUUUUCAAAACAAAAGAUAUAUUUACCAAUGGCAUAUUAAAAUUGUAUACCUCUUAACUAGUUUUGUAAGUGCACUAUUUUUUAAUUCCACUUUCAAUAUACUUCUCAUCAUAUAUUUUUAUAGUUAGAAUCAUUUAACAUUGACACAUUCAACAAAUCUUCAUCCAAACAAUGAAUAUGAAAAAUUAUAAAUUGAAUAAGUCUAUAUAUCGCCUAAAAUUGAUGAAAACACAAUAGAAUGGUAAUACUCUCCUCUUUCAUGUUCAUACAAACACAAUUUAACAUUUGGAUUAAACUUUUUGAAAUAUAAGUUUUUAUCAUUAAUUUGAAUUGAAACACCUUAUUGGAAAAUUGGGAGUCCUAUGAAGAAUUUACAAUACAGAAAAUUAUCGGUAAUUAUUAAGUAAUUACAUGGACUUAAAUAAAAAAGAAAAAAUUAGAGACAUGAAAUUGCUUUUAGAACUAAUCCAAUUGGUGGAAAUUUGAGAAAGCCUCCCAAUAGCCAAAGUAACAAACCCUAAACAUAAUAAUUAAUUCUUAGUACUAAGGGUAUGAAGACUUAAACCUCAUUCAAUGCAAACCAAAUCAUAUAGUGAGCUAUACUUUUUGUGGAGAAGUUAUUUUCUUGGACGCUAUAAUAAAAAUAUUUAGAUGGAUGACUUAGUACUUAAGAAAAAUUUUGUUUGUAAAUGUGAAUUCAUGUAAUCCAUAUAUCCUAAUGUUUUUAAUUUUUUAGUUUUAUUUUCAUAUUUAUCUUGGGGUUAUGUAAAAAGCAUUAACAAUAUUAUUUCGGAAUAACUAUUAAAAUGUUAAUUAUUUAUUUGUUGGUAUUAUAAUUUGGGAUGGUGAGAAUAGAGGAGCAAAGUACAAAGAGUCAGUGUAAGUAGGCCACGUGUAAUAUAUCUUUUCUCUUCCAACUUAGGCCCCACCCAAUAAUGGGCUUGGGGCAAAGCACCAACUAUUCAACUUGGAUUGGACUAGGCUAUCUAAGAAUUUGACAAUUUGUUGCUACUGCCUUAAUCUUUGUUUGUGGAUAUUUAAGAAUUUCAUUUUUUUUCCUUUAAAUACAAGAAUUCACCAAUUAAAACUAUGAACAUAUUUAUCUAUAACGAGGAAUUGGAAGAAAAGUGGGUUUAAAAGUCAAGAAUUUAACAAUAUAAAAAAAUUAUCUUUAUUUUUAAUAAAAAUAUUUUUUAAAUAUAAUUCUCAAGUAUAAAAUUCAAUUGAAUAACAAUGAUAAUUAUUACCUAAUCUACUAAACAAACAAUUUAAAUGCUAUCCUUUGAGAACACACAUUUGAAUUUUUUUUUAUAUGUAUUUCGUAAAAAGUUUUUUCUUUUUUACUUUGUUAAUAUAAGUGCUAAUAUUAUUAUUAUUUUUUUUAAAAGAUCAAACCCUUAUUAAGAUAUCAAAAACACUAUUUUUAUUUUUAUUUUUCAUUAAAUCUUAUUCACAUUCACUAUGUAUUCAUAGUAGCAUUUUUUAAGUAGCUUUAAAAAAUUAUUACCUUUGUAAAGUAAGUUUCCAUGAAGUCUGAGUUACUAUUUUUUUUUUUCUAUUUUUAAAAAUAGAAGAUGUAUUUAAAUGACACCCAAUUCAUUAAAAUUAUAUGCCUGACAACUAGUUUUGUCAAUGUGCUAUUUUUAAUUCCAUUUUCAGUAUACUUGUUAUCAUUUUUUUAAUGGUUGAAAUCAUUUAACAAUGAAUACAAAGCUUCACCCAAACAACGAAAAUGAAAAAAUUAACACAAAUUAACAUUUGGAUUGAUUAAACUUUCUCAAAUGUAAGUUUUUGUCAUUAAUUUGAAUCAAGAUGCUUGAUCGAAAAAUUGGGAGUCCUCAUAAGAACUUACAAUACAUAAAAUUAUAGGUAAUCAUUGAGUAAUUCUAUGGACUUGAAUGGAGAGAAAUUUUAUUCUAAAAAAAAAAGAGAAAAAAAUAGAAAAUUAAAGUCAUGUGAUUAUUUUCAAAACUAAUCCAAUUGAUGGAAAUUUGAGAAAGCCUCCUAACAGCUAAAGUAACUAACCCUAAACAUCAUAAUAAAGCACUAAGGGAAUAAGGACUGAAACUUGCUUGAUGCAAACUACUAUCUUUGCAUAUCUAAGUCUUCGAAUGGGCAAUAAUGCUUUUUGUGGAGAAAAUUGGACUUUUGCCCCUUAUGAUACACAAGCCAAGACUAAGAUUAAUUGCUCUCUUUAUUCCAAGUCUUUUGCAUAUCUAAGUCACACUAAGAUUAAUUGCUUUCUUUAUCCCAAGUCUUUUGCAUAUCUAAGUCAUCCAAUGGGCCACACUUUCUAUGGAGAAGACUAAACUUUUGCCCCUUGCGGUACGUAGGCCUCAUCCAAUGGGCCACACUUUUUAUGGAGAAUGCCAGACUUUUGUCCCUAGCAAUAUGAAUGCCAACACCAAUAUUAAUUGCUUUCUCUAUUCCAAGUCUUCUGCAUAUCUAAGUCCAUCCAAUGGGCCAUACUUUUUAUAGAUAAGACUAAACUUUUGCCCUUGUGAUAUGAAGACCAAGACUAAUUGGUUUCUUCAAUAUUCCAAGUUAUGUGCAUACUUCUAUGUAGGGUAAUAACAUAAGGAAGUUUCAUAUGGUUUUAUAAUGUGAGUCUAGAUUUGUUAUUCUGUUUUUUUUUCUUUACAUGCAUACACACACUUUUCCACUUAAAUAACAUAAUUUUUAUUUUUUCAAAUAAUCUUUGACAAAACUUUUAUCAUACCCCUUUUUAACUAUUAUACUAUUUUCCCAUAUCUAAAAUUUUCAAAGUACACAUUUUGUUUUGCAAUUAUUUCUUAACUACGUACAUUCCUUGGACACUACAAAAAUGAUUUUAUUUGAAAAUUAACCAAUAAAUAUAUUUAGAUGGAUGACUCAAAAUUUAAGGAAAAAAUUUGUUCAUCAAUACUAUUUCAUGUAGAAUAUAUAUGCAUAUGUAUCAAAGAAAAAUUUGUGGAUAUUUAAGAAUUUCAUUUUUUUUCUCUAAAUACAAGAAUUCACCUAUUAAAACUAUGAACAUAUUUAUCUAUAAUGAGGAAUUGGAAGAAAAGUGGGUUUAAAAGUCAAGAAUUUAACAAUAUAAAAAAAUUAUGUUUAUUUUUAAUAAAAAUAUUUUAAAAAUAUAAUUCUCAAGUAUAAAAUUCAAUUGAAUAACAAUUAUAAUUAUUACAUAAUCUACUAAACAAACAAGCUAAAUUCUGUCCUUUGAGAACACACAUUUGAAUUUUUUUUAUAUGUAUUUCGUAAAAAGUUUUUUUUUUUACUUUGUUAAUAUAAGUGCUAAUAUUAUUUUUUUUUUAAAAAUAUAGAUCAAACCCUUAUUAAGAUAUCAAAAACAAUAUUUUUAUUUUUAUUUUUCAUUAAAUCUUAUUGACAUUCACUAUGUAUUCAUAGUAGCAUUUUUUAAGUAGCUUUUGAAAAAUUAUUACCUUUGUAAAGUAAGUUUCUAUGAAGUCUGAGUUACUAUUUUUUUUUCUAUUUUUAAAAAUAGAAGAUGUAUUUAAAUGACACCCAAUUCCUUAAAAUUAUAUGCUUGACAACUAGUUUUGUUAAUGUGUUAUUUUUUAAUUCCAUUUUCAGUAUAGUUGUUAUCAUUUUUUUAAUGGUUGAAAUCAUUUUACAAUGAAUACAAAACUUCACCCAAACAACGAAUAUGAAAAAAUUAACACAAAUUAACAUUUGGAUUGAUUAAACUUUCUCAAAUGUAAGUUUUUGUCAUUAAUUUGAAUCAAGAUGCUUGAUCGAAAAUUGGGAGUCCUCAUAAGAACUUACAAUACAUAAAAUUAAAGGUAUUCAUUGAGUAAUUCUAUGGACUUGAAUGGAGAGAAAUUUUACUCUAAAAAAAUAGAGAAAAAGAAGAAGAAAAUUAAAGUCAUGUGAUUACUUUCAAAACUAAUCCAAUUGAUGGAAAUUUGAGAAAGCCUCCUAACAGCUAAAGUAACUAACCUUAAAUAUCAUAAUAAAGCACUAAGGGAAUGAGGACUGAAACUUUGCUUAAUGCAAACUACUAUCUUUGCAUAUCUAAUUCAUCCAAUGGGCAAUAAUACUUUUUGUGGAGAAAAUUGGACUUUUGCCCCUUGUGAUACACAAGCCAAGACUAAGAUUAAUUGUUGUCUUUAUUCCAAGUCUUUUGCAUAUCUAAGUCAUCCAAUGGGCCACACUUUCUAUGGAGAAGACUAAACUUUUGCCCCUUGCGGUAUGUAGGCCUCAUCCAAUGGGCCACACUUUUUAUGGAGAAUGCCAGACUUUUAUCCCUAGCAAUAUGAAUGCUAAGACCAAUAUUAAUUGCUUUCUCUAUUCCAAGUCUUCUACAUAUCUAAGUCCAUCCAAUGGGUCAUACUUUUUAUAGAUAAGACUAAAAUUUUGCCCUUGUGAUAUGAAGACCAAGACUAAUUGGUUUCUUCAAUAUUUCAAGUUAUGUGCAUACUUCUAUGUAGGGUAAUAAGAUAAGGAAGUUUCAUAUGGUUUUAUAAUGUGAGUUUAGAUUUGUUAUUUUGUUUUUUUUUUCUUUACAUGCAUACACACACUUUUCCUCUUAAAUAACAUAAUUUUUAUUUUUUCAAAUAAUCUUUGAAAAAACUUUUAUCAUACCCCUUUUUAACUAUUAUACUAUUUUCCCAUAUCUAAAAUUUUCAAAGUACACAUUUUGUUUUGCAAUUAUUUCUUAACUACGUACAUUCCUUGGACACUACAAAAAUGAUUUUAUUUGAAAAUUAACCAAUAAAUAUAUUUAGAUGGAUGACUCAAAAUUUAAGGAAAAAAUUUGUUCAUCAAUACUAUUUCAUGUAGAAUAUAUAUGCAUAUGUAUCAAAGAAAAACAUGAAAAAUUGAAAACUAUACAUGUAUAAAUAUUAAGAUAAGAUUCAUAUAUUGGUGCAAGUACAAAAGAAACAAUAUUUCAACAAUAAUGCUUUUUCCCUUUGAAACUUUACAUGGCUUUACUUGGAAACAACAUUUGGAUACAAGUACCAUAUACAAUUUUUUAAAAACCGUUCUUCAAAAAAUAAUUCUUAAAUUAAGACCGUUUAUGAUUUUACGUGGAAUUUGUGUUUUGAAAAAAUGGGUUUAAUAUAAUAAAAGUAAGCUUUUUAAAAAAAAAGAAAAAAAAGAAAAGACAAGUUAAGUAUAAAAAGUAGGAAUUACUCAUAUAUUGAAGAGAUAAAUUUAAUGUAAAAAAUAAAAAAAGUAAAAAAUAUUGUAUUCUUGUAUUUAUUUGUCAAACAACCAUUUUUAACAAUAUUCUUUUAAAAUAACAUUUUUUAAGAAAAAAUCCCAUGUUUUUUUUUUUUUUUGCCUCCCAAUUCAAUUUAAUAGACACCUUCGUCCUUUAAAAACUCAACUGCUUUAUAGAGAAGACCAAGACUUCUAGCUCGUGAUGUAGGGUUGUAUUUCGUAUUAUUUCUCAUUAAAAGAUAAGACUAACCCUAGAUGCUACUAACUAUGAAAGUUUUACUUUAGCUUAUGCAGGGACCUAUUUUAUGAUUAAAGAAACUUUUACAAACAAAUAUUCCCUUCUUUUUUUAAAAAAAAAAAAAAGAUUAUAUUUGGUUUCCAUUCCAUCUUUCACUUUAAGCUUAAAACAAAAAAUUAUCCUUAAUGAACCUUCUGCUAUACAUCUAUUCUUCAUAUUCUAAUUGCUUUAGGCAUGCUUAACUUUCUAAUUUAGUGAUUCACAUAGUAGUUAGAAAGCCAAACUCUAUCUUUAGGCUGAUAAGUUGUAAAAUCUAGUAGUCAUAGUUUUCACUUAAUUGUAGAUAAUUAAGAAGGAUGCAAGGUUAACUAAUAGUAAAAGAUAUAAUUGAAAGUGACAAAACUAAAUGGAUAUCAUUUGAGAAAUUAUUGUGGCCAAAGUGGAUAAGAAAUAUGAUCUCCUUUUUCUACUUAGUUGCCCUCCCACUUUUUCCAUGAAAUCUUAGCUUGUGAUUAAAAGUGGGCAAAAUAGUUCGACUCUUGAUCGGACAACCAACCCACGUUGUCAUUUUAAUGUGGAAGUGACUCUAAAUUUUUCUUUGAUUUGAAGUCAAUGGUCCCACAUUUGAAUUGGAAACUUCGAUGAAGUUUCUGAUAAUGAAAAUUUAAACUUAAAUUAUAAGGGAACCUUUGGGUAUAAAUUCAAGUCAUCUAUUAUUAUAUUUUUUCAUCACACACCAGCCAAUUUUUGUUAUAGCUUUUGAAGAUACGAUGUAUCGAAUCCUUUGCUUCCUCUUCUUUCUCUCAUAUUCUCCAGUUAUUUGUUUCUCUUUGUCUAAUUCUACAAAGCUGUGUCCUCAUCACCAGAAUGUUGCCUUGCUUCGACUUAAGCAAUUAUUUUCCAUAGAUGUCUCCGCUUCUUCUUCGGAUGAUUGCAAUUUAGCUUCUUUUGCCAAGACAGACACUUGGAAGGAAGGCACUAAUUGUUGCUCAUGGGAUGGUGUCACAUGCAAUAGGGUUACAGGCCUUAUAAUCGGGCUCGACCUUAGUUGCAGUGGCCUCUAUGGUACCAUUGAUUCCAACAGUAGCCUCUUCCUCUUGCCUCAUCUACGAAGGCUCAACCUCGCUUUCAAUGAUUUCAAUAAGUCAUCUAUUUCAGCUAAGUUUGGACAAUUCCGGAGAAUGACUCAUCUCAACCUUUCUUUCUCUGGAUUUUCAGGUGUAAUUGCUCCAGAAAUCUCCCACCUAUCCAACUUGGUUUCACUUGAUCUUUCCAUCUAUAGUGGAUUAGGACUUGAAACAAGUAGCUUCAUUGCACUUGCUCGAAACCUAACGAAGUUGCAGAAACUUCAUCUACGAGGUAUAAAUGUCUCUUCCAUUUUGCCUAUCUCCCUACUGAAUUUAUCUUCUUUGAGAUCUAUGGAUCUCUCUUCUUGUCAACUAUAUGGGAGAUUCCCUGACGAUGAUCUUCAACUGCCCAACCUUAAGGUUCUCAAGUUAAAGGGUAACCAUGAUCUCAGUGGGAAUUUCCCAAAGUUCAAUGAGAGUAAUUCCAUGCUGUUGUUGGAUCUUUCUUCUACAAAUUUCAGUGGGGAGCUUCCUAGUUCAAUAGGCAUUCUAAAGUCUUUAGAAAGUUUGGAUCUUUCUUCUACAAAAUUCAGUGGGGAGCUUCCUAGUUCAAUAGGUAGUCUAAAGUCUUUAGAAAGUUUGGAUCUCUCGCACUGCAAUUUCUCAGGUUCCAUUCCCUCGGUUUUAGGGAACCUCACACAAAUCACUCACUUGGACCUCUCAAGAAAUCAAUUUGAUGGUGAAAUUUCAAAUGUUUUCAAUAAGAUUAGAAAGCUAAUUGUAUUAGAUCUUUCCAGUAAUAGUUUCAGAGGUCAGUUCAUAGCAUCACUUGACAAUCUAACAGAACUUUCUUUCUUAGACCUUUCAAACAAUAACCUAGAAGGUAUCAUUCCUUCUCAUGUGAAGGAACUUUCAAGUCUAUCGGACAUCCAUUUGUCCAAUAACUUGUUGAAUGGGACAAUACCAUCUUGGUUGUUUAGUCUACCAUCAUUGAUAAGGUUAGAUCUCAGUCAUAACAAACUCAAUGGUCAUAUUGAUGAAUUCCAAUCCCCUUCAUUGGAGUCCAUUGAUUUGAGUAGUAAUGAGUUAGAUGGGCCAGUUCCAAGUUCCAUCUUUGAACUUGUAAAUCUUACAUAUCUCCAACUUUCUUCAAAUAACUUGGGUGGCAUUGUGGAGACAGACAUGUUCAUGAAUCUUGAAAAUCUUGUCUAUCUCGAUCUUUCAUAUAACAUUCUGACAUUGAGCAACUACAGCCAUUCCAACUGUGCGCUACCAUUCUUGGAAACAUUGUUGUUGUCUUCUUGCAACAUAAGUGAAUUCCCAAGAUUUUUAUGCAGUCAAGAGGUGUUGGAGUUUCUGGACCUUUCAAACAACAAGAUUUAUGGACAACUUCCGAAAUGGGCAUGGAAUAUGGGUACGGAGACACUGUCUUACUUCAAUCUUUCUCAAAACUUGCUAACCAGGUUUGAGAGAUUUCCAUGGAAGAAUAUGCUAUUUCUCGACCUUCAUUCCAACUUGCUUCAAGGACCACUUCCAUCAUUGAUUUGUGAAAUGAGUUAUAUUAGUGUUCUGGAUUUCUCUAAUAACAACUUGAGUGGAUUAAUUCCACAAUGUUUGGGAAACUUCAGUGAGUCUCUCUCUGUUUUGGAUUUGCGAAUGAAUCAGCUUCAUGGUAACAUUCCUGAAACGUUUUCGAAGGGCAAUUUUAUCAGGAAUCUUGGCUUCAAUGGAAAUCAAUUGGAAGGGCCUCUACCACGAUCUUUGAUCAAUUGUAGAAGGUUGCAAGUUUUAGACCUUGGAAAUAAUAGAAUAAAUGAUACAUUCCCUUAUUGGUUGGAAACUCUUCCAGAGCUACAAGUUUUGAUCUUGCGUUCUAAUAGGUUCCAUGGUCACAUAAGCGGUUCAAAUUUCCAAUUUCCAUUUCCCAAGUUACGAAUAAUGGAUCUUUCACGCAAUGAUUUCUCUGGUAGUUUACCGGAAAUGUAUUUGAAGAAUUUCAAGGCAAUGAUGAAUGUCACUGAGGAUAAAAUGAAACUGAAAUAUAUGGGGGAAUACUAUUAUCGAGAUUCGAUAAUGGGAACAAUCAAAGGAUUUGAUUUUGAAUUUGUAAUUUUGUCUACCUUCACAACAAUUGAUUUGUCCAGCAAUAGAUUCCAAGGAGAGAUUCUAGAUUUCAUUGGAAGUCUUAGUUCACUUCGAGAACUCAACUUGUCUCAUAACAAUCUUACAGGGCAUAUUCCAUCAUCAUUGGGGAAUCUAAUGGUGCUUGAAUCAUUAGACCUCUCUUCAAACAAGCUUAGUGGGAGAAUUCCAAGGGAGUUGACAAGUCUGACAUUUCUUGAAGUCUUAAAUCUUUCGAAAAAUCAUCUCACUGGAGUCAUUCCUCGAGGCAACCAAUUUGAUACAUUUGCAAAUAAUUCAUAUAGUGGGAAUAUAGGAUUAUGUGGACUUCCCUUGUCUAAGAAAUGUGUAGUUGAUGAAGCACCACAACCUCCCAAAGAAGAGGAGGUGGAAUCCGAUACUGGAUUUGAUUGGAAAGUCAUAUUGAUGGGGUAUGGUUGUGGACUAGUAGUUGGAUUGUUUAUGGGGUGCCUCGUCUUCUUAACAAGAAAACCUAAAUGGUUUGUAACAAUGAUUGAAGGAGAUAGACAUAAGAAGGUUAGAAGGUCAACAAGGAGCACUCGCAGGCAUGGAGCAAGAAGAAGUUAGGCCAUUUCUAUGAUAUCGUAUUUUGUGGUGAAUGAUACUAAUGAAUGUUGCAUUCUUAUGUAAACAAAUAACAUGUAUUGUGAUUAAUGAAGUAAGAGUCUUUGAAGUUGUAAAAAUAUUUGUUUUUAUUUUUUCUUUCUUGAAAUGGAAUAAUAUGUAGUAACAAUAUUUUCAAAUCAUCACUACCAUUUAACUUAUUUAUAUAUCAUGAUCGAAAGUAUUUUUAAAUGUUGGGUUAUGUAAUUAGUAAAGGUAGAACUCAUAAGGUUUUGCAAAGAAUUAGAAGCAAUUGAUUGCUUAUCACUAAAAGACUAACGAAUUUUUGUUAGGAACAAAGGGUGAUUUUUUACAAGAAUGAUAUUGAAAGGGUUGUAAAUUAAUGAAAUCCAAAUUCCAAUUUUAGGUUACAAAUGUUCACUAGACUCUCCUCCACAUAAUACAUUUAUCUUAACAUGAAACAUUUAACUGGUCUUUACUACGAGUCUUGCCUAUGGAAGACUAAUUAAGCAUUCAUAAAACAUUAAUUAAUUCAUGCUCAAAUUGGAUUAUGUUAUUAUUUUAGAGGUUACUUGCUUAUCACUUAUCUCACGAUUUAAAUGCAUUCAAAAGUUAUUUUCUUUUACUUCAACUCAAACUCUUCCCUAUCAAAAUAAUAUGAUCUUAUAUUAAAAAUAAUAUUUUUAUUAUAUAUUUAUAGUUAUUUAUUAGAUAGAAAAUUCCUUCUUUCAGAAUUCCUGAAUCUCUCUCUUAUAGGCUAGGUGGAGUAAUUUAAGAGCCCUUUUUUUCCUCUCUUUUUUUUUGUUGGGCUCCAGCCAGCCCAUCAGACAAUGAAUUCAAGGAUUGUUGGGCUCCUUUUGAGGGCCAAAGUUGGCUUUAAUGCUUGGAAGAGGACUCAAUCAGUUCCAUGCCAAUGAAUUUAUAUCAAGCUCUUGACUUUUAUCUCAUACGUACACAAAGCUUCUGUCAUUCAAACUUCUCUUUUUUAUUUAUUAUUAUUAUUAUUAUUUUAAUUUAAGUGUGUUUUAGCUUAUUCAUAGUCAAAUAAAAGAUUUUUAUUUUAAAAUAAAAUAAUGUGUCUUUCAAUUUUUAAAUUUUAUCUUUUAAAAAAUUGUUUAUCAUAUCAUCAUCAACAAAUGAGUGAGUGACAGGCGGACAGUUGAGGCCCAAAGGGGGUGCAGUGGGUUCUUUGGGCCCAGAUUCUGGCACAAGAGAGCACAUGCUAGCCCAAUCAUGAUUUAGCUAAACCCAUGAAAGAAGACUCUAUCUUACCUUAAGUUUAUUACUAUCUACCCAAUAACAUGGUGUGCUGGAUUUGGCAUCUUGAGUUGGAUUCUAAGCAUUAUUUUAAGGCUAUGUUGCUCGAAAGUGUUAAACAAAGGAGAAAAAUUUGCUAAAAAAAUAAAAAAAAGUAAUAAUAUACAUAUUAAGUUGUUUUAUUGAAAAAAUCAAUAUAUGUAUAAUAAAAUUUAUGAUAAUCCAUAAUAAUUUACAAUAUUUGAACUCAUAUUUAAUAUUUAGUUUAUAUAUAUUUAUGAUAAUGCAUAUAUAAUAAUCUUUUUUGAAAUAUAGAUUCAUUUAUUGUUUGAAAUAUUAUAUGGAUUGCUUUAUAAUAAUUUUUUUUUUUUUUUUUGGGGGAAUCAUUCAAUGAAUUUUUCUACUUUGGGGCAACGUUACCACACUGGAUAGGCAGCCUCAUCUCACUUACAGAGCUUGGAGUUCAUGAAUGCCGUCAAUUGAAAUCACUACCAAAAGAGAUGCGUUCCCUUAAAAACCUGCAGAAAUUCUAUAUCUGGGAUUGUCAACAUCUAGAGAAAAUAUGCCGACAGAAAACAGGGGAAGACUGGCCCAGGAUUGCUCAUAUCCCACAUAUUGAUUUCUACACUGAUCAGUGAAUAACAAGGGAGGUCCGAAAUCCCUAACCUUUCUUCUCAUUUUUAUUAUUUUUUCGAUCAAAAUGCAAGGUUUUCUCAUUCUCUCUUGGUAAUUCUUUUAUAUUGGCACUUCAUAUGUUUGUUAAAAUGCCCACAUCAGUAAAUCGAUUUUUUUUUUCCAGACCACAUAUACAGUCGAUGAUGAUGUACAUGAAACUCAUCAUUUUACUUGGGGUUGAGGCGAGAUUUGAUAUGAUAUCUCUCCCAGAGGAGCUGAUUCAACAUGUUUCCAUGAUCUAAAGUCUCAACAUUAGACAUCGCUCUGUUUUUGAAACAUUACAACACUGGAUAGGCAGCCUCCCCUCAGUUACAGAACUUGGAAUUCAUGGCUGCCAGAAGGUACGUUCCCUCGAAAACCUGUAGAUGCUCAAAAUCUACAUUGAAGUUAAUGAGGGCUGAGGUGCUGUGUCAGUUAAUGUUUCUCUCCCCUUCAUUGAAGUCUCUGUCUAUUGGAUGCUCAGGUGCUAUGAUGUCUCCCAGAGGAGCUGCCUCAGCAUGUUUCCAGGAUCCAAACUCUCAAAAUUGAAUUCUGCUCUGGUUUUGCAAUAUUACUGCCCUGGAUAGGUCGCUUCACCUCACUUAUGGACCUUCAUAUUUGUGACUGCGCUGAAUUGGCAUCACUUUCAGAAGAGAUGCAUUCCCUCAAAAACCUUCUGACACUAAAAAAUCUUUCAUUGUCGGCACCUGCUUGAAGAUGCCAAAAAGAAACAUUUCAGGUUCAAGAACACAGAGAGCCAUACUUGAUGGAGAUUUCAUCAAUAUAGAGAGGCAUUUCAAGUCUGAAAUCCACCCUUCUCAUUUCUUAUGGCUUCAUUUUGAUUUAAUUUCCUAAUUACAUGAAUUCUAUAUCUGUAAUCCCAGUAUGUAUUAGCACAUAAGUCAAAAGUGAUUUUGAUUUUUUUUAUGUCCACACCUUAUUCAUUUGAUGAAAUGCUUAAACAAGUUUGAAAUUUUUUCCCUUCAAAUCAAUUUCUAAUGCACCAUGAAUUGGUAAUUGAAGUUUGGAAAGAUGUUGGGUUGAUUUAAUUAUUAUUUUGUUGCAGAUUUCAACUUGCUUAAGACGCUUGUGAUUAUUUCUUCUUGGCUCAACUUGAAAUCACUGCCUACGUUCUUCCAUUUCCUACCUCAAAAUCACCUACCAAAAGUUUUGGAUUGGUUAAAAAUUUUCUCAUGGCCCAUAAAUUCGUAUCUAUCAGAUGGCUGAUAUACAAAGGUCCUGCUUUCCUUAGAAAUCAGGUCUACUCUCUGCCAUAUUUUUCAGGUAAUCUGUUGCCUGCUUUUAAUCUCUACAUCAUCUUUCGUUUUGAUAUCAAUUUUUGUCAGGAGUGUCAUACAAGUUGUAAUUAUAUUUGUGAACUUUCAUAUGCACUAUCAUUUUUUAUUGUUUUUUAAUAUAUAACUCCAACCAAACAUAUCAUAGACCAAAAACUUAUUAUGUCUGUCAAGUAGUUUGUUUUUUUCCCCCUUCAUUUGGUGAUGUUGUUUUGGGCCUAGAUAAUUUUUUAGAUUAAUUAAUGCAAAUGUAAUGUUGUCUAAUCAAUACAAAAACUAAUAGUUGUGAGGCUUGGAUACGUGGCUUCCUUGAUCAGUAACUGAAUUGAGUGUUUCUGUAGGCUGGUGUCUCUAUAUUUGGAAAUUCAGAGAGUUGCAAAUUCCAAGGAAUUGGAAGAUUGAGUCGCUGUCUCUACCAUUAGGGCUUCAAUGAGUUACCAUUCUGGAAAUUAUAAAAAAAAAACAUCAGAUUGCCUCAUAUCUUUGAAUCGAAAUCACUGCUAGAAGGAUGUGCUUCCCAACACUCUCAUGGGCUCUUUGACUUUGCCAUCUACAAUACAUCAGAGGUUCAUGAUCCAUCCUCUAUUCCUGCUUUGGGGGGCUUCAAUUUUUAUAUUAUUUUUCCGUUAAUACUCUAAAAAUGUUAUAUUCUAUUUUUAAUUCUUUUUACCUGAGUCUUAUGCAUUAGCACACAAGAGAAAAGUCAUAUAACACUUUCAUAAUGCAAUCAUUUUCCAUUGUUAGCCAUAUACUAUUUUUCUUAUAUAUAGCUAAGGCAUCCAAUAAAUAUGCCUACACUCACCAGAAAAAUACCCAUCUCGUCAUCUCCAACUCUGCUCUUUUGAGUUGCUGCUCAUGGCUCCAAAAUGAUGGGUGUUUUUCCAUUUUGUUUUUGUCUUCAGUGAGCUUAGAAGACGAGAUUUGAAGGACAGUGUUAGUGGGUUUUGGUGGGAAUGUAGAUUUGGUGGACCUAAUGCUACUGCUGUCUGGUUUUAAGAAAAGAGGGUUGCGGUGACGAGAAUGAGGUAAUUUUGGGUCGUGAAUGGAGAAAGAGACGAAUUUGAGGUUGAGGGUUUGAUGAAGGAAGCUACGUUGUGUGAGAUUAUGCUCUGAUCCUUGUUUAGAAUUUUGGGUCUAUUAAAUUCACGUAUAUUGUUUGCCAUUCCAACCCUCUUAUUGCUUUUGAAGACAAUAUUAUUUUUGUAAAAUCCUACCUUCAAAGAUACCAAUUCCUUGUAUUUUUACUUUAAUGGUUAUAAUCUGUAUGUGAUCUUCUUAUUUUAUAUUUGUAUUUUACAUGUUCGGAAAUUUUAGUUCAGGUGUUUAAGUGUUGCCAAGUCAAAGCAAUGCCAGAUAGUGAUGUACUUGUGACACCUUACUUCUCUAAAGCUACUCGAAAGUGGGGAUUGUUGCCUACCACAUCUCAUUUCUCUCAAGUCGUCGAAAAUUCAGUGAUGUGUCAAUAGCCUAAUGUCUUUGUCACAAGUGAUUUAGGGAUUCAGAUUGUUUCUCUGAAUUGACAUAAAUAAUAUGUUCUGGUUUGGUAACAUUAUCACACUCAAUGGACAACCUCCAUUUACUAACAUCUUCAAGUUUUUUAGGGAAAAAAACUGUGGAAAACUGUGUUUUGGCUCGCCCAUUUGGGCCUAAUAGCUUUUUGGUAACCCAACUUUCCAUAACCCAAAAAAUGUCCACUGUUGCCCAAAAAAAUAUCCCUUUCAUGCACUAUCCACUGUUUUAUAAUUUCAUUUCCAAAAUUACCCCUCCAGCCUUCCAUAUCAGCAGCCAUCUCCCUCUCCAUGUCACGGGUUGUGCUUUUAAAUAAACACAAAAAUCUUAAACAAGUUAGCAAAACCCACGCAAGACCCGACUCUGAAAUUUGGGGAAACCAGGUUAGGGCAAAAGGAGAGAAAGUCACAGAGAGUCCUUAGCUCCUUUCUCUUCUCUCUCUUUUCUCUCUGUUGUGUGAAUUUUUCAGUGAAAAAUCGAAAGCUUGUAAGCUGUAAUCGAAAGUUAGGUUCAGUGCUUUUUUGGUACUUUGUCGGAUGGCCCAAGCAGCCAGUAGCAGAUACUCAAAUUUUAUGCUUGGGUUUUACUUGAAUGCUCAUACAUUAGCUGUCAUCUUCAAGGUCCAUUUGGUUUUAAUGCAUCUGGAUCACGCAGCUGAGCAGAGGAAAGAGGAAAUGAAUCUGUUACUGGUUUGAUAUUUUUGGGGCUUAGGUGCUUACGAGUUGUACGGUGUAAGCAAAAUCCUCGUUAAAAGUCUAACUUAAGACAACUGGCUCUAAAUAGCAUAUGGCCUGGCGUUGAAAGUGGCUGUAGCCUACAAUCUCAAAUCAAGGGGUGAGUCCCGUACCAUUUAAAAGAAUUGUGACCUUCAGUGUCAGAAAUUUUCAGUUAAAUACAAAUGAAUUGCAUCUUCUUCACUGAAUUUUCAGCCUCCGGUUUCAUCUUUGCGAGGUGAGAUUCACAUUCAUUUUCCAUUGAUCGAAUUCCCCCUCCUCUGCCACAGCCUGGCUAGGGACUCGGUUAAGUUAAGAUGCUAACACUGAAUGAAAAUUGAUUCCAACAAUUUUCAUCAAUCAAUUCCUCAAGUACAAAAGCAGAUGGUGUAUGGUGGAUUGCAGUAAUAGACGAAGUUGGUUUAGUUUAUCCCUCCUUUGAUGGGCACAAGGAUAAAACCAUCUAUUGCUGGGCAAGGUAGCUAGAUGCAGCUUUCCCCAGAAGGCUCGAGGUAGCAGAAUGUCCAUUUUGGUCUCAAGUCGCUCAACAUUGCUGAAGUUCCUUUGCAAUCCUAAUGGAGACUGCCAUUGGGCAGUUUGUCUUAAUUGCGUUGGAGGCAAUGUGUGACCUGCUAACAGCAUAUCCCUCCUGCAACAACCAAAUCCAACAGAUGGACUGCAUCAGUUUCUGUAAACCAUUUGUUGGAGCUCCAGACCAUAGCAAAUAUCUCCAACUUCAAUUGGGAGUGAUCAGCUUCUAUAGAACAAUAAAAUGCCAUACCAUAUUAUAAUUUCCCCUUAUAUUUUUCCCAUUCUCCUAAGCUGGGGCUUGAUGAGUUUUUAGACCAAAAGACUUGUGCAAGUAAACAUCAUCUGGAUCAGGCAACAAAAAAAAAAAUUACCUGACUCUGUUUCUUGGCUAAUGACAAUUGAAAAGCCUCUAAAAGAGAACACUAGGAGGAUACCUUGUUCAGGGCGCUCAUCAUGGUCAUGAGGGGAGGAGAGUUUAUUUUUGCACGGCUUGCUACCUAGGAACAUAAGAGGAAAAUCAAUAAUGAAAUUGCAUUCAAUUUCCAAGCCAUGCAACAGAGCUUGAGAAUUAAUUCACAACCAAAUCAAGAAUCUAAAACACAAAAUUAUGUUAUUUGCAAGUAAACCUCAUCCAAUUUGAUGUAUCCAAAUGGUAAUUUAGGGUCACUCUCAUCGAUCAUUUGCUUCAGAAGUUUUCCCAGAUGAGUUUCAGUGUCAUUGCCAGUCCAUCCCCAUUGUUCAGCUAAAUUUAGCAUUUCUGUAAGGUAGGAAGCAUUAUGGCAGAGAUUAUCAAAUACAGUGGUUUUGCUUUUAAGUUGCUUAGGUACUACCUUAAUGACCUUUAGGUACUACCUUAGUGGCCUUCAGGUACUACCUUAAGGGACCCUAGGUACUACCUUAGCUAAACUUCAACCCAACCUCUCCCAAGCCUUUGUUCUUCAUUUGUGACCCUUAGACCAUGCCAUUAUAUGCUUCUCUUGAGUCCUCAAGUGGUCCACCAAUGGUUUUUUGCUACUGUUCCUUAGGUACUACCUUAGUGGCCUUAAGGUACUACCUUAAUGGCCUUCAGGUACUACCUUAAGGGACCUUAGGUACUACCUUAGCUAAACUUCAACUCAACCUCUCCCAAGCCUUGGGUCUUCAUUUGUGACCCUUAGACCAUGCCAUUAUAUGCUUCUCUUGAGUCCUCAAGUGGUCCACCAAUGGUUUUUUGCUACUGUUGCUUAGGUACUACCUUAAUGGCCUUUAGGUACUACCUUAGUGGCCUUCAGGUACUACCUUAAAGGACCCUAGGUACUACCCUAGCUAAACUUCAACUCAACCUCUUCCAAGCCUCGGGUCUUCAUUUGUGACCCUUAGACCAUGCCAUUAUAUGCUUCUCNNNNNNNNNNNNNNNNNNNNNNNNNNNNNNNNNNNNNNNNNNNNNNNNNNNNNNNNNNNNNNNNNNNNNNNNNNNNNNNNNNNNNNNNNNNNNNNNNNNNNNNNNNNNNNNNNNNNNNNNNNNNNNNNNNNNNNNNNNNNNNNNNNNNNNNNNNNNNNNNNNNNNNNNNNNNNNNNNNNNNNNNNNNNNNNNNNNNNNNNNNNNNNNNNNNNNNNNNNNNNNNNNNNNNNNNNNNNNNNNNNNNNNNNNNNNNNNNNNNNNNNNNNNNNNNNNNNNNNNNNNNNNNNNNNNNNNNNNNNNNNNNNNNNNNNNNNNNNNNNNNNNNNNNNNNNNNNNNNNNNNNNNNNNNNNNNNNNNNNNNNNNNNNNNNNNNNNNNNNNNNNNNNNNNNNNNNNNNNNNNNNNNNNNNNNNNNNNNNNNNNNNNNNNNNNNNNNNNNNNNNNNNNNNNNNNNNNNNNNNNNNNNNNNNNNNNNNNNNNNNNNNNNNNNNNNNNNNNNNNNNNNNNNNNNNNNNNNNNNNNNNNNNNNNNNNNNNNNNNNNNNNNNNNNNNNNNNNNNNNNNNNNNNNNNNNNNNNNNNNNNNNNNNNNNNNNNNNNNNNNNNNNNNNNNNNNNNNNNNNNNNNNNNNNNNNNNNNNNNNNNNNNNNNNNNNNNNNNNNNNNNNNNNNNNNNNNNNNNNNNNNNNNNNNNNNNNNNNNNNNNNNNNNNNNNNNNNNNNNNNNNNNNNNNNNNNNNNNNNNNNNNNNNNNNNNNNNNNNNNNNNNNNNNNNNNNNNNNNNNNNNNNNNNNNNNNNNNNNNNNNNNNNNNNNNNNNNNNNNNNNNNNNNNNNNNNNNNNNNNNNNNNNNNNNNNNNNNNNNNNNNNNNNNNNNNNNNNNNNNNNNNNNNNNNNNNNNNNNNNNNNNNNNNNNNNNNNNNNNNNNNNNNNNNNNNNNNNNNNNNNNNNNNNNNNNNNNNNNNNNNNNNNNNNNNNNNNNNNNNNNNNNNNNNNNNNNNNNNNNNNNNNNNNNNNNNNNNNNNNNNNNNNNNNNNNNNNNNNNNNNNNNNNNNNNNNNNNNNNNNNNNNNNNNNNNNNNNNNNNNNNNNNNNNNNNNNNNNNNNNNNNNNNNNNNNNNNNNNNNNNNNNNNNNNNNNNNNNNNNNNNNNNNNNNNNNNNNNNNNNNNNNNNNNNNNNNNNNNNNNNNNNNNNNNNNNNNNNNNNNNNNNNNNNNNNNNNNNNNNNNNNNNNNNNNNNNNNNNNNNNNNNNNNNNNNNNNNNNNNNNNNNNNNNNNNNNNNNNNNNNNNNNNNNNNNNNNNNNNNNNNNNNNNNNNNNNNNNNNNNNNNNNNNNNNNNNNNNNNNNNNNNNNNNNNNNNNNNNNNNNNNNNNNNNNNNNNNNNNNNNNNNNNNNNNNNNNNNNNNNNNNNNNNNNNNNNNNNNNNNNNNNNNNNNNNNNNNNNNNNNNNNNNNNNNNNNNNNNNNNNNNNNNNNNNNNNNNNNNNNNNNNNNNNNNNNNNNNNNNNNNNNNNNNNNNNNNNNNNNNNNNNNNNNNNNNNNNNNNNNNNNNNNNNNNNNNNNNNNNNNNNNNNNNNNNNNNNNNNNNNNNNNNNNNNNNNNNNNNNNNNNNNNNNNNNNNNNNNNNNNNNNNNNNNNNNNNNNNNNNNNNNNNNNNNNNNNNNNNNNNNNNNNNNNNNNNNNNNNNNNNNNNNNNNNNNNNNNNNNNNNNNNNNNNNNNNNNNNNNNNNNNNNNNNNNNNNNNNNNNNNNNNNNNNNNNNNNNNNNNNNNNNNNNNNNNNNNNNNNNNNNNNNNNNNNNNNNNNNNNNNNNNNNNNNNNNNNNNNNNNNNNNNNNNNNNNNNNNNNNNNNNNNNNNNNNNNNNNNNNNNNNNNNNNNNNNNNNNNNNNNNNNNNNNNNNNNNNNNNNNNNNNNNNNNNNNNNNNNNNNNNNNNNNNNNNNNNNNNNNNNNNNNNNNNNNNNNNNNNNNNNNNNNNNNNNNNNNNNNNNNNNNNNNNNNNNNNNNNNNNNNNNNNNNNNNNNNNNNNNNNNNNNNNNNNNNNNNNNNNNNNNNNNNNNNNNNNNNNNNNNNNNNNNNNNNNNNNNNNNNNNNNNNNNNNNNNNNNNNNNNNNNNNNNNNNNNNNNNNNNNNNNNNNNNNNNNNNNNNNNNNNNNNNNNNNNNNNNNNNNNNNNNNNNNNNNNNNNNNNNNNNNNNNNNNNNNNNNNNNNNNNNNNNNNNNNNNNNNNNNNNNNNNNNNNNNNNNNNNNNNNNNNNNNNNNNNNNNNNNNNNNNACCAUGCCAUUAUAUGCUUCUCUUGAGUCCUCAAGUGGUCCACCAAUGGUUUUUUGCUACUGUUGCUUAGGUACUACCUUAAUGGCCUUUAGGUACUACCUUAGUGGCCUUCAGGUACUACCUUAAAGGACCCUAGGUACUACCCUAGCUAAACUUCAACUCAACCUCUCCCAAGCCUCGGGUCUUCAUUUGUGACCCUUAGACCAUGCCAUUAUAUGCUUCUCUUGAGUCCUCAAGUGGUCCACCAAUGGUUUUUUGCUACUGUUGCUUAGGUACUACCUUAAUGGCCUUUAGGUACUACCUUAGUGGCCUUCAGGUACUACCUUAAGGGACCCUAGGUACUACCUUAGCUAAACUUCAACUCAACAUCUCCCAAGCCUCGGGUCUUCAUUUGUGACCCUUAGACCAUGCCAUUAUAUGCUUCUCUUGAGUCCUAAAGUGGUCCACCAAUGGUUUUUUGCUACUGUUGCUUAGGUACUACCUUAAUGGCCUUUAGGUACUACCUUAGUGGCCUUCAGGUACUACCUUAAGGGACCCUAGGUACUACCUUAGCUAAACUUCAACCCAACCUCUCCCAAGCCUCCGUUCUUCAUUUGUGACCCUUAGACCAUGCCAUUAUAUGCUUCUCUUGAGUCCUCAAGUGGUCCACUAAUGGUUUUUUGUUAAUGUUCCUUAGGUACUACCUUAAUGGCCUUAAGGUACUACCUUAGUAGCCUUCAGGUACUACCUUAAGGGACCCUAGGUACUACCUUAGCUAAACUUCAACUCAACAUCUCCCAAGCCUCGGGUCUUCCUUUGUCACCCUUAGACCAUGCCAUUAUAUGCUUCUCUUGAGUCCUCAAGUGGUCCACCAAUGGUUUUUUGCUACUAUUCCUCAGGUAGUACCUUAGUGGCCUUAAGGUAGUACCUUAGUGGCCUUAAGGUAGUACCUUAGUGGCCUUAAGGUAGUACCUUAGUGGCCUUCAGGUACUACCUUAAGGGACCCUAGGUACUACCUUAAGGUAAACUUAAACUCAACAUCUCCCAAGCCUCGGGUCUUCCUUGGUCACCCUUAGACCAUCCCAUUAUGUGGUUCUCUUCAUUCCUCAAGUCGUCCACCAAUGGUUUGUUGGGACUGUAGCUUAGGUACUACCUUAAGGGCCCUUAGGUACUACCUUAGUGGCCUUGAGGUACUACCUUAAGGGACCCUAGGUACUACCUUAAGGUAAAUUUCAACUCAACCUCUCCCAAGCCUCGGGUCUUCCUUGGUCACCCUUAGACCAUCCCAUAAUGUUGUUCUCUUCAUUCCUCAAGUGCUCCACCAAUGGUUUUUUGGGACUGUAGCUUAGGUACUACCUUAAGGGCCCUUAGGUACUACCUUAGUGGCCUUGAGGUACUACCUUAAGGGACCCUAGGUACUACCUUAAGGUAAACAUAAACUCAACCACUCCAAAGCCUUGGGUCUUCAUUGGUGACCCUUAGACCAUCCAAUUAUGUGGUUCUCUUCAUUCCUCAAGUCGUCCACCUAUGGUUUCUUGGGACAGUAGCUUAGGUACUACCUUAAGGGCCCUUAGGUACUACCUUAGUGGCCUUGAGGUACUACCUUAAGGGACCCUAGGUACUACCUUAAGGUAAACUUGAACUCAACCUCUCCCAAGCAUCAGGUCUUCCUUGGUGACCCUUAGACCAUCCAAUAAUGUGGUUCUCUUCAUUCCUCCAUUAAAGAUUAAACUUGUUAUCUCUAUGAAUGAACUUAAACUUCAUAUGAGGGGGAACGGGUUUGAAGGUGUUGAGCUAAGAAACAUCCAUGAUGCACUAAUUUUCACUAAUUAUUUAAUUUUCACAAUUGUUAAACAUGGUUUUAGGUCUCUAUGAACACGUUGAUUCAUGGUGCUCAAUUUCCUUGAAAGGAAAAAGAAAAAAAUUCAUGGUUCUGUUUGUCUAAGAUUGCAUCUAAGGAUUUCAUUUUUCUUGUGUGCUUUUCGGUAAUUAUUUUCUGUAGAAAUUUGAAGAUCUAGAUAUGUGUACUCUAGAAGAAUUAUAGGAUUCGAUUUGUCCUGAUCAUGAUCAUGUGCAAAUUUUGGUUUACUGAUUUUAGUUUUCUUUCAAAAUUUUCUUGUUAGGAAAUCUCAAAUUUCUCUUUUUCAUGUGCAAGUAUUUCAUAAGCAUUGAGCAAAAGUCAUCAGAAACCCAACUUGUGAAUUGUGAUGGCAGGUACACCCAUACACUUAUCGGAAUGAGAACCAGUUCUUACACUUUAACUUCCAUCAAGACCCAUAUGCAGAAUAUGAUUAUUGGAUAAACAAGAUAGGAGUUGAUGGACUCUUCACAUAUUUCACUGGCAGCCUCCAUGACUUUCAGGAAUGGACCUCUCCUCUCUCUCAAGAUGAUGGUGAUGAUGAUGGCAAUGCUGCUAAAUUGUUUCAUAAGAUUGCAACUUUAGUCUCUCCCUACAAGAAGGGAUGAUAGUGUAAAAUGCAACUUCUCAAGACUGUAGCUUAGGGUAGAAAUCUCUNNNNNNNNNNNNNNNNNNNNNNNNNNNNNNNNNNNNNNNNNNNNNNNNNNNNNNNNNNNNNNNNNNNNNNNNNNNNNNNNNNNNNNNNNNNNNNNNNNNNNNNNNNNNNNNNNNNNNNNNNNNNNNNNNNNNNNNNNNNNNNNNNNNNNNNNNNNNNNNNNNNNNNNNNNNNNNNNNNNNNNNNNNNNNNNNNNNNNNNNNNNNNNNNNNNNNNNNNNNNNNNNNNNNNNNNNNNNNNNNNNNNNNNNNNNNNNNNNNNNNNNNNNNNNNNNNNNNNNNNNNNNNNNNNNNNNNNNNNNNNNNNNNNNNNNNNNNNNNNNNNNNNNNNNNNNNNNNNNNNNNNNNNNNNNNNNNNNNNNNNNNNNNNNNNNNNNNNNNNNNNNNNNNNNNNNNNNNNNNNNNNNNNNNNNNNNNNNNNNNNNNNNNNNNNNNNNNNNNNNNNNNNNNNNNNNNNNNNNNNNNNNNNNNNNNNNNNNNNNNNNNNNNNNNNNNNNNNNNNNNNNNNNNNNNNNNNNNNNNNNNNNNNNNNNNNNNNNNNNNNNNNNNNNNNNNNNNNNNNNNNNNNNNNNNNNNNNNNNNNNNNNNNNNNNNNNNNNNNNNNNNNNNNNNNNNNNNNNNNNNNNNNNNNNNNNNNNNNNNNNNNNNNNNNNNNNNNNNNNNNNNNNNNNNNNNNNNNNNNNNNNNNNNNNNNNNNNNNNNNNNNNNNNNNNNNNNNNNNNNNNNNNNNNNNNNNNNNNNNNNNNNNNNNNNNNNNNNNNNNNNNNNNNNNNNNNNNNNNNNNNNNNNNNNNNNNNNNNNNNNNNNNNNNNNNNNNNNNNNNNNNNNNNNNNNNNNNNNNNNNNNNNNNNNNNNNNNNNNNNNNNNNNNNNNNNNNNNNNNNNNNNNNNNNNNNNNNNNNNNNNNNNNNNNNNNNNNNNNNNNNNNNNNNNNNNNNNNNNNNNNNNNNNNNNNNNNNNNNNNNNNNNNNNNNNNNNNNNNNNNNNNNNNNNNNNNNNNNNNNNNNNNNNNNNNNNNNNNNNNNNNNNNNNNNNNNNNNNNNNNNNNNNNNNNNNNNNNNNNNNNNNNNNNNNNNNNNCAAUGCAACAAAACGCCAUGUAUGUCUGCAAAACAUAUAUUACAAUAAUGGUAUGUGCAUUCCAAGUUAGGAUUAAGCUUCCUCUAUAUUCAAUGGGAUGUGUCUUAAGAUAUAGAGGGAACUGAAGGCAUACUGACUAAAUAUCAUUAUCCAAAGAACAAAAUAAACUAAGGAGCCUAUUGUGAAGUCUUCAUCUUUGAUAUCUCCUCCAACAGUAAUCUGGAUUCAGCUGCAAAAUCAACUGGAACAACAGCCCUGGCUGUUAUCCUCUGCCUUUUCUCGUUCAUGUACUCAUGUUGUGCAACACUAAUCCGGAAAAGCUGAGGGACCCAAAUAGCUUCCUUCAAUUUCUGUUGGAAUAGGUUCUCUUCUCCCUCCUGCAGAGAAGAUUGGGUUUUUUAAACAUCAGAUUUUGAAUGGCAGAAGUUCAUCAUUUAAAAAAAAAAAAAAUACAACCCAACUAGGCUACCAAAUAAGUAACCAACUACAUAUGAAUUAAUGCAUCAAUGAGCAACUCUUUCAAGUUAACUAAGAUUUGGACAAACUCAUAGAUAUUUCAAUAUUGUCAAGAGUUUACCUGUGAUUUCAGCUUAUCAAGCUCAUCAGCAGAGCACCCAAAUAUUCUCUCUGCUUGGUCAUUGAACAGAGAAAGCCAAUAGAAGCCAUUGAAGCUCCUUUACAUUCAGAAUCAUACCUGUGAAGAAGAACAUAUGGUCAGAAACACUUACUACAAGAACUAACAAGGUAAUAGGUCACUGGAUGAUUCCUUACCAGGAUAUCAACUUUUUUUAUUCGCGUGUAUCUGGAUUUACCAGUACAAUACUUUCACUCAAUGUUGACAGUGAUACAACUAAAACAAGAUAUGAAGAGAACAUUACAAAGAGGACUUCUUAUCAUUCUCAUGUUUUUUAGAAUUGCCAUAAUAAUACCAAAAUUCAAGAAAACAAGGGGAAUUACCUUGGAAGUCUCCAACUUUGAGAGAUUUAAUUGCAACAAUUGGAAAUUAAUCAGCAUUAUCCAACAAUUCCUGCCCUACAUUAGUAGCAUGAUCAUUCCACAAAGAGACCACAACAGAGAGAAAAGAGAGAGAAGAGAGAGAAGCUAAGGACCCUCCAUUUGGCACAAAGUAAGAAAACCUUUUUUGCUGUUUGAUGUGAAGCUCUAUGCAUUAAAAAAAGGAAAAACAAAUUAUAAACUUAAUUUUAAAAUAUAUCAUAAAAAACAGCUCUCUAGGUGGCAGGAGAGGUGGGUUUUGGUUCAAAUAGCUUAUACUGCCUCUGGCAUCUGUUCUUGAAUUCUCCAACUUUGUCUCCCAAACAUGUCCUAAUUCCCAAGAGCUCAUAUUGCCACACCUACUCAUUAGGGUUUGCAUCAGUUUCCAUUAACAUUUAACUAAAAAGAGUUUAAAAAUUCAAUCAAGGUCAAACAAAAUCAACCAUCCCACAGAGCAGAAGUUACAUAGAUAUUCGAGAAAAUAAGUCAUGUCACAAACUAAGCAUCUAAUCACACAGCAGAAGUUCAGAAGUUCAGCUUUCCUCAAUCCAACCAGCUUUGAAUACAUGCUUAUAGGCUUCUAUAAUCUGCUCCUUACCACCUUUAAACAAAACCCUUGAACGAAUUAAACCAAAAAACCCAGAAAAAAAGAAAAAAAAAAAAAAAAAGAAGCACAGAAAAUUAGGAUUAAAAUCAAUCAAUCCACACAAAGUGCUAAAAAAACAUUAAUAAACAAACACCCAACAUAAAAACAACAAGCUUUUAUUAAAAGAACACAAAAACAAAUAAAAUAAAAACAUACCCACAACUUUAUCUUACCUCAAGAACCAAAUCCAAGAGCAAAAAAAGAGUUUAAAAAUUCAAUCAAGGUCAAACAAAAUCAACCAUCCCACAGAGCAGAAAUUACAUAGGUAUUCGAGAAAAUCAGUCAUGUCACAAACUAAGCAUCUAAUCACAGAACAGAAGUUUAGAAAUUCAGCUUUCCUCGGGUGCUAAAUUGCAAUUAAAAAUAAAAACACUAAUUAAUUGUCAAUCUCAAGAGAACCUAAAUCCCAAAAAUUAGGCCAGAAACCUAAAUUACGUGCAUUGAAUAGUUCCAGAUGCAUGAAAUCAAUGAAAAAAAUUACCAAACAAAAAUAGUAAUCAGGAAAGACCAAGUAAAGAAUACACAAAAAUGUACAUAUUUAUCGUUCAUUCGUGUGGUCGCCGGAAGAAAAAAAACGGGAAUAAAGAACAAAGCUCGAGAUUUACAGCUGCGCCUAAACAUUUGCUCUCUUUCAUUGCAAAGAAACCAACAACAAUAGAAAAAAAAAUAAUCAUAUAAGUUUCGCCUCAUAUUUUCCUCAUUUACCUCAGUUUUCUGAGCAACCAAACAAAAACUAAAAGAUGGACUAGAAAGCGAAUCUAACUUGAAUAGUGUAAGAGAGCUCAUAACAGAGUGGAAAUCUCUAAAUGAAGGCGAGAACCUGGAGAUGAAAUCGCUUUAUCUGAAGAAAUUUGCGGAUCAGUAGUACGGCGACACGCGUGAAUCGAUUACAGCUUACAAGCUUUCAAUUUUUCAUUGAGAAAUUCACACAACAGAGAGAGAAGAGAGAGAAGAGAGCGAAGCUAAGGACUCUCUGUGACUUUCUCUCCUUUUGCCCUAACCUGGGUUCCCCAAAUUUCAGAGUCGAGUGUCGCGUGGGCUUUAUCUGAAGAAAUUUGCGGAUCAGUAGUAUGGAGACACGCGUGAAUCGAUUACAGCUUACAAGCUUUCGAUUUUUCACUGAGAAAUUCACCCAACAGAGAGAAAAGAGAGAGAAGAGAAAGAAGCUAAGGACUCUCUCUGACUUUCUCUCCUUUUGCCCUAACCUGGUUUCCCCAAAUUUCACAGUCGGGUGUUGUGUGGGUUUUGCUAACUUGUUUAAGAUUUUUGUGUUUAUUUAUUAAAAGCACAACCCGUGACAUGGAGAGGGAGAUGGCUGCUGACAUGGAUGUGGAGGGGUAAUUUUGGAAAUGAAAUUAUAAAACAGUACAUAGUGCAUGAAAAGGAUAAUUUUUUGGGCAACAGUAGACAUAUUUUGGGUUAUGGAAAGUUGGGUUAUGAAAAAGCUAUUAGGCCCAAAUGGGCGGGCCAAAACACAGUUUUCCCUAUAUUGUAUCAUAAGAAAAAGAAAGGAAAAAAAAAGAGUGGAGGGGGAGGGGGAGAGAUGGGGGGCUAUGUUGUAAACAACAGGGUAGCCUGUGUAAAGCCCCCAGUUUUUACUUAGAGACCUCAUUACCCAUUAGGAAAAGGGUCAGUGACCUAUUAUUAAUAAUGCAAAAUUACCCAAAGAUGGAUAUUUGAAUUUUUUUUUUUUUUUUGGAGAAUUUAAGAAUUGUUGACACAAUAUAGUGAAACUGCAUAUACAAAUAUUGGGGUCAUUAGUUCACAUGACUUAAGCGAUUAAGAACAUUGAAGAGGAGACAUGUUGCUUGAUAAGCCCACCUGUCUACAUCUUGAGCAGCCACAGUUUGUUGCUCAUGAGACUUUUUGGAAGACACCUCCAGGGAUAAGAUUGAGUAAUUUAAAUUCCAUUAACAGAGUUCCUCUCUUUCAUUAGCCUUUAGGCCCUUAGGAAUCAAGCUUAAACUCGAAAGAUUCUAAAAUCUUACUCCCUUCUAACCUCAGGAAAGUUUUGAGAGCUUAGGUAUCCACAAAUAUCUUGGUACAUUCUAACAAGUCCUAUACCACUUUCCACCAUUCAAUUUAUCCCAAAAUAGCAUAAAUGUCAAGGGGAUACAGGAGACCAGAACUAAUAAAGGCAAUGACAUUAAACGGGAGAAAAAAAUAUCAAAGCAUGAUAGAAGAGUUAAAUACUUAAACAAGUUAGUGUUGGUAUUUUAAUUAUAGUAUUCCAUUAAUACAGUACCAAAAUACUGGAUGCCAUAUACUUUUGUCUAACAAUGGAUGGAAUAAUAGAUAUACAAGCACAAGAAAUAUGUUUCACUAACAUGAAAAUGAAAUUUAUGAAAGGUGGCUAGAUUCGAGAAAUACAAACAGGAUAGAACACCUAUGAAGCAUGAAAUAUUUUUGAACACAAACUUUAACAAAUCCAUAACAUGAAUAAAUGUUUGGAACCACCACACUAGAUCAGCAAUCUGUAGCUUCUCAAUAUCAUAACUGUUACAGCUAUAUUCGACUUCUAACCAUAUAAGCUAAGCCUAUGUUUUGUUUCUAGAAAGUUUUAAGGAAAAAAAAUAGAGCAGAGAAAUAUAAGAAAAAAUUAUAAAAGUUUUCUUUUAUUUGAUUGUCCAUUGAAAAGUUGAAGGAAAGAAAAUUAAAUUGCUAAAGAAUGUAAUUUCCACUAACUUUCCUCAUUUUUUGUUAAGGAAAAUGGACACCACCACCACCCCAACCCUUUUCUUUCGUUUUUUUUUUCUUCAUCUUUCGCAUGGUACCCAAACAUGAGAAAACCAUUUUCACUAGCAUUUUUUCCUUUCCUUUUCUUAUUACUUUCCAAGAACCAAACAUAAGGUAAGUUUAUGACACCCUUUCUAACACAACCAUUAAUAGACGGCUCAAGGUACUUCUAACAGUGAAAGAAGAAUUUCACAAAUACUUAUAGUAAAUUACAGAAUAAGCCAAAAGUGAAGAUAACAUCUAUUAAUACCUGCCUUCUUCAUCUUCCAAAUUCUGAAGAUGUUGUUUUUCAUCUUCACUUAAGUCCAAUGCAACUUGGACGUAGGAAAAAUUAGAACAAAAAAAUAAUCAAGCAUUCUUUUCUCAGCAUCAUCAUGCAAAAUUUUCCACCAUAGCAUAAAAGGAAAUCAUGAAGAAAAAUAAAAAAUGAAAAAAUAAUACGCAUGCUCUCUACAAUAAUAACAAUAAAGGCAAACUACUCCAACAAAUUAUUAGAAAAAAUUGGAAAAAAUAAAAUUCAGAGAAUGGAAAUCCAUUUUCACCUCCAUAUAAAAUACACCAUGAAAAACAUUGGAAUCUAGUAAAGCUCUAGGUAAAAGAGGUAUUUCAGGCCAAUUUAAGAGCUCUAUCAGAAAUUCAAAUGCCCAUUCUGAAAUAGAAAAUUUAAAAUCUAAUUGAAACUUAACUUUGCAAUCCGAGUACCAUAAAAACAUUGAAAAAGUCACACAAAUACUCGCAUAAUCUUAUCAAUCGAAAGGUUAUAAUACAAGGUGCAAAACACCAGAAUCAGAAAUAAGUUUCACAUUCUACAAAACUUACACUAAAAAGAGAAAGUUAAAAGGUCACAGACAGUCGAAAAUAACCAGAAAAUAAAGGAAAAUAAAAGAAAAGGGACCUGUUUGGCGAUAAGUUCUCUCUUAGAGUGGGAUGGGAGUUGGGAGACACUCAUCUAAUAUAUAGGGAAAGUUGUGUUUUUUUUCCCUCCCUCUGUUUUCUGGAUCUAGGGGUCUCUUUGCUUUUGUGCCAUUUGAAUUAAAUUUCACAAACCCUAAACCCACGAUUUUUUUAGCCAGGCUGAAAAAUACCACCUUUGCCUGCAAAUCGUGAUCAGAUUACCAAAUAGCAUCUUAUUGUGCCAUUGGAAUUAAAUUUCACAAACCCUAACCCACGAUUUUUGAACCAGGCUCAAAAACACCACAUUUGCCUGGAAAUCGUGGUCAGAUUACCAAAUAGCAUCUUAUUGUGCCAUUGGAAUUAAAUUUCAAAAACCCUAAACCCACAAUUUUUGAGCCAGCCAGAAAAAUACCACCUUUGCUUGCAAAUCGUAAUCAGAUUACGAAAUAGCAUCUUAUGUUUUAAAUAAAAAAAAAAAUCAAAAAGCUUGGACAGCUCGUGAACAAUGCAAAACAACAUUUAGCCCAAAUUUUUUCUCAACAGCCAAACAAAUUGUUAAAUGGAAACUCACCUGCGAUUACUCCAAAAGGAAGACGAAGCUCCACCGCCGAUUCCAGAAACCACCCAUGAAAAUGCAGGCAAAAGGAGAGAAUAGGGCAAAAAGCGAGGAAGUCAGCGUUUCCCCAAAUUUUUGAGUCGGGUCGUGGGUUUUGCAAAUCCUAACUCUAAAGCUUAAUAUUUUUGUGUUCAAUUAUUAAAAACACAACUUCCCGUGCUGACACGGAUAAGGAGAUGGCUGCUGACAUGGUAGGCUGGAGGGGUAAUUUUGGAAAUGAAAUUAUAAACAGUGGAUAGUGCAUGAAAGGGAUAUUUUUUUGGGAGAAUUGUGUUUUGGGCCCAGCUGGGCCCAAAAAUUAACAAAUGGUCCAUCUAACUGACCUAAUUAAUGAUAAGGAUAUCAAAUGUUAACAGACGAAAAUGCCCUUUACAUUUCCAACUCAAAUUGUUGUAAAAUAAUGGGUUUUACAGCUGGUAAACGUGAAAUGCCAUGUCACCAGAGUGAAAAUUCUGAAUCUUCCUAAAAACCACUCACAUAUACCCUCUCCUUCUACUCUCUUUCUCGCCGGAGUUUCAGUUUCUCCGUUCAACCCCAACUCUUCUCCGGCCAAUUCUUACUCGUCCCACCAUUCUUUCCUUCAAUUCUCACCAGAGUUUGCCCCUUUUCCACCAAAGUUCACUCCUUUUUCACCAAAGCUCACAACUUUUUCCCACCCAAGAAACCAUUUUCCGCUCAAACAAACAGGAUUUUCUCCUUUUCUGGUUUAUGGGAUUUCGACAUAGUUCCUAAAAAGAGACACUUGAGAGGGAACUAAGGUUUUCUCUGUAUACACAAAAGGGUUUUUAGAGAGAGAAAACAGAGUGCAGUUUCACUGAGCCAUUUUUGUUUGCUUUGAAGGAAAUUUUUUAUGUGUUUUGGUGAAGAUUUUAGGGCCUAAAGCUUCAGAUUAUUUGUUUGGCAAUGCAGAAAAUAUAUUCUGGGUGAGUUUUUUCUCAUCUUCAUUUUUGAGAAAUUUUUUUCUCGUAUAUGGCUUUGAUUCUCAGAAAUUUAUUCUAAGGUUUGGAUUAUGUUGAUGAGAUUACCUUGAAGAACUAUGCUUAAUUACUGAAUAUUUUUAUGAAUUUAGGUUGUAAAUAUAUAAAUAUAUCAGUGAUUGAUUAAUUAAUUAAUUAAUUGAUUGAAUGAAUGAUUAAUUGACUGAUUGAUUAGGGGCUAGUUGUUAGAUUGUGUAUUCAAUGGGUGGAUUCAUGCAUGAUUUAAAUUUAUGAAAAAUGGGCCCACCAAAGUCAUUUCUUUAAUUCUUAGUUUUCAAUCACAUUCACCAUUGAUUAUGAUCAUUUUAAGAUCAUAUAUGCAUGGCAUACCCAAAAUUUUCUAUCCAAUUCUACCCAUUUACAAUUAUGUUUAUGGAAUCUAAUGAAAUUGAUGUAUUUGUUCAUGAAAAUGAGCUCAUUUGGUCUGAUUUGAUUCCAGGUCAUGGCAUUGCAGUGAGUUUAGGUGUGUUAUUGGUAUGAUUAUGUUAAUCAAAGAUUCGAAAUGGCCGAUUUCUUCAUGAAAAUGAGCUCAUUUGGUGUGAUUUGAUUUUGGGUCAUGGCAGUGUAGUGAGUUUAGAUGUAGUAAACAAACAAUUUGUUUGUGAAAAUGAACUCAUUUUAUUUGGUUUGAUUCCGGGUCAUGGCAUUGCAAUGAGUUUAGGUGUAUUAUUGAUUAUUUGAAUGAGGGCGAUUUGUUAUGGGAAAAUGAGCUCAUUUGGUGUGAUUAUGUGAAUCAAAAGGAUCUGAAAAUGCUCAGAUUGUUCAUGAAAAUGAGCUCAUUUGGUCCGAUUUGAUUCCGGGUCCUGGCAGUGCAGUGAGUUUUGGUGUAUUAGCAUGAUUGUAAUUUAUAUCAAUUAAACUAUUAGAAACACUAGAUUUCUUCACGAAAAUGAGCUCAUUUUAUGUGAUUAGGUUUCGGGUCACUGCAAUGCAGUGAGAUUUGGUGUAUUAGCAUGCGAUUGGAAAAAUGAUCUCAUUUCAUUUGAUUGAUCUCCGGCCAUGAUAUCACAAUGAGUCUAGGUCUACUACUGUGAUUAUAUCAAUCAAACGACUAAAAAUGCUUGAUUUAUUCAUGAAAAUGAGCUCAAUCCAUGUGAUUCCAUUUUGGGUCAUGACAAUGCAGUCAGUUUAGGUGUACCGUUCAUGCAUUGUGUAAUUAGUAGGUGAUUGGGUUUUUGAUUAAUUAAUCAAGCUUGUGUCAUUCNNNNNNNNNNNNNNNNNNNNNNNNNNNNNNNNNNNNNNNNNNNNNNNNNNNNNNNNNNNNNNNNNNNNNNNNNNNNNNNNNNNNNNNNNNNNNNNNNNNNNNNNNNNNNNNNNNNNNNNNNNNNNNNNNNNNNNNNNNNNNNNNNNNNNNNNNNNNNNNNNNNNNNNNNNNNNNNNNNNNNNNNNNNNNNNNNNNNNNNNNNNNNNNNNNNNNNNNNNNNNNNNNNNNNNNNNNNNNNNNNNNNNNNNNNNNNNNNNNNNNNNNNNNNNNNNNNNNNUAAUUGAUGUCUACCAUGUUCAUUCAUCCUAUUAGCUUCCCUAGUAAUGAUGAAUAUGAACCGAAAUUAGGGUCACCUUUUGUGUCAUUUUCCCUAGUCCAUGGUAAUGGAAACAUUGGUUACCCACCCAUAUUCACUUGGAAAUAUGUACCUAUUAGGGAUUUGGUGACUGGACAAGGCAUUUACACUAAGUGUACAAGGCCAAUGUACUAAAUGUACAAGGGUGUACAAGGGUGUGCAUCUUACUUUUUCCAAACGUGGGGAACAAUCCUCACACAUGUUGCUUGAUAACACACGCAUUGCAUGCAAUUUAAUUGAUGUCUACCAUGUUCAUUCAUCCUAUUAGCUUCCCUAGUAAUGAUGAAUAUGAACCGAAAUUAGGGUCACCUUUUGUGUCAUUUUCCCUAGUCCAUGGUAAUGGAAACAUUGGUUACCCACCCAUAUUCACUUGGAAAUAUGUACCUAUUAGGGAUUUGGUGACUGGACAAGGCAUUUACACUAAGUGUACAAGGCCAAUGUACUAAAUGUACAAGGGUGUACAAGGGUGCCUAUCUUGAAGGAUUUCAAAUGCAAAUGGUGGUUGCUCAUUGUGGCCGAUGUGCUGAACGUGUUGUGUUUGGCGAUGAGAUAACUGAUGGAGGAAGGGAUGACCUAGAAAAGAUCACGAAGGUAAUUGUACUUAACAUCAACUUGUUAUAAGUUCAAACUGAUCCUUCGAGGACAUGCUCCAUUGAUUAAAAAAAAUUAUAUUUAGCAGACACAAUACUAUUUGAGGCAGCACUUAAGGAGUUGCAUGCUUUGGUGCAUGAUUAUUUGCAUUUAUUAUGUGUUUGCUUUAAAAUGAACAAAUGGGGAAAAUAAGCUUCACUCAGGAAAGCAAAAUUCAUCAGGAUAAAAAUACAAAGUACAAAUAAAAGGAGGAAAUUUAUAAUAGAAGUGAAGACAGUUGCAUUUUGAACUUGGCUGUCUGUCAGUAGACUUAAGGUUCCUAAACCUCGCCCUUGAUAUGAGCUGGAAGCAAGGCUUACGAAAAUUCUUUGGGACAUGGAAUUCAAAUCUAGUAAUGCUCAUUCCAUGAUACUUGUUUUACCUUUAUGAUUUGCACUUUAUUUAGACACAUUGUUAUGAUUUUCAACUAACCCAUUACAUGGUUUCAUUACAUGUCAAUGUGGUUGAUGAUGGGAAACGGAUUUCCACAAUCCUCAAGGACCAUGUGGGAAGGAUUAUGUUGGGUUUUUUUCUAUUUAUAAAUCAAGUGUUUAUAUUCAAGAGAAAAGGCUUUCAUACUUGGUAUGUACCCAUAAGCAUCACUGAAAAUUCAACUUCUCUUUCUAUCUAGAUUGAUUACAGAAGCAGGCUACGUUUUUUUUCUAAUAGGAUCACAAUGUAAAUUAAUCAUGAAUGCACUUUAUAAUUUGAUGUGUUUAGAUUUAUGUACAAAACGGAUUUUUAUGCUGCUAGUAACUUCUGUUGGUGUUUAAAACAAACAUGGAAUUAACCAUAAUGUUCUCUGUGCUCUUUGCAAGAUACUGGUAUAUUGAGUUGUGGAUGAUCUUAUUUGGUUUAUAUGCCUUUCCAAUCCCUCAUGCUACUUGUUUUCUCACUUUGCAUGGUGCUUGUUUCUGUUUCUGAAACCUUCUUCCAUGGAGUUUGGCUCUAUUGUUAGUAGUGAUGGUAAUAAACGUCUAUUUCCUUGCAAUUUCUUCAGGAGGGACCCUUGCCUCACAACGAUCGGGUGAGAUAUCAGCCACUGGACCUAUAUCCUGCUCCACUCCACAUAUGUUAAAAGUGUUAACGGAACGACGCAGGGUUCUCCCUUCCUACCAUGUUGUCUUUGAUCCUAGUUUGGCUGCCAUCUAUCUGAGUCCAAGUUAGACAUUGAUUCGGGCUCCUGGGAGAAGAAAGAAACCCGGCUUUUGACACCAAUGCUCUGGUUCUUAGAUGCUGAAGCUAUUGAAUAUUGUCAGCUGACUCUUGAGUAGAAGGGUGAAAUGCCAAUGGAAUGUAUCUUAAGAUGAGGCUUAGGACUGUGGUUUACAACAGUUUUGUUGGCUUAUUUAUUACUGUUUUGAUGUUUCUGUACAAUGAAAUUGAAGUUAUAAGAAGGGUCGAUCUGUCUUCGUGUACAGAGAAAUCUGUAAUGAAAAUACUUUUUGCCCAUUAAUGUAUUGAACAUAGAAAAAUUGUGAAAUCUCGAGUUCUAGCGAACCCAUCCCUGUUGAAGUGAUCAAUACAGAAGUCCAAAGAGGAAACACCAGGAGUUUCUGAAAAUGUUUUUUAAUGUUUUGUAAAACAUUUUGUUUGAUAACUUGAAAUUUUUUUAACUUUUUUUUUUUAAAAAUUUUAAAUAUAUUUUUUUUAAAAAAUUUAUAUGUAAUGUUUUAUUUUUAAUAUUUUUUAUAUUUAUAUAAUAAUAUUUAAAAAACAAGUAAAAACAAUUAAAAUAUAUAAUUUAUAACUUUUCUAUCUUUAAACAUCUAAGAGUAUAAAAUUAUUUAUUGAUUGUCAAUUUUUUCCUAGAAAAUAAAAAAUUGGUUUUGAAAACAAUUAACAAAUAGGGUUUUAGAGUGAAUUUGACAACUGUUUUGAAAAACAAAAUUCUAAAAAAUAUAAAAUAGUUUUUCAACUUCAAAAACAACUAAUUAAAGAGUAAUACAUGUAACCGGUCGACCGGACAAUGAUAGGGGGUCGACCGGUUGUUGCAAAAACUCCUCAUAUAAUGUAGACCGGUCGCUGGCAACCGGUCGACCGGAUUACUUCAAAAAUUUUAUGCCAUCUCACUAUUACAAGAGACACAAAAUAUGCAAAUAUGUAAAUUUUUUUCAAAGUUAUUACUUCAAAAAUUUUAUCAGUUCUAAAACUAUUUUGAGAACUAACAUUUCAUGAGAGAAUGGAAUAUUUUUUCUUAUAUUGGAUGUUCUAAGAAAAUCAACUUGUUAAACAAUGCAAUGACAUGACUAAUAUUGGUAAUGUGGGAUUAGUUCAAACUUAUCUAAUACAUCAUUACAAUGUAGCCUUGAAAAACAUGACAUUAUGAAACAGUAUAUUAUUUCAUUUAUAUUUAUGCUUUUGGUAACCCUUUACUAUUAUAUUUAUGUGUCUUAAUUAUUUUGAACAUUCAAGUCUACUUCACUUACAUUACACAUUUGGGUGCGUGAUAAAUUGCAUAAAAGGUCUAACUCCUUCCAAGUUGAUGAGUUGUUCAUUGCUUACUCAUGGACUUAGGUAAUUUGCCGAAUGUUAAAGUUCAGUACCUCCUAAUAUGGAUGAGAUGACUUGGCGAUCUUGUAAAUAUUACUAAACAACAUAUAAUAAAGUAAAUAGCUGCUUAUAUAUAUAUAUAUAUAUAUUGAAUCCAAAUUAAAACGAAAUCAAAAACAUUUGCAUGCUGACACAACUCUAAAUAUACGUAUGCUAAUACAAAAUAUAUAUGUCCCAGUUUUGCAAGCUAAACAAAAUAACGACGUGGUCUCAAUGCAAUCAAGGUGCAGCGGGUGGCGGUGGGAACACGGCGCGGAGGUACGCCAUUAACUCCUCAUGCUGACGCUCUUGGCGAUCAAGCCUCUGUAGGAUAUGCUCAUGCGUAGCCUGCUGCUGAUCCAUGCGCUCCUCAAUACGAGUCCCAAGUGAGGUAAUCUGCGCAGACAACUCCAUCCAAGGCGCAUGCGCAGCGGCGUCAGGAGCCUGGCCAGGUGAUGUAUGGGUGUAAUGAGGCUCAGUAAAUGAUGGCUGACCAGAUGGUCCCGCUGUGUAACCCGUCUCAGUCAUCACCGCAUCUGAAAUAGUCGGGUCAAUGUGGCCACCCUUAGACUGGCGUGGAGGGAUAUCAAACUCAGCCUCUCUAUGCUCAAAAUCGGUCUGAGGGUGUACCCCACCCUCCAUCUCCCUAAUCUCCUCCUCUUCGUCUUCCUCUGCCUGUGGAUGUGGUACUGGUCGGUCCGCCCUCCUAAUCCAUGACCCAUCUGGGGCCUUCUCCAACUUCAUCCGCGCCAUCGACUGCUCAUCAUAUGUGUCAUAACUGCUGGGCGCCUCGACCUCCUGCUCCCUGCUCAAAUCCACCCCCGCAUCCUUGAACACUCGUGUCAUGAAGCGGCCAUAUGGGAGAAUGCGUUUGGGCCUCUCGCAGCAUGCCAUCAUGUGCAUCAUCAUGACAUACCCGACGUCAAUACGUCUCCCCGUCAUAAUCGAAUCAAUCAGAAAUGCCUCCAGAUAGGAAACCUCAUCUCGAUGACCGCCACGUGGUAGGAGGAUGUACGCUAUCAUGUGGUGAAGGACUCGGCAGGUCACUGUCAGGCUAUGGGCCGAUGGUUUGCCCAACCCCGGGGCAUCUGCAAGGCCGUAGAUCCUCUGAAUCGCCUCUCUCGGAUCGAAACCCGGCACCGUCGGCCAGGUCUUGGCAUCAUAUACUCGGAGUCCACCAGGAGGAAUGUCCAAAAUGCGGCAGAUGCUCUCCGGGUCCAGAUGGAUCUGAACCCCUCUAACGGUCGAAGUGAUCGGUCCUCCAUGUCCAAAUGUCACACGGGAAUAGAAUGCCCUGACUAAUGUCGGAAAAAUGGGCUCUGAAAUAGUGACUAAGGGCAGCCACCCCAUGCAUGCAAAGAGGCUCUCAAACCCGAAAUGUUGUAGAUGGGCGAAAUUUAUAUUUCUCCCUGCAACCACCUUCCUCUGGACGAAAUGCUGCUUGUACCUCUGGUAUUCGUCGACCGAAGUGAAAAGGCCGGUGUCGAACCUCGCCUUUCGGCGAGCCUCCGCCUGACCGUCCUGAGAAGCCUGAGCAGGGCGCUUGCCCAGUGCCUUCGACGCACCCCUAUCUCUCCUAGGCGCCAUGAAACACUACAAAGGGCUACCCCUAUGUCAAAACAAGGCCAAUGAAAGAGUCUGUGACGCGCGCGGGAAGAGAAGAGAACCCGCCUGUGACGCGCAAUGAAGGAGGACCAUUGCCAAACCUCACUCCCUAGGUCCGAAAUGUGAAGCCGCACCCCUCAAAACUCACUCCGAAGGCUUGCAACAGCUGGAAUCGCGUCCAAAGUGGGUGUGUGGCAGCUCAAUCGGUGGAUCCCUUCGACUGCCAGAGGAUAACACUGAAGAAAUUAAGCGCGGAAUGGUUUUUUAAACGUCACCCCGGCCGACCGGAUAUGAACCGGUUGACUCAGUAACAUGUUCCAUGGUGUUUUGCACUUUUUAAUAGGUAUAAUGCAAAACACUUGUGAUAUUCACUUUUUGUGGGGUUGCCUUAAAUAUUUUCUCCGUAUAUUUUAAAUAUUUUUAUAAAAUAGUUUUUAUAAAAACAAUAUAUGCAUUUUCUAUAAAAUAUUUUUAUUCUUAAAGGUAAAAAAUAAAAAUAUAUAUCCAAGUGCUACCUUAAUAAUUUAUUUUCUGUCCUCAAUUUUUCCACAAACAACCAUAUAAAAUUUCUUUAACUUUUUCUCUUUCCUUAUAUUUUCUUUUUUAAUUUUUUGGCUUCAAACUUUUUAGGAAUCCAACAUAAUAAAAGAUGGCGCUUUAAAGGUUUUUUUAAAGCAAUCCUAAAAACUUCUUAUUUUUUUAAGUGAGUUUUAUUAGCUUGAAUUUUAAAAUUUUUAGAAAUAAUUUUUGAAAAUAUAAGGUUUUUAAGUUAAUACCUUUUAUAAAAAGUUUCUAUUUUGUACAUAAAAAAAUUUUAUUUUGAAAAUUAGAAAUCAGAAAAUAUAAGGUUUUUAAGUUAAUACCUUUUAUAAAAAGUUUCUAUUUUUUACAUAAAAAAUUUUUAUUUUUAAAAAUAGAAAUCAGAAAAUAUAAGGUUUUUAAGUUAAUACCUUUUAUAAAAAGUUUCUAUUUUUUACAUAAUAAAUUUUUAUUUUUAAAAAUAGAAAUCAGAAAAUAUAAGGUUUUUAAGUUAAUACCUUUUAUAAAAAGUUCCUAUUUUUUACAUAAAAAAAUUUUAUUUUUAAAUAUAGAAAUCAGAAAAUAUAAGGUUUUUAAGUUAAUACCUUUUAUAAUUCCUUUGUCUAUUUAGCCUAUUUGAUUAUUAAUAUUUGUAUAUGAAGAAUUUAUUCGAUUUAUAAAAAAUAAAUAUGAAUAUAAUUAAAAUGUAAAUUCAAGAAAAAAAGAUAUUUAAUUAAAAAAUGAAAACAAAUCACAACAAAACAAUAUCACACAUCAAGAACAUGUUACUUUGUCAUAAUAUUUAUUGUUUUUGUUUUAGUUUUCAUAAAUUGAAUGGUUUUGGGUUUGGAAAAAUAUAAAUUAUGGUAAUAUAACUAAAAAGAUAAUUUUUAUCAAAAUAAUUUUUAAGGCUUGAAUGUUAUAUUAAUUGAAUUUAGGUGUUCUCCCACUGAGUAAUUUAUCCAAUAAGCAACUUGGCUUGGGUUUUGCUUCUGGUUUUUUUCAUUGACUUGAGGUUGACUUGAGGUACCAUUGCAACCCCUUCCCUGUAGGUAGGAAGCGGUCGCAGUAUAACACUAACACAAAUGUCCAUAUCUCUAUCCCAAUCAUUUACAUCUUUCAGAUCAUAUGAAAAAUUGCGACUAUAUGAAAAAAUCAACAUUAAAGGAAUGCGGGAGUUGGAAGAAUUACAGGAAUUGGGGGAGUACCCUUCCCUAGUUUUUUUAAAGAUCAGUUACUGCCGCAAUCUGAUGAAGUUGCCAUCCCACUUUCCUUAUUUAGAAGAUCUAAAGAUCAAACAUUGCGUCUCUCUCAACACCCUUGUUGUGACCCCACUUCUGAAAGUUCUCGUGCUAGUUGACAAUAUUUUUCUGGAAGAUUUGAAUGAAGUGAAGCAGUCAUUCUCUAGUCUUUUGGUAUUGAGAUUAAUUGUUGCCCAAAGCUGAAGGUAUUACCUCAAAUAUGUACCCCAGAUAAGAUGGAGAUUGGUGGGUCUAAUUUACUGGAAGCUCUCUCAGCCCGAGAUUACUCCCAACAUCUUGAGCACUUGAUCGUGGAUGAAUGCGAGGAUGAAACACUGGUAGUGGGGGCAAUACCAAGGAGGACUUCUCUAAACUCUUUGGUCAUUUCAAACAUCUCAAAGGCAACCUGUUUCCCCAAGUGGCCUCAUCUUCCUGGUCUCAAGGCUUUGCACAUCUGUCAUUGGAAAGAUCUGGUAACUUUAUCCCAAGAAGCAUCACCAUUCCAAGAUUUGACCUAUCUCAAACUGUUGUCAGUUGUCAAGUAUCUAAUCUAAAAUAGGUUCCAGCAUCGGAAAUUUGGCUGAAAAUUGUCCCCUUAAUUUAUAUAUAACCAUACUAUCCCAAUCAUUUAUAUUUUUCGAAAGUUAAAAAAUCCACUAUAUGAAAAAUUAGCAUUUAAGAAAAGAAAUCAUUUGUUUUCUAAAAAAAUUAAGUACUAAUAACUUGUAUAUUGUUUUAUCAUUUCUUAAAAUUUUGUCCAAAUUUAAAAAUAACCUCUUACUUUAAUUUGAGCCCCUUCUUAAUUAUAUUACAUUUUGAUUUUUUAAAUAAAACUAAGAAUUAUUUAAAAAUUUUAAAAUUUUGUCCAAUUCUCCAGGAACCGGUCGACCGAAACUGAUCGACCGGUCUAUAUCCGGACGAGGGUGCCAAAAUGCACCCUCUCUCAUCCAGUAGCUUGUCCAAACCUCCAAGAACCGGUCGACCGAAACUGAUCGACCGGUCUAUCUCCGGACGAGGGUGCCAAAAUGCACUCUCUCUCAUCCAGUAGGGUGUGCGCGACCGGCUGAAGAAAGGUUCGACCGGUUUACCAAUGGCUGAAGGACAAUAUCGACCGGUCGAACACUUUAUGCUUUCCGAUCCACGGGUCCAUCUAGACCGGUUCCUGGGUUGGCCAUAUAUACACCUGCAUUGUACUGUAUAAAUUGUAAACGAUAUGUACGAGAUUGUUGAUGAAAAGGUUUGUUAUAGGUUGUAAUGCCGGUGCCUUUUAUUAGAUGUUUUGAGAUAGUGAGGGAAAAUGCGACUUCAUCACAACCUUCAUUAAAUAUAUAAGCCAUAAAAUUGGCAAUACAAUGUCAGGAGUUGGUUUUUCCUGUAUAAUGUACAAUCAUCUUUAAUUCGCCCUAUUUACUUACAAUGCAUUGACAAGCAACUUAAGUAAAAAAACAAUCAAAUUCUGACUAAUCCCAUAAUCCCAGUGUUCAUUUCCGCAUAUGUCCACCAUAAAUUACAUACAAAUGUGCUAAUUUUAUACAGUUUUAUCACAAAUUACAAUCCCCUUUAAUCUCUCCGGACACGGUCUCGGUGUGCAUUUUGUGCUGAGAACAACAUACUCCCCAUGAUCUUCAACCUGUAAUGUUUCAAUUUCCCCUGCGUUCAUUCACGUUGAUAGCAACAAAUCAGCAAAUUAAUUAAUUAGGUUUUUCUAACUAUUUUAACAUUAAUGAGAUAGUCAUAGAUAAUUCCUCCUACGUACCACAUCGAUUGAUUUGGAGAACCCCCCCAUUGACCACAAUUCCAUGAAUUUCAUUACAAAAACUCCACAAUCGUGCCUACGUCAAUAUAAUUACCAAAACGUUAAUAAGUGUGGAAUUAUAAAUAAGAGAUGAACUUCAAAUAAAUUGCAAUCUUAUACAAUAUCCCGGACUGCAAGGUCAACACUCACUCAUUAGUUUGGAGGGGUACAUCAGGUGUUAUGAAAUUGAAUGUCCUCAAAUCAUAAGGUGAUACCUCUUUUUUGUGGGCAGCCAACCACAGGACAACCUUGGCCUGAAACAUUUAGUAACACAACAAUUGAAAUUUUAAUGGGAAGACAUACCUAUCAAAUUAUUACUUGUUGCUUGUUACUUUACCAGAUUUUGUUGGACUCCACUCAACAUUGUCUUCUUUCUACCAGGACGAGAAUCUAGCAGUUGGAUUCUCCUGUUUUCUAGGUCAUAUACAUACAAUGUCCAAUGGUUCUUUAUGAGAACCGGUAAGAAGACCUGCACCAAUAGACUGCCAUUAAACAUACAUCUAAAUAUUGUACAUUCAUGCAAUAAAAAUACAAAUCCAAGCAUUAAACAUAUGAAUCCACCUCGUUAACAUUGACAUAUGGAAUAUCAAUCUGAUACAGAUGUGGUUCAAAGCGUCUAAUAACUGCCUCCCUAACUAAGUUUUUUGCCUGGGAGUGGAUUACCAUUUCCUGCAUGUUAGAUACGGGAUAAUAUCAGGUUUCUCAUUGUAGGUGAUGCCUGGUUCAAGACAAAAAAUAAAGAUAAGCAAGGAUUUAAUGGAAUAGUCAUCAUUAUAGCUAUGUAGGGGGAUAGAAAAAGUUUCGACUUCGGUUCAUGUUGAUACUGCAACAAUCUACAGUAGGAAUCGACGACCUGAUUUCGUAUAUCAUAAAAGUGUAAGCAACAAAUUAAUUUAGAACCACACUUUCAUUUUCAAACUUAAAAUAAUGCAUAAAGAGGGAUAAGAAAUGAUAUGCACGUCGUUUCCUAUCCACCCAUUCCCUUGGAAGCAGCCCAAAUUGGCUCUGGUUAGAAUAGUGUCAUGCAUAGACACUAGUUCCUCACUGUUACAAAAAAAUACAAUUUAGUUUUUGUGUUUUAACUAUCAUACAAUGAGAGGAGUGUCACUCAAGUAUGUUACCUUGCAUCCAAAUCGUCUCCAAAUACCAGUGCAGCUCCUUGUUUUAGGUCGAUUUUGAUGGCAGAUUGUUUGGUUUGUGGUUGGGAUAUGUAUGGGGACAACAGGUUUGGAGCCAUGCGACGCACUCGACAUCUCCGGACGUUUCUAUUUGUGGGGACAACAUUACCUUCUGGUUGUUCUUCAGCAUCUGCAAUACGAGAUUUAGAACUAGUCAGCAAAGGUAUACAUUAUGAUUGGGUACAUGGGUUGUUAACCAUAUGGGUGUUUGCAUAAAUUUGAUCACUUACCGCUUACUACAUUAAUGGGUACACUGGGCUGCAACUCAUACUCAGGGGCGACAACGCGAUCUGGUGUGUCUAGCACAUGGUAUGCAGCAUGCGAAGCCAUGUACUCAUCACCAGGAAAUGCAUGGUCAUCGGCUGUGGGAGGGCUGGCUGGUGCAUAGCUAGAGUGACCACCCGCAUCUGAAUUUACCCCACUAUGUCUGCGAGUCCCUAACUUAUGCAUAAGGCCAUGCAUUAUUCUCAGCUGCUGCUGAAUGCCCCUUUGAUAUUGGUCGAUUGCUCGUUCUGCAUCAUGAUAUUGAUGCCAUAUUUCCUAUGACAUGAUAUUGUUGUCAAUCUUUGAGAACAGAAUGUGACAACAACAUAUUUCUUUGUAGUUAAGAAGUAAAAAUAAAUUACAAUGACAAUGAAAUGAACAUUUAUUAAGUUUUUGAAAAAUUCACAGCUUACAUCACUAUUUUCAGCAUCAACAUUUGUGUCAUGGUCCACAUUAGUCUCUGGCUCCAUAGUUCUCUCUACGGUUGGAGAUCUCUGGGACGCCUAUAAUUAGCACUGAAGAUUAGUACUUAAAUAAUGAGUGUUAUGCUAGUAAUGACAAUAUAUUUAUGCAUGCAUAACUUACAAAAUCACUCUCAGCAUGUCCGAAUGCUCCAAACUCCUUUAUCUCAGCGACUAGUCGUCGCUUAAUCAAAUCAUCAGUCCAUGCCAAUGCUGGGGGCACUGUAAUGGGGACUUGGACUGAAGGAAUUUGGAAUUUAAUGACAUAAUGCAGCUGCAAAAUAAAUAGAAACAUCAAUAAGCAAAUGUGAAUAUGUUGUGCAAUAAAAUUAGAUAAGAAAAUGGAAGACAAAGACUGAAUAAGUUCACUACCUGAAGAAAUAAAACGCAGCCAUGUACCCAAGAGGUCUUAGAUUGUUGGAAUCGCCUAAUUCCCUCAACCAGUUGGUCAAGCACAAACUGGGCCCAAUUAACAUCAUUUCGGAAUCCAUCCUCAUGGAUGGUAUGCCACAAGUUACGGCAACCAUUGAGCCUAGACGUGGGGGCCAACAAUGUGGCACAUGUGUAGUAAAUGAAUGCUCUACGGAACUCCUCGCCUACAGGUAAGUCUAGGAGUUUCUCCUCGCAUGCCCGAAUAGUCCCAAAUGGAUGAUCUGAUGAUGUGGAGGUCACCUGCAAAUUCCGUCCUUCUGUUGGGAGGCCUAAAAUGAGGCCAACAUCGGUGGCUGUAACAGGAUAGUGUUUAUGGGCUGAGAACUCUAUCCGUCUAAAUCCAACAUUGAAAUGUUGGAUUAGAAAGAUACAGAGGUUGUGGCGUACCUCUGUGCAGUUUAAGUUUAAGAGACCUCCAAAUUGGAGGUCUCUUAUGGCUUGAAUUUUUGCCUCUGGUAAUCGGUUGCACAGUUUCUUAAAUCUUGCAGCUGAGCAUCGUGUAAACAUUGAUGUGCCCUGCAUGCAAUGUUAGAAAACAUGGACAUGUUAGGAAUAGCAACAUUCUUGCAGUUGGUAAUGCAAUAAAAUAAGUGAAAAAGUAAAGCUGUCAUUUCUCAAAGUUACAAAGAUUUGUCUGCUUGUAUUUAGAAAUAAUAUACAGCAGGGUAAGACAUUAGAUGGGGUUGGGUGCUACUAACAGUGAGAUAUCCUGUAAGAGGGAGGAUUGAAAAUUUAUGAAUAAGGCUAUAUAGAAUAGGCAAUAACAGUCAAAAUGUACAGAAUAGACUAUAAAAGAAAAAAAUAAAUAUGAGAAUACUACAUGAUAUAUAAAAGAAAGAAAUCAAAUCAAUUUAUGUAAAUAAAUUGACUAAUUAUAUUAGAGAAAGAAACCAUCAACAAAUCAAUGAAUAAUCCUAUUUAACCUGCUCCUUUUGAUACUUCUGACAUACACAAAAUCUAGAGGAACUGCUAGAGCAAGCACUUUGCUACUGCCAUUGAACAUGGACAAGGUUUGGAAUCCAAGUUUCUGUUGAGAGUAUUCCCACAUGGUACUAACUAUCAGUGAAGAAUUGUACACUAUCAUUUGAUACCACGAAUCAUGUGUUUGACCAAAGUUCAUGCAUACCUAAGUUGUUAGCUGAGUGAGGAUUCAUGGGAAAAUAAAUGUAACAUAGGACUAUUAAUCUAAACUUGUGAAAGUUUUGAGGCUUGAAUCUGAUUCAAUGGCCAUAAUAAUCUAAAAUUUGCAGAAAAGAGGAAGUGGGCAUUUAAAAUAAGGUAAUGAUACACUAUGAAAUGCUACUACAUACUUUUUUGUAGAAUAGUAAACAAAGAGUAUGUUUACGCUUGAAAACAAGAAUAAAUAAGAUGAAUCCAUGAGUGUUGGAGAAUUAAAUGAAUGAAGAGGAGUUUGGAAACCAUACUUUAUGUUGGAGAAUAAAAGUUAUGUGCUAUGACUUUAUGUUUUUUUUUUCUGUUAACUUAUAGAAGUAUUUUCAUUGUUGUAAGGAUUCUGCAAGAAGAUAUACAUGAGCAAUUUUAAAUGUCUGUACUGCUCCUGGCAAAAGCCACAUUGGGUACAAGUUUGCCACAUCAGUUUGCUUGGUCAGUGCGUGAAUCACCGUAAAUGAAUUUAUGUAACUGGUUCAAAAUACUGGUAUAUGAAGUGUGUAGAGAGCUAUGCACCUUGCUUAAGUCAAUUGUUUGAAUCUUAGAGACAAAAAAUAAUACAGAAUUUGCCACCCGAAAAAAAUGUAUGUCCAGAGUCCAAGGCACUGAGAAAUUGGCAAGGCAUGGCUCUCCACCUUCAUAUUUAAAUCACUUAGAAAGUGAAGCAAAAAGAAGCCUAAUGUCUCAAUACCAUUGAGGUCCCCAUAAAUAAUUGUGAUCAUUUAACCCUGGGGACCUGGCUAAAGUGGCUACAGAGGUAAGGGUUACCUAUAACUCAAGUGGCUAAAGAGUUAAUCCCAUCCCCAUCACCAUUCCUACCAGAACACCUCUCUUUAUCCCUUCCUCUACCCUCCUCCCUCAUCAUAGAGGACAUGGUUUUUGCCUAUCCCCAUAGCUGUAUAGCGAAGACCAUUAGAUCCCUAAAGCAUAAUUGUAUAUGGUGUUAGUGAACCACAUUUUCUAUAUUACCAAAUUGAACACAAAUAUUACCCGACAACUUACAAAGCUGAUAUAAUAGUAUUUAAUAAAUAAACGUUGAAUUGUUAAAACUUCAAUAUUAGAGAACUUUCCAACAUAACUGAUACAUGGUAACUAUAAUAAGGGACAUGAAGAAAUCACUUAAAUUUAAUGCAUAAUAUAUAUAUAUAUACUAACUUAAAAGGUANNNNNNNNNNNNNNNNNNNNNNNNNNNNNNNNNNNNNNNNNNNNNNNNNNNNNNNNNNNNNNNNNNNNNNNNNNNNNNNNNNNNNNNNNNNNNNNNNNNNNNNNNNNNNNNNNNNNNNNNNNNNNNNNNNNNNNNNNNNNNNNNNNNNNNNNNNNNNNNNNNNNNNNNNNNNNNNNNNNNNNNNNNNNNNNNNNNNNNNNNNNNNNNNNNNNNNNNNNNNNNNNNNNNNNNNNNNNNNNNNNNNNNNNNNNNNNNNNNNNNNNNNNNNNNNNNNNNNNNNNNNNNNNNNNNNNNNNNNNNNNNNNNNNNNNNNNNNNNNNNNNNNNNNNNNNNNNNNNNNNNNNNNNNNNNNNNNNNNNNNNNNNNNNNNNNNNNNNNNNNNNNNNNNNNNNNNNNNNNNNNNNNNNNNNNNNNNNNNNNNNNNNNNNNNNNNNNNNNNNNNNNNNNNNNNNNNNNNNNNNNNNNNNNNNNNNNNNNNNNNNNNNNNNNNNNNNNNNNNNNNUACCCCAAACAACUCCGAAACACUACGCAAUAUCCCUUAAUGUCUAUCUGAUAUAAUAAUUACUUCUUGACCAUCUAGGAUCCCCUUCAAUUUCUCCAAGAACCAAUACCAAUCCUCAUAAUUUUCUGAACCAACCACACCCAAGGCUAGAGGGAACAUUCCAUCAUCUGCAUCAUAUGCAAUGGCAGACAAAAGAGCUCCUUUGUAUGGACCACUUAGGUGGCAAGAAUCAAUAGCCAAUACCGGUCGACACCCCAUGGUGAACCCUUGAAUUGAAAAUGCGUGGGCAAUGAACAAUUGCUUGAAGUGACCUUCAUGAGAAGUGUACUCGGCAAUAGUUCCAGGGUUAAUUUCCCUUAGUCUAUGGCAUAACCAAGGCAAAUACGCGUAGGACGCACGUGGAGAUCCAUAUACACGCUCUUUUGCCUUCUCUUUAAGAUGCCAUGCUUGGUUAUAAGUCAAUUGAACUCCAUGAUCACUUUCAAAAUCCUUGCAAAUUUGUCGAGGAAGGUAUUCUGGAGUUGUUCUAAACACGUCUUCAACAACAACAACACCUCUCUUGGAAGAAACCCGUACCUUAGAUGAACACUCAUCUUGAGCUAUAUGAUUAUGAUUAACUUGGUAAGUAUAAACUCGCAAUAUUUCAUUUCCUUCAACAGCAUGAGCUGUUAUCUUCCAAGGACAAUCCUCAACCGAACACUUUACUGACAUAUGAGUGGGUGAAUUUUUCUUGUACUUGUAUUGAAACCUUCCAGCUAAUGACAUUUGGUAUAUUGCAUUCCGAAACUCAUCUACAUUCUUAAAUGUAUGUCCGGAACCUAAUAUUGCCUCACGAAACCGAUUCGAUUCCAAAGGGGUGUACUCACUAUAUGCACAACGCGAUGCAAAACCUCUUGAUAACAUCAUAGUAUUAGGAUUUGCAUCGCAUGAUGCAUUAGACGAAGGAAACGUAGGAUGUGGACCUCUGCAUUUACAUUCAUAACCAAAAUUAGACUACAUAAUGCGUAAAAUUGAUAUUCAUAAAAUUUUAAAUAGACAUCCAAGUGAAAACGCAUUACCCAAGUGCCAACUGUGUAUUCGGUAUAUUUGCCUCUAUGGCUUCCACACCGGGUGACUCGACUAUGUACACAUUUGCAAAGUCAUCAUUGUGGGAAACCACGUUAUCCAAGUCAUCCUCAUCUUCUAAAUCUUGGAUGACUCUAGGGUUAAACUUGAGGGUGUAGUGCAUCCUCCUCACAUGAAGGGAAAUGUCGAAUUUUUCUAAGACCUUCUGAGUGAAUUCUUCAAAUGUCAUUCCUUUAUAAAUGUGAAUACCUUUGCUUCUUCCACCAACAUAUUCCCAAACGCCAUCAUUUUUUUGGACAAGUUUCCCUCCCACGAAAAUAUAACAGUAUAUUCUAUUUGUGGCAUCCAUCAACCUAUUGAAAUAAAGCACAAAUUUAUAUUGUUGAACAAACAAUAAUGCAUAUUCAAUGUGAUCUUAAAAGUUUUUUCAUUUCACAAUAUACUAUGUUCCCAUACGAAAAAGUUAUAUUUUAAAAAAUGUAUAUACAAAAAAAUGUAACUUUAAAGUCUUAAAAAAGAAUUUUUGUUGCUCUUUUUGAUUAUUCUAACCAUUGUCAACGGUAAGAUUAUUUUAAGAUAGGCACUAAUAAACAAACGCUGAGUUGAACUAAGAUAUGAAGACCGAGCUUCUCUCUUCUCUUGGACUAAUAAAUACUACCUAACCUAAACAAAACUAAAAAUAAUAAUAAAAAUAAAAAACAAAAAUGAGAAAUGUAAAACUGAAAUGGAAAUUAAAAGAUUGAAAUUAAUAGAUUAAAAAAAAUCAUUAAAUUAAAAACUAAGAAAGGCUAUAAAAGGAAAAAAAACAAAUCUCUAACUUAUUUUCCCUAUCAUUCCCCUUUACUUAUAUAUUCAUAGUUCACAUUUUUAUAAGCAAAAACCUCUCUCUCCAACUACUUUAGUGCUACCCAAUUUGACACUACUACUUACCUAUGCUAAUAAUCUAAUCGUGUCAAUACUUGGAACUUUAAGACAGAACAUCACAACAAUAUCUACUAAAGUAGGAGGAUUUUGUGUCUGAUUCGACUUAAUACUCCAGAACAUAUAUAUAUAUAUAUACACCAAAAACAUUGGAAUUAUGGAAGUAUAAGACAUUCAAUAGGAAAUAAUCCCCCACGUUUUAUUAAGCUCUGGCCUAUACUUACACUAGGUAGAAAACAAAUUCUCAUUCUCACUCAAACCCUUAGACAAUUUCUGUUGGUACUACUAUAUUAGACAUGCCUACAAACUUAUUCAAAGAGAAUGGAGAUAUUUAAAUAUUAAUUAUAAAGCGUUGCUUUUCAAAAUAAUAUGAAGAGAUAAUAGCCUAAAAAAUGUAACAAAUACAGAAUUCUCUUCUAAACUAUCAUGUCCUACUUUAGAUGAUUCAUACAAAACCAUAAGCAAUAGUUUAACACAUUUAAGGUUUAAGGGUCAAAAAAACUAAUAGAUAAAACGAGAUAAAUCUGUUACUUGUGCCUACAUCUCAAGCCAAUGCACCAUAAGAAAACUUUAGGGUUUUUAGGUUUUCCAUUUCCCCUUUCCAUUUUUCCUCUCCUGCUUUUCUAGCAACCAAUUAAACAAUUAUAAAUUAUUUUCAAGUAUAUAUGACAAAUUUUCACAAAUAUUUUUUUGAAUUUAAAAUAUACAAAUAGCAUGAAAAAAAAAAUCUAAAAAAAAUUACAAAAAUAUAAUCAGAUCGAUUAAGCCAUGAAUUAUGAGUUGCAGGUAAAGUGCAUUUUCUGUAUUCUCAAGGCUUAAAGAAAAAAUUAUGGUUCAAAAUUUUUCCUUUCUUUUUCUCAUUAUUUUCUCAGCAUCCAAAUAAUAGUAGCAAACCAAGAAGUCAAUUAUUGAAUGGAAACAGUAACUUGAACUCCGGAGAUCAAGUUGAACACAGUUUAGAGAUUUGGACUAAGAAAAUUUAGGUCGAGAUUUAGGCAAUCUACUAACCUCAAAUAUGCAACAACAGAGACCCAACUGAAAUCCAUACCUUAUUCAAUUUUUCGAGAGAGACGAAUGCGAGAAAAAAUGAAAGAGCCGCAGAGAUUGAGAUGCAAGAAAGCGAUGGAAGUGCUCGGGAGGAAGAGAAGAAAACGGUUUCUAGCCUUGAAAUGCUGAAGAGAGAACAAAAUUAGGGCAAAAUUCCAAAAAGCCACAGAGAUUGAGAUACAAGCGAUGGAGAAACUCGGGAGGAACAGAAAAAACGGCUUCUAAGCAGAGAAGAAAAUGACUUCUAGGCAGAGAAGAAAACGGCUUCUAGGCAAAGAAGAAAACGGCUUCUAGACAGAGAAGAAAACGACUUCUAGGCAGAGAAGAAAAUGGCUUAUAGGCUUGAAAUGCUGAAGAGAUCAAAAUUAGGGCAAAAUUCCCAAGAGCCGCAGAGAUUGAGAUGCAAACGGCUUGUAGGCUUGAAAUCUGAUGGAGGAACUCGGGACGAAGAGAAGAGACACCGACGCAAAGAUUGAGAUGCAAACGGCUUGUAGGCUUUAAAUCUGAUGGAGGAACUCGGGAGGAAGAGAAGAGACACCAAAUUUAGGGCAAAAUUCCAACCUGGAUUUUUUUGUUUAUUAUUAUUUUUUUUUCAUAAUCAGCAAAGGUUAUUUUUGGAAUUAAUAAAAGUGCAUAUCCUUCUUUUUAAUUUUGACACUUCCUAUGGGUUUUCAACUUAAAUGGGUCGGUUAGAUGGACCAUUUGUUAAUUUUUGGGCCCAGCUGGGCCCAAAACACAAUUCUCCCUAUUUUUUUGGGCAACAGUGGACAAUUUUUUGGGUUAUGGAAAGUUGGGUUACCAAAAAGCUAUUAGGCCCAAAUGGGCGAGCCAAAACACAGUUUUCCCAGUUUAUAAUUGUCCUGAACUGACAUGGCUGUCGGAAAACAUGCAUGUCCUCAACACCCUCUGGACACUCGUAAUUGAGUACUUUUUGGUUUGGCAACAUUAAUAGACUCAAUAGGCUUCCUUGCGUCACUUCAGAACUUCAAAUUCAUGAGUGCCUUUAAUUGACAUAACUUCUAGAGGAGAUGGCUCACUCAAUUCUCUACAAACACUUACAACAUUAACGGACUUUAUAGGCAGUCUUACCUCACUUGCAUGCCUUGAAAUUGAUAGCUACCCUGAAUUGACAUCAUCUCCUAAAGAGAUUAGUUUCUUCAGAUCCAUAUUGCCACAAUCUCUUAUUGUCCAUGACUAUUGGACAGAUAUGAGAGUGAAACAAGUGAAGAUUGGUCAAAGAUUGUUCACAUUACAGAAAGUUAUUCAGGUUUCAAAUCCCUGUCUUUCUUCUCAUUUGCUAUGGUUUCAUUUUAUCAAUAAGCUUUGUUUACCUUCUUUUUUGACAAUUCUAGUAUGCAUUAACAUAUAAAGCAAAAAAAAAAAAAAAAAAAGGCUGAGAUAAUAUUAAACAUAGUUGUUAUUUGGUUAUUAAAGACCAAACUAUUCAUGUUACUUUAAGUUUUGCACACUAAGAGUUUGGGAAUAAGCUAGUGUUAUGAAAAACGAGAAUAGGCAACAAAAAAUAAAUAAGAACACACACAGAUUUACGUGGAAAACCGUAGGCAGGAAAAACCACGAACAAAGGAGAAGAAUAAUCCACUAUGUCAAAAAUUGGUACAAAAGGGGAGAACAUUAAGCGGCUACAAUAUAAAUCCCUUAGAACCUAUACACCAUCCCCAUAUAUAUAUGGGAGAGAAAAAAAAAAAAUAAAGCUGAAGAAAUCUAUAAUUUUUUCUUCACCAUAUAUAUUGCAUCGUGAAGAUUUCGGGUUGGACCAAUAAAGGAAAUUAGGUCACCAAGCUCUAACUAUCUCCACCUUGACAUGAAUUCCAAUGUAAGGAAUAGGAAAAACAAACUCCAAUCUUCAACAAAAAAAAACUCUUCACCUCUUCCACAAACCCCAAAGGGUAAUUCAACAACGAAUACUAACCAAGUCCAAACAAUGCUCAAACUUGGAAAGAGGGAGUAUCUUCAUCAUCAUAUCAGUAGGAUUAUCAUGGGUGCUAAUUUUGGCCACAACAAUAUCACCAUGAGCAAUGAUAUCACACACAAAAUGAUACCACACAUCAAUGUGCUUUGUCUUCUCAUAAAACAUCUGAUCUUUUGUGAGGAAAAUAGCACUCUCUGACAAUCACAAAAAACUAUGGUAAUUUUCAAGUUGUCACUAAGUUCACUAAAUAGUCCUUUUAACCAAAUAGCUUCCUUACAAGCCUCUAUAAUAGCCAUGUACUCAGCCUCGAUAGUAGACAAAGCAACUAUAGUCUACAAAGUAGCUUUCCAACUGAUAGCACAACCACCAAUAGUAAAAACAUACCCUACAAGAGAUCUUCUUUUAUCAAGAUCACCAGCAAAAUCAUAAUCAACAUACCCAACAACUCCAUCUCUAGUUCACCCAAAAUGCAAAGAAACAUCAGUAGAACCACACAAGUAUCUAAAAAUCCACUAAACCGCUUUCCAAUGUUCUUUACCAGGAUUUGUCAUGUAUCUAUCGACUGAACUGACUGCAUAUGAUAAAUCUAGACGUGAACAAACUAUAGUAUACAUGAGAGACCCCACUACACUAGAAUAUGGAACUCGUGACUUAUAAUCAAUGUUAUCAUCUGAUUAUGGAGCUAAAACAGAUGCAAGUUUGAAAUGAGUCGCUAAUGGAGUACUAAUAGGUUUAGCAUUCUACAUAUUGAACCUGUGAAGAACUUUCUCAAUGUACCCUUUUUGACUUAGGUAUAAUUUACUUGUCUUUCUGUCUCUUAGAAUCUCCAUUCCAAGUAUCUUCUUUGUUGCUCCUAAGUUUUUCAUCUCAAACUCCUUAUUGAGUUGGACUUUUACCUUUCUUAUAUUUUCCUUAUCCUGGGCUACUAUUAACAUAUCAUCAACAUAUAAGAGGUUUGACUCAUUCAUGACCACUCAUGAUAUUAAUUAUUGUUUAUACCUAUUCCCUGAUGAAGUACAAAAUUUUGAUAUUAUGAAGUGAUGGAAAUCUCAUGAAUCCACUUUUUCUAAACUAUCUAAAAUGGAAUGUGAUUUACUAACCCCACCGGUGUCUACUGUAACUUUGGAAUAUUCUUUUUUUAUAGUAGCAAAUGUAAUAGGAGACAGGAGGACAACUCUUACAACAAAGAUGCUAGAAGUUUUGACAUGUUUGAAGGAUUAGGAAGAUGGAAGCAUGAGACUUCAAACUUUAGAGGAUGAAAUUAAAGAAGCCUUCGAGAAAUUGCAUCUCAAUGCAGACAAUGAUGUUUAAGAGAUUGAUGAUGAUUGAAGAUGUAAAAAAAGGAAUGAAGAUUGAAUAAGAAGACAAAAGUGAAUAUGAUAAUAGAAGAAUUAUAUGUUGUUCGUUUCUUUUAAAUCUAUUAAAUGUAACUAAUUUUUAAAGGUUGAGUAAUACAUAUGAUUGAUAGUUGGGUGGGUGCCAACCUAGUUGGGACGUGGUCAAACUAUAGUGAUGCAAUUCUCGCCUUUUUAUUUCUUCUUAUUUUUUAAUGUAAUUUGUUGAAAUAUUGAAUAAAAGAAUUAUUUUUUAUAUUUCAUUUCCUUUUAUAUUCCAUUAUUUUAAAUUUAUUGUUAUUUUGAUAAAAAAAAAUUCAAAUAUAACUUUUUUACUAUUUUUAAAAACAAAAAACUAACAUUUCUAUAAAUUUUACAAUUACAAUUAAAGAGUUUGAACUAUUAUACUGUGGAUAUGAACAAAUUAGCUGAUUUAAAUUUUUAUUAAUAUGAGCUUGCCCAUUUGGUUUUCUUCCCAAGUUUUAUCUGCACCCUUGUGCUUUAUGUGAAGAACUAAUUAAUUGAUUACAUCAAUAUGUUGUUUCUUCUCAUGCAUUAAUUUUCUCUAAAAUAUUGAGUGGUUCUAAAUUUCAUAUGAUAAGAAAAAAGAGAUCGACUUAUGCANNNNNNNNNNNNNNNNNNNNNNNNNNNNNNNNNNNNNNNNNNNNNNNNNNNNNNNNNNNNNNNNNNNNNNNNNNNNNNNNNNNNNNNNNNNNNNNNNNNNUGAAAGUUAGAACCACUCAAUAUUUUAGAGAAAAUUAAUGCAUGAGAAGAAACAACAUAUUGAUGUAAUCAAUUAAUUAGUUCUUCACAUAAAGCACAAGGGUGCAAAUAAAACUAUUGAGUGGUUCUAAAUUUCCUUACAAACUAAUAUUUUAAAUUAUGAAAACUUUGAAAUAUUAAUAUUUCUUUUUACUCAACCCUUAAUAAAUAAAAAGAAUUUGGCCAAUUUAAUUUUUGUAAUAUAUUAUGUUAUGUUUGAUUUCAGAAAAAAUACUAAAGAAACAAUAUAUAUAUAUAUAUAUAUAUAUAUUUUGAGGAAAAUAAUUUUCUCAUGUUUUUUUUUUGUUUUUUUAUGGAAAAUACAAAACAAAAUAAAGUAUUAUUCAAAUUAAUUAAUAAUUUUAUAUUUUAAUUUUUAAAAUUUUUGUAUGAAAUGAGAAAAAUAAAUUUAAUAAAUUUGAAGAAGUAUAAAAAAAUUAUUUAAAUCUUUAUUUUAUUUUCUUUCAAAUGUUUUCUUCAUGUAAAAAUUAAAUAUAAUUAAAAUUAGUUCAAAAUUUAUGUAUUUUCAAAAUUAGUUUAUUAUUAUUGAAAACAAAAAAAGAAGUAAAAUGAGUUUAAAAUGGUAUGUAAAAAUAAUUUAUUAAUUGUAAUUUUUUUUUUUAUUUGUCACUUUUUUAAACGCAUGCAAUAACUGGUUAGAGUCUCCUCACUUAAGGUCCCUGAAUAAUUUAUUAUUUGUCACUUUUUAAAAAUUUAUUUUUCUAUUUUUUCUAUGGCAUUUCUCUUAAAUCUUCCAACAACAAAACCUAACUUGGGGGUUUCAAUUUUUGCAUCAUAGCAUGUGUUUGAAUCGACCAAACAUCCAUCACAAAAUACUGAAUGUAAAGAAAAAUAAAUGAAAGAAGGACAAAAGUUAUAUUACAACUUGCAUGGCUUGUUGACUUGUCCGCCUAUUAAUCCAUAAUAAUAAUAAUUCACAUUUUAUAUUAGUACCAUGUGAUUUCCCCAAUGCUCACAAGCCCUAUAUAUCACUACUUUGCCCAGUAUUCUCCCCUCACAAUUCUCUUUUGAGUUCUCCUUUUCUUACUAUAUUUCCUUGCUCUUCUGCACUUCGAAUUCUUCUAACAUAUGGCUGACCAAAUUCCAUUCGGUGUUGUGGAUCACAUUUUGAUCAAGUCAGGGUCCCUGGCUGUUCAAGAAAUUCGAUCCAUGUAUGGUGUUCCAAAGGAGUUAACCAAGCUCUGUGGGAAACUUGGCACCAUCAAGGCUGUGCUUUUGGAUGCUGAGGAGAAGCAGCAGCAGAACAAUCAUGCAGUCAAAGAUUGGGUCUGGAGGCUUAAAGGCGUUGUGUAUGACGCAGAUGACUUGCUGGAUGACUAUGCAACCCAUUAUCUUCAGCGAGGAGGAUUGGCAAGGCAGGUCAGUGACUUCUUCUCAUCUGAAAAUCAAGUUGCUUUUCGUUUAUACAUGAGUCACAGACUCAAGGAUAUCAAAGAAAGGAUAGAUGAUAUUGCAAAAGACAUCCCCAUGUUAAAUCUUAUUCCACGGGACAUAGUACUACACACACGGGCAGAGAAUAGUUGGAGAGACACCCAUUCAUUCGUGUUAACAUCUGAAAUUGUAGGAAGAGAAGAAAACAAAGAGGAGAUAAUAGGGAAGUUGUUGUCGUCCGACGGUGAAGAAAAUCUUUCGGUUGUUGCCAUUGUAGGUAUUGGGGGGUUGGGUAAGACCACCCUUGCUCAAUUGGUAUACAAUGAUGGAAGAGUGAAAGAACAUUUUGAGCCUAAGAUAUGGGCUUGCAUUUCUGAUGAUUCUGGUGAUGGUUUUGAUGUUAAUACGUGGAUCAAAAAAGUUUUAAAAUCUGUGAAUGUUCGGUUUGAGGAAAGUCUGGAGGAUAUGAAAAAUAAGCUUCAUGAAAAAAUAAGUCAAAAGAGGUACUUGCUAGUCCUCGAUGAUGUUUGGAAUCAAAAUCCUCAAAAAUGGGAUGACGUGAGAACUUUAUUAAUGGUUGGGGCUAUUGGUAGUAAAAUUGUAGUGACCACCCGAAAACCAAGAGUUGCAUCAAUCAUGGGAGAUAAUUCUCCCAUUAGUUUGGAAGGUCUGGAACAAAAUCAGUCCUGGGAUUUAUUUUCAAAAAUUGCAUUUAGAGAAGGCCAGGAGAAUUUGCAUCCAGAAAUUCUAGAAAUUGGAGAAGAAAUUGCAAAAAUGUGCAAGGGAGUUCCUCUCAUCAUUAAGACUUUAGCAAUGAUAUUGCAGUCUAAAAGAGAACAGGGCGAAUGGUUGUCUAUUAGAAACAAUAAAAAUUUGUUGUCACUUGGCGAGGAAAAUGAGAAUGUUUUAUCUGUGCUAAAACUAAGUUAUGAUAAUUUGCCUACUCAUUUGAGACAAUGCUUUACAUAUUGUGUUGUAUUUCCAAAAGACUAUGAGAUUGAGAAAAAGUCGUUGGUACAACUAUGGAUAGCACAAGGUUAUAUUCAAUCUUCAAAUGAUAAUAAUGAGCAACUAGAAGAUAUAGGGGAUCGAUAUUUUCAGGAAUUAUUGUCAAGGUCAUUGUUGGAGAAGGCGGGAAACAAUCCUUUUACUGCUACAUUAAGGUAUAAAAUGCAUGACCUUAUACAUGAUCUUGCACAAUCAAUUAUAGGAUCUGAGGUCCUCAUUUUAAGAAAUGACAUAACAAACAUUUCAAAAGAAAUUCGUCAUGUAUCAUUGUUUAAAGAAACGAAUGUUAAGAUAAAAGAUAUAAAGGGAAAACCCAUAAGGACCUUUAUAGACUGUUGUGGACAUUGGAGAAAGGAUUCAUCAGCUAUAAGUGAAGUUCUUCCAAGCUUUAAGUCCCUACGUGUGUUGAGUGUGGAUAAUUUGGCUAUAGAGAAGGUGUCAAUGUGGGUAGACAAAUUGAGCCACUUAAGGUAUCUUGAUCUUUCUCUUCGUGAUUUUGAGGCACCUCCAAAUGCUAUUACAAGGUUAAAGAAUUUACAAACACUAAAACUCAAUGAGUGUUGGAGUUUGAAGAGAUUUCCAAAAGAUACAAGAAAAUUGAUCAAUCUUAGACACUUGGAGAAUGGUGGGUGUGCUAAUUUGACUCAUAUGCCACAUGGAAUAGGAGAAUUGACAUUACUUCAAAGUUUACCAUUGUUUGUUGUUGGGGAAGAGAAAGAGUUGUCCAGGGUUCAUACAAUUGGCAGCUUAAUUGAAUUGAAGAGGCUAAACCAACUAAGAGGAGGACUACUCAUAAAAAAUCUUCAAAAUGCACGGGUAUCAGAAGGAGAAAUUUUGAAAGAAAAGGAAUGCCUUGAGUCUUUGAGAUUAGAAUGGGCCCAAGAAGGUAACUGUGAUGUGGAUGAUGAGUUGGUGAUGAAAGGCCUCCAACCACACCGAAACCUAAAAGAGCUCUAUAUAGGUGGCUACCGAGGUGAAAGAUUUCCAAGUUGGAUGAUGAAUAGCCUGCUUCCUAACCUAAUUAAAAUUAAAAUUGCGGGAUGUUCAAGGUGUCAAAUUCUACCACCCUUUUCUCAACUCCCUUCUCUCCAGUCUUUGGAUCUUUGGAAUAUGGAAGAGGUGGAGGGCAUGAAAGAGGGUUCAUCAGCAACAAAUGCCGAAUUCUUCCCAGCUCUUCAAUUCCUCAAACUCAACAGGAUGCCGAAGUUGAAGGGAUUGUGGAGGAUGGAGUCAGGAGCAGAGCAAGGUCCCUCAUUUCCUCAUCUUUUCAAAUUAGAAAUUGAAGGAUGCCAUAACUUGACAUCCUUUGAAUUGCAUUCAUCUCCUUCUCUUUCUACUUCAAAGAUCAAAAAAUGCCCUCACUUGACAUCCUUUAAAUUGCAGUCCUCUCCUCGUCUUUCUACUUUAAAGAUUGAAGAGUGCCUUCUCUUGUCAUCCUUUGAAUUGCAUUCAUCUCCUUGUCUCUCUGAAUUUGAGAUCAGUGAUUGCCCAAACUUGACAUCCUUGGGACUGCAGUCAUCUCCUUCUCUUUCUAAAUUAGAGAUCCAUAGUUGCCCAAAUUUGACAUCCUUGGAAAUGCCUUCAUCUCUUGGUCUUUCUCAAUUACAGAUCAGAGAUCGCCGAAACUUUAAAUCCUUGGAACUGCAGUCAUGUUCUUCUCUUGCUAUAUCAACCAUACAGUCUUACGAUAAGCUGAAAUCCUUGGAAAUGCCUUCAUCUCUUGGUCUUUCUCGAUUAGAGAUCAGUGAUCGCCGAAACUUGAAAUCCUUGGAACUGCAGUCAUUUUCUUCUCUCUCUAUAUUAACCAUACUGUCUUGCGAUGAGCUGACAUCCUUGGAACUGCCUUCAUCUCCUCAUCUUUCUAGAUUACAAAUCAGUUUUUGUUGUAACUUGAAAUCCUUAGAACUGCCUUCAUCUCCUGGUCUUUCUCAAUUAGAGAUCGAAUAUUGUGAUAACUUCACAUCCUUGGAACUGCAGUCAGCUCCUCGUCUUUGUCAAGUACAGAUCAGACAUUGCCAAAACUUGACAUUCUUAAAAGAGGUUUCAUUACCUAGUCUUGAGAAACUAUUCCUAUCUACAGUCAGAAGGGUGGUGCUCAUAAUGUUUGUCUCUGCUUCUUCUUCACUGGAGUCUCUGUUUAUUAACAACAUAGAUGAUAUGGUAUCUCCCCCAGAGGAGCUGCUUCAACAUCUUUCCACUCUCCACAAUUUGAAGUGCUCUGGUUUGGCAACAUCACCACACUGGAUAGGCAGCCUCACCUCACUUUCUGAAUCAGAGAUCAGUGAUAGCCCAGACUUGACAUGCUUAGAACUGCCGUCAUCUCUGUGUCUUUCUAGUUUAAAGGUCAAUGAUUGCCCAAACUUGACAUGCUUAAAACUGCAGCCAUAUCCUUGUCUUUCUAGUUUAAAGAUUGGAAAAUGCCCGAAGUUUGCAUCCUUUGAAGUGGCUUCAUUACCUUGUCUUGAGGAACUAAGCCUGGGUGGAGUUGGAGCAAAGUUACUGUCAAAGUUAGUGUCCAUCUUUGCUUCUUCUUCAUUGAAGUCUCUGUAUAUAUGGGAGAUACAUGAUAUGAGAUCUCUCCCAAAGGAUCUGCUUCAACAUCUUUCCACUCUCCAAACUCUCCACAUUUUGAAAUGCUCUCGUUUGGAAACAUUAUCACACUGGAUAGGCAGCCUCAUCUCACUUAGAGAGCUUGGAGUUCAUGAAUGCUGUCAAUUGACAUCACUGCCAGAAGAGAUGCGUUCACUCAGAAACCUGCAGGAGUUAUAUCUCUGUGAUAGUCUAAUUCUACGGAUAAGAUGCAGUGUGACAACAGGUGGAAACUGGUCCAGGAUUGCUCAUAUCCCACAUAUUCAUUUCUUCGAUGAUAAGGGAAUAAAGUUUAAGGUCCGAAAUUCCUAACCUUUAUCCUCAUUUUUAUUAUUUUACGAUCAAAAUGCAAUGUUUUCCCAUUUGGUUUUGGUAAUUCUUUUAUAUUGACACUUCACAUGUUUGUUAAAAUGCUCACAUCAAUAAAUUUGAUUUCUUUUUGCAGACUAUAUGAUAGAUGAUGUGCACUAAACUGAUCAUUUUACUAGGUUCUACAUUCUAAGGGUUUGAGGAAAUACUGAGAUCUGAUAUGAUAUAUCUCCCAGAGGAGCUGCUUCAACAUGUUUCCAUGAUCUAAACUCUCACCAUUAGACAUUGCUGUUUUUGCAACAUUACAACACUGGAUAGGCAGCCUCCCCUCAGUUAUAGAACUUGGAACUCAUGGCUGCCAGAAGGUAUGUUCCCUCAAAAACUUGCAGAUGCUCAAAAUCUGCAUUGAAGUCUUAAUGAGGGCUGAGGUGCUGUGUCAGUCAAUGUUUCUCUCCACUUCUUCAUUGAAAUCUCUAUCUGUUGGAUCCUCAGAUGCUAUGAUGUCUCCCAGGGGAGGUACCUCAACAUGUUUCCAGGAUCCAAACUCUCAAAUUGAAUUAUGCUCUGGUUUUGCAAUAUUGCAGCCCUGGAUAGGCAGCUUCACCUCACUUAUGGACCUUCAUAUUUGUGACUGCGCUGAAUUGACAUCACGGUCGGAAGAGAUGCAUUCCCUCAAAAGCCUGCCAACACUCAAAACCUUUCAUUGUUGGAACCUACUUGAAGAUGCCAAAAGGAAACAUUUCAAGUUCAAGAAUAGAGAGAGCCAUGCUUGGUGCAGAUUCCAUCAAUAUAGAGAGACAUUUCAGGUCUGAAAUCCACCCUUCAAGUUGUAUUAGCAUAUAUAUCAUGAGUGAUUUUGUUAUUUAUGUCCACACCUUAUUCAUUUGAUGAAAUGCUUAAACAAGCAAGUUUUAAAAAAAAAAUUCUUCAAAUCACUUAUCAAAGAAAAAAAAAAAAAAGUUUCUCUUCAAAUCAAUUCUAAUGCGCCAUGAAUUGGUAAAUGAAGUUUGGGAAGAUGCUGGUUUGAUUUAAUUAUCAUUUGGUUGCAGAUUUCAUCUUGCAUUAGACGCGUGUGAAUAUUUCUUCUUGGCUCAACUUGAAAUCACUGCCUACAUUCUUCCAUUUCCCAGCUCAAAAUCACGUGGCAGAAGUUUUAAACUGCCAAAAAAUUUGUGAUGGCCCAUAAAUUCUUAUCUACCAGAUGACUAAUGGAGGAAGGUCCUGCUUUCUUUAGAAUUCAGGUCUACUCUUUGCCAUAGAUUACAGGUAAUCUGCUGCCUGCUAUUAAUUUGUACAUCGUCUUUCAUUUUGCCAUCCAUUUCUGUCAAGAGUGUCAUUCAAGUUGUGACUAUAUUUGUUGACUUUCACAUGCACAAAACUAGUAAACAGAUUGAACAAGUAAGCAAUAUGUGUCACUGUGAGUUUCGUUGUUAUUUAAAAUCACUCCAACUAAACAUGACAUAGACCAAAAACUCAUUAUCUCAGUCAAGUAGUUUAUUUUUUGUCCUUCAUUUGGUGAUGUUGUCUGGGUUUUUUAUUUUCUCUCUCUUCAUUGAUAGGCUUGUCCUCUCUGCAAUAUUAAUCACUGCAGAUGUAAUGUUGUCUAAUCAAUACAAAAAGCGAUAGUUGUGGGGCUUCCUUGAUCAGCAACUGCAUCGAGUGUUUCUAGACACUAAUGUCUCUAUAUUUUUGAAAAUUCAGAGAGUUGCAAAUUUCAAGGACUUAAAAGCUCGAGUAACUGUCUCUACCAUUAGGGCUUCAACAUGUUACCAUUCUGGAAAUUCUAAAAUACGUCAGAAUGCCCCACAUCCCUUAAUCGAAACCACUGCCAACACACUCAUGGGCUCUUUGACUUUGCCAUCUACAAUAUAUCAGAGGUUCAUGAUCCAUCCUCUAUUUCUGCUUUGGGUGGCUUCAAUUUUUUAUCUUACUUUUGUGUCAAUAUUCUAAAAAUGUUAUAUUCAAUUUACAAUUUUUUUUUAUCUGAUUCUCAUGCAUUCGCACAUGCUAAGAGACAAGUAAUAUAACACUUUCAUAAUGCAGGCCUUUUCCAUUGUUACUUCAUGUUUUUCACUUUACGAAUUUGAGAAAAUUUUGGGGUUGAUUUAAUUACUAUUUUCUCACAGAUUUCACCUUGCUUAGAAAGCCUAUGACUAUUCAUAUCUACUAGAUGGCUAAGGCAUCCAAUAAAUAUGCUUCACUCACCAGAAAAAUACCCAUCUCCUCAGCUCCAAACCCCUCUUUCUUCUCCUUCUCUUUUACUGUUUGCCAUUAUACCCUCUUACUGCUUUUGAAGACUGUAUUACUUUUGUAAAAUCCUUAGAUUAGUAAAAUUUGAAAUUGUAUUUUUAGUUUAAUGAUUAUAAUCUAUAUGUGAUCUUGUUAUUUCAUAUUUGUAGUUACAUGUUUCGAAAUUUUAUUAGGUUAACUACUUUGUUACAGAUGCAAGUGCUGCUGGGUCAAAGCAAAAUACCAGAUGGUAAUGUAGUUGUGACACCUUAUUUCUCUAAAGCAACUCAAAAGUGGGAAUUGUCAUAGAUUAAUAUUCUCUCAGUGGCGGCCACACCUCAUUUCUCUCAAGUAUUGAAAAUUCAGUGAUGUGCUAGUAGCUUAAUUAAUGUCUCUGUCACAAGUGAUUCAACAUCUCAUCCCACUUGAAGCCUUGGAAGCUAUCUCUAUAUUCAGGGACUCAGAUUGCCGCCCUAAAUUUGGUAACUUUAUCACACUCAAUGGACAACUUCCCUUUACUAACGUCUUCAAAUUUAUUGUUGUCCUGAAUUGAAAUCAUUGUUGGAAGAAGUGCAUGUCCUCAGCAUCUUUUGGACACUCAUAAUUGGGUACUUUCUUGUUUGGCAACAUUAACAGAUUCAUUAGGAAUCCUUACAUCACUUCAGACCUUCGAAUUUAUGAAUGCCUUGAAUUGACAUCACUUCUAGAAGAGAUGGUCCACUCAGGUCUCUGCAGACACAAUUCAGGACUUUUCUUUUUUGGCAACAACAAGAGACUUUAUAGGCAGUCUCACCUCACUUGCAUACCUUGAAAUCAAUAGUUGUCCUGAACUAACAUCAUCUCCAGAAGAGAUUGGUUCCUUCAGAUCCAUGCAGCCACCCAUAAUCUCUUAUUGUCCAUUGCAAUUGGAAAGAUGUCUAAGGGAAACAAUUGAAGAUUGGUCAAAGAUUGCUCAUGUUAUAGAAAGUUGUUUCAGGUUUGAAAUCCCUGCCUUUGUUCUCAUUUGCUAUGGUUUCAUGUUUAUCAAUAAGCUCUGUUUACCUUUUGUUUCGACAAUUCUGGUAUGCUUUAGCAUAUAAAGAAAAAAAGAAAAAAAAGAAAAACUGAGAUAAUCUUUUAAAAUUUUUUUCAUCUUCAAAUCAAAAUUGUUAAUUCCAUGUAUUAUUAAAUAUAGUUGUUAUUUGGUUAUUAAAGACCAAACCGAUCAUGUUACUUUAUGUUUUGAACACUAAGAGUUUGGGAAUAAACUAGGCUUUAUUUAAUUUCUGUUUUUAGCAUAUUUCACCUUGCUUAAGAAGCUUGUGAUUAUUCCUUGGACCAAAGAUUUCUUAUGAGUCAGAAUUUUUGCUCUCUUUCAAAUUCAGCUGCUUUGUUUGUAAUUCCAAUCCUUUUCCUGCCUUUGAACACUAGCACCAUUUUUAGUUAUUUAUCAAUGUGUUAGGAGCAUUAUCCUCUAGUUUUUAUAAUUUGUUGCCAAUUAUCAUAUAUAACAACACAUUAACCAAGUAGUGCAAAUGAACAUCUAUAAAGAGUCCAAUUAUGUUAAUUAGCAACUAUUAGAUAAAGUAGUUAUAGUAUUAUUUUUUUUGUUUGCUUCACAUGCUCUAUAAAAUCCAUAGAUUAGUAAUGUUUGAAUUUGGUAUCUUCAAAGAUAUCAAUUGCUACUUUGAUGGUUAUAAUCAAUGAUUUAACUGUCUGCCAAAGUGAUUAUAUUGUUAAUAACUUCGUGUUUCCAUUUUACAUGUUUGAAAAUUUAUGAAGUUAACUAUUUUAUUGCAAAUGUAAUAGUUGCUAAGUUAAAGCAAAAGUGGUAGUGAUGUGGUUGUGACACCAUACUCAUAUGAAGUAAUUGGAAAGUGAAGAUUGUCAUAGACUAAUGUCUAUUUUGGUGGCUACCACACCCUCGCUUCUCCUAAGUUAUUGAAAAUUCAUAAAUGUGGUAGCCAAAUGUCUCUCCCUCGUGUGAUUUAGCACAUUGCCCUCGAAAAUUUGGAAGUAUGUAAAUUCACUUUAGUGCCCUUGAAGAUUUAAAAGUUCUCCAUAUAGGUAGGGUUAACUGUUUUGGUUUUGCAACUUUGUCAAAUUAGAUGAGUUAACUUCAGAUCGAUAACUACCUUGUGUUGAAAUUAAUGCUAGAUGGGAUGCACCCAUGAGCACUCUAUAGAAAGUCAAUAACUUUCACUCCCAAAUCUUAUUAGAGAAAUGCCAAAAAGGAAAAGGUGAAGAUUAGCCAAAGAUGAUUUUAUGGUUGAUUCAUGCACUACUAUUGCAAUCCUUAAUUCAAGCAUGCAAUCUACAAUAUGUUUUAGGCUUGAAAUCCAACCUUUCUCUCAUUUUUUUUAUGGCUUUGGUUUAUUUUUAUACAUUGUUUAUGAUUCUAUUUUCUUGAUUCUCAUGUGCAUUAAGAUAUAUAAAGAAAAAAAAUUUCAUUGUUUGCUUUCUAUCUACUAUGUGUCGAUACAUAUAUGUUUUAAAAACCAAUUUCUAAUAGCGGUGCAACUUAGGCGAGUUGGCCCAACCUAGCUAGACCUUUGAGUGAGUUUGGACGAUCAUUUUUAAUGUUCGGAUUGAGUUUAUCUUAAGUGUUUUUUCAACAUAAAUUCAAUUUGGUUGGGCUUAAGCCAAGGUUUAGACAACUUAAGCCUAACCUAAACCUAAUUUAAUCCUUUUAUAAUACUUAUAAUUUAUAUUAUCCUAUAUAAUAAUAUUUAUAAUUUUUAUUUAUUUAUUGUUAUAAUUAAAAAAAAUCAAAAUAUAAUUGUAUCAUAUACUUUUUUGUUUCUCCAAAAUGAUAUAUUGAUUGACUUAUUAUUAUUAUUAUUAUUAUUAUUAUUAUUAUUAUUAUUACUAUUAUUGUAAUCUUGAAAAUUUGUCAUAUUUACUACUUAAAUUUGUGUGUGUGUGUGUAUGUGUAUGUGUAUAUAUUAAAAAAUAUUGUGAAUGCAUUUUGAAUCUGUUAGCCCAAAGGUUCUCCUAAUCGGGUUUUGAUGAUAACAAACUAUGGUUAAGUGACUAAUUGUUUUAAAUGAUAAAGAAUCUCAGGUAUAAAUUCGGAAAUUCAUUAAAGGACCAAAUAGAUACAAGAUCAAGACUUUGGGAAGACUUUUGAUCAUAGAAAACGAAUGUAAGAUGAAUGCAUGGGUGCACUUGGGAUUUUCAUACCAUUUCAUGCAUCUUAGAAAACUCGGUUUAUCCUUUAAAACUUCGAUUUCAUUAAAACUCGAGUUUGAUCAAAUGUACCUUAGGCAAAACGUUUUAAAAUUGACAUAUUAUUUCACCUAAAGACCUUGCUUAAGUGUUAGAAAAGAAAGGAAUUGAAAAAAAUAAGUUUUCGGGGCCAAAAGACCGAACCGAUCGAGGCUCUGGCCAACCGGCUCAACCGGUUGGGGAACGGUCGAGGAGUGCCAAAAACACUCUCUCUCAUCCAGUAGUUUCCUCUUCCCAGUUGAGGUUCACCCAUUCCCGGUUGAGGUCCAGUUGAGGCAAUGGUAACCUGCCAAGCAUUAAAUGCUCCAACAGCUAGCGAACCGGUCGACCCCUAGCUCGAUCGAUCGAGACUCCCUUUUGCCUUUUUUGACUUCCGAGCUUAGAAGCCUAUAAAUUGAGAGCUGCACUUCAUUUAUGAACAAGAGAACACUUGCAAUCAAUUGUCUACCUACCUAUUCUUGACCAAAAAACUCUCAUUUCUUUCUUAGUGCAUUAAAUCAUCACUUGCAUAUCCUUUAGUGCACCCUUGUGUGUUAUCCUAGUUUUGUCUUGUAUUUGAGCUAUCCUUAAGCUAGGCUGAGGGAUUCAUUCUUGUAAAAACUGAGUGUUAAAGCCUUUAAGAGGUUUGAAUCUUGAAGAGAUUGUGUAAGAGCCCAUUGGAGCCAGAAUCCAAGUGUAAGAAGAUUGGAAGCUUGGUUGAAGCUUCAAGUUAGUGGAACCCUCACUUAGUUAGGAGAUUGAGAAGAGUGGACGUAGACAAGGAAGUUUCGAACCACUAUAAAACCUGAGUUUGAAUUCUCUAACUCUAUCUCUUUAUUUUUGUUUAUAUUGUGCUUGAACUUAUUGUGUUUGAAAAGAUUUUUAAAAACCCAAUUCACCCUCCUCCCCCCAUUUUUGGGUGUUUUUCUUAAUUAAGUAUAGUCUUUAUUUUCUUAAUUGGUAUCAGAGGUAGACCUCUUGUUUAAGACCUAAUAGUCUAAGAGGAAAUGGCUAUUCUAUCAAGCUCAUCUCACACUAAAAUUUUUGCAAAACAUAGAGCUCCAUUUUUUAUGGGAACCGACUAUCCCUAUUGGAAAACUAAAAUGACUUGGUUUUUACAAUCAACCGAUUUAGACGUAUGGGAUGUUAUUGAAGAUGGCCCAACUUUUCCUACUAAACUAGUUGAUGGAGUUUUGGUUCCAAAACCCAAGCAAGAAUGGAAUGAGCUUGAUAGAAGAAAUUUUCAAUUAAAUGCUAAAGCUGUUUUUACUUUGCAAUGUGCUACAGAUAGAAAUGAAUAUAAUAGAAUAUGUCAAAUCAGCUAAAGAAAUUUGGAGAUUACUUGAGCUAACUCUUGAAGGAACAAAUCAAGUGAAAGAGUCAAAAAUUAAUUUACUUGUUCAUAACUAUGAAUUGUUUUCAAUGAAAGAAAAUGAGACUAUUGUUGAGAUAAUUACUAGGUUCACCGACAUUGUUGUGUUUGAAAAGAUUUUAAAAAACCCAAUUCACCCCCUCCCCCCAUUUUGGGUGUUUUUCUUAAUUAAGCAUAGUCUUUAUUUUCUUAGAAUCAUAUAAUGAACCAACCCGAACCCAACAAAAUGAGAUUAUGUUGGGCUUAGGUUAAGUAAAUUGGAUUAGAGGUUGGGUUGGGUUGGGUUGGUUUGGCUUAGGGUUAAGUGUUUCUUAGGUUUGGCUCGGAUCAAGUUGACCAUCAUCCAAACUCAACUCACCCAACUUGCAACCCAAAUUUCUAAGAAUAUGAUAUAUAUUCCAUUUACAAAUCUUUUUUUUUUGGUUCAUAUGGCUACUAGAACAUCAUGUUAAGUGCCUGAGAAACAUUUCCUAGUUGAUAUUUAGUUGUAGGUUAAUCUUCAAGUACCCUAGAGCUAAAACAUUUUAUAUUGUUAGGGUUUGAUGAUUCUUGUACUAGUGGUUGGGUCUCAUGUUGGAUUUCAGUUCAAGCGACUAAAUAAUCUUUUUCAAAUUAUUUGAUUGUAAUUAUGAUUACAUUUAUAAUUAUUAUUAUUUUUUAUUUUUAUAUCUUGGUAAUUGAUUUCAAUACCUUUUUAAUUAUUUUAUGAAAUGUCUAGCCUGCAUUUAGAGUCAAGGAUGUGUUUGUUUUGCAUGUUGGAUUGGAUUUAACUUUUCACUACUAGUAUUCUUUUAAUAGAGCUUCAAUGCUAAAAGCCUAAAACUAAAUCAUUUUGGUUGUUGAUAUAAGUUUACAAGAAGUACAAUACCUUUUGCAAGUGACACUGCCUUCAAGCCCUUUGAAAAUUUUGUGUAGUUACUAAUUAACUCUUUGUUGCUAAAAUAUAAUAUGUGAAGUUAUCUUAUAGUCAUAUAGCUAAUAAAAUUUUAAUGUUAUAUUACUUGAUUUAGUAUUUAAAAUAUUUAAGGUUUUGUGAAUUAAAGACCACCAUGUUAUCCAUAACAAAAGUUUUCUAUGGUUAGAUUGUAAUUGUUUUCUUGGUUAAUUUGACAAUUUAAUUGUGGAGUUCAAUUGAAUAUUCCUCGAGUUUCAUGCCUUAUGUAUCUGAUUUGUUUGUCAAGCUUCAAUGAUAUUCACUACACUUGCGAGUUGUGUUUGUUUAUAGUCUUCUACUCUAGAAAACUGAUAUUAGGGCCUAAGUUUAUAUUAGAUAAGGAAAUCAACCUUUUAUCAUUAAGUUUAGUGAUUAAAUGUAUUUCUUUUUACUCCACCCAUAAAGUUUCUAAGUGUUGCCUUGGACUUCCUAACUCCAUUACUGUUUGUAAAGAAAAUGGUUAAUUUUUUCAUUUUAUGUAGAAGUUAACAAAAGUGGUCAUUUUGACAUGAUUUGACAUUGUUAUUAUUAUCUUUUUAAAUUAGAUAUAAUAAUUUUCCAAAGUCAAUAUUUUGUUUGCAUGAUGCUCUUUUUAUAUUGAUAUGUAAUGGAUGGCUAAAGUGGAGAAAACUUACUUUAUUUAAGUCAAAUGUGUCUUCCACCAAAUAUUUAAGGUUUGUGUGGCAACCUCUCUUUCUAUUUGUUGCUUCAUCUUUACUGUUUUGAAGUCAAAGAAAGAAAAUGCUAUCUUUAAUACUCUUCAUGCAAAUAGGCUAGACAUGCAUGCUUGAAUACAAUAUUUUCUCUAUUGUUUGUUUAUUUUCUUGUCUUUAUUCUAUUCCACUUGUUAAUGUUAUUUAAAAUGACUAUCGUGAUGAUUAAUUGCAUAUUGUGAAAGUACUUGGCUUAACCAAUUAUUAAAUUGGAAUUAAGUUAAUAUCAUGACAAAUACCAAAAGAAUAAUUUUUAGUCUUACUUGAACAUUAUUCACUAUUCCAAAGUUAAGUAAUGUUGUCAAACAAGUUAUGGAUGGUUGAUGGAUAUGCAUCACCAAUAUUUGUUUAUAUUGAAGGGAUGGUGGAGGAGAGAUGUUGCAACUGCAAAGUCCUUGUCUUUCUCAAUUAGAUAUUAGUUAUUGUCAUAUGUUAACACAUUUUGCACUGCAUUACUUAACAUCCUUUUCCAUUAAUUACAUCUCAUUUUUCUAAAAUAGAGAUCAAAUACUAAGGUAAUUAGACAUACUUAUUUAUGCCUUCAUUUCCUUGCCUUUCUCACUUACUUAUCAAUGGAUUCCCUAACUUCAAAUCCUUCCCACUGCUUGUAGCUCAUUGUCUUGUUCGCAUAGAUAUUAGUAAGUGCCCUAACUUGAUAACCUUCAAAGUGCAUUUAUUAAUAUAAGUUGUUGGCUUUUUUGUUCUUCAUUGAAGUCUCUAUUUGGGACAUUCAUGAUUUGAUAUCUCUUCUAAAAGAAGGCUUGGCUUCAACAUUUUUCCAAUCUCCAAACUCUCACAAUUAAGAACUAUCAUGGUUUGGUAACAUUAUUGUGUUGGAUCUACAACCUUCAAUUACUUACCAAGCUUCAAGUUGAUCACUAUCUAGAAUCGAUAUCAUUGAUAGAAAUGAUACAUUCUCUCAAAAACCUUUAAAGACGCAAAAUCUAUUGUUGUCCACACCUAUUAGAAAGAUAUCAAAAGGAAACAAUUGAAGAUUAACCCAAGAUUGGUUGUCUCACAAAAUGAUAUUUAGUUGAGAUUAGAUUGAUAAAGAAUGUCAUUUUAGGCAUGAAAUUCCAAUCUUUCCUUUCAUUUUUUUAUGGAUUUAUUUAUUUUAAAAUUAUAUAUAAUCCUUUGUUUUCAUUUUGCUUUGGUCAAAUGCUUAGAUCAUUAAGUUUUUAAAGUUUUGUAUCUUUAAAUUACUAACCGCUAAUGAUGUGUAGCAACUUGAUUAUGUCUGUUACUUUCAAUUUUGCAUUCUAAGGGUUUGAGACAUGCCAAGGUUUGAUUUAAUAAUUAUUUUUUCAUGGUUUUUAACUUGAAAUCAUUGUCUAUUCAGGUUCAUUGCCCAGACUUAAAGUAACUGUCAUAAGAAACAAACUUCUAAUAGGCCUAAUGAUUUCUCAUGGCUAAUUCACAUCCAUUAGAUGCUUGAUAAUGAAAACACUUUUGCUCUCUUCUAAUUUCAGGUUUCUCUGCCUUAUAUUUUAUGUUCCAACUUUACACAUUUAUUAAAAUUAUUAGACUAGUUGAAAUUUAUAAUAUAUUUGUAAUAAUUCUAAGAGUUUGGGACAUGCCAAGGUUUGAUUUAAUAAUUAUUUUUUUCAUGGUUUUCAACUUGAAAUCAUUGUCUGUUUAGGUUCAUUGCCCAAACUUAAAGUCAUUGCCAUGAGGAAACAAACUUUUGAUAGGCCUAAUGAUUUCUCAUGGCUAAUUCAUAUCCACUAGAUGCUUGAUAAUGAAAACACUUCUGCUCUCUUCUAAAUUCAGGUUUCUUUGCCAUAUAUUUUAUGUUCCAACUUUACACAUUUGUUAAAAAUUUAUAACAUGCUUGUAAUAAUUCAUUGUUGACUAUUUGCACUCAUUAUGUUACUUGAUAUUUUGUUCUCAUACCAAGCUUAUACUAAAACGAUAAUGUUGAGAAUUGACUAAAUACGAUUCAAUAUUCCCACUAUAAAUGUUCACAAGUUAUGGAAAGUUGAUGCAUAUGGAAAGAGUAAUAUCAAUUUCCUGUUGUCUAUAAUAUGAUUACUUCAUCUCUUUCUUCGUUUAGUGUCAUGCUCAAUAACUUAUAACUUUCCAUUCAAUUUGUUAAGAAAUAUUGUACUCUAUUUGGAGUUAUGAUCUUAUGAUUCCAUAAUAUAGAAAACCUUGAACAUAAAGUAAUGGGUUAAGUUCGUAUAAGUUAUAGUGCACCUUAUCAAAGGGAAAUUCAAAGUCUUUAGUUGAUAAAAAGAAAUGGAGUUUGUAGCUCUUCCUUAUUUGACAAAUACUACAUAUUGAUUUACCUUUUGUCUUAGAUGAUACCAUUAAUAAUUGUUCUAUCUCUUCUAGAAAUUUUAAAUAUUUUACUUACAUCAUUUAUCAUGUUCAUCAUGACACCUAAAUUAGCAUAAAAGGCGGGGUCAAUUUUAUCUUCACUUAUUGUAGCCAAUGCUUAAGGAAUUUCUUUUGUGUGAUGUAAAUAGUCAAACAUGUUUUAACUAUCUUUUGGAAAUGAUUAGUCUUGUUAAAAAUUUGACAAACGAUAAUACCUCCAACUUUUGAGAGUUGUCACUUCUAUCAUUCUAGUUGAUUUGUUUUUCCAUUGAUUGUUGUCACACCAUUUGUUUUUGUUAUUCUAGUUUCCUCAAUCAUUGCCUCAAGAUCUUCUUGCAGGAGUGAAAACUCUUCCUCUCUAAUUAAAAUUAUUAUCAUGAUUUCUUCUACCAUGUUUGCUUAGAAAAACUUGCUCAUGAAUAAUUUGAUUUUUCCUAUCUUCAUCUUCAUUGAUUAGAUUUCCUAAUGUGAUCAUUAGAAUGAAUUAAUUGAAAGAUAGAGAAGGUGGUUUUGCAAGCAUGAAAACCCGAAAAAAGUAGUAUUUUGGUCGAAGUCCUCGAGGGAGUCGAAGCACCUUCUCAACAUUUUGCAUUAGAUUCUAAAUAAGUACUAAGUUAUCACUUAUGCCUUUAAAUUUUCAAAGAUUUUCAUCUAUAGAUAGAACCUCAUGAGGAAUCUAUUAUUUAAAAGGAUUUCCUUUUCAUAGGUAGCAAUCAUUUUGAGUCUAACAAGCCUCUCUAAGACUUCCUCUUUCAUAUUCCAAGAAGCUAGGGGUAAGAAGUCAAUUUGAUUGAGAUAUUGUAUAUCUUAUUGACAACCUUUUUUUUUUAUUCUUUUGAAUCUUAAGUUUCUUUUGGUCAUUUUCUACAUUCAGGGAGAUGAUGGAAUAUGUCAAGAUUCUAAAAUGAAGGAAGAACUUUCAAGCACCCAAACAUAAACUUUCAAGAUUUGUUCAUUAAUCAAAAGAUGAAAUGCUAGCAGUAUACCAAAAAGAGGUUAUUGGAUUUCUAUAUUAUUUCAUUAUUUUUAUAUAGACACUUUUCACUCAAUUCCUAGUCCUUGCAUUUUUCAUGUUUAGAAAUUUUCUUAGGUUAGGCUAUUUUGCUAUAGAUAUGAUUGUUGCUAAGUUUAUGCAAAAAAGCAUGCAAUAAUUUCUUCCAUAGUGAUCUUGUUGCCUUCUUGAAUAAGUGGAUGUUUGAUUUAUGUGGAACUGUUGAACUCUUUAAUUCAAGCAUGGUAUCAACAAUAUAUUUCAGGUUUUACAUCUAACUGUUAUCUCUUUUUUAUGACUUGGUUUUUUAUUUUCUUAUAUGGAUAUUGUAAGAGGUUAUGCUCCUUUUUAAUUCUAUUUUCAUGAUUCUCAUAUGAAUUAACACAAAUGAAGGAAAGGUUUUUUUAAUUAAGUUAAUUUAUUGAUGUUGGAAAAAUUAAUUGUUAGUUAUAUUCUAACUUUACAUGCUUGUUAAAAUGAUUAGACUAGUUAAUUUAAAAAUAUAUAUCAUUCUUGUAAUAAUUCACUAUUAAUUGUGUGGCUAAGUGAUCAUGUUCUUUCAUGUUUUCUUUUCAUAUCAGGUUGAUACUAAAGGGGUAUUAUUGAGAAUGAGUUGAGCAUUGUUCAAUUUCUCAAGAUAAAUGUUCAUAAGGUAUGGAUGUCUGAUGCAUAUAGAAAGAGUUAGUUCACUUGCUUAGUAUCUAUAAUAUGUACUCAUUCUUGAUGUUUGUGAUUACUUAAUUUCUAUCUUUCAUCUUUUGGUGUCUUGCUUGUUAAUUUAUACCUUUACAUUCAAUUUGUUAAGAACUAUUAUACUCUAUUUGAAGUUUGAUUUUAUGAUUCUCAUACACAAAAGAAUACCAACAAUUUGGGCAAGGACAUGAUACUAAAUCAUUUAUCAAUUUGGUUAUCUAUCUUUUCUCUAAUUUCUUAAGCUUGGGAAUCAAAAUGCUUUGGAAUACCAAGAAACAAUGGGGAUGAGUCUUUUCUUCAUCAUCUUGAGUUUUAUUGAUAGUCAACUUGUAGUAUCAUCCUUCAUAUUCCCUAAAGUACUCAAACUUGAUAGUUUGAAAUACUUAACUUGUUUACAAAAAUAUUCUUACUUCAUGUUUAGGUUUUGUAUAUUUGAAAAUUUAGUUAUGUUAAUUAUUUUAUUAUAGUCAUGACCAUUUUCAUGUCAAUGCAAAAGAGAUAGUGGUGAAGACUAGCAAAAUGUUACUCAUACCUUGAACAUAACUAUAAGUUAUUAACGGCUGGUGCACUGGAAAUGUCUCUCCCUCCUCUACUGUCUUUAGUUAGAAUAAAGGGUUCAUAUUAUGUUUUCAUUAUUUAGUUUUGUAAUUUCUACUUAUCAUCCCACUUUUUGUCUCUUAAUGAUUUAUCACUUAACAAUCAAAUUUUAAAAACAUGUUCUUAUAGGUGAUAGUGCAAUAACAUGUUAAAUUCAUGAAAAUUUUUCCAAAUUGAUAUUCAAGGUUUAGUUUAUCUUCAAGUGCCUUCUAGAUGUGGCUUUUGUGUUUUAUAAACCAAAACAUUGAUCUAUGUUCUUUGUGGCUAAGGCUUGGUGUAUUUUCAAGUACCUUGUGGUAGAAGCUUAGGCUUUCCUUCUCUUUCUUUUUGAGAAAAUAUAUUGAUGAUUGCUAGAGGAUUAGGUUGUCAAAAUUCAAUAUUGUAGAAAAUGUUUGGCGUUUUAAAAUUAUUUAAUGAAUUUGGUUGAGAAGUUACUUAAUAUAGAAAAACAUAUUUAUUUGAGAAACAGGGAAAUAAAAAUAUUUUUUGCACUACUUGCCUUAUGUUUGCAUGAUGUGUGCACACAAACAAAUCAUAGAAUUAAGAAUACAAAUUGUUUGCUCUCAUUUUUAUAAAUUAAUAAAACUAUAACCAAAAUGCAAUGUAGCCAAGUCACAUUUAUUGUAUUAGUCCUAAAAUAAUGUUUGAACUAUGUUAACUAGUAAGUAUUGGAAAAAGGAAUUAUGCCAUCUUUAUUUUCUAUUUACCUGGUUUAUAAAAUCCUUAGAUCAAUAAAGUUUGAAAUUUGUAUGCAGUUAAUUGCUAGAAUUAUAAAUUUUUGUAAUUAUAAUUAUUUUUAUGAUUUUAUUUUAUUUUAUUUAUGUUUACAUUUUUGUUUGAAAGUUUCUCAUAUAUGUUAGUCUUUCUAUCAUUAAUAUAAUAAUUAUCAAGAUUAUUCAAAAAGGAUAGAGGACUAGUGGUAUAUUGUUCACAUUUUAUAAAUAUAUGUUGACAAUGUGGUCUUUAGGUUUACAUUUUAAACUUUUUUCCUCACUAUUUAUCUUUUUAUCAUUUAUUACAUGGCAGUCAAUUUCUAAUACACAAUGAGUCUUCUCUUCCCUUUUUCAAGACCAUUCUUCUCAUUUUCAAAGGUACUUACAUUUAAAAAACUUAAGAUAAUGUUGAAGGGAGUUUCAUUAUGAGGACAUAUUACAACAACACUUGUUAAUAAUAUUGUUUUAUGAGUUGACAUCCAUGUCUAUGCAUUUACACUUAACAGGAUUCAUUAUACAAGAGUAUCUUAUACAUUGAACUCAAUGCAAGUUUAGAAAAAUGAUAUUAGGUUGGGUUUAGGUUGAGAAUUAGGUUGGGUUUGGCUAUGGUUAAGUGUUUCUUAGGUUUGGUUUGGAUCAGAUUGAGCAUCAACCAAACUCAACUCACCCAAGUUGCAACCUUAAUUUCCAAGAAAUUGAUAUAUAUUCCAUUUACAAAUAUUAUUUUUUUUGGUUCGUAUAGGCACGAGAACAUCAUGCUAAGUGCAUAAGAAACAUUUCCAAGUUGAUAUUUUGUUGUAGGUUAAUCUUCAAGUGCCUUAGAGCUAAAACAUUUUAUAUUAUUAGGGUUUGAUGAUUCUUGCACUAGUGCUUGGGUCUCAUGUUGGAUUUCAAAUCAAGUGACUAAUUAAUCUUUUGAAAAUAUUUGAUUGAUAUUAUAACUAAAUUGAUAAUAUUUUUUUAUAUAUAUUGGUAAUUGAUUUUAAUGUCUUUUUAAUUGUUCUAUGAAAUGUCUAACCUAUUCUUGUUAGGGUCAAGGAUGUGUUUGUUGCACAUGUUGGAUCAUAUUUAACUUUUCACUAUUAGUAUUCCUUUAAUAGAACUUCAAUGCUAAAACUAAAUCAUUUGGGUUGUUGGUAUAAGUUUACAAUGAGUACAAUACCUCUUGCAACUGAGAUUGCCUUCAAGCCCAUUGAAAUUUUUGUGUUGUUACUAAUUGAUUCUUUGUUGCUGAAAUAUAAUAUGUGAAGUUAUCUUAUAAUCAUAUAACUAAUAAAAUUUGAAUGUUAUAUGACAUGUUUUAUUAUUUUAAAAAAUUUAAUGUUUUGUGAAUUAAAGACCACCAUGUUAUCCAUAACAAAAGUUUUCUAUGGUUAAACUGUAAUUGUUUUCUUGGUUAAUGUGACAGUUUAACUGUGGAGUUCGGUUGAAUAUUCUUGAGUUUCAUGCCUUGUGUAUCUGAUUUGUUUGCCAAGCUUCAAUGAUAUUCACUACACUUGUGAGCUGUGUUUGUUUAUAGUCUUCAACUCUAGAAAACUGAUAUUGGGGCCUAAGUUCAUCGUAGGUAAGGAAAUCAACCUUUAUCAUUAAGUUUAGUGAGUAAAUGUAUUCCUUCUUACCCCAUAAAAUAAAGUUUCUAAACCUUGCCUUAGACAUCAUAACUCCAUUACUAUUUGUAAAGAAAAUGAUUAAGUUUUUCAUUUUAUGUAGAAGUAAAAAAAAAAAAAAAAAAAGUGGUCAUUUGGACACGAUUUGACAUUGUUAUUAUUUUCUUUAUAAAUUAGAUAUCAAUAAUUUUUCAAAGUCCAUAUUUUAUUUCCAGGAUGUUCUUUUUAUAUGGAUAGGUAAUAGAUGGCUAAAGUGGAGAAAACUUACUUUUUUUUUAAUUCAAGUACCUUCCACCAAAUAUUUAAGGUUUGUGUGUCAACCUCUCUUCCUAUUUGUUGCUUCAUCUUUACUAUUUUGAAGUCAAACAAAGAAAAUGCUAUCUUUAAUACUCCUCAUGCAAAUAGGCUAGACAUGCAUGCUUGAAUGCAAUAUUUUCUCUAUUGUUUGUUUACUUUCUUGUCUUUAUUCUAUCCCACUUGUUAAUGUUAUUUAAAAUCAUUUUUGUGAUGAUUAAUUAUCGAUUGUAAAAAUACUUGGCUUAGCCAAUUAUUGAAUUGAAAUUAAUUUAAUAUCAUGAAAAAUACCAAAAGAAUAAUGUUUAGUCUUACUUAAGGAUUAUUUACUAUUUCAGAGUUAAUUAAUGUUGUCAAACUUGACAAGUUAUGAAUGGUUAACGGAUACACAUCACCAAUAUUUGUUUAAAUUGAAGGGAUUGUGGAUGAGAGAGGUUGCAACAACAAAGUCCUUGUCUUUCUCAAUUAAAUAUCAGUUAUUGUAUAUGUUGACAUAAUUUGCACUGCAUUACUCAACAUUUUUUCCAUUACUUCCAUUUCCUCAAUUUUCCUAAACUAGAAAUCAAAUACUAAGGUAAUUAGACAUACUUAUUUAUGCCUUCAUUUCCUUGUCUUUCUCACUUACUUAUCAAUGGAUUCCCUAACAUCAAAUCCUUCCCACUGCCUUUAGCUCCUUGUCUUGCUCACAUAGACAUCAAUAAGUGCCCUAACUUGACAUCUUUCACAAUGCAUUCAUAAUAGAAGUUGUUCUAUUUUUGUUUUUCAUUAAUGCCUCUAUCUAUUUAGGAUAUACAUGAUUUGAUAUCUUUUCUAAAAGGAGGCUUAGCUUCAAUAUUUUACCACUCUCCAAACUCUCACAAUUAGGAACUAUCAUGGUUUGGUAACAUUACUAUAUUGGAUCUAAAACCUUCAAUCACUUACCGAGCUUCAAACUUAUCACUAUCUAGAAUUGAUUUCACUAACAAAAGUGAUACAUUCUCUCAAAAAUCUUAUAAGACUCAAAAUGUAUCAUUUUCCACAUCUAUUAGAAAGAUACCAAAAGAAAACAAUUGAAGAUUGGUCCAAGAUUUCUUAUGUCCCACAAAAUGAUAUUUAGCUAAGAUUAGAUUGAUAAAGAAUGUCAUUUCAGGUAUGAAAUUCCAAUCUUUCUUUUCAUUUUUUAUGGAUUUAUUUAUUUUAAAACCAUAUAUAUGUUGAAAGUAAGAACUAUAAAGCUAUGAACUCAUACAAAUCUAGAAUAACAUUCCCAGUUUUAUUGAACACUUAUUGGUGGCUUAUAUAGCCUUACAAGACAAGGAAUUAGAAAAACAUUGCAGCCCACAUCUUAUACCUAAAGACAUGGUAUUAGUUACUAAAAGAAUCAAAACCUAUCUACUGGUUCCUAACUAAUAGGAACUUAUCAACAGAACUUUCACAAAGCCAAACUUAAUAGAAACAAAUAAAUCCCAACAAUAAUUCCUCCCAUAAACUAAAACAAUAUGCAUUCAGUUUAAGUUUGGUACCUCACAUACCCCAAGCUUCUCACGCAACUUCAAGAACACUUCAAGCUUCAGUGGCUUUGUCAGGAUAUCAACCACUUGAUCAUUGGUGCCACAAUGAACCAACUUCACUACUUCCUCCUUAGUGAGGUCCCUCAAGAAAUGGAACCUCACAUCUAUAUGCUUGCUCCUACCAUGCAUAACCGGAUUCUUGGAUAACUUGAUCAUUGAACUGUUGUCACACAUAAUAGUAGUACACUUACUCUGUGAGUGCCCAAUCUUUUCUAACACUCUCCUCAUCCAUAUACAUUGACAAGCACAGAAAGCUGUUACCACAAAUUUUGCUUCAGUGGUACACAAAGUCACCACUGGUUGCUUCUUUGAGGCCCAAGAAACUGCUAUGCCACUCAAUAAAAACACAUAACCAGAUGUGCUCUUCUUAUCAUCAGUGUCUCCAGCAUAAUCGCUGUCAGUGUAAGCCAAUAGUUCUUCAACAUCUUCUCAUCUCUUAUAAAACACACCCAACUCCACAAUUCCUUUUAAAUAACGAAGAACUCUCUUUGUUGCUUGCAUAUGUAGGUCAGUAGGAUUGGCUAUAUACCUGCUCAAGAGACAUACUACGUACGUUAAAUUAGGUCUUGUUGUAGUAAUGUACAUGAGACUCCCAAUUAAUUGCUUAUAAACUGUAGCAUCAAUCCUAGCACCUUCUCCUUCCUCUGAUAGCUUGAAACCGGGCACAAUAGGAUUCUCCACUGAAUUGGCAUUUUGUAAACCAAACUUCUCAAGUAAUUCACAAGCAUACUUCUUCUGACUUAAGAAGAUACCCUCUGAAGUUUGCAAAACUUCAACACCAAGGAAGUACUUCAUCUUCCCUAAAUCUAUCAUAUCAAACUCAUCCUUCAUGGAACUCUUGAAGCUUUCAAACAUGCAUGCAUCAUUCCCAAUAAAGAUUAAGUCAUCCACAUACAAACUCACAAUUAAGAACCUCUUACCUCCUUCUUCUAUUUUGACAAAGAGAGUGUGCUCGUAAUCACAUCGUUCAAAUCCCUCAUUAACAAAAUAAGCUUCAAUUCUGCUAUACCAAGCACGUGGUGCUUGCUUCAACCCAUAUAAUGCCUUCUUAAGCUUGUAGACCUUUUUUUCUUCACCCUUUCGAAUAUAACCUAGUGGUUGCUCCACAUACACAUCUUCUUUCAACUCACCAUGAAGAAACACACUUUUGACGUCUAAUUGAUACACACUCCAUCCCUUUUGUGCUGCUAGGGCUAGAACCAUCUGAAUUGUGUCCCACCUUGCUACUGGAGCAAAGACUUCAUUAUAAUCAAUUCCUUGUCGCUGAGCAUAACUUUUAGCUACCAACUGGGCUUUGCACUUAUCAACCUCACCCUUUUCAUUCAAUUUGGUCUUAAAAACCCACUUCACACCAAUCUUCUUAGCACCUUUAGGCAAAGUAGUAAGCUGCUAGGUUUUAUUCUUCUCAAUUGCUUCAAUUUCCAAGUCCAUGGUCCUUCUCCAUUUCACAUCCCUCUUAGCUUCUUCAAAAGAUCCCGGAUCUUCAUGAGAGAUAAACAUUGCAAGAUUAUUCACAUCUGCAUCUUCUGACAGUUCUUCACCUGUUACAUAGUCCUGCAAGUAAGGAGGUGCUCUUCGAAUCCUUGUUUCAUCUUGAACUGGUGCAACUUCAUUGGAUGAUUCAAUCGAUGUUGGAGUUGUUGCUUCUGCUUCUUGAUUUGUAACCACUACUUCAAUACAUUCCACAACUUAUUCUUCACUCUCAGAGAAAGCAUCUUCACCUUCAACACUAUCUUCCCAGACCAGUAUAUCACGCUUCACUUCUUUAGUUGUCCUCCCCCAAUUCCAACCUUUAUCCUCUUCGAAACUCACAUUUCUGCUCACUAUAAUUCUUCUAGUAGCUGGAUCAAACAACCGAUAAGCUUUAGAUUCAUGACUUACUCCAAGUAAGACACACUAAAGACUUUUAUCAUCCAAUUUUGUUCUCUUCUGAUCUGGCACAUGUACAUGAGCUAGGCACCCAAAAACCCUUAAGUAGUCCACUUUGGGUUUAACUCCACUCCACAUCUCUUCUGGGGUCUUGUCUUUCACUACCAAUGUUGGACUCCUGUUGAGAACAUGCACUAUCCAUCUUGCAGCUUCUAGCCAGAAUGCUUUUGGCACUUGUUUGUCACAAAGCAUGCACUGAACCAUAUUCAUGAUAGUUUGAUUUUUGCGUUCAGCUACCCCAUUUUUUUGUGGGGUAUAAGAUGUUGUCAGCUGCCUGCUUAUACCAUUGAUUCUACAAAACUCAUUAAACUCAUUGGAGGUGAAUUCUCCUCCUCUAUCAGUGCUUAAACAAUAGAUAAGUUCACUCGACUCCUUCUCAACCAAGCUCUUACAGUUUUUGAAAGUUGUAAAUGUUUCAGACUUUGCAACCAAAAAAUAUAUCCAUACCUUUUUACUAAAAUCAUCGAUGAAGGUUAUAAUAUACCUUUUGCUACUGUUGGAUUCAGGAGUAAUAGGGCCACAUAUAUCAGCAUGAACGAGCUGCAAUUUUCGGGAAGCUCUCCACUGACUCUUCUUUGGAAUAGCAUUUCCGUGUUGCUUUCCCACAAAGCAUUCAUUGCAAGCUAUAGUUGACGCUCUGAGAAGUGGAAGACCCUUCACCAUCUCUUUGUAUUGCAAAGUCCUCAACCCUUUGUAACUCAAAUGCCCAAACCUACGGUGCCACAACUUUGAAUUAUCUUCUGUGACUGUUUACAGGCAUGUCGAGGUCUCAAGCACCACAUUAGCCAAUAACACAAACAUCCGAUUUGUUGUCAUUUUUGUCUGCAUAAUCAAUCCUCUUCUAGGGUGGUAUAACUUACAUUCCCCAUUUUGUAUAAUUAUAGCUAAACCCCUUUCUUGAAGUUGCCUUAUACUCAGCAAAUUAUUCUUCAAAGCAAGAACAUAGUAAACAUCAGUGACUACCUAAGUUGAGCCAUUAAUCUCAAGUCGGAUGUUGCCUUUGCCCAUCACUCCCAUCCUUGUAUUAUUGCCGAGCUUCACAGAGUGUUUGAAAGCCUCAUCAAUGUUAGAGAACCACUGCUUGUUCCCGCACAUGUGAUUGUUGCAACCUGAGUCGAGGAACCACACAUCUUCUCGUUUCGAGUUGUUGACUUCAACAUAAGACAUGAGGAACAUCUCUUCUUCUUCAUCUAACUCAGUAUAGUUUGCACUCUUCUCCCAACUAGGACAUUCGUAUUGGAAGUGCCCUAGUUUGUGGCAUUUAAAACACUCCAGUGUGGCCUUGUUUGCAAAGUAACUUCCUCUGCCUCUCCCGCGGCCUCGAACAUAACUUUGACCUCUGCCUCUUCCUUCAUACCUUUCUCCAUACAAAACCUUUAAAGCUUGUUCAUCCCUUGCAUUUCCAUUAUGACAAUUCAUUCUCUGUUCAUGAACCAAAAGGCUGCUUUGAAGCUCGUCAAUGGUCAUCGUGUCCACAUUAUUGGACUCUUCUAUUGAGCAUACCUCAUAGUCGAACCUGGGAGUCAUCGAUCUCAAGAUUUUCCCCACAAUCACGUUUUGCCCCAUUCUUUCUUCAUGUACUUUCAUCUUGUUUGCAAUAGUCAAAGCUCUGGCAAAGUACUCAUCAACCUUCUCACCCUCUUUCAUCUAUAGGAUCUCAAACUCUUUUCUAAGGGCUUGUAGUUGAGCUCGUUUAACUCUGGUGGAGCCCUGAUACUUCUGCCUCAUUGAAUCCCAUGUACUCUUUGUUGUGUUCUUAUCAAGAAUUGUCUCCAUAAUGGUCCUAUCAAUCGAUUGAAACAUGUAGUUCUUGAUCUUCAUAUCAUUUAGCCUCACCUCUUCAACUUCUUUUCUUUAUGCUUGAGUAGGCGUUGAUCCUUCGACUAUUGAAGGAAUUCCAUUUUCUACUAUGCUCCAGUACUUCUUUGAAUGGAGAAAAUUCUCCAUUAACAUGGCCCAAUGGUCAUAAUAAUCAUCAAAUCUUGGAAUUGCCGGAUGAGCAAAGUUUUCUGUCGCCAUGUUCACUCACUCCACCUUCCUUUCUUCUCUAUUCUCUCUUCUCACACUCUGUAAGAAAUCUGUAGUUUCUUACUUUCUUCAAUCAGGCCUCUUAGCGGAGCUCUGAUACCAGAUUGUUGAAAGCAAGAACUAUAAAGCUAUGAACUCAUACAAAUCUGGAAUAACAUCCCCUGUUUUAUUGAACACUUACUGGUGGCUUAUAUAGCUUUACAAGAUAAGGAAUUAGAAAAAUAUUGUAUCCCACGUCUUAUACCUAAAGACAUGGUAUUAGUUACUAAAAGAGUCAAAACCUAUCUACUGGUUCCUAACUAAUAGGAACUUAUUAACAGAACUUUGACAAAGCCAAACCUUAACAGAAACAAAUAAAUCCCAACAGUAUAAUCCUUUGUUUUCAUUUUGCCUUGGUAAAAUGCUUAGAUCAAUAAGUUUUGAAAGUUUUGCAUCUUCAAAUUACUAACUGCUAAUGAUAUGUAGCAACCUAAUCAUGUAUGUUACUUUCAAUAUUGCAUUCUAAGAGUUUGGGACAUGCCAAGGUUUGAUUUAAUAAUUAUUUCUUUCACGUUUUUAAAUUGGAAAUCAUUGUUUGUUCAGGUUCAUUGCCCAAGCUUAAAGUCUUUGCCAUAAGGAAACAAACUUUUGAUAGGCCUAAUGAUUUCUCAUGGCUAAUUCAUAUCUACUAGAUGUUUGAUACCGAAAGAACUUUUGCUCUAUUAUAAAUUUAGGUUUGUUUGCCAUAUAUUUUAUGUUCAAAUUUGUUAAAAUGAUUAAACUAGUUAAUUUUGAAAUUUAUAACAUGUUUAUAAUAAUUCAUUAUUGAUUGUUUGCACUCAUUAUGUUACUUGAUGUUUUCUUCUUAUACCAGACUUAUACUAAAAGGAUAAUGUUGAGAAUUGGCAUAAUACAAUUCAAUAUUCCCACUAUAAAUGUUCACAAGUUAUGGAUAGCUAAUGCAUAAGGAUAAAGUUAUUUCAUUUGCAUGUUGUAUGGAAGGUUGAUGCAUAUGGAAAGAGUAAGAUCAAUUUGUUGUUGUCUAUAAUAUAUAUGAUUACUUCGUCUCUUUCUUUGUUCAGUGUCAUGCUCAAUAACUUAUAAUUUUUCAUUUAAUUUGUUAAGAAAUACUAUACUCUAUUUGAAGUUAUGAUCUUAUGAUUCUCAUAAUAUAGAAAACCUUGAACAUAAUGUAAUGGGUCAGGUUCCCAUAAGUCAUAAUGCACCUUAUCAAGGGGAAAUUUGAAGUUUUUAGUUGAUAAAGAAAAACAAAAUUUGUAACUCUUCCUAAUUUGACAACUACUACAUAUUGAUUUAUCUUUUGUCUUUACUAAUAUCAUCGAUAAAUGUUCUAUUUCUUGUAAAAAAUUUAAAUAUUUUACCGAUAUCAUUUAUCAUGUUCACCUUGGCAUAGGCAAGGUCAUUUCGUCUUCAUAGACUUAUUGUAGUCAAUGCUUGGGGAAUUUCUUUUAAGCUAUAUGAAUAGUCAAACAUGUUUUAACAAUCUUUUGGAAGUGAUUAGUUUUAUUAAAAAUUUGACAAACAAUAAUACCUCCAGCUUUUGAGAGUUGUCAAUUCUAUCAUUCUAGUUGAGUUGUUUUUCCAUUGAUUGUUGUCAUGUCAUUUGUUUUUGUUAUUCUACUUGCCUCAACCAUUACCUUGAAAUCUUUCGCAUGAGUGAAAACUCUUCCUCUCUAAUUAAAAUGAUUGCCAUUAUUUUUUCUACUGUGUUUGCUUAGAAAGACUUGCUCAUGAAUAAUUUAAUUUUUCCUAUCUCUAGCUUCAUUGAUUAGCAUUUCUUAAUGUGAUCAUUAGGAUGAAUUAAUUGGAAGAUAGAUAAGGUGGUUUUGCAAGCAUGAAAACCUGAAAAAACUUGUAUUUCGGUCCAAGUCUUGAAGGGAGUUGAAGCACCUUAUCAAAAUCUUGCAUUUGUUUCUAAAUAGGUACUACAUUAUGACAUGUGCCUUUAAAUUUUGAAAGAUUUUCUUUUAAAGAUAGAACCUUAUGAGGAAUUUAUCAUUUGAAAGGAUUUCCUUUUCUUUCUUUUUUAUAUAGGUAGCAAUCAUUUCGAGUCCAACAAGCCUCUCUAAUUCUCACUCUUUCAUAUUCCAAGAAACCAGGGGUAAGAAGUCGAUCUAAUCAAGAUAUUCUACAUCUUAUUAACAACUUUUUUGCCUUUUGUAUUUUAACUUUCUUUUGGUCAUUUUGUGUAUUUAGGGAGAUGAUGGAAUAUUUGAAGACUCUAAAAUGAAAGAAGAACUCUUAAGUACCCUAACAAAAACUUCCAAGAUUUGUUCAUUGGUUCAAAGAUUAAAUGUUGAUAGUUGGUUCUUUGUUAAACAUGAUUGGUUGUUGAUAUCAAAAAGAGGUUAUUGGAUUUUUUAUAUUAUUUCAUUAUAUUUAUAUAGACACACCUCACUCAAUUCUUGGUGCCUGAAUUUUUCAUGUUUGGAAAUUUUCUUAGGUUAGGCUAUUUUGUUACAGAUAUGAUUGUUGCCAAGUCAAUGCAAAAUACAUGCAAUAACUUCUGUUACAAUAAUUUUGUUACUUUCUCGGGUAAAUGGAUGGCGGAUUCAUGUGGAGUUGUUGCACUCUUUAAUUCAAGCAUGAUAUCUACAAUAUGUAUUUUAGGUUUGUCAUCUAACUUUUAUCCUUUUUUUUAUGACUUAGUUUUUUAUUUUCUUAUAGGGAUAUUGUAAGAGGUUAUGCUCCUUUUUAAUUCUAUUUUCAUGAUUCUCAUAUAUAGUAGCACAAAUAAAGGAAAGGUUUUUUUUUAAUUAAAUUAAUUCAUCAAUGUUGGAAAAAUUAAUUGUUAGUUAUGUUUUGACUUUACAUGCUUGUUAAAAUGAUUAGAUUAGUUAAUUUUAAAACAUAUAUCAUUCUUGUAAUAAUUCACUAUUAAUUGUGUGGCUAAGUGAUCAUGUUCCGUCAUGUUUUCUUUUCAUAUCAAGUUGAUACUAAAGGGGUAAUAUUGAGAAUGAGUUGAGCAUCGUUCAAUUUCACAAGAUAAAUGUUCAUGAGGUAUGGAUGGUUGAUGCAUAUAGAAAGAGUUAGUUCACUUACUUAAUAUCUUUGAUAUGUACUCAUUCUUGAUGUUUGUGAUUGCUUCCUAUCUUUGUUAAUUUGGUGUCUUGCUUGUUAAUUUAUACUUUUACAUUCAAUUUGUUAAGAACUAUUAUAUUAUGUUUGAACUCAUUCUUGAUGUUUGUGAUUACUUCCUAUCUUUGUUCUUUUGGUGUCUUGCUUAUUAAUUUAUAACUUUACAUUCAAUUCAUUAAGAACUAUUAUAUUUUGUUUGAAGUUUUGAUUUUAUGAUUCUCAUACACAAAAGAAUGCCAACAAUUUGAGCAAGGAGGACAUGAUACUAAAGCAUUUAUCAAUUUGGUUAUUUUUCUUCUCUCUAAUUUCUUAAGCUUGGGAAUCAAAAUGCUUUGGAAUACACAAGAAACAAUGGGGAUGACUCUUUUCUUCGUUAUCUUUAGUUUUAUUGAUAGUCAACUUGUAUUAUCACCCUUCCUAUUCCCUAAAGUACUCAAACUUGAUAGUUUAAAAUGUUUAAUGUUUACAAAAAUAUUCUUACUUCAUGUUUAGGUUCUAUAUAUUUGGAAAAUUUAUUAUGUUAAUUCUUUUAUUCUAUUCAUGAUCAUUUUCAUGUCAAUUCAAACAAAAAAAAAGAUAGUGGUAAAGAUUAGCAAAAUGUUGCCCAUACCUUGAACAUAGGUACAAGCUAUUAAUGGUUGGUGGACGGAAAAAGUCUCUCCCCACUCUUCUACUAUCCUUAGUUAGCAUAAAGGGUUCAUAUUAUGUUUUUAUUAUUUAGCUUUUAAAUUUCUACUUCUUAUCCUACUUUUUGUCUCUUUAUGGUUUAUCACUUGACAAUCAAUUUUUAAAAACAUGUUCUUAGCAUCCAUAUAUAUAACCUUCGUUGUUCAAGUUUAUAAUUGUUCAAGUUUAUAAUCCCUAUCUCAUUUUUUUUUUCUUUUCAUUUCUUUAUUGUUUAUAAUUUUUGAAUUGAUUUGUUAAAAAUUUUUAAACUUUAUUUGCAAUACUGAUUUUUUUAUUCUCAUGUGCAAUAGAAUAAUAAGUUGAAUAAGAAGCAUAUACUACUUAAUUGGUAUAACCGUUUAGUCAAUUCUCUUGUCAAAUCUUUUUUGUUUUCAUCAUUUUUCUUCAAGGUAAUCAAAGUAUAAUUCUUUCUAUUUCUAAAGGUCUUGAACCCAUCUUUGAAAACUUAAAGACAAGUUAAAGUACUGGAAAACCAUUCCCAAAGCAAGUAAUAACUAUAGUUGGGUUCUAAUAUCAUAUCCUCGAUUGACAUCUAUGUCAUUGCAUUUGCAUCUAAACGAUUUAUGAUGAAAAAAAAACUAUCUUCUUCAUUUCCAUUUUCCUCCCUUCUUUUGACCAUAAUUUAUGUGCAUAUUGAAAGCAUUCAUAGCCCAAUAUAUUUGCUAGCAUAUAUAUGCAUGUCAUAAUCUAUUAAUUUUUUUGGCAUAAGAUCUUAGAGUAUUCACAUAUAUCUAGGUUCUAUAUAUUUAUAAUUUUUCCAACAUCAAAUGAAGUAUAUGAACCUUAUCCUAAAGGUGAAGUCUCUUUAAAAGGAGCUUCAACAUGUUAGUGGUUACCAAACUUUAUAAUCUAAUAACUUGACACUAUAUAUCACUCUGCAACUCUUUCAUAAAGUAAUUGUACUACCUCUAUUUACAUUUUCUAUCUUUAUUUAUAUAUAAAAUAAAAUAAAAAAUUGAUUUGGUAAGUGUGUGUUAAAUCAUGCUUACAAUCAUUAAUUAAUAGGUACUUAUAUGCUAAAUUGAUAAAGUUAUUUUACAAUUGUUUCAACAUGUUCGAAAAAAAAAAAGAUUAUUAAGUAUAUUUUUCUAGAUGUAAUCACUACCAAGCCAAUGUGAAAAGCUAUAGCAAUGAAGAUAUAAGCUUCAGUUAUGUUUUGGAGAUUCAUAUUGAAAGUUGUAGAUUGUGGAUGUAUAGUAUAGGAGUUAGCUUGAGUUUAUCAUUCUAUCUUUGAUAUCUUAGUUAUCAUCUAUUCUUUACAACCAAUUUUUUAAGGACUUCUAUGAUUUGUUUAUAAUUUAUAUAUUUGUUAUUUGUACUAGAACAUCCUGAAGCUACUAAAGCACCAUUACAGUGUACCCACCACAAGUCUAAUGGAGCAUGCUUCUCAACCUUCACAAUUACUUGUAAGUUGCUGAUAAGAUAAUUUUCUCUAUAAUUAGGAAAUCUUUGUUGCACUUAAAUCUUUUUACUGAGUCAAGCAUUAAAAGGUUGUGUUUGGUUAAAAAAGAAAAAGAAAAACUGAAUAAAGGAUUUAGAGUAAUAAGAGUUUGCCACAUAAAGUUUAUGAAGGUGAAGGCUAAUAAUAGGAGGGAAGUUAAAACUUCACAACCUAUUUGAAAUUAUAAAACAUGAUUAGCUAACAAUUCGUUAAAGGUUGUAUUCAUCUUGAGCUUCUCCAAUUACACUAUAAAAUGGCUCGAGAAGAAUGAGGUUUCUCCAUUGUUAAUUGCUUACGAGUUUUACCAAACAAAGCAGAAGAGAGGGACAAGGCAAAGAUGGGCCUAAAAAUGAAUAUCACAGCAACCUCUCUUCUGCUAUUGCUAGCAUCUUCUACAGAAGUGUUCGGUGAUACCAUUUUUUACGUUACCAAAUAUGAGGCCAAGGCUGAUGGAAACACUGAUAUUACCCAGGUGAGGGCAAUGCAAUUAUAAUAUUUGUAAGAUGUUAAAAUUGAAUUUUUGCUUAAUGGGUUCUCUGUGGAAUGUUUUCUUAGGCCUUACUUAAUGCUUGGCGAGAUGCUUGUGCGUCGCCUGUGGUGAGUACAGUUAUGAUUCCAGAUGGGACAUAUGCCCUAGGGCAAAUAACCAUUGGAGGCCCUUACAAGGCUCCUAUCAAUUUCAAUGUCCAAGGCACUGUGAAGUCCUCGAUGGAUACCAGCAGGUUCAAGGCUGAAGCUGGUUGGAUUGCUUUCCAACAAAUCGACCAGUUCAUAUUGUCUUAUGGUGGAGUUUUUUAUGGCCAAGCAAAACCUGUAUAGGGUAGAAAAUGCCCCAUUUCUGCAUAUUGCAACCAACUUCCCAUCGUAAGUUCAUGUGUAUAUAUAUAUAUAUAUAUAUAUAUAUAUAUAUAUAUAUAUAUGCUUACGUAAUUCUUUCAUUUUGUGUUCGUAAUGAGGACACUAGCUAACAGUAUAAGCUUUGGUGUCUUUUUUUUUUUUUUUUUGUUAAUUCAAAUAUCUAUAACAGAAUCUGAGAUUCAACUUCAUCACCAAUAGCAUGGUCAAGGACAUAACUUCAAGAGAUAGCAAACAGUUUCAAAUGAAUCUUUUGGGGUGCAAGAAUUUGACUUUCUACAACGUUGGAAUUAGUGCACCAGAAGUGAGCAUUAAUACAGAUGGAAUUCACAUUGGACGGUCCUCAGGGUUCAAUAUAACCAAUUCAACUGUAGAGACCGGAGAUGAUUGUGUCUCAAUUGGUGAUGGCAGUGAGCAAAUUAAUAUCCAAAGCGUAACCUGCGGACCCGGCUAUGGCAUCAGUGUGGGAAGUCUAGGAAAGUGCCCCAAUGAAGAACCUGUGGUUGGCAUUAGUGUCAAGAACUGUACCUUCACCCCCAGAAUGGCAUGAGAGUGAAGACAUGGCCUACGUCCCAUCAAGGCACUGCUUCUAAAAUGCAUUUUGAAGAUAUUGUCUGAAUGAUGUUGCCAAUCCCAAAAUCAAAGAUCAAGAGUACUGCCCCCAUAACCAAUGCAACUUGAAGGUACAUUUAAAGGAAACGAAAAAUUCCAUUUUUAUUGUUUACUUUCCCUCUUUUUCCCUUCAUUUUCAUUGGUCUGGAACUUAACUUUCCGUUGUUUUCAGAGUCCAUCACGCAUUAAGCUCAGUAAGCUUCAGAAACAUCCGGGGCACUACCUCAACUCAGGUUGUUGUCAAGCUUGUUUGUGAUCAGGGAGUCCCAUGCCAAGACGUGGAGCUUGGUGACAUCAACUUGAAAUACAACGAAAAUGAAGGCCCAGCCAUGUCAUAAUGCAAGAACAUUAAACCAAAUCUACUGGGCAAGCAACUGCCAAGGACUUGUGCCUAAGAUGCUUAAUCUUCUUUCGAAGUCUGAAAAAUUGUACUGCUUCUAUUAUAUAGCUACCUCUUCAUGCUUACGCGUCUGCUAGUUUAUUGGUGAAUAAACUACAAUGAACACACAAAAAUACAACACUCGUCUAUUUUGGAAGGUAUGUGCAGUUUGAUCCCAUGAGAAAAAACAAAUGUCUAUUCAGUCGUUUUUUACAUAAGCAUCCAAGUUUAGAUGAGGAUUGAGCUGCCGUAGUACAAAUUGUAGCUCCAAAGAAUAAUCUUAAUGUUAAUGCAGUUUGGAUUACCAAAUGUAGUCAAGUGAAUUAAAAUUCCUUUAGGGUGUAUUAUUUGAAAUUUAAUCUUUGGAUUACUAGAACCAAGAAAAAACUAUAGAUUGGUAUUUGGUGUGUUGGAAAUGCUUGAUGGUCAGUGAUCGAACUAAUGACUUCGAGAAAAGCUAAGAAUGAUAAACACAAUAGUAAUAAAUGGCAAGAACCGACAAAAAUAUUGAAGUUGUAAUUCUCUCAAGGUGUGUAGUUUGGGAUUUGAAUUAUAUGUAAAGAAGAAAUGCUCUUGGAAACUGCAGCACGAUGAAUCUUGAAUGGUUUUCCAUCAUAUGGCUUUGUUGUUUGGAGAUGACUAAGUAAUAUUAGUUUUACCAAUCCUCCGGCCUUAAGCUAGCAUGUGAAAGUUGUAGCAUUAGCGGAGAGUUGAUAACAGUUUCUCGGUAGUUGGAAGCUUGAACCCUGACAUAUUAGUGCAAGGACAUGAAGAUAUUAAAUCAUUCAUACAAUUUAUUGUCUGAGAGGAUAGAAAAAAUAUAUAAAACCACUUAAGAUCUUAAAAACAUCCUAUAUUUCUCCAUUUUUUGUAUUUACACUCUGAUCCAUGGACUUUCACCCCACAAAAUGUCUCACAUUCUUUUUCAAAUUUCUACCUACAUUUAAACUUCUCAUGUCUAUUUUCAUCUCAUAACUUUUUUCUCCUCAUGACCUAAUUAAAAUAUAUAUAGAGAUAAUCCUACCAACUUUUAUUUUAUACGCAAACCUAUUUAUAUAAGGAAUUAAUUGUAAAAUAUCCUAUAUAAGCUACCUUAGCAUAGUUGAAUUAGGUUAUAAAUUUUAUUUUGAUACAAUAAAUAACAAAAAUCCAUUUAUAAAAAUAUAUAAAAAUCCAAUAAUUGUAUAGGAGAAACCACACUUAUUUUAAAUAAAUAAUAAAGUACAUGCUCCAAGUAUUAAAAGGUUAUCUUUGGUGUGUAUGAUUUGGAGAGUCCCAGAUAAUGUGCAAGUAGAUGAGACCUUGAGUGAGAUGUUUUCUCUUUCAAAUCAAUUUCAAAGUUGCGAAAUCCAAAAUUUCAAGCUCUUUUUAGAAGUGUUUUAGAAAAUAGUUCAAAAAAAACACUUCUUGAAAAUAGCUUUUGAAAAUUAUUCUCUAAUAUUUUAUACCACAUAUGUUUGUUUGAGAACCUACAAUAUUCUUAACUUAUUUUGUAUAUUUUUAAAUACAUUUUAAAAAUAAUUUUCAUAUGCAUUGCUUUAUUUUUAGUCGUUCUCCAUAUUUGUAUAAUUAUUUUUAAAACAACCCUAGAAAAAAGUAAAAUGAAAUGAAAAUAACUAAAAGAUGUUCUUUUGAAACAUUGUAUUUUCUAUUUAAAAUCUUUUUUUUUCUAGUUGUUAAACAUACUUUCUUGUUUUUUUUUUUUUUAUAUAUUCUAGAUAAUUAAAAACUAUUUUCAAAGCAAGACCUGAAUUUUUACUAUGAAAAAUCGAAACGGUGCUCAAACUUAGACUUCAAAUUGAUUUUAACCAAAAUAUGUUUUUUCUCUUUUUUUUCCUAUCAAAUCAAAACUCCAAUUUCUAUCGUUGGACUAAGAACUUUAAAUCAUUUUCUAUUGGCAAUAGAGUCUUUGAUUUAAGGACACAAAAUACACAUGAAAAAUCUCAUAGCUAUGUCUGUGCGUGUACAUAACUCUGUGUGUGUGUGUGAUAUAUAUAAAAAAUGAUGGAUGAGGAAAUUGUGGAUAUGGCCAAAUCUGAAUCACUUGUAUUUAACAAUAGCAUGUGAUUUACAUGGAAACCUGUUGGUGGAAAGAGCCUAUAAAUAAAGGCCUUCUCUCCUCAUUCUAUUUAUCCUAGAAUUGAAAGAAAAAGAGUGGUCUAACUUUGAGUGAAAAAGUGAGGUUCUCUUGAGAAUUAAAGAAUUAUUAUUCUCUCGGGUGUAAUAGGGAUUUGGAUUGUGAGAAGUGAGUGCUUAUAAACACUUGUAGGGAGAAAAAUAACUACGUAAAUUUCGUGUUUUGUUUUGUCUACUCUAUUUUAUUAUCAUUUCCAUGUUUUUUUUUUAUUAACGACAUGUCCUAUGGUGUUCUAGGAGCUUAGUGGUACUAUAAGGAGGUUUUGUCUAAGGAGGUUGGAAUUUAAGAGGAACAAUUGUGACCCCUCCAAUUUUUCUUAGGAACUUUUAUUUAUGUCUAAGGAGACUAGGUCUUAAAUGGGAUCAUUGUGAUCCUUCCAAUCUUUCUUGGGAACUUUCUUACUAGUUUAAAGCUCUAGGUAGAAGUUUUUCUAUAAUUUUUAAUAGGUAUAAAGGUACUGUAAAAAGUACACUUUUUGUUGAAUUCCUAAGGAACCAGAUUUGAGUGGGAGUGAUGGCAACAGAUGAAGAAAGAACAUCAUAAUUGAGAAGUUCGAUGGUGAACAUUUUACCUUCUGGAAAAUGCAAAUUAAAGAUUAUCUAUAUAUGAAAGACAUGCAUUUCCCUUUUUUUUUUUUUAUGAGAAAAGCCAACCGAUAUGAAAGAUAAAGAGUGGGCUUUACUCGACAAACAGGCACUUGGAGUUAUCCAAUUAACGUUAUCUUGGAAUGUCGCUUUCAACAUAAUGAAGAAGAAGACCAUGACGGGUCUUAUGGCAGUUCUCUCUGACACGUAUAAGAAGUCAUAUACUUCAAAUAAAGUGCACUUUAUGAGGUUGUUAUUCAAUUUGUGAAUGACAUAAGGUGCAUCUGUAGUAGCUCAUAUCAAUGAAUUUAGUACAAUCACAACACAACUAAGUUUAGUGGAAAUCAAGUUCAAUGAUGAAGUUUGAGCUUUGAUCCUCCUAUCCUCUAUCUAAAAGUUGAAUCGCAAUGGUAACAAUAGUGAUCAAUUCUUUUGCGAGGAAGAAGAUGGUAUUUAAGGAUGUUCAAGGUCUAAUUCUAAGCGAAAAAAAUACACCAAAGAGAACUAGGGGAAACAUUAAGUUCCACCUUAAACAUCAAAUCUAGAGGUAGACACAAUGAUAGAAACUUAAAUCGGAGCAAAUUAAAUUCAAGAUGAAGCAAGUAUAGAUCUAAGAAGAAAGAGAAUAGCUGCUAGAACUGUGGUAAAAUGGUCACUUGAAGAGAGAUUGCAGAGCACCAAAAAAGAACAAUGGCAGUGCAAAGGAAUCCGUGAACGUGGCCGAAGAUACUGGCGAUGCUCUAAUCCUAAGUGUCAAUAGUCUAGUUGAAUCUUGGAUUUUGGAUUAUAGGGCAUCAUAUCACUACACCUCACAUUACGAAAUCAUGGAGAACUACAUCAAUGGUGAUUUUGGGAAGGUUUAUCUGGUUGAUGAUGGGACCAUGAAGAUUAUGAGGAAAGACGAUAUUCAAGUGAAGCGACCAAAUGGGACUGUCUGGAAGUUGAAAGACAUGAGAUUAAUUCCUAGUCUAAAAAGAAAUUUAAUCUCAGUGGAUCGACCUGAUCAAGAAGGUCAUCAUACAACCUUCUUAGGGAGUGAAUGGAAGAUCACCAAGGAAACUAUAGUCAUAACUUAUGAAAAGAAGAAUGGUACUCUCUAUGUUACUUCUAGCAUGGAGAAUAUUGUUGCAAUUGUAGAAUCAUAUGAGAAAUAGAAAAUCUAGCAGUAGAGACUCAAUCAUAUGAGCGAGACAAGGAUGAAGGUUCUUGUUUCAAAGAGGAAGCUGCCAAAUCUAAAAUCAGUAGACAUCGGUCUAUGCAAGGAUUGUAUUUUCGGCAAACAGAAAAUGGUCAAUUUCUCAAAGAUAGGCAAGCCACCCAAAGUAGAGAAGUUAGACCUAGUUCACACAGAUGUGUGGGGGUCAUCACCAAUUUCAUCUAUUGGAGGCUCAUAUUACUACGUCACCUUCAUUGAUGACUUUACUUGGAAAGUAUGGGUUUAUUUUCUGAAAAAGAAAUCAAAAGUUUGUGAUGUUUUCAAGAAAUGGAAAGCCAUGGUAAGAGCAAGACGGGCUUGAAAGUGAAGCAUUUGAAGUUCAACAAUGGAGGAAGGUACGAAGACGAGAAUCUUAAUGAGUUUUGUGUAGCCAAUGGAAUUAAAUUGGAAAAAACUAUUCCAAAGACACCUUAGCAUAAUGGUAUAGUACAACGCAUGAACAAAACUCUCAAUGAACAUGUUAAAAGCAUGAGAAUACAUGCAGGCUUACCUAAGAUGUUUUGGGCUAAAGUUGUUAGCAUAGCGACCUACCUUAUCAACCAUGAGCCUUUAGUGCCUUUUGGAGAAAAGUUACCUAAGGAAGUAUAGAGCGAUAAAGAGGUGAAAUUUUCACUUUAGAGAUUAUUUGGUUGUAUUUCUUUUGUGCAUAUUGACUUAUCUAAAAGGAGCAAGCUCGACACAAAGUCUAAGAAAUGUGCUUUUAUUCGAUAUGGCAUUAAUGAAUUUGGCUACUGAUUUUGGGAUUUUGAAAAUAAAAAAAUCAUCAGAAGCAGGGAUAUCAUCUUCAAUGAGAAAGCAAUGUACAAGGACAAGUCAUUUGUAGAAUCUAUCAACACAAAAGUCAAAACUGAAAAAAAAAAAAAGAGUACAUUAAGUUUGAGGAAAAAUCUAAGAAGGAAAUACAAUCAGGGGAUCAAAAGAAUCCUAUAAAUGAAGUAUCUCAAGAAAAACCACACACUCCUGUAGCAGAAGUGAGACACUUCUUGAGAACUCCUAAAUUGAUAUAAUGUUAUUCACCUUCUUUGCAUUAUUUAUUGUUGACUAACAAUAUAGAACUAGAGUGUUAUGAUGAAGUAAUUUAGGUUAAGGAUUCGGUCAAGUGGGAUUAUGCCAUAAAAUAUGAGAUGGACUCCCUGAUGUCAAAUAAGACAUAGGAUUUGAUUGAACUACCAAAAGGAAAGAAAGCUUUACGUAACAAAUGAGUUUUCAAGAUCAAAGAAGAGCAUGAUGGAAGCAAGCGUUACAAAACUAGGAUGGUAGUUAAAGGAUUUCAAUAGAAAGCAAGAAUCGAUUAUGCUGAGAUUUUCUCUCCAAUAAUGAAGUUGAUGACAAUCAGAUUGGUGCUAAAGAUGGUAGCUGUAGAAAAUUUGCAUAUUGAGCAGUUAGAUGUGAAGACAAUGUUCCUUCAUGGUGAUUUAGAGGAAGAGAUUUAUAUAAUGCAACCAAAAGGCUUCAUGAUCGUAAGCAAAAAAAGCUUUAAGUGCAAGCUGAAGAAGAUUCUAUACGGUCUGAAACAGGCUCCAAGAUAGUGGUACAAAAAGUUCAAUAGCUUCAUGAGUAGCAACGGUUUUACAAGAUGUCAAGUAGAUCAUUGUUGUCAUAUAAAAAAGUUUGACGACAACUUUAUUAUUUUACUUUUGUAUGUAGAUGAUAUGCUCAUUGCAGGUUCUGAUAUGCAAGAGAUAAAUAACUUAAAAAGAAAAUUAUUGAGGCGGUUUGCAAUGAAAGAUGUAGGUGCUACAAACUAGAUUCUUGGAAUUAAUGAGGAUUAGCAGGGACAAAGUAGCAAAGACUUUGAUGUUGUAACAAGUAGAGUACAUCAACAAAGUACUCUCUAGGUUCAACAUGUAGAAUGCUAAAUCAGUGAGCCUGUCUUUAGGUGCCUAUUUCAAAAUUUCCAAAGAGCAAUCACCAAAAAUAGAGGAAGAACGUGAUCACAUCAAAAAAGUUCCUUAUGCUUCAACCAUUGGAAGUUUGAUAUAUGUUAUGGUUUGUAUGAGACUAGAUAUUGUGCAAGUAGUAGGAGUGGUGAGCAGGUACAUGAACAAUUAUGGUAAGAUGCACUAGGAAGCGGUUAAAUGGAUCCUUAGAUAUUUUCAAAAUACCUAAAAAAUGUCACUCUAUUUAAGAAGUGGGGAUAUGAAAUUGGAAGGCUUUGUUGAUAGUGACCUAGGUGCCGGAGAUGUCGAAAACAGAAAGAGCACUAAAAGAUAUGUGUAUACUCUUAAAUGAACUAUAAUGAGUUGGGUUUCUCAAGAAAGUUGCAACUCUCUCCACUACCGAAGCAGAAUAUAUUGUUACUACGAAAGCCAAUAAGGAGAUGAUUUUCUCUUCAAGGUUUCUUGGAAGAGCUAGGAGAAAAAUAGGAGAACAAUGUCUUUUAUUCAAAUAAUCAGAGUGUGUUUCACUUGUGAAGAACCAUCCUUCCAUGCCAGAAUGAAGCAUAUUCAAACAAAGUAUCAUUUCAUUUGAUCUCUUUUGGAGGAAAAAGUUCUUAGACUUGAGAAGAUUGAUGGAAAUGAAAUCCCAGAUAUAUGCUAACAAAGACGGUGACAAUUCACAAACUAAAGUUAUGUUCGAUUUCAAUUGGCCUACAAACAUAGAAGAAGAAAGAUGAGUUGUUGCAUUGAUCUUGUGUGAAGACAUAAAGUAAGUACUCUUCAAGUGAGAGAACCACGUAAAGUUUGAGUGAACCAUGUAAAUUUUCAUAUGUUAUUUUUUCUACUCUAUUUUGUUAUUAUUUCCACAUUUUUUUAUUCGCUUCAUUAAUUUGGUCUUUUGGAAGGUUUAUUUCCUAACAUUUUUCAACUCAAUUUCUUAUCUAAAAUUGAAAUGGGAAUUGGUUUCAUCCUCAAUUCAAAUAGAUUUUUGGAACACUUCACCAUUCCCCUUCCACACUUUCCACCAUCCAAACAAUAAAUAUAAUUACUUAACUCAAUUACAUAUUUUUGCUUAUUUUCAUUUACAUUCAAAACUUGUUAGAAAGGAACCUUGAGUUUAGGAAGUUCCCAAUUAUUAGGAUUUGAUUUUGUUUUAUAAAAGUAAAUUAGAAUAUUUACAAAUUUGAGUGGUUGAUUUAAUUAUAUGUUUAUACAUAAGUCCUGCAAGUUAUUUUUUAUACUUUUUGUUAUUAAGAGUCUAUUUGUUAGAUAAAGGUGUCCAUAAAAAAAAAAAAAAAAAAAAAAGGAGUUAGUAUGAUAGUUGAACAAGAAUGGUGGAAAGUAAUGUCAUUUUCUUGAUUUUUCUCCAUUACUUAUUUCUCUCUAUGGAUUUGUUUAUGUGUUCUCAACUUUAUUCCUUGAACAAAUUAGGUCGUGAGAAAAAAAUGACAAGUAGGAUAUAUUUGUUAUAAGUCUUUUAGCUCAAUAAAAAUAAUUACAAUAAUUGGAGUAUGAAGAUAAAGACUUUACUUGAUUCACAAGAUGUAUGAAAGGUUGUAGAUGAAGGCUAUAAACAAAGAGCCUUGACAUAAAACCACUAUUCUAAAAUCAAAGUAAUUUUUUGAAAGGUAUAUGGAAAACAAAAAAAAAAAAAAAUGCCAAAAGGGAGGGAAGAAGAAAGCUCUUACCCUUAUCUAUCAAGCAAUAGAUAAAGGCAUGUUUGGAAAUUUUCCAAAUGCAACCAUGCACUACCAAGAAAGCAUGGACGAUAUUAGAAAAUGCACAUAAAGAAAUUGAUUAAUUAAGAAAAGUAUGUCUUUGUACCCUUAGAGGAGAAUUUAAAAGUUUGACCAUAAAAGAAGUAGAAUCAAUCUCCCAUUAAUUUUUCAAGAGUUAUAGUGAUCAGCCAUGAAUCAACUAAAAUGAAACAAUUAAAAUUUUAAAUCAUACUUGUGUGACUGAACAAAUAAUUCAGUCUAUUAGAUUCAAAGUUUGGUUGUUGUGCUCAUUAGAUAGUAAAAUGAUUUUCAUUGUAGCAUGAAGACAGAUUAAAAAAGAACCAAGAAAAAGUUCUUCAAACAAAACUUAAAUGACAAGAAACUGAAGAAAAUCUUAAUAAUAAAAGAAGUCAAAACGAUCGUGGAGUGGUUAUGACCAAGUAAACAUAGAAAGAUGUGGUUUUAUUUCAUCAAAUAAUCAAGAACACUAAUGUCAAAACCCAUAUUUUUUAAGAAGAUGUGAAAGAGAGCACAACUAAAGACAAAAUGAAAGGAGAAGUUAUGAGAAAUCUCAAGUUCAACCUUAUAACUAUAAAAAAUUUGGUCAUUAUGUGUAUGAAAUAAAAAGUACUACUAGCAAUAUGGAAAGAAAAGCCAAUCAUGUUAAAACAAAUAGGUAAAGAAAAACCUAGCCACUUUAUUUUUGGCAUAUAAAACACAAAGUAAUAAGGAGAAAAAUACAUGGUAUUCACUCGAUGGUGAAAACAGCCAUAUAUGUAGCUUCAAAAGUAUUUUCUUUGAAAUUGAUCAAUAUUCAAACACUAAUAAUGUUACUUUUGAAUCUAUUCAAAAUUCUCAAAAAAGGCAAAGGUAAAAUCUUAAUUUGUUCAAAAAAUGGAAGAUAUUAAUUUAUUUCAAAUAUCUAUUAUGUGCAGAUUAUGAAAAACAAUUAAUUAAGUUUGGAUUAACUUUUAAAAAAGAUAUAAUAUUCAUAAGAAAAAUCAAGUUCUCUCAAUAAGAUAUCAAUAUGUUGACUUCCUUGCAAAUGUAGUCAUGACAAGAAAUAUAAUGUUUCUGUAAUUAAAAUUGCUAAAAUUUUGUGUCAAUGUUCCCAUCUAGAUUUUCCACUUAAGAUAUCAACAUCUUAAUUUAGGAGGAUUGAAAUUGUUGAUCAAGAAAAAAAUGGUAUAAGGAUUGCCCUCUACAAAUCAUUUGGAUCAAUUAUAUAUGUGAAGGAUGCUUACUUGGAAAAUAUUCCUAUGAAAGUUUUCCAAAAGUUGGAAUUCAAGGUUUGGUAACUCCUUGAGGUUGUAAUGAUUUGCAGAUCCAGAGUUAUAGAAGAAAUUAAGAAAAUUUGGGAGAAAAAUGCAAAAUGUAUGAAGAAUAAAUUAUAUCUUCUCUCUCUCUAAUACAAUUGGAACUUAUCACAUUAUAUGGUACAAUGCAGGUUUUAAAUGGCAUGUAUGCCUAGACAUUGUUUUUACUUGGAACCAUUAAAAUAUAGUAUUACUAAUAGCAUUGUAAUAAAAUGGCAGAAGAUAGAUAUCAAUACAAGUCUAAUUAAGAAAGUUUCUCAAAGGCCACCUUCACAAUUACUUGUAAGCAGCUAAUAAGAUUUCCUCUAUAAUUAGGAAAAAUCUUCAUAUCAACUAUUCUUUGCACUUUAAUCUUUUUACUUAGUCAUUGAGAGGUUGUGAUCAGCCUUAAAAAAACUCGUCAAAAAAGGAUUUAGAGCAUAAAAUUUGAGACAGUUAAGGCCACUAAUAAGAGGGAAGUUGACCCAAACAUCACAACCUAUUUGAAACUAUAAAACUUAAUUAGAUAGUAAUUGUUUAAAUGUUUUAUUGGUGUUGAGAUUCUCCAAUUACACUAUAAAAUGGUUUGAGAAGAAUGAGGUUUCACUAUUGUUAAUUGCUUACAAGUUUUACCAAACAAAGGAGAAGAGAGAGACAAGGAAAAGAUGGACCUAAAAUUGAAUAUCACAGCAACCUCUCUUCUGCUAUUGCUAGCAUCUGCUGCAAAAGUGUCUGGUGAUAUCAUUUUUGAUGUUACCUGUUGGAAAUCAAGCCAGCAUCCUCUGUUUACUUCCCUAAUUAGUGUAAUGUACAACCUUUAUUAUAAUUGAUUUAGGAGUAAUUCUAGCAAGGUAGUUUAUUCACUUUCCAUGUAAGAGUAGUUUAUUCACUUCCCAUGUAAGAGUAGUUUAUUCACUUCCCAUGUAAGAGUUUAUUCACUUUCCAUGUAAGGGAAAUUCCAUUCCGGAAUUGUCUCAUAUCCGUAGGCUAUUUAUUUAUGCUUUCAUUCAUUGUAAAGUGAGGUAUCACAGAAUGAAUUGAGGUGUUCCUCCAUAUUUUGUCUUCAAAUUCUUCAUAUUUUUCUUCAAAUUCUUCAUGGUAUCAGAGCAGGUUUAAUCCUGUCUCAUCGUCUUCAUCUUUAAUGGAGAUGCUUCAGAAACUACUGUCUCCUCUUUUGUCAGUACAGUCACAAACUGGCUCAUCUUCCAACCAGGUCAUUGGUUCCGGAACCUUGGCUCACAAAGGUAAUUUUUUGAGUGCCUUCACUGCUGGUAAGAAACGUAAAAAACCUUGGAUAGUGGACUCAGGAGCAUCUGAUCAUAUGACGGGAGAUGCGACAAUUUUUGAUACAUAUAGCUCAUGUCCAAAUAAUUUAACAGUCCGAAUAGCAGAUGGUUCACUAUCAAAGGUUGUCGGAACAGGUUCAGUUGUGCUAUCAAGGGAUCUUACUCUCAACUCUGUUCUCCUUGUUCCUAACUUGGACUGUAAUCUAUUGUCAAUUAGUAAACUCACUAAGGAAAAGAGGUGUAUUACUAAUUUUUCCUCCACUCACUGUGAAUUUCAGGAUUUGGAUUCAGGGAAGACGAUUGGCAAUGCUGAGGAAUGCUCUGGACUCUACAUCCUUAAGGAGCGCCACGAUCCACAAGAACAACCUCAAAUGACAGUUGGUAGUAAUUCUUUUUCGGUUUCAUGUCAAAAUAACGAUAGUGCAAUUAGGUUGUGGCACUAUCGCUUAGGUCAUCCAAAUGUUAUGUAUCUCAAGCAUUUAUUUCCUUCAUUAUUUAAUAAAAAUCCAAAAUCCUUUGAGUGUGAAAUCUGUCAAUUAUCAAAGCAAGUCCGGUCUCAUUUUCCCAUUCAACCCUAUAAAGAGUCUAGUCCAUUCUCAAUGAUUCAUAGCGAUAUCUAGGGUCCGUCAAGAAUAAAAAAUGUAACUGGUACUAGGUGGUUUGUCUCAUUCAUAGAUGAUCACACUAGAUUAACUUGGGUAUUCCUCAUGAAAGAAAAAUCUGAAACGAGUCAAAUUUUCAAAAAUUUUAAAAAUAUGAUUCAGACCCAAUUCCAGUCAAAAAUACAAAUUCUAAAGUCUGAUAAUGCUAGGGAUUAUUUCAACUCCAUUCUAGGAGAAUUUCUAGCACAAGAAGGGAUAGUUCACUUAAGUUCAUGUGUUGAUACCCACAACAAAACGGAAUCGCUGAAAGGAAAAAUAGGCAUUUGUUAGAGGUGGCUAGAUCACUAAUGUUCUCCAUGAAUGUUCCAAAAUUAUUCUGGGGGCAAGCUGUCCUUACGGCAGCCUACCUCAUCAAUAGGAUGCCGUCUAGGGUACUAAAAUUCCAAACACCUUGUCAAACACUCCUAAAAUCCUUUCCGACUACUCGUCUCAUCUCCACCGUCCCACCCAAAAUUUUCGGGUGCUCUGUCUUUGUUCAUAUCAAUCAACAACAUAGAAGUAAACUUGAUCCUAGGUCACUCAAGUGCAUCUUUCUUGGAUAUUCUUCAAAUCAAAAAGGGUAUAAGUGUUACUCUCCGGUCACAAGAAAAUUCUACAAUUCAAUGGAUGUCACCUUUUUUGAAACCCAGCCUUACUAUCCCAAAAACGAUAUUCAGGGGGAGAAUUCAACCCAGGAAUAUCAAUUUUGGGAUCUUGAGUCAUUCAGUGAGUCACCCAUCACCACUGAAAAUCACAUUCCUCCAGAGUCAUUUAAUCAACCCGAGUCCAUUGUUGACUUGUGGGAUAAGGAGCACAUCCAAGAGGAAACGGAGGAAAGAGCACUUUCUCAACAAACCCAUGAGGCAGAACCGGGUCCUAAUCCAAGCAAACUUCCAGGUAACAACGCUCCUGAUGGUACUGUUGAUUCCGAGUUAGAAAAUGAUAUUCUUAAUAUGCCCAUAGCUUGGAGGAAAGGAGUUAGAUCAUGCACUCAGCAUCCCAUUGGAAAUUUUAUUUCUUAUGAUAAGUUAUCACCUACGUUUCGUGCAUUCACUUCUAGCAUCACAGAGAUACAAGUUCCUCAGAAUAUUCAGGAAGCUUUCAAGUAUCCUAAGUGGAAGGCGGCAGUCGAUGAGGAAGUUUGGGCGCUAGAAAAGAAUGGUACGUGGGAAAUUACUGACCUCCCAAGAGGUAAGAAACCAGUUGGGUGUAAGUGGAUUUUCACAGUAAAGUACAAGGCAGAUGGUAAUGUGGACAGGUAUAAGGCUCGGUUGGUUGCCAAAGGAUUCACCCAAUCUUAUGGCAUUGACUAUCAAGAAACUUUUGCUCCAGUUGCCAAGCUCAAUACUGUUCGUGUACUUUUAUCCUUGGCAGCUAAUCUCGAUUGGUCUCUUCACCAACUUGAUGUGAAGAAUGCCUUCCUCAAUGGUGACUUAGAGGAAGAAGUUUACAUGGACAUUCCUGCUGGACUUGAGACGACAUCAAAUUUCAACAAGGUUUGCAGACUCCGAAAAUCCUUGUAUGGUCUCAAACAAUCUCCCAGGGCCUGGUUUGAACGGUUCACUAAGGUAGUGAAAGGGUACGGAUUCGUUCAAUGUCAAUCCGAUCACACAUUAUUUGUGAAACACUUCCCAAAAGGGAAACUGGCAAUUAUCAUUGUAUAUGUGGACGACAUAAUUUUGACAGGUGAUCAUGAAGAGAAAAUUGACUUACUUAAAAAAUUACUGACAAAGGAAUUUGAGAUCAAGGAUCUUGGAAACCUCAAGUACUUUCUCGGAAUGGAGAUUGCUAGGUCAAAGAAAGGUAUAGCAGUCUCACAACGCAAAUACGUUCUGGACUUAUUGAAUGAAACAGGAAUGCUAGGAUGCAAGCCGGCAGAAACACCUAUGGAUACAACUGUCAAACUGGAAGAAAGUGAUGGAAGUGCGCCAGUUGAUAAAGGAAGAUAUCAACGUCUUGUGGGGAAACUCAUCUAUCUUUCUCAUACAAGGCCAGACAUCGGCUUCUCCGUUAGUGUGGUAAGUCAAUUCAUGAAUAAUCCAACCGAAAAACACAUGACUGCUGUGAUCAGAAUAUUGAGAUACCUCAAGAUGACACCGGGAAAGGGUCUCUUCUUUCAAAGAACAACAAAUAAAGAGAUUGAGAUUUUUUCAGAUGCAGAUUGGGCAGGUUCAGUGACUGAUCGGAGAUCAACUUCAGGCUAUUGUUCAUUUGUCUGGGGGAACUUGGUUACAUGGCGAAGCAAGAAACAGUCAGUGGUAGCCCGUAGCAGUGCUGAGGCAGAAUUUCGUGCUAUGGCACAAGGUAUCUGCGAAGGAAUCUGGUUGAACAGGCUGUUAGAAGAAUUACGGGUUCCAUUGAAGCAUCCCGUGGUGUUAUACUGCGACAAUCAAGUUGCCAUCAGUAUCGCUAAGAAUCCGGUUCAUCAUGAUCGAACUAAGCACGUGGAGAUAGAUCGACACUUUAUCAAGGAAAAGAUUGAAGAAGGAGUUUUCAAAGUCAGCUACACUCCGACAAACUGUCAAACGGCUGACAUUCUCACAAAAGCUCUUGCUCGAGUUAACUUCGAAGAUCUGACAGAAAAACUUGGAAUGAUCAACAUCUACAACGCGGCUUGAGGGGGAGUGUUGGAAAUCAAGCCAGCAUCCUCUGUUUACUUCCCUAAUUAGUGUAAUGUACAGCCUUUAUUAUAAUUGAUUUAGGAGUAAUUCUAGCAAGGUAGUUUAUUCACUUUCCAUGUAAGAGUAGUUUAUUCACUUCCCAUGUAAGAGUAGUUUAUUCACUUCCCAUGUAAGAGUUUAUUCACUUUCCAUGUAAGGGAAAUUCCAUUCCGGAAUUGUCUCAUAUCCGUAGGCUAUUUAUUUAUGCUUUCAUUCAUUGUAAAGUGAGGUAUCACAGAAUGAAUUGAGGUGUUCCUCCAUAUUUUGUCUUCAAAUUCUUCAUAUUUUUCUUCAAAUUCUUCAUUACCAAAUAUGGUGCCCGGGCUGACGGAAACUCCGAUAUCAGCCAGGCGAGGACAAUUCAAUUAUAAUAUUGUAAGAUAUAUCUUAAACUUAAAUUUCUGCUAAAUGGGUCCUCUAUUGAAUGUUUCUUAGGCCUUACUUAAAGCUUGCGGAAAUGCUUGUGCAUCGCCUAUGGCAAGUACAGUUAUGAUUCCAGAAGGGACAUAUGCACUAGGCCAAAUAACCAUUGGAGGCCCUUGCAAGGCUCCUAUCAAUUUCAUUGUCCAAGGCACUAUGAAGGCCCCGGUGGAUACCAGCAGGUUCAAGGCUGAAGCUGGUUGGAUUGCUUUCCAACAAAUCGACCAAUUCACGUUGUUUGGUGGUGGAGUUUUUUAUGGCCAAGGAAAAACUGUAUGGGGCAGAAAAAGCCCCCGUUCUGCAUAUUGCAACCAACUUCCCAUUGUAAGUUCAUGUAUAUAUAUUCUUGUGUAAUUCUUUCAUUUUGUGUGCAUAAUGAGGACAUGACAGUAUAAGCUUUGGUGUCUCUUUUUUUGACUUGAAAUAUCUAUAACAGAAUCUGAGGUUCAACUUCAUCACCAAUAGCAUGGUCAACGACAUAACUUCAAGAGACAGCAAACAGUUUCAUAUUAAUCUUUUAGGGUGCAAGAAUUUGACUUUCUACAACAUUGCAAUUAGUGCACCAGAAGAGAGCCUUAACACAGAUCGAUGGAAAUCACAUUGGACGUUCCUCAGGGAUCAAUAUCACCGAUUCAACCAUAGAAACCGGAGAUGAUUGUGUCUCAAUUGGUAAUGGCAGUGAGCAAAUUAAUAUCCAAAGUAUAACCUGUGGGCCUGAACAUGGCAUCAGCAUGGGAAGUCUUGGAAAGUACUCCAAUGAAGAACCUGUGGUUGGCAUUAGUGUCAAGAACUGUACCUUCACCAACACCCAGAAUGGCGUGAGAGUGAAGACAUGGCCUGCUUCCCAUCAAGGCACUGCCUUUGAAAUGCAUUUUGAAGAUAUUGCUAUGAAUAAUGUUGGCAAUCCCAUAAUCAUAGAUCAAGAGUACUGCCCCCAUAACCAAUGCAACUUGAAGGUACUUUUAAAGGAAAUGAAAAGUGUCAUUUUUAUUGCUUAUUUUUCCCAUUUUUCCCAUUUUUCCCUUCAUUUUCAUCGGUCUAGAAAUUAAGGGUUCAUUUGGUCAUGUUUUCUAAAACUUAUUUUUAAAAACUGUUUUUAAGUUAAAGAACAAAAAAUAGUUUUUCAAACUAAUGAAAACGAUUUCUACUUGUUCUCUAAAAAUUGUUCUCUAUCUCAUUUUAAAAAAAAAAAAUUAUUUCUAGAAAACAAUAGCUAAACAAUAUUAGGAAUUUUUCAAAACAUUUUUCUAUUUUUAAAAACAAAAAACUGUUUUUAAAUCACAUAGUCAAACAGGCUGUAACUUUCCAUUGUUUCUAGAUUCCAUCACGCAUUAAGCUCAACAAUGUUAGCUUCAGAAACAUCUGAGGCACUACCUCAACUUAGGUUGCUGUCAAGCUUGUUUGCAGCCAGGAAGUACCAUGCCAAGACGUCGAGCUUGGUGACAUCAACUUGAAAUACAAUGGAAGCGAAGGCCCUACCAUGUCACAAUGUAAAAACAUUAAGCCAAAUCUACUCGGCACGCAACUGCCAAGGACUUGUGCCUAAUUAAGCUACUUAAAUCUUCUUUCAAAGUCUGAACAAAUUGUACUGCUUCUACGAUUUUUAUAUAGCUACCUCAUGUGUUUUCUAGUUGAUUGCUGAAAAACCACCUCCACAUAGUAAAAGUAAAACACAAUAAAUAGGGAUUUAUAAAUUAUUAAAGAUUAUUUUUCUCCAAAAGAGGUUACAUUUUAUGUUUUUAAAAAAGGUUAGUCAUUCUUCCGAAUUUGGUUUUCUAUAGGAAUAUUUAAUUAAAAGGGGUAAGUAAAAUAACCCAUAAUUUGUAAAAGUAGCCUUCAUUAUCUCUCAAAUCAAAUAGAAAAAAUAUAUAUAUAAUAAAGAACCUUCUAAAUUCAAAUCCCUUUCUUCUUCUCUCUCUUCACCACCUUUGAAAUCUCUUUCUUUCUUUCUCUUCAUUGCCUUUUUUUAUUUCUGUGUGGUAGCCACAUCCUGCCACAUCCAAUUCACCUUCCAUUGAUGCAAUGACUCCUUUGAUUCGUCACAAUUAGUCAAAGCGCUUGGCUAAUGUACUCCACUUGGAGGCUAUUUAACCACAUCCUUCAUACCAUGGCAUCAUACUAUUUAACCACUUCAUCUUUGCCACAUUUCAAAAUCACUAUAUAUGAGAAAUAACACUUAUUUUGAAUAAUAAUGGACAUACUCCAUAUAUCAAAUUAUCACAAACAAACAAUUGACCUCAUAUUUCUAGACCCCUAAUUUUGUUCUCUAGUAUUACAAUACAUACAUACUCCACAUUUAUCCCCAUGUAUUUGAGUUGAUGAGGAAUAUUGAUCAUAUAUUUCAAGUGUUUUGAAGUUUUAAAAGGUUCUAGAUAAUUUGGAAAAUAAAAAUGAACUCGAGUUUCAAAUUUGAGAAAAUAAAGGCUAAUAUUAAAAGAGAAAAACACCCAAGAGAGGGGUGAAUUGGGUUUUUCAAAAUCUUUUUCAACACAACAAAUUCAAGCACAAUAGAAGAAAAUAUAAAGAGAUAAAGUUAGAGAUAUCAAAGUAAGAUUUUAUAGUGGUUCGGCACUUCCUUGCCUACGUCCACUCUCCUCAAGCUCCUAACUGAGUGGGGGUUCCACUAACUUGAAGCUUCAACCAAGCUUCUAAUCUCUUUUACACUUGAAUUCCGAAUCCAAUGGGCUCUUACACAAUCUCUUCAAGAUUCAACUCACUUGAAGGCUUUAACACUCAAUUUUACAAGAAUGAAUCCCUCAACCUAGCUCAAUGAUAGCUAAAAUACAAAUCAAAGCUAGGAUGAAUCACAAAGGUGCACUAAAGGAUAUGCAAGUGAAGAUUUAAUGCACUAAGAAAGAAAUGAGAGUUUUUAAGGCAAGAACAAGUGAGUAGACAAAUAAAUGCAAGUGUUUUCUAUGUCAUAAAUAAAGUGGAGCUCUCAAUUUAUAGGUUUCUAACCUUGGGAGCCAAGAAAAACAAAAAGCAGCCUCAACCAGUCAAGUUGAGGAUCGAUCGAUUCACUAACAGUUGGAACAUUUAAUGUUUUGGCAGGUUACCGUUGCUUCAACCGGACCUCAACCGGAGGUCGACCAGGAAGGGAAGGCUACUGGAAGAGAGAGAGUGUUUUUGCACUCCUCGACCGGGCAAAGGGAACUAGUCGACCGGUACCUUGGCCGAUUGAGCCGAUUGGCUCAGUGCCUUGAUCGGUUCAACAUUUUGGCCUCAAAAACCUAUUUUUUUCUAUUCUUUUCUCUUCUAACACUUAGGCAAGGUCUUUAGGUUAAUUAAUAUGCCAAUUUUGAAACGUUUUACCUAAGGUACAUUUGAUAAAACUUGGGUUUUAAUGAAACUGUAACUUUAAAGAACAAACCGAGUUUUCCAAAUAUGCAUGAAAUGAUAUGUAAACCCUAAGUGCACCCAUGCAUUCAUCUUACAUUUGUUUCCUAUGAAUAAAGGUCUUCCAAACGUCUUGAUUUUGUAUCCAUUAGGUCAUUUGAUGAAUUUCCAAAUUAAUACUUGAGAUUAUUUACAAAUCAAACCAAUUAGUAACUUAACCAUAGUUUGUUAUCAUCAAAACCUAAUUAGGAAAACACUUGGGCUAACAAAAUUGAUUAUCAAGUAGAUUCUCGAUUAGAAAUCAAAAUCCAAAUAUGUUUUUCUCUUUUACCCUGACAAAUCAAAAUUCCAAUUUAUCUCUUGUACAAAUAUGAAAUUUAUGCUAUUCGAAUCAAAACUCCAAAUCAUUUUCUAAGUCAGAUUCUCUUCUAAAAUUAAAAUGGAAAUCUAUUUCAUCUUUGUGGUUCAAAUUGAUCUUUGGAAUACUUGCACAUUCGAAAGGAAAAUAGUGUCACGAGUUUUGCAGUUGGAGUUCAUGGAUCAGGCAUUUUAGGAGUUCUUGUACCUAAUGAGAACGUUUACCUUGAUUAAUUUAACACUUAUAUUGCAAAGAUCUACAUAGGAGUUCUAUAGAUUUAUUUAAACAUUUAUGGGCAUAUUUAUCCUAUUUGUAGCAUAUUCUAAUGAUAUUUUUAAACAUUAAUAUAAAUUGUUUGCUUGAAGGUUUCAACUAUUGAAAAUUAUUGUUCAAGCCUAAUGUUAAUCUUUUUCUAUGGUGGAUUUCAAAUAAUUAAUAAAUUCUUAUUUGAUUAUUUGUAGGGAAAAUAAAUACCUUCUAUGUUUGAUAGGAAAGAAGAUAGAGUAGAUCACUUUCACAAUACAUGGAUGCUACUCUUUCUAUACUUUUAAAGAUGGUUACAAUUGGCUUUAUGAGGGAUAAUGAUUUUCUAGUUCUUUUAAUACUUACUAGUAAAGGCUCACAUGCCAUGCACAUACAUUGAGUAUAAUUUCUCAAUAGAUGUAGGGAACCUUGCAAUCAUGCUUAAAAUAUAAAAUUAACCAGUAUAUUAAAUGAAAUUUUUGUUUAGGAAAUAUGAUUACACAAGAAAAGGAAAUAAGAUUGUUAAAGUGUUGGAAACCUCUCUGGUUCAAAGCCCUAAGCAUCAAAUGGAUGAUAAUAACAAUUAUCAUAGGAAAAAUAGGAAAGGAAAAGAAUAUAUAAAUAUUUUUUUUUCCUAAACAAGGGAUUUCCCAUUUUAUAAGAAUGACCAAUAUAUAUAUAUAAAAGAAUUGUUUAAAUUACUAUAAAAAAUUUAUGUACUUUACAAUAAUUAUGUAAUCUAUAACUAUGCGUUAAAAUAUAAAAUUAAUAUACUUAUAAUGUAAAAUUAAUGUCCUUAUAUAAAACAUAUCACUCAAACUAGAUUAAAAAAAAUUCAAAACAUAGACAAACCAUUUAAAGAAAAUACAACAUUAACAAACUAAAAUAAUGUUCUAUGGAAUAAUAUUGAAAAAGCAACAUCCCUGAUAAAAUAGGUUAUCUCUAAACAUGAAGAUUAUCAUAUUUCUCAAAUUUGAAGAUGGUCAAGAAAAAUUUUCUGUAGACCCCUUUUGCAGACGACCUGGGAAUUGAAAAUUUUUCAUUUUUUGAAGUGGGGGGACCUCUUUCUGGAGGGGGCGAGCCGCAUGGGACAUGUGGCAAAGAUGGCAUGGUGGUAGCAGGGAGCAGGUGAAGACUCGUGGGAGAAGAAAAACAGAGGGGAGUGUCUUCAUGUUUUUAGGGGGGUGAGCUAGUUUUCGUGGGGGAGGGGGUCCGGAAACAGAGAGAAGAAAGAAGAAAGGAUAGGAGGUUUUUCUGGCGUUUAAGAGGAUUCCGAAAAUUUUUCGGGGCUUGGUUGGAGAAGCAAUCUUGCCUGGAGGAAAAUUUGAGGAGCUUGAGAAGAAACUAGUGAGGGUGGAUAGCUUGGGGAUAGAGGAUUUCCUGGAGGGAGCAGAAAACAGAGCUCAGAGUCAGGCGAGCUUUCCUUUGAAAAGCUGCCCUUCAGGUGAGAUUAGUUUUUGUUGAAUUUGAUAACUUUUCCAGCGCAAUACAUCCCGAUAUUUUAUUUCGAUUCGCUGCAUCGAUUGCCUUGCCGGUGAAUUUUACAUUCGUAGCCCCUUUUGUGCACUCAAUUUCCUAUAUUUUUAUUCCCUCUGAUGCUUUCUUUAUAUGUUUCUUCAACUGUAUGUGUUUUUGCCUGAAGAUUUGAUUGUGCCAGUGAAAUUUGUGGCUCAUCUGUGUCUCUAAAGUGUCGGGUACCUUAAGUGUCUUUCUUACUUCGACCUGUGAAAAUAUAUACUCUGGAGUUUACACAUCUUGUAUGCAUAUACUAUUAUAGUAUCAUAAAAUGAAAAAUUAUGUAUAUCCAAUUUUAAUUGAUCUCAAUUGAUUCUUCGUUACUGCUCAGAGGAGAAGUAAUAGGUAGGGAUGACAGGAUUUGAACCCGUGACAUUUUGUACCCAAAACAAACGCGCUACCAAGCUGCGCUACAUCCCUUUCAAUUGGUCUACAGUGUCAUUGUAGAGAAUACCUGUCUUGUUUUCCACAUCCUAGCAUUGAAUAGACUGGGUAUUCACCUUAUCAAUAUCUCAAAAUGAUGGGUUCUAUUUGGCGCUUAAAUUAAAUGGGCACCCAAAUCGGACCGAAUCAGUUCCGAUACGUAGACCAAAUGAUACAAUGCAAGCAAAAGUUCCUAGAUUCAUGGAGAUAUAGAACAGCAUAUAAGUUAUCAUGCUUGCAUAUCCACCAUUUAAGUCUCCAACAAUUAUUCCAAAUUGAGGCUUUUUUACAGUGAAAACCUCAAAAGGGGGAUUUUGGGGAAUAAGUGUUUGUGUAUUUUUUUUUUUCUUCCUAUGGAGAAGGAAGAGUGAAGAAUUUGUGAAAUGGCAAACCGUUAUUGGUCUGUUUCUAUUGAGCGGCGUUUCAGCUAUGUGGUUCUCAUCCCAUUUAUGCAGCAUUGAGUUUGAAUGCCGAGAAAUAUCUCUUUGAUCGGUGUGGGGAAAAUAGGAAAGGGGUUAGAUGGCCCCUAAUUGGUCAUUGCUCCUCUUUCUACUCUCUCAAACUGGGCAAAUGAAAUAGCAAGGUUUGUGCCUUCAAUAAUUGCAAUCAUCUACCAUGGCAAUAGGAAAGAAAGAGAUCAAAUACGAAUGAAGUAUAUGCCAGGAAAAAUUAGCCCCAAAUUUCCUAUAAUUCCGACUUCUUAUGAGGUUGCAUUAAAUGAUGCUAGAAAAUAUCUAAGGCAUUACAAUUGGAAAUAUCUUGUAGUUGAUGGUGGGGCCACGGAUGUAAAUUCAUGAUGUGCACCUUGCAACACUCUGUUUUAUUUUUCUUUGGGCUGCCAGGAUGUUCAAACAUCAUUUGAAAACCUUUUUUUUUUCACUUUGGCCACCUCUAAGUGUGGUCACUUUGGCACAUGGCCCUAGUAAGUUUUUGACUUUUUAUUUAUUUUCUUAUGAUUUUAACAGUUUUCCUUACUCCAAUUUUCCAAAAUUCAUUUCAUGAUUCCACUUUUCAAAUAAUUUUUAAAGCUUUCAUUUUAGAUUAGUCUUCCGGAAUUCCCAUUUCCAUAUUUAUUUAUUUAAUCAUUAUUCUUUUUUUAUUAUUAUUAUUUUAUUUAUUCACUUUUAAAAUUCUAUCUUUAAGUAAUUCUUAAAAUUCCGAUUUCCGAAUUUAAUUUCCAAUCAUUAAAAUUCAAUUCUUCAAAAGUCUGACUUCCAAAUUUAAUUUUCAAUCUAAAAAAUUUCACUAUUCACGUUCAUUCGUUUAAAUAUUAUUUUUGUUAUUAUUAUUAUUAUUCCAUAUUUAUUUAUUUAUUUUUUACAAAAGUUCCAAUCAUUAAAGUUCAAUUCUUCAAAAAUUUGACUUCCAAAUUUAACUUUCAAUCUCAAAAAUUCCACCAUUCACGUUCAUUCGUUUAAAUAUUAUUUUUUUUAUUAUUAUUAUUAUUCCAUAUUUAUUCAUUUAUUUAUUUUAAAAAUUCCAAUCAUUAAAGUUCAAUUCUUCAAAAAUCUGACUUCCAAAUUUAAUUUUCAAUCUAAAAAAUUCCACUAUUCACGUUCAUUUGUUUAAAUAUUAUUUUCGUUAUUAUUAUUAUUCCAUGUUUAUUCAUUUAUUUCUUUUAAAAAUUCCAAUCUUUAAAAUUCAAUUCUUCAAAAAUCCGACUUCCAAAUUUAACUUUCAAUCUCAAAAAUUUCACUAUUCACGUUCAUUCGUUUAAAUAUUAUAUUCGUUAUUAUUAUUAUUAUUCCAUAUUUAUUUAUUUAUUUAUUUAUUUAUUUAUUUUAAAAAUUCCAAUCAUUAAAGUUCAAUUCUUCAAAAAUCCGACUUCCAAAUUCAAUUUUCAAUCUCAAAAAUUCCACUAUUCACGUUCAUUCAUUUAAAUAUUAUUUUUGUUAUUAUUAUCAUUAUUUAAUUUAUUUAUUUGUUUAUUUCCUUUAAAAAUUCUAAUCAUUAAAGUUCAAUUUUUCAAAAUUCCGUUUUCCAAAUUUCAUUUUCAAUCUUAAAAAUUUUACUAUUCAUGUUCAUUCGUUUAAGUAUUAUUUUUUAUAUUAUUCUUAUUAUUCCGUUCACUUACUUAUUUAUUUCUUUUUAAAAAAAAAAAUAUCCGUCUUUAAACAAUUCUUAAAAAAUCUGACUUCCAAAUCUAAUUUCCAAUCUCAAAAAUUCAACUAUUCACAUUCAUUUGUUUAAUGAUUAUUUUCGUUAUUAUUAUUAUUUCAUUCAUUUACUUAUUCACUUAUUCACUUAUUCAUAUAUUUAAAAUCGCAUCUCUAAAUAAUCCUUCGAAUUUCCAAUCUCUAAAUUCAAUUUCCAAUUUCUAAAAUUCUAACUUUCGCAAUUAUUUAUCCAAUCAUUAUUAUUUUCGUUAUUCUAUUCAUUUAUUUAUUCAUUUGUUCGUUUAUUUAAAAUUUCAUCUCUAAAUAAUUCUUUAAAUUUCCAAUCCCUAAGUUCAAUUUCCAAUUUCCAAAAUUCUAACUUUCACAAUUAUUUAUCCAAUCAUUAUUAUUUCGUCAUUAUUAUUAUUUCAUUCAUUGAUUUAUUCACUUAUUCAUUUAUUUAAAAUUCCGUCUUUAAAUAAUUCUUCAAAAUUCCAAUUUCCAAAUUUAGUUCUCUGAAAUUCCAAUUUUCUUAUCACCGAACUUAAUUUUCAGUUUCCAAUAUUUCAAUUCUCGCAUUUAUUCGGUUACUCAUUUAUUAUUAUCAUUAUCAUUUUAUUCAUUCAUUUCUAAAAAUUCCAUCUUCGAAUGAUUUCCAAGAUUUCCAAUUUUUAUAAUUCAAUCUUCAUAGUUUCUACUUCUCAAAUAAUUUUCAAUUCUAAUUUCUUUCAAAAUUUAAUUUCCAAAGUCCCAAUUUUUGUAAUUUAAUUUUUUUAAAAUCCCAAACUCUCAAAUAAUUUUCAAAAUUCCAAUUUCUUUCAAAUUUAAUUUCUAAAUUUCUCAUUCUUACAUUUAAUUUCUAAAAAUCCUAUUUUCAAAUAAAUUUCAAAAAUCUAGUUUUCCCUCGAAUAGUUUUAAUUUCUAUUUGGUGAUGCAUGUGAUAUUUUUUGUGCUCUUUAUUGUACAUUGACCCCAUUUUUAUGAUAGCGCAUUGCUUGUUCGUGGCCCAGGUACGCAUCCAUUCCCAUUCUAGUCAUUCUCUAUGCAUGUUUUGAUUCCCAUAUGUGCAUGAUCGAUUUGAGUAUCCAUUGAUUUUCCUAUUGAUUGUUACGUCAGCUUCAUUUUAUUAGUAGAGACCCGACUUUAAAGACUUAGAGGGGUGCUACGGUCUUUACCGUACCUUCUUGAUAAGUAACCUAACCCUUGAGCCCAAUCCGGUUUUUCACAGACCAUAUUUUCCAAAAUAAGGAGUCACACUUAGAGUUUUCUUUUUUAUUUUGUUUAUACCCUUUUAAAAAUAAAACAAAAAUAAGUGGCGGCUCCAAGUCAUUUUUUUUAAUAAAUAAAAUCAUUUUCAAAUAAAAAUCGAGUUCGUCAUCGAGUGAAAAAUGCAUGAGCCGAAAUGCGGGGUCCACAAAAUGGCGACUCCACUGGGGAACGUUUAGAGGGUCAAGCUUGAACUUAAGAUGAAGUAAAUGUGGCAUUUGAUGAGUCGAUUAGUGGGCACCUAUCUCUUGAUUACAUAUUGAGAGUUCCCGAUACCAUUGGAUGCAUGCUUGGUUGUUUGUUUUCAUUUGGGACAUUGACAUGUUGAUUGUGUUGGUUGAUUAUCUUGGUUGGGGACUUUAAUAUAGUGAUUUUCUCUAUGCUUCAUUGGUAUAUUUGUUUGAUAUAUUUGACAUGCUGAUUGUGAUGAUUGAUUUGUCUUGAUUGAGGAUUCCGAGAUAGCUAUUUCUUCAGUACUUCAUUGUUAUAUUUGCUUGAGAUAUUGACAUUCUAAUUACAUUGAUUGCUUAUCUUAUUUUGCUUGGCAUAGUAACUCUGAUUUUGACAUGUUUAUUCUCAUCUCUUCCCAUAUAUAGACUCACCAUUGCAUAUCGCUUGACUUGCCAUAUUGUUUCUUUGUAUUGUAUAUUCUCUUGAUUGUCUUCGAGCAUGAUAUCUGCAUCAUUUCUCAUCUAAUUUUCAUAGUUUGUAUGUGGAUAUGAGCUAUAUAUUCUGUACUCUACUUGACUGUAUGUCACAUGACUGCCCUUCUUAUGCGUGAUUGUAUGUCGUUUGUCCGUGUGGGCCGCACAUCUAUCCCCUUACCUCCAACUCUCUUGGUUUUGGUCAUUCCCUUCAUUCUAGUUUUCACUUUUGCAAGUGUGAGGUCUUUUGUGUGUUUGUUUCUUUAACCGAGAUAGCGAUUAGGAGUAGGGUCUAGUGACGGGCUAUACCGAUGUUUGGGAGCAUCCUGUAAUUGAUCGACACUUUGAUGUCAAUUAGAGUUCGAUUGUUGAAAACUUGUAUAGCCCAGAGCUAGGUUUCAUGGAUAUUUGUACAGCUAGUAUGUUUCAUAUUCUGUAUUAGCUUCAUAGGGUUAUCGGAUGCACCCACACCGUUUAUUGUGCACUCUAAUUGACCACUGAGCGUUGAGAGUUCGAGAGGUUUCACCAUAGGAAACCCCCAUGGGAUGCCGAGAUAGUGUAUGUGUGGAGAUGAUGACCACCUUGCAUGGAAGCGCCCCGUUUCUUCAGAGGCGUGCAAAGGGUUGCAUACCACGGGAGGGUAUGAUCACUUCUGCUAGGGAUCCUUUAAAGUCCACAAAAUUUCUUUUUAGAGUCACCUUGACAUUGUAGGUUAAGCCUUAGAUCCUUCGAUCAAGACUUUCUUCCCUACACAUGGGUGCAUCUGAGGGCCUUUAGAGUCUCUUUAGUUACAGUUUGGAUCCCAAACUCCAUCUUUUGGUCUCCAGUUGAGAGUGCUUAGAUAUUAGUGCGAGUUUGAGUAUUAAUUGGACCACCUCUUGUUGUAUGAUUUUGGUUUCUUCCUGUCACUCAUCGAGUUUGCCACACUUUCUUCUUAGGGGUUUUAGAUAGAUUUCCUUUCUUGAGUUAGCAUUAUUUCCAUUUGUUGUCACUUUCUACUUGACGUUUUGGGAUAUGCUCAUUGAUUAUGCUCACUUUUUCACAUUCUCCACAUGUCAUGCGCUCAAUACUUCAUUCUUUGGUUGAUUUGCCUAUUUCAAUUUUCAACCCAAUAUUUUCAUUACAGAGAGGUGAAAGGCAUGUUUUCACAUUCACACCAGUUUUGAGAGGUUCGCCUUUGUCACCUUAUCAUUUUUCUUUAUGGAGCUCGGGUUGAAAGUGAAUCAAGGAUAUUUUGUUAUAGAUGGAAUAUCGAUCUAAUGACAGUGUUGUUUUUUCACGCCUCAUUCAUUUUCUGGAUUACUGAUAAAGAUUAUUUACUCACAUUUGUAGCCAUCUCACAAUGGACACCUCUAUGACUUUAGAGUUUUUGUCAUUUAUCCAGUUUUAGAUUGCUACCACAGGACCAUAUAUCAUAUGAUGUGUUGUACUUUUGAUUUGAGACAUCUCUUCACUUGCACCUUGAGGUCUUAAGGUUUGACCUAUCAUGGAGGACAUUGAGCCUAUUAACCUAGGAUCGGAGAUUUGACUUAGGAAGUUUCAGACUAUGACCCAUCUUCUUAUGAUCAGAGCAGUGUCUUACCCACUCUCACACCUUGACUUUGUUUUGACCUACAUCCAUCCAUUGUGAGCGUUACACAGCGUCACCCUUGAGACCAUUACAUGACCUUUCCAUCCCUAAUUGUUCUAGCUUUGUAUAUUAUUUCUUUGAUCCAACCAGGUAGAGUGUGAGGAGUUUGAGCCUAGGGUUGAUCUCGCGUGGCGAGGGAUGGCUUACGAUUUUUGGGUGGCUUACGACAUGAGGAUUGGUCGAUUACUUGAUGGACUGUCACUUAUUCUGCCAUGAGUAUAGAGAUUGAUAUUGUAUGAUGAGAGUUAGCUUGUGAUGAGCAGUUGUGCUUGAUGAGAUCGUCAUUUACUUUGCUUUGAGAGGAUUACCUUUGAGAUUAUUAUGGAGCAUUUGCAGUAUGGUUUGGCACAUGAUUCUAGAGGGUUGAUGUGGUUAUGUCAGAUGGAUAUUGAUCUUUAGUAUAGAUCAUUUAAGGGUUUGAGAGCACAAUGUUUGAGACUAUGGUUGCAAGAUGUGUGGCCUGUAUUUCGGUUAGCCAUGUACCCUUUCACCCUUUUGAUAUAUAUAGUCUGUUGCUAGCCCAUUGAGCCUCGCACGUGCAUUAUAACCUUUCUUUCUUAUCGCCUUGCUCACAUUUUUCACACCGGGAUAGGGGCCUUUUAGUAUAUGCAUUCAUUGUUUGGGAGUUCCAUGAGCCUUAGACCUAAGGGUGCAUUCUUCUCAUUAUCUCUUCUCAUCAUUGCAUCACUGCAUUCCAUUGUAUCUCAUUGUUUGUGUUCUUCGUCUCUUCUUCUUUAUUUUAUCUACUACUUGUUUUGCUUCAUAUUCUUUUCACCCUGAGAUGGUGUCUAUCCAUUAUCGACAUCAUCCUUGGGGUUCAUUUGUUCAUGUUCAGGGUAUGUACAUCUGUAUGUUAAAAAAAUGAAGUGAAAAAAAAAAUGAAAUGAAAAAAAAAACGCAUGUGUGUAUUAUUUUUUAUCAUUGAGUGUGUAUAUCAAUAUUCUAGGGUCACUUGAUUGAGUAUGUUUGUUGAUGGGAGUUCGUAUGUAAGCUUUCCGAGACCCUUCAUGCUUUGUAUUCAUCUUAUUGUAUAUUUUGAGAGCGAGAUGAGUGACCUUCUCUUAAGAGUUCUAGGUCAUUGUCCCUUCCAUCAUUACGUUCAUUGUUGAUGUGACUUCACUCCAUGUCUGAUUUGAGUUGAUCACUACUCCUCUUUAUGUUAUUUGUUUCAUCAUUAUCCUCGUUUUCGCUUCUGAUUCAUCAUUUUCACUUCACGUCUUAUUCUUUUCUUACAGCAACCCAUCUAGGGUUUGAUACUCUCUUCGCGUCAUCAUUACACAUAUCACUAUCAAUUCAUUUUGCUUCAUUGGUCUCCUCAUCGACAUCUUAUUCACGUUAGGCAUCCUCAUGUCCAUGGCUCACGGGAUUUACUAUACAUGGUGCAUUUCAUAUAUGAGGGCAUGGGUUUCUGAUCAUUGGGUAUUUGAGCCCUGUUUCCUUUCAUUUCUUUCACCUUAUUACCUUAGCCUACAUUACGUCCUAGGUCUUAAGAGCACCCUGAGGCCAUGAUAUCAUGCAUCGUGUUUUGAUAGCUCUCAUGUGGGCGAUACUUGGAAUUGGUUGGAGAGCAUUUUGAUUAUGAUAGGCCAUGAGUUGUGGUAUGACCCUAUACUGGGGCAUAGCCACCUCAGAGAGUUUUUUUUUUAUCGGGUAUGCAACCAUUCUGUUUGAUACAUCGCAUUGGGGCACACCUUUCUUGGUUGAGGUUUGAUUUUUUAGAUGGCCAUUAUGCCAGGGCAUACUUCUCUCAGUCGAUGAUGGAUUUUUGAGUCAUGGCCACCCUUCAGAGGAGAUCAAACAUCAUUUUUCACAUUGGAGCAUGAGGCAUGAUUGGUAUAUUUCAUCUGGUGUACUUUGCAUAGGGGCAUAUUUCUUAGUCGAUGAUGGUUUUUGAGGCAUAGCUGUUCCUUGGGGGUGAUUAGAUUCCUUUCACAUUGGGGUAUGAGAUAUGAUUGGGUGCUUUGAAUAGAUGUGUUUAUAGGAGCGUAACCUUCUCAUCGUUGUUGACAAAUGUUUGAGAUGAUUGGAUCAAGAUACUGACACUUAUGAGAGCAUGCAGCGGAGUUUAGUCAUUUUAGAGAUUGCAUUAUACUGGGGCAUAAUCCUUUCAUUGGUGAUUGAUCUUAGAGAUAUCAACUUACAUUUGGGCAUGAUCAUGUCAGAGCGCAUUUUGUUGAGGCAUGUCACUUUGAUUGAUCUUUUUCAUAUUGGGACAUGCUCUUUCUUUAGAUGAGGUCGGAUACUCUCUUUAUACCACCACGAUGACUUUGAGGAGUGGAGAUUCAUUUUGAUUAGAUGAUGUAUGAUUGGUUGUACUCCUCUCAUCGAUGUUUUAUUACAUUGGGGCAUUGCCCACCCAUCGACGAUGGAUUUUGUGAGAUGACGGUUUAUGCCAAACACAUGUUAUUCGGAUAUUAUCUUGCAUUGAGGGCUUACCCAUUUUGAGAGAAUGCAUUCAUACUGGGGCAUAGCCACCUUGCUGAUUUUGACAUUGAGACUCCACCUCCUAUUUAUGAUAGCUAGUUUUGAUGGAUCGUAGAGUUGUUGACACUUUGGGUUCAGACUUCUUAACAUACUUGGUUCGACUUGGAUACCCACUUUCCUUUGUUACACACUCAUACAUCUUACAUCCAGCACCAUUAUACCUGCAUCCAUCUUGUCAGAGUCUCACAUCUUUUGAGUUUCAUCUAGGGCAUACCCCAUUUCCAGAGAUAGUUGUGUCCUCAUUUUUUAGUGAGUUGAUCAUCCUGAUUUUAGUCACCCUUCAGUGGUUUGACUUAGAGUCAUAGACUACAAUCUCCCAUUUUGGGCGUACAAUGCCCCUCUUCAUGGAGUCACAUGACUCUCAUCACUCACGAGAUCAUGUCGAGUUGAUAGCCAAUUGUUAUCUUAUCAUGAUCCCCUAGUGGAGUCUUUCUUAGGCCAUUUAGUCAGACUCACACUUUUUAGCAUUUAGAUAUCAUCAUGCUUUUUCUUCUGGGAGACGUUUAUUUGAUCUACAAAUUCGAUUAAGUUGUGGACGUGGGUGGUUAGGAUUACACACUUGGUGAUGGAUGAUUUGAUGACAUCUAGUUUUCUGAUCUACCAUGCAUUUGAUGCCAUACUGGGGCACAUUCUGUUUCGGAUGAGAUUUAUGGAUUUUCAUGGAAGUUGCAUGCUUAUCUCCACUUUUGAGUUAUGGACGUGGAUGACCGGGAUUGCAUAGUUGAUGAUUUGGUGUCACCUGACUUUUGGAUCUACCACACAUUUGAUGCCAUACUGGGGCAUAUUCCAUUACAGUUGAGAUUCGUAGAUUUUCAUGGAGUUGCGCGAUCAUCAUCACUUACUGGUCGCACACUGAGAUGCUGACAUGUUCGUUACCUUAUCAUGAUACCUCGGUGGACCCUCUUUGGAUCCAUUUAGUCGGACCCUCAUUUUUUGACAUUUGGUUUCCGGCAUGAUACUUAUUCCGAGAGACAUUCCCUAGAUAUAUGGAUUUGAUUUAUAUCACAGAGAUCACAUGUUCGAUGAUAGAUAGUCUCAUGUCAUCUGAUUUCCGAUUCGUCAUACAUCUGAUGCCAUACUAGGGCAUAUUUCCAUUUUGGGUGAGGUUUACAGAUCUUCAUGGGGUUGUAUGAUCACCCCCACUUACGGGAUGCGCACCGAGGCGAUGACGUGCUCAUUAUUUUUACGAGGAUUUCUCGGUGGAGCCUCUCGGGAGUCAUCCAGUUAAGCCCGCACUUCUUGGCACUUAGAUUUCAUCAUGCUUCUCCAUCCGAGAAAUACCUCUUGGAUUUGUGGGUUUGAUUCUGUUAUGGACAUGGAUGACUAGGACCGUGCAUUUGAUGACAGAUGAUUUGAUGUCAUCUGAUUUUUCGACCCGUCACACAUUUGAUGCCAUACUGGGGCAUAUUUCCCUUUCGAUUGAGAUUUGUACAUCCCCACCGAUUCGCAUGAUCAUCCCUAGUUAUGAGAUACGCGCUAGGUUGAUGAUUCGAUUUCAUUUUGUCAUGACACUCUGGGGAGCCUUUCUUGAGUCAUUCAGUCAGGCUCAUACUUUUUGAUAUUGUUGUGAUUCUUAGACAGAGUUAUCUCAGACGCAUGGAUUCCCACAUCACCAUUUCAGUGGAGUACAUGUUAGAUCUCUUGCGCAUCCCCAUUGAGUUAUUUGCGAGUCAUCAGGGCAGACCUGGUACAUCUGAUGCCAUACUAGGGCAUAUUUCCCUCAUUCAGCUGUAGAGAUGAUGGUUUUCUCAUAGAUCUGAUGCAGCCGCCUUCAUCGCUCCACCGAGAAAUAUUUUAUUUGCUUUAUUGGCCACUAUUCCCGUGAUUUUCGUCGAGAUAAGCCUUCAGUAGAGCACAACAUUCAGGUUUUGACUGUCUCGCUAUCCAUGAUUCUUUAGUAGAUUGUUGUGAUGAGAUCAUGGUGGUUACCCCAACAAACUAUUCUCUUGAGACUCCCUAGUGGAUCAUUCGUUUCAGAUGACGAUGGACUCCUACAGUAGAGUAUUUCGAGUUAGAGUCAUCUAACUCGUCAAGCAUCGCGGUCCAAUCAGAUGGGUUGUGAGACUAUGUUCACAGUCGAUUUAAUCAUUCUAACUCGCUAGUAGAGCAUAUUUCGAGACUCAUGGAGUCUUUUUCAGACCUUUCUAGUGGAUUGAGAGUUAUGACGACAUGCUACACUGGGGCAUAUUCCCCCUUCAUCAUUUCCUUGCAAUUCUGGCGUUCAGAGCCACCAUACAUGCUCGGUUACGACAUUCAGAGUCGCCCUUUUUUAGCUUGGCAUUCAAAGCCACCAUGUCUUCUCGUUUAUGACCUUCAGAGUCGUAUCUCUCGGCUUGACUUUCAUAGCUACUGUUUCAGUUUGGUGCUUAGAGCCACCAUGUCCUCUCAACCAUGACGUUCAGAGCCUUUCUCAGAUUGGCAUUCCUAGUUAUCAGUUUAGUUUGGUGUUCAGAGCCGUUGUUUCUGCUUGGGAUUCAUAACUAUUAUCUUCGGUUUGGUGUUCAGAGCCACUUUCACAUUUCGACGUUCAUAGCUGUUGUUUUAGUUUGGCAUUCAGAGCCAUGGUUUAGGUUGACAUUUAGAGUUGUCAUCGUCUUUCCAUUCGGUGUUCUGAGCCACAUUUUUUGUUUCGGCGUUCAGAGUCAUUCUUCAUUUUCAUUUUGGCGUUCAGAGCCAUUGUUCAUUUUUCUUUUGCCAUUCAAAGCCACAUUUUCGUUUCGGUGUUCAGAGCGAUCGUUCAUCUUCCGUUUGGCAUUCAGAGUCAUUGUUCGUUUUCCGUUUGGCGUUCAAAGCCGUAGUUCAUCCUCAGUUUGGUGUUUAGAGUCGUUGAUCAUUUUUGUUAGGCGUUCAGAUUCAUGUCGUCAUCUUGGUGUUCAGAGCCGCAUUGUCAUCUUGGCAUUUAGAGUCGUAUCUUCAGUUUGGCAUUUAGAGUCGUAUCUUCAGUUUGGCAUUCAGAGUUGUUGUUUAUCUUUAGUUCGAUAUCUAGAGCCAUUUUCAGAUUGGUGUUCAGAGUCGUUAUUCCCUUUAGUUCGAUAUUCAGAGCUACACCUUCAAUUCAAUGUCUAGAGUCACAUUUUUUUCGUUUGGUGUUAAGAGUUGUUGUUCACUUCAUUUUGGCAUUCAGAGCCACAUCUUCAUUUUGGUGUUCAGAGUCGCAUUUUUAGUUUGGUGUUCAGAGUCGUUGUUCAUCUUCAUUUUGGCGUUUAGAGCCGCAUUCUCAUCUUGGGAUUCAGACCCACAUCUUCUUUCGGUUUGGCGUUCAGAGCCGCAUUUCCAUUUCGAUGUUUAGAGCUACCAUCAUUCUCAGUUUCGGCAUUCAGAGCCACUGUCUCUUCUCAAUUCGCCGUUCAGAGCCAGAUCUCCAGUUUCAGCGUUUAGAGCCACUAUCCCUUCUUAUUUUGGCAUUCAGAGCCACCAUUUCUGCCCAAUUUCAGCGUUUAGAGCCACCAUCCCUUCUUAUUUUGGCGUUCAAAGCCACCAUUUCUACCCAGUUUGGCGUUCAGAGUCACCAUCCCUUCUCAGUUUGGCUUUCAGAGCCACCGUCUCUUUUCAAUUUGGCGUUCAGAGUCACAUCUUCAUUUGGCACUCAGAGCCAUUACUUGUCUUCUAGUUUGGUGCUCAGAGCCACAUCAUUCAUUUCAGCAUUCAGAGUCACAUCUUUAGUUUGAUGUACAAAGUCGAUGUCUUCUAGUUUGGCGUUCGGAGCCACAUUCUCAGUUUGACACUCUAAGUCCUCAUGUCUAUCUUUCAUUCAAUCCAUCACCACUUCCCUCUAUUCUGGCAUUCAAAGCCAUUAGGCACACUCUUUCGGGCCUUUUUGAGUCAUUUCUUUUUUUUAAUUUUGGUGUGCAGAGCCGUUUUUUAUACCCAUUCAUGCAUCUUGAGUAAUUUCUUUUCUUAGUUUUGGCAUUUAGAGCCAUUGUUUUGUUUAGCAUUCGACGCCACCAUCUUUCUUCAGUUUGGUGUUCAGAGCCAUUGUACAUAUCCGUUCAGGCACCUUGAGUCACCAUCUUUCUGUGUUUUUGAUGUUUAGAUUUCCCCUCAACUGUCCAUGGCAUUCAUAUUCACUGGCAUUACACAUCUUGCCUUCAUAGGUUUGCAUUUAUCCUUAUUUUUCUCACCUUGUUACCCUGUGCUUAUCGUUCAUUCGUCAUUGCUUUUCUAGAUUUCCCUUUUCACUGCCCAUGACAAAGUCCUUUGAGUUCACGACACAUACUUCAGUCAUGUUGUUGGGCACCCUGCACUUAGCAUUCUCAUGUGGUUCACAUAUGAUAGUCUCAUUUAGGCACAUUCGUUCUUACACUCCAAAGUGGUUCGACCAUUACUCAUCUGUGAUAUGGUUUUCCAAGUCACUUUUGGAGACGUCUUAGAGGGAGUCUAGAUCCUUAGUGUGGCUUCAGAGGCACUUUGAGAUAUCAUUUUCUUUUAGGAUUAGAGCAUUUGUGUUCAUUCCUUGGUUUGGGCGAGUUCGUGUUCUACUUGUGCACCUUUAGGGGUCUUUCUUUUUCUUUGGUAGAGUUUACUCCAUUCCACUCACUAUUCACACUUUCUUUUCACUCUAGUGUUCAUAUUUCUUACGCUCGUGAACUCUACCGAAGAGGGGCAUAUUUGUAGAACCCUUUUGCGGACGACCCGGGAAUUGAAAUAUUUUCAUUUUUGGAAGUGAGGGGACCUCUUUCUAGAGGGGGCGAGCCACAUGGGACAUGUGGCAAAGACGACAUGGUGGUAGCAGGGAGCAGGUGAAGACUUGUGGGAAAAGAAAAACAGAGGGAAGUGUCUUCAUGUUUUUAGGGGGGUGAGCUAGCGGUUGUGGAGGUGGGGGUGUCUGGAAACAGAGAGAAGAAAGAAGAAAGGAUAUGAGGUUUUUCUGGCAUUUAAGAGGAUUCCGAAAAUUUUUUGGGGCUUGGCUGGAGGAGUAAUCUUGCCUGGAGGAAAAUUUGAGGAGCUUGAGAAGAAACUAGUGAGGGUGGAUAGCUUAGGGAUAGAGGAUUUCCUGGAUGGAACAUAAAAUAAAGCUCAGAGUCAGGCGAGCUUUCCUUUGAAAAGUGGCCCUUGAGGUGAGAUCAGUUUUUACUGAAUUUGACGACUUUUACAGUGUAAUUCAUCCCGAUAUUUUAUUUCGAUUCUCUGCAUCGAUUGCCUUGCCGUGGAAUUUUACAUUCGUAGCCCCUUUUGUGCACUCAAUUUCCUAUAUUUUAUUCCCUCUGAUGCUUUCUUUAUAUGUUUCUUCAACUGUAUGCGUUUUUGCCUGAAGAUUUGAUUGUGCUAGUGAAAUUUGUUGCUCAUCUGUGUCUCUAAAGUGUUGGGUACCUUAAUUGAGGCAUUUUUACAGUGAAAACCUCAAAAGGGAGAUUUUGGGGAAUAAGCGUUUGUGUAUUUUUUUUUUUUUUCUUCCUAUGGAGAAGAAAGAGUGAAGAAUUUGUGAAAUGGCAAACCGUUAUUGGUCUGUUUCUAUUGAGCGGCAUUUCGGCUAUGUGGUUCUCAUCCCAUUUAUGCAGCAUUGAGUUUGAAUGCCCAGAAAGAUCUCUUUGAUCAGUGUGGGGAAAAUAGGAAAAGGGUUAGAUGGCCCUUAAUUGGUCAUUACUCCUCUUUCUACUCUCUCAAACUGGGCAAAUGAAAUAGCAAGGUUUGUGCCCUCAAUAAUUGCAAUCAUCUAAGAUGGCAAUAGGAAAGAAAGAGAUCAAAUACGAAUGACGUAUAUGCCAGGAAAAAUCAGCCCCAAAUUUCCUAUAAUUCUGACUUCUUAUGAGGUUGCAUUAAAUGAUGCUAGAAAGUAUCUAAGGAAAUAUCUUGUAGUUGAUGGUGGGGCCACAGAUGUAAAUUCAUGAUGUGCACCUUGCAACACUUUGUUUUAUUUUUCUUUGGGCUACCAGGAUGUUCAAACAUCAUUUGAAAACCUUAAGUGUGGUCACUUUGGCACAUGGCCCCGGUAAGUUUUUGACUUUUUAUUUAUUUUCUUAUGAUUUUAACAGUUUUCCUUACUCCAAUUUUCCAAAAUUCCUUUCAUGAUUCCACUUCUCAAAUAAUUUUUAAAGCUUUCAUUUUAGAAUAGUCUUCUAGAAUUCCCAUUUUCAUAUUUAUUUAUUUAAUCAUUAUUCUUUUUUUAUUAUUAUUAUUUUAUUUAUUCACUUUUAAAAUUCUAUCUUUAAGUAAUUCUUAAAAUUCUGAUUUCCGAAUUUAAUUUCCAAUCAUUAAAGUUCAAUUCUUCAAAAGUCUAACUUCCAAAUUUAAUUUUCAAUCUCAAAAAUUCCACUAUUCAUGUUCAUUCGUUUAAAUAUUAUUUUCGUUAUUAUUAUUAUUAUUAUUCCAUAUUUAUUUAUUUAGUUAUUUAAAAAAAAUUCAAUCAUUAAAAUUCAAUUCUUCAAAAAUCUGAUUUCCAAAUUUAACUUUCAAUCUCAAAAAUUCCACUAUUCACGUUUAUUUGUUUAAAUAUUAUUUUUGUUAUUAUUAUUAUUAUUAUUCCAUAUUUAUUUUAAAAAUUCCAACCAUUAAAGUUCAAUUCUUUAAAAAUCUAACUUCCAAAUUUAAUUUUUAAUCUAAAAAAUUCCACUAUUCACGUUCAUUCGUUUAAAUAUUAUUUUUGUUAUUAUUAUCAUUAUUUCAUUUAUUUAUUUGUUUAUUUCCUUUAAAAAUUCUAAUCAUUAAAGUUCAAUUUUUCAAAAUUCCGUUUUCCAAAUUUCAUUUUCAAUCUUAAAAAUUUUACUAUUCAUGUUCAUUCGUUUAAGUAUUAUUUUCGAUAUUAUUAUUAUUAUUCUAUUAAUUUACUUAUUUAUUUCUUUUUUAAAAAAAAUAUCCGUCUUUAAACAAUUCUUCAAAAAUCUUACUUACAAAUCUAAUUUCCAAUCUCAAAAAUUCCACUAUUCACAUUCAUUUGUUUAAUGAUUAUUUUCGUUAUUAUUAUUAUUCCAUUCAUUUACUUAUUCACUUAUUCAUAUAUUUAAAAUCUCAUCUCUAAAUAAUCAUUCGAAUUUCCAAUCUCUAAAUUCAAUUUUCAGUUUCUAAAAUUCUAACUUUCGCAAUUAUUUAUCCAAUCGUUAUUAUUUUCGUUAUUCUAUUCAUUUAUUUAUUCAUUUGUUCGUUUAUUUAAAAUUUCAUCUCUAAAUAAUUCUUUAAAUUUCCAAUCCCUAAGUUCAAUUUCCAAAUUUCAAAAUUCUAACUUUCACAAUUAUUUAUCCAAUCAUUAUUAUUUCGUCAUUAUUAUUAUUCCAUUCAUUGAUUUAUUCACUUAUUCAUCUAUUUAAAAUUUCGUCUUUAAAUAAGUUUUCAAAAUUCUGAUUUCCAAAUUUAGUACUCUAAAAUUCCAAUGUUCCCAUCACUGAACUUAAUUUUCAAUUUCCAAUAUUUCAAUUCUUGCAUUUAUUCAGCUACUCAUUUAUUAUUAUCAUUAUCAUUUUAUUCAUUCAUUUCUAAAAAUUCCGCCUUCGAAUGAUUUCCAAGAUUUCCAAUUUUUAUAAUUCAAUUUUUGUAGUUUCUACUUCUCAAAUAAUUUUCAAUUCUGAUUUCUUUUAAAAUUUAAUUUUUUUAAAAUCCCAAACUCUCAAAUAAUUUUCAAAAUUCCAAUUUCUUUCAAAUUUAAUUUCUAAAAUUCUCAUUCUUACAUUUAAUUUCUAAAAAUCCAAUUUUCAAAUAAUCUCUAAAACUUCAAUUUUCAAAUAAUCUCUAAGACUCCAAUUUUCAAAUAAAUUUCAAAAAUCCAAUUUUCCCUCGAACAGUUUUAAUUUCUGUUUAGUGAUGCAUCUGAUAUGUUUUGUGCUCUUUAUCGUACACUGACCCCAUUUUUAUGAUAGUGCAUUGCUCGUUCGUAGCCCAGGUACGCAUCCAUUCCCAUUCUGGUCAUUCUCUAUGCAUGUUUUGAUUUCCAUAUGUGCAUGAUCGAUUUGAGUAUUCAUUGAUUUUCCUAUUGAUUGUCAUGUUAGCUUCAUUUUAGUAGUAGAGGCCCGACUUUAGGAACUUAAAGGGGUGCUACAGUCUUUACCGUACCUUCUCGAUAAGUAACCUGACCCUCGAGUCCAAUCCGGUUUUUCACAGAUCACCUUUUCCAAAAUAAGGAGUCAUACUUAGGGUUUUCUUUCUUAUUUUGUUUACCCUUUUAAAAAUAAAACAAAAAUAAGUGGCGACUCCAAGUCAUUUUUUUUAAUAAAUAAAAUCAUUUUCAAAUAAAAAUCGAACUCGUCAUCAAGUGGAAAACACAUUAGCCGAAAUGCGAGGUCCAUAGUUUCCCAUCAUGUUUCUAUUUUGUUGGAAUUUGAAUAAGUACAUAAUAAUUUUGUUUUAUUUUAUGGAUGAUAACUUCAUUUAACAUGUUAGUAUUCAUCAUCUUUCAUUUUGCCAUCCAUUUUUAGAGACUUUAAAUGCUUUCUUUAGAUACCCAUUUUUCAAUUUCAGUGAAUAAAUUGGGUAUAAGAGAUUUGCUAACUUCACUCAACAACUUCUAUUUAAGAUUUAGAAACUUGUGAACCUCAUGUUUUCCCCUUUGAAAACAUUGAAAUUUUGAUAUGGAAAGUUAAAAUAUCACAUAAACAAUCAAUUUUAAUUAUUUAAAUUCACUUCUCAAAAUUAAAAUUAAAAAUCCCUCUUGUAUGAUCUAAAUUAUCUUAGAUUUCAACUUUUUAAUUCACUUAAAGUAUUGAAUAAGUUAAAAAAAAUAAAAUAUUAUUAAUUAUGAUUAUAUAUAUAUAUAUAUAUAUAUAUAUAUUUGUUUUUGUUUAACUAUUAAUAAUUAUAAAAAUAGAGAGAUAACUAAAAUGACAUGACAUAAGUGAUAUAAAAAUAGAUAACAACUACAAUGAUACAAGUGAGAUUAAAAUUGGGAAUUCACUCAAGUUGGAGAAUUAUUUAUUCUAAUAAAAAUACUAAGAAAAUACGUUAAUUAUUGUAGCAAAUUCUUUUUUUCUUCCACUCUAUUUGGGCAUCUAUUAUAUUGAAAAAAGAAAUAAAAGAAACCUCAUACAUAUUUAAAAUAAUUUAUUUGAGAAGAUUCUAUCAUUAAAAAUUCCACAAAAGUUCCAAAAAAAAAAAAAAGAUGCCAGAAAUAGUAUGUAUAGAGAAAAGAGUACAAAAGACAAAUAUAUAUAUAUAUAUAUAUAUAUAUAUAUAUAUAUAUAUUAAUUUAAAUUUAAAGAGAAAAGGUAAGAGUAAUAAGUCAGCAUUGAAAAAAAGAAAGUUUACUUUAAUAAAAUUAUAAUCUCAUAAAUUAAAAACUUCAAAAGUAUCCAAUCAAAUCCUUUAAAAUUCUUUCCUUCUAAAAAUUCCCUCUAUUCCAAAUCCAUUAUUUCCUUUUUCAUUUAAAUCCCUUCAUUCCAGAGUGUAAAAAGAAAUAAUAACAAUCUUCCUAAUAAGUUAUUAAUAUAUAAAAUAAAAAAUAAAAAAUAACACUUUUUUAAUAAUUUAGGAUAUAUUAAUUUUUUUUCUUCAAGAAAGAUGUAAUUUUUUCUUUUAUCUAAAUAUAUUACAUUUAGAAAUAAUUGCUCUUCUAAUAUCGAAAAUUAAGAAAUAUUAGAAGAUCGAGUAAUUUUUUAAUAAAUUAUAAAAAGAUCCAAUAAAAAAAAAAAUUAUUCCUUUAUUCAGGCAUAUUAAAAAAAGACAAUAUUCUAAAAAUAGGUAAUAGAAAAAAUAUCACAAUUAAAAGGUUUAUUUCUUUUAGUUAUAUUAAAAAAAGAAACAAGGUUAUUUCAAAGAUAGAAAAAAAAAAAUACAUUAGAAAUAUUAUCAGUUUUUUAGUUUUAUUUUCAUAUUCAUCUUGGGGUUUUGUGAAUAAUUAUUAAACUGUUAAUUAUUUAUUUGGUGGUAUUAUAAUCUGAGAUGGUGAGAUUAGGGGAGUAAAGCACAGGUCACUUCUGAUGAAAUAUAUCUUUUCUCUUCCAACUAAGGCCCAAAUAAAUAAUGGGCUUGGGGCAAAGCCCUAAUACUCAACUGAAUGGACUGGGCUUGGUUAUCUAAGAAUUUGUUGCUAGUGCCAUCAUCUUUAUUUGUGGGUAUCUAAGAAUUUCAUUUAACCAUGAAGAUAUUUCUUUACAACAAGGGAUUGGAAGAGUUUUUUAAAAGCAAGCCUCUGGUAGUUUUUUCUAAAAUUAUAUACCUUCCAACUAGUUUUGUAUUGUGCUAUUUUUAAUUCCACUUUCAAUAUAAUGCUUCUUAUCAAUUUUUUUUUUCAAAAAAAAAAAAAAAAUUAUGGUAGGAAUCGUUUAACAUUGAAUACAUAUUCAACAAAACUUCAAUUAGGUGAAUAUGAAAAAUUAUAAAUUGAAUGGGGCCUAGAUAUUGUCGAACCCUUGUGAAAAUACAAUAGGAAGGUAAUACUAUUGUAAUCCUCUCCUUUUUAUAGGUCGGAUCAUACUCAUACAAACAUAAAUUAAAUUUGGAUUGGACUUUCCAAAAUAUAAUUUUUCAUCAUUANNNNNNNNNNNNNNNNNNNNNNNNNNNNNNNNNNNNNNNNNNNNNNNNNNNNNNNNNNNNNNNNNNNNNNNNNNNNNNNNNNNNNNNNNNNNNNNNNNNNUAAUCAUUAAUAAAGUGGAAAGAAAUUUUAUUUUUUUAAAAUAUCAAGAUGAGAAAGAGAAAAUUAAAGUCAUGGAAUUACUUUUAGAGCUAAUCCAAUUGAUGGAAAUUUGAGAAAACCUCCUAACAGGCAAAGUAAUCAACCCUAAACAUAAAAAUAAAGCAUUAAGGGCAUGAGGACUUAAACUUCACUCAGGCUACUAUCUAGAUUUUUGUCCCUUGUGAUGUGAUCACCAAGACAAAUUGCUUCCAAGUCUUCUACUCUAAGUCAUCCACUGGCCCACAUCUUUUAUGGAUAAGGCUAGACUUUUACACUUACAAGUCAUGUGCAUACACUUCUAUAUAUAUAUAUAUAUAUAUAUUUCACUUUUCCUUCAAAUAAUCUUUAACAAAACUUUUAUCAUAUUUAUUUUUUCAAGUAUUCUAUCAUGCCCAUUUAUAGUAUACAGUUGAGACAAUGAUUGAAUCACUAUUUUUAAUUAUUUCCUACGAAAUGUUACCUGAAACCCAUCUAAAGUAUUGAAAUUUGUUGGGUGUGGAUCAAUAGUGGGUUGACAUGUGUUUGAUUUUUUAAAUUUUGUAUUUAUUUUUACUAUCUUUAUUGGAUUAGAUAGCUCUUAAGGAUUUUGAAACAUAAGAUGUUGAUUGAAUGAUAAGAAAGUAAUUUUUUUCUUCCACGACUCUGUAUCCCAUAUUUAAUAAAUAUUUGUGUGGUCUAGAUCUAACAAAAUAAUUGAAGUUCCGUGUUAUAAAAGGAAUAAAUAAAUAAAAAGACAAGGACUUGUUGAUAUUCUCGAGGUCUUGAUGUUUGAUUGAUGCAGACUGGAAAGAGAGAAAUAGAAGAACCUUCAAGAUUGUCGAUAAAUUAAAGCUCUUGGUGAAAAAUAUAAUUCUUUACUCGUUGCCACCAUCAAAUAUGCUUAUGAUGUGAUUGGUUUUUAUUUUGUAAAAAAUUACGAUACAUGGCAUUGAAUAAUACUAUGCACAAAAUAUUUUUCUAGCACAAAUACGUAUUUUUGUAUGCAUAAGAUACUAUUUAAGUAUAAUAUAAUUAUUAUUAUUAUUUAAAUAAUUUGCCUAAAUAUAAUAUAUCAUUUGUAGAUAAAGAAUUGAAAUAUCAAGAAAAAGUGAUCCUAAUUUAGGGUUAUAUAAAUUACUCUUUCAUUAAAUGUCUUGAUAAAGAUUGAAUAUUGUUAGGAUUAGGACACCCAACAAAUAUUGGUUCAUACAAGCCCCAAAUCAAUGCCAUUAGUUGGCCUUUGAAAGAUCCAAACAACACUUAUAAUUUUUUAAUUAUAUUUUUAUUUAUCUAUAGGUCAAAUACUUGCUACACAAGUGAUUUCAAAUAUAAUAUUAGUAUGGAAUGGUUUAUAUUAGAAAGUUUACAAUAAAUUUAUUUAAGAAAAUAUAUCUAAAGAAAAAUUAUAAAUAUACAUGAUAAAUGUUAAGAUUCCUACAUCGAUACAAGUACAAAACAAACAAUUCAACAACAAAACUUUCUCCCUUUGAAAGUGAAGAUUAUUUUUACUUGGAAACAACAUUUAUAUACAAUGAAGUUUUUCAACCUUAAGUUUUUGUCUCUCAAUCUAAUCCACUAGACACGUUUGUGCUUUAAAAGUUAGAACUACUUUAUAGGGAAGACCAAGACUUCUAGCUAUUGAUAUAGAGUUUUCUUUAAAAGAUAAUACUAAGACUACAUAAUUCUUACUUGUAGAUUUGUACACAAAUCAAUCACAUGAAAAGGUAGAAUCCACAUUGUUAACCAAACUUUCAUAAACUUUAUAUGAAAAUAAUUAUUUUGAAAAUAAUUUUGGAUACAUAAAACAAAAUAAUUUAUAAGUGCUAAAAUAAUAAUUAUAUUCUUGCAUUAAUCCAUGAAGUGAGAUUGAGUCACCUUGUAAAUUGUAUUGUAAAGGUCUUCAACUCACUACUGUCAUAUAGUGGAUGGGUCAUUUGUGUGGUGUAUGUUGUUAAAAAUAAACAAUAAGAAAAAAAAAGAUAUAAGAAUGAGAGUGUGGCUUGAGACCUCAAUUUAUAAUAAGUUGUACAUCUCUUAGUCUUCCCAUUAAAGACUAUGUGGGAGUUAUACUCAUUAUUUACACUUAUUAUGUAUAAAUUAAUGGGUAAUGGUGGGUUAUGAACUUGAAUACAUCUAUAUAAUUGCAUAGGUUAUACAUUUUCAUUUUCCUCCAUUACUCAUAAACAUAAUGUACAAAUAAAUUUCAUAAUGAUGGGGUUACAAAAGUUGUAACACCACAUUCAUAUGAGUUAAAUUUUAUAACUUUCCAUUUGUAAUUUGAGUCUUCCAUACAUAAGACUUUUGGAUGCCCAAUCAAUUGAUUCACCUACCUAUCAAUUGAUACCCUUAAAUAAUAUUCAUAUAAAUAUAAUUAUAUAUGACCACACAUUAUAGGAAAAAAGCUAACACACACAACUUUGUGGAUGGAAAUCAAGAUUUUCGGCUCCUUUCUUUUUCUUUCUUUUUAGUGUCUAAGGUUUAAGUUUGUGUUUUAGAUACAUAACUUAAAACACAAAAUAAAUGACCAACCAAACUAUGAUUAUCUAGAUAGUAUUUUAAAAAAUAUAUAAAUUUAUAAUUUAAUCAAUUUGAUCUCAAUUAUGUAUAGGCACUUUGAAUCACAUUCAUCUUUGUCAUCCAGAUAAAAAAAAAAAAAAAAUUCAAAUCCAUAAUUAUGCAUCCUAAUCUCUUUUUAAACAUGAGGGAUUUAUAACCCCCACUACUUGAUGGACCCUUUCCUAAAGGUGAUUCAAUGCCACUUUGUUUGAUCUUCACAAUCUUUAUCACAUUCUUUGAUCUUUUGCAUUCUUUGAAUAAUUCAAUAUUAUUGAGGGGUCAUUCUCAUUAAAUGAGAAUAUUGAAAAAUCUAACCCUUUUGGAAGGGUAUGAAGAAGGUUUCAUAUCAGGGGACCCAUGUCUUACUUUUCCACCCAAAGCAUCGUAAUGCAUUCUAACUUUUUUUUGGCAGGAAAAGUAUUUGUAAUGUCAAUCUCUAACCGUGGCCAUAAAAGGGUGAGAUUUAGAGCCACACAAGUCAUAUCAUAUUCUGCAGAUUGUAGCCUCACAAGUCAAGUCCACAGGAUAUAUAUCAUCUAUAUAUUCUGCAGAUUCUGUCAUAUUUUUUUCUUUCGUGGACAGCCCAGUCACCAAUGAGUAUCACACUUUCAUAUCAUAUUUCUUUUUAAGAAUCCAAACAUUUUAAAACGGGUUAUGGGUGAUCCAGCAAAAAUUUACUAUGGUGGCAUUUUUUUUUUUUUUUUUUAAUUUGAAGUUUGAAAUCUAAAUAGAAAAUGAUGGAAAACUGUUAUUUAGACUUGAAAUUUCAUUAAAAAAAAUUAUUUGAACAAAAUAUCUAAAAAAAAAUUAACUUAAAAAGGAAAUGGUUUUGUCAUUAACUUUAAUAAUAUUUAAUUUUAUAUAACUAAUGGUAAUUGGAUCAUGGAUCCCACCAAUCAAAUAAUUUUUUGGAUUCAUUCAUUGUGCUAUUUGAUUAUAAAAAUCAAAUAUUUAAUUUUUUUUAUAUAUAUACUUUUUAUUGUAAUUUUGUAUUACUUUUACAAGGUUGAGUUUUUUUUUUUAGAAACUUUUCAAAAAAUACAAGAGAAAAAAAUAAAAAGAAAAAUAAAAUAUAAAAAAAGUAUAUAAAAGUAAAAAAAAAAAAGAUUUAAAACUAAUAAAUUAUUUUUAAUUGAUUUCUCAAACUCAUUUUAUGUAUUUUCUUUAUUUAUAUAAAAUUAAAUAAUUUAAAAAUAUACAAUUAUUUUAAUUAUUUUGAUUUGAUUUUUCUAUUAUAAAUCAAAUACAUAAAAUAAUUUUUCUUAGUUUCUAUAUAUCUUCCAUGUGUUUGUUCUUUUUUAGAAAUAUCCCAUAAAAUAUGGACCUUUUCUAAUCAACCAAACACCCAGGAGGAACAAAAAGGAAAAGAAUGAGAGAGAGAGAACUUAGAGAAAAAUAAAAUGAAAAAACCGCUAAAGAUAGUAUACAUUUUAUAUAAAGUUGGAAUAUAAAUCAAUGGAGCCACACCCCUUCAACAACCCUAAUCAUGUUGUAUCCAUAAUAAUAAUUCACAUUUUUUUAUUUUUUUUUCAUAUCAGUACACAUUUGACCUGAUCAUGAGCAAUAAUAAAUGUCCACAUUUUAAUAGAUUUGAAAUCUUCACCCAUUAAUUUAAGUUCUUCAUCUAAUGAAUAAUAAAUGUCCAUAUUUUUCUACGAGGCCACAUAGGACUUUGAAUAGUUUAAAGUGAACAUGUUACCUCAUUAAUUUGGAGACUUUACAUACUCUAUAAUACUAUAAAAUGUUGGAUAGAUCACUAACCUCAUUUAAAUAAUAAAAUCUUCUAAUUCUUUUUUUUUUUUUUGUUCUGAUUUUUACAUGAUUGUGCUUUAUUUUAUAAAUUAAUUAAUAAUUAUAUUUAUUUAUCUUGGCUUCCCGUACAUAUUUUACGAAAAUAUUAUCCAUGUAUGUAAUACACAAGAUGAAUGCACCCUUACAACUAAAUUCAUCUUUUAAAUUUGAAAAAAAAAAAACUAAAAAUUAAUAUUUUUUUAAUUAACAUUUAAGUAAUAAAAAUAACAUAACCAAUUUAAUUUUUGGUUUUUCAUUUUUAAAAUAUUACUCUUAUAUUUCAUAACUUUUCAUCCUUAAUGUGCUACAAAUCUUUUUACCACUAUAAGGGUUAUGACAUGAAAAUUAUGUGUAUGGAAUAAAUAAGAAAAAGAAAAUUAAAUUGUCUUAUUAUUUUGCAAUGUAGUUUCGAUUCCCAAACUUUCCUCAAAUCUCUUUGGUUAUAUUUGAUUAUUGGAAAAUGACAAUAAAAAAUAUAAAAAAAAAUAUUAUUCUCUAAUGUUUGGUUUUCAUAUUGAAGAUAUCGGAUAUAAUUAAAAUUAGUUAAAAUUUUUGGUAUUUUUAAAUUAUUUAUUUUUUAUGUUGAAAAGUUAAAAUAAAUAAAAUGAGUUUAAAGAACCUACAAAAUAAUUUAUUAAAUUAAAAACUAUCUUUAAUUUUUAUUCAUUUUUUUCUUCACAUUUUCUAUUAAACUUACGGAGAACCAAACACAUCCUUAGUAUUUUCCUUCUUUUUUUGUUAAUGUUGUUUUCCCUUGUCUUUUUCCAUAGUAUUUAAAAAUAAUAAAUUUGUUCCCCUUUCUUUUACAUGUAAAAAUAUUUACAUAAUCACAUAGAUUAAUCAUACAUGAUUAAAGGAUACUAACAAUAGGAAAUCACUAUAAAGAACAUACCUGUUUGAGCCAUGAUAAAAAAAACGUGAUUGAUUGUUGUAACCAAGUCUUCCUCUCUAUGAUCUUGAUAAUAGCUAUGGUGGCUCUAUGGGAAAACAAAUAAACCCUUUUUAUCUAGAUUAGAGAGGGGACUUAGCAUAACUCAAAUUGGAUUCUCAUUGGGCCCUCCCAUAAUGGGCUUCAAUGAGACCCAUAGCCUACACUUGCCACUCAACUGAGCUUCUACUCAAAAGAUGCAAAACCCAAUCCAAAAUGUGAUCACUAGUUAAUUGGGCACAUUAUAGAAUAUACUAUCCAUUAACCCGUUUUUGCAAAUACAAAUUAUUCAAUUAAUGUUAGCCCAUAUAAAAAAUUUCCAACAUUCUCCCACUUGGGCUACAUUAAUUGUUUUUGAGGAUUCAUUAAAUUCAUUUUGAAAAUAAGACUCUCGGGUUAAGUACAAAAAAGUUUAUUUUGUGUGGCCACACCUUUUUUUUUUUUGAAAGAAAUGAUAGUCUAUAAGUAGCAUCUUGUUAAACUUUUCUGGUCCAACAUAGUCUUAAUAUUAGACUAUAAUGGUCUAUAUGUUAAUCUCAACAAACAUAAUGCCCCUUAUAGUCACGAAUAUUUAUAACCAUAUCGACAUGGAUCGUAAACUCAGUAGUGUAGUAAGAAAUCAAUGCCAACAUGUGAUCAUCAUCUAUAUGCAUUGUUUCUUAUCAGUCCUCAUUACAAUUUACCAACAAAAUGAAAUUGUAAUUACAAUUUCUCAACAAAAUGAAAUUGUUGCAAUUUCUAAACAAUAUGAAAUUGCUUGACUUUAACAAGUCAUAUGUCACCAACAAUGCACCACAAAAUCUCAAAAUAGUGGUAUUUGUGACAUCCAAUAGUAUACAACUGUAAUUCUUAAGGUUCAAUAUCUCAAGAUACCAUGUUGUACGUAAUUCAAUUACGACAUGCUAUAAUAUAAUACUUAAUUAUGAUGAUCAUAAUAAAAAGAUUUUAAUUUUGCAAGUUGCAGAACAAUAAUGAUCAAUGUUUGCAUAAAACAAUAAUUGAAAUAAGGGAAAUCACAAAAGCUCCCACUAAACCAAAGAAUCAAAAGACUUAAUGACACCCAUAUUCACAACAUGUUCCUUGAACGUUAUGGGCUUUAAACCUUUGAUUAGAGGAUCAGCUAGCAUGGACUCAGUUCUUAUGUGCUCAAUCACAAUAUCUCCUUUCUUCACUAAGUCCUUGACUGUAAGGUACUUGAUUUCCAUAUGCUUAGAACCCGUACUAAUCUUAUUGUUCUUAGAGUAGAACACAACUGCAUUAUUGUCACAAUAAAUCACAAUAUCCAUCAUUCCUAAAACAAACUCUAUGUCUAAUCUCCAUCUCUUAUAGUUCGACCCACUUAGAAUUUCAAUUGUAGCAUUAUUGUUGUUCACAGCAAAGGAAACUGAUUGACAAAAUUUUGCAACUAGAUCAAUUAUGGGCAAUAGGUAAAAAAAACUUAAAUAAUCAUAAGCAAUACAAUACAAGAAUCAAUUGUACUAUCAUAAACUCCCCUUUGGGCAGAGUCCACAAUAAACAACUAUUCUCUAAGCAUGAAGAUCAACAAAUAAUUCAUUAAAAUUUAUUUCCUUUGGGCAAAUAAAUUUAUCAAAUUAUUUAUCUCAUUAAAUAUCCUCAUGUUGUUAAAUUAAUUUGCACAAUAACCCCCUUUGGGCAGGCGAUUGUACAAAUUAAUCUAAAAUUUUCCCCAUCAACAAAAUAGGAACUCAUAAACUUGCAAAUUUUGAUGGUUAAAUCACUUUGGUAAAAUAACCUCAACAAUUCACAGGCAACGUUCCAAAAUUGGGUAAAUUAAAAAAAAUUGCCCAACAACAAUAGUGCAUAUUUGCGAUAUAUAUGCAUAUGAUCAAUUAUAGUUGCAAGAAUUUGAACAACAAUUUUUAUUUAUUUAUUACACUUUAAAUUAAUUAUUAACUAGUUUAUGUGAUUUAGAACAAGUAGGAGAGUAUGCAUGAAAAAGUUUCAAUCUAGAGAGAGUGAGUACUACACUCCUAUUCCAUAUAUAUUAGCAUAAUUUCUGGUAAAUUCUCAACAGAAAAUUAUACCAAAAAAUAAUUUUAAGCUAAUUAAAUCACAUAAAUAAGUAAUAAUUAUUUAAUAAAUAUUUUUGACCCCCCAAAAAUAAAAUAAUAUAUCUAGAAAAAUAUAUUACAAAAAAACGAGCGCACAGGAAAAAACGGAGCUCAAAAUGGACACUGGAUGAGGUUAUACGCACCUCACACACUUGACCUGCGAGUGGGGAACGUGUGGCACAUGUGGCAUGUGUGGCAUGUGCUGGAGGUCAUCUUCAACCUCCAGCAUUGGGUCCAAAAUUCUGCAAUACGGGUCAAAUGAGCCGGUUGCAACCUGGAUUGCAAACAAUUGAAAAAAAUGUUUCUUUUGAUCGGGAUCUUGAGGGCUUUUAAACUUUAGGUUGUUUCUAACAAUUUUAGGACAUUUAAUCAUAAAAAAAAAACAACUUAAAGAUCUCCAUAAUUGAUUAACAAAAUUCGGUUUUUCUUACCUCCAUAGCUAAGAUUCAAAAACUCUAUUUUAACACCUAUUUCGGUCUCAUUUUACAUGUAUUUUUACAUUAACAAUAUAAGAAGUCUCUUUACAACAAUUAAUUAAACAAAAAAAAAAAAAAUUCUCAAUCUUGCUCAAUUUUUUUUUUUUUUUUAAAAAAAACGAAUUUUCUAGGGUUCAUACCCAUAUUUUCAAAUUUUCAAUUUUCACCAAAUUGAGCCAAAAAACCGAAAUUAAUGCUACAUAUCAACUAUAAUAUAUGUAAACAACAAAAUCUAAGAGUUUAAUUUGAGUAUAACACAAUAAUUUGAUCAAAUAAAAUUUUUCUUGAAUCUUUAAACAAGAAAAUUCCGAAAAUUUAAAAAUUUAGUUACUCCCAAUUUAAACAACGAAAUUGCACAUAUGAUAUAUCAAUUUGAAGUUUGUGACAAGAGGAACAAAAACCCUAAAGUUUCACAAUCAAAAGAAACUAAAAAAAAAACAUGCACAUUCAUGGAUCACAUAUUUGGCUUCGAAAAGAAAAUAAAAUAAGAAACUAAAAAUUUUAUUUUCGAUUUCCAAAUGUAGAUCCUAAAUCAUGUAAAUCAGACUCUGAUACCACAUGUAAAAUAUUUACAUAAUCACAUAGAUUAAUCAUACAUGAUUAAAGGAUACUAACAAUAGGAAAUCACUAUAAAGAACAUACCUGUUUGAGCAAUGAUAAAAAAAUGUGAUUGAUUGUUGUAGCCAAGUCUUCCUCUCUAUGAUCUUGAUAACAGCUAUGGUGGCUCUAUGGAAAAACAGAUAAACCCUUUUAUCUAGAUUAGAGAGGGGACUUAGCAUAACUCAAAUUGGAUUCUCAUUGGGUCCUCCCAUAAUGGGCUUCAAUGAGACCCAUAGCCUACACUUGCCACUCAACUGAGCUUCUACUCAAAAGAUGCAAAACCCAAUCCAAAAUGUGAUCACUAGUUAAUUGGGCUCAUUAUAGAAUAGACUAUCCAUUAACCCGUUUUUGCAAAUACAAAUUAUUCAAUUAAUGUUAGCCCAUAUAAAAAUUUUCCAACAUUACCAUGUAAAAUAUUUACAUAAUCACAUAGAUUAAUCAUACAUGAUUAAAGGAUACUAACAAUAGGAAAUCACUAUAAAGAAAAUACCUAUUUGAGUCAUGAUAAAAAAAACGUGAUUGAUUGUUGUAGCCAAGUCUUCCUCUCUAUGAUCUUGAUAAUAGCUAUGGUGGCUCAAUGGGAAAACAGAUAAACCCUUUUUAUCUAGAUUAGAGAGGGGACUUAGCAUAACUCAAAUUGGAUUCUCAUUGGGCCCUCCCAUAAUGGGCUUCAAUGAGACCCAUAGCCUACACUUGCCAUUCAACUGAGCUUCUACUCAAAAGAUGCAAAACCCAAUCUAAAAUGUGAUCACUAAUUAAUUGGGCUCAUUAUAGAAUAGACUAUCCAUUAACCCGUUUUUGCAAAUACAAAUUAUUCAAUUAAUGUUAGCCCAUAUAAAAAUUUUCCAACAUUCUCCCACUUGGGCUACAUUAAUUGUUUUUGAGGAUUCAUUAAAUUCAUUUUGAAAAUAAGACUCUCGGGUUAAAUAUAGAAAAGUUUAUUUUGUGUGGCCACACCUUUUUGUUUUUUUUGAAAGAAAUGAUAGUCUAUAAAUAGCAUCUUGUUAAACUUAUCCGGUCCAACAUGUUCUUAAUAUUGGACUAUAAUGGUCUAUAUGUUAAUCUCAACAAACAUAAUGCCCCUUAUAGUCACGAAUAUUUAUAACCAUAUCGACAUGGAUCGCAAACCCAGUAGUGUAGUAAGAAAUCAAUGCCAACAUGUGAUCAUCAUCUAUAUGCAUUGUUUCUUAUCAGUCCUCAUUACAAUUUACCAGCAAAAUGAAAUUGUAAUUGCAAUUUCUCAACAAAAUGAAAUUGCUGCAAUUUCUAAACAAUAUGAAAUUGCUUGACUUUAACAAGUCAUAUGUCACCAACAAUGCACCACAAAAUCUCAAAAUAGUGGUAUUUGUGACAUCCAAUAGUAUACAACUGUAAUUCUUAAGGUUCAAUAUCUCAAGAUACCAUAUUGUAUGUAAUUCAAUUACGACAUACUAUAAUAUAAUACAUAAUUAUGAUGAUCAUAAUAAAAAGAUUUUAAUUUUGCAAGUUGCAGAACAAUAAUGAUCAAUGUUUGCAUAAAACAAUAAUUGAAAUAAGGGAAAUCACAAAAGCUCCCACUAAACCAAAGAAUCAAAAGACUUAAUGACACCCAUAUUCACAACAUGUUCCUUGAACGUUAUGGGCUUUAAACCUUUGGUUAGAGGAUCAGCUAGCAUGGACUCAGUUCUUAUGUGCUCAAUCACAAUAUCUCCUUUCUUCACUAAGUCCUUGACUGUAAGGUACUUGAUUUCCAUAUGCUUAGAACCCGUACUAAUCUUAUUGUUCUUAGAGUAGAACACAACUGCAUUAUUGUCACAAUAAAUCACAAUAUCCAUCAUUCCUAAAACAAACUCUAUGUCUGAUCUCCAUCUCUUAUAGUUCGACCCACUUAGAAUUUCAAUUGUAGCAUUAUUGUUCACAACAAAGGAAACUGAUUGACAAAAUUUUUCAACUAGAUCAAUUAUGGGCAAUAGGUAAAAAAAACUUAAAUAAGCAUAAGCAAUACAAUACAAGAAUCAAUUGUACUAUCAUAAACUCCCCUUUGGGCAAAGUCCACAAUAAACAACUAUUCUUUAAGCAUGAAGAUCAACAAAUAAUUCAUUAAAAUUUAUUUCCUUUGGGCAAAUAAAUUUAUCAAAUUAUUUAUCUCAUUCAAUAUCCUCAUGUUGUUAAAUUAAUUUGCACAAUAACCCCCUUUGGGCAGGCGAUUGUACAAAUUAAUCUAAAAUUUUCCCCAUCAACAAAAUAGAAACUCAUAAACUUGCAAAUUUUGAUGGUUAAAUCACUUUGGUAAAAUAACCUCAACAAUUCACAUGCAACGUUCCAAAAUUGGGUAAAUUAAAAAAAAAAAUUGCCCAACAACAAUAGUGCAUAUUAGCGAUAUAUAUGCAUAUGAUCAAUUAUAGUUGCAAGAAUUUGAACAACAAUUAUUUAUUUAUUUAUUACACUUUAAAUUAAUUAUUUAACUAGUUUAUGUGAUUUAGACCAAGUAGGAGAGUAUGCAUGAAAAAGUUUCAAUCUAGAGAGAGUGAGUACUACACUCCUAUUCCAUAUAUAUUAACAUAAUUUCUGGUAAAUUCUCAAUAGAAAAUUAUACCAAAAAAAUAAUUUUAAGCUAAUCAAAUGACAUAAAUAAGUAAUAAUUAUUUAAUAAAUAUUUUAGACCCCCCAAAAAUAAAAUAAUAUAUCUAGAAAAAUAGAUUACAAAAAAACGAGCGCACAAGAAAAAACGGAGCUCAAAACGAACACCAGAUGAGGUUAUACGCACCUUACACACUUGACUCGCGAGUGGGGAACGUGUGACACAUGUGGCACGUGUGGCAUGUGUUGGAGGUCAUCUUCAACCUCCAGCAUUGGGUCCAAAAUUCUGAAAUACGGGUCAAAUGACCCGGUUGCAACUCGGAUUACAAACAAUUGAAAAAAAUGUUUUUUUUUUAUCGGGAUCUUGAGGGCUUUUAAACUUUAGGUUGUUUCUAACAAUUCUAGGACAUUUAAUCAUAAAAAAAAACAACUUAAAGAUCUCCAUAAUUGAUUAACAAAAUUUGGUUUUUCAUAUCUCCAUAGCCAAGAUUGAAAAACUCUAUUUUAACACCUAUUUCAGCCUCAUUUUACAUGUAUUUUUACAUUAACAAUAUAAGAAGUCUCUUUACAACAAUUAAUUAAAAAAAAAAAAAAUUCUCAAUCUUGCUCAAUUUUUUUUUUUAAAAAAUAAAAUAAAAUGAAUUUUCUAGGGUUCAUACCCAUAUUUUCAAAUUUUCAAUUUUCACCAAAUUGAGUCAAAAAACCGAAAUUGAUGCUACAUAUCAACUAUAAUAUAUGUAAACAACAAAAUCUAAGAGUUUAAUUUGAGUAAAACACAAUAAUUUGAUCAAAUAAAAUUUUUCUUGAAUCUUUAAACAAGAAAAUUCCGAAAAUUUAAAAAUUUAAUUACUCCCAAUUUAAACAACGAAAUUGCACAUAUGAUAUAUCAAUCUGAAGCUUGUGACAAGAGGAACAAAAACCCUAAAGUUUCACAAUCAAAAGAAACUAAAAAAAAUAGGCACAUUCAUGGAUCACAGAUUUGGCUUUGAAAAGAAAAUAAAACGAGAAACUAAAAAUUUUAUUUUUGAUUUCCAAAUGUAGAUCCUAAAUCAUGUAAAUCAGACUUUGAUACCACAUGUAAAAAUAUUUACAUAAUCACAUAGAUUACUCAUACAUGAUUAAAGAAUACUAACAAUAGGAAAUCACUAUAAAGAACAUACCUGUUUGAGCAAUGAUAAAAAAACGUGAUUGAUUGUUGUAGCCAAGUCUUCCUCUCUAUGAUCUUGAUAAUAGCUAUGGUGGCUCAAUGGGAAAACAGAUAAACCCUUUUUAUCUAGAUUAGAGAGGGGACUUAGCAUAACUCAAAUUGGAUUCUCAUUGGGCCCUCCCAUAAUGGGCUUCAAUGAGACUCAUAGCCUACACUGGCCACUCAACUGAGCUUCUACUCAAAAGAUGCAAAACCCAAUCUAAAAUGUGAUCACUAAUUAAUUGGGCUCAUUAUAGAAUAGACUAUCCAUUAACCCGUUUUUGCAAAUACAAAUUAUUCAAUUAAUGUUAGCCCAUAUAAAAAUUUAUGUUUGGUUUUUGGAAAAUUUGAGGGAAAAAAAAUAAAGAGAAAAAAUAAAAUAAAAGAAAAAAUAAAUAAAAAUAAAUAAAUUUAAAAUUAAUAAAUUAUUUUUAUAUGUUUCUUCAAAUUUAUUUCACUUAAUUUCUUUCAAAAUAAUUUUAAAAUGCAUAAGUUUUUAAUUAUAUAUAUAUAUAUUUUUUAAAUUUAUAGUGAAACCAAAGAGAAAACCUUUAUUUAUUUAUUUUCCCUAAGAACCAAACCUAACCUUUGCAUUUUUCCAAAUUUCGGAUCCAAAAGUAACUGAAUGUUACGAAAAAAAAAAAGGAGAAUUGUGUUUUGGGCCCAGAUGGGCCCAAAAAUUAAUAUUUGGUCCAUAUAACUUCCAUAAUUGAUGGAAAUGAUAUAAAAUGUUAAAAGACCAAUAUAUUUUUCAAAUUUCUAUAUAUUAUCUUUUAAGGAUAUAAAAUAGUGAUGGACUAAAAUACCCAAUGACUUUUCACAUAAGCUUUUUUUGUCUUUAUUGUGUCACUAUUCAUGCAACCAUAAUAAUUCUAUUUUAACAAUUUGGAUUUUUCAUUGUUUUUAAUUUUUUUUAUAAAUAAUUGAAAAUCAGCAUUAUUUUCUAUUUUAAAUUAUAAAUAAAGAAAAAUUAUGUUUAAAAACUAUUUUAAAAAAUACUUUCUAAAAAAAUGGUAAUACGAUUUAUAUUUUUUAUAUUUUCUUUUUGAAAAAACAUUUAAUUAAAAAAUGAAAACUAUUUUUAAAAAUAAAAAUUGAAAACCUUGUUUAACACUAUUUUUUAUAUGAAAAUAAUAAAAAGAAUUAAAUUUCAUUAAUUGAUUAUCCAAUUUUUUUUCCAUUAGUUAUUUUAAUAAUAAUAAAAAAUAUAGUAUGUUUACAAUUAAACAAAGAAAUUGAUCAAUUAUGGGUUUUUUGUGGAACUAUCUUUUACAUGAAAAAUAAUUAAAUAAUUAAAUUAUAUAUAUUUAUUACUCUUUUUAACUUUAUUUUCUUUAUUUAUUUUUUGUCUAAUAGAAAAUUUUAAUAUAUCCAUAAUUAACAAAGUAAUAAAUCAAUUUUGCACAUUUUAAUCUAUUAAAAUAAAUUACUUUCUAAUUUAAAUAAAUAAAAUGAAAUAAGUAAAUAAAUUUGAGGUUAUUUCUAUUUUUUAACAUAUCUUAUAUCAAUAUUUUUUAUGGUUAAAUAAAUUUUUUAUUUUUUAUUUCUUUAAUUCCAAAAAUAAAAUGAAAUAAAUAAAUAAAUUUGGUAUUUUCCAACUGAUCUUAUAUUCAUAUUUCUUAUGGUUAAAUAAAAUUUUUUAUUCUUUUUUCUUUAUUUCCAAAAAUAAAAGGAAAUAAAUAAAUAAACUUGGCUUAAAUAAUAGUUUUUAAGUAAUUUCUUUGUCUUAUUUUUAAUUACAUUUUGCAUUGAAAGUAAAAUAAAAUAACGUUUUAUUUGAGUCACUGUACAAGAUAUUUAUAUUAAGUGUACAUGACAAAUAUACUAACUGUACAAGGAUGUACAAGACUAUUAUUUGUGAAGGAUUUUAAGUGAUACUGAAAAAGUUGUUUGUUUAUUUCCCCUAACCGAGGAUAAAUGACAUUCUUUACACACAUUGGUUAAGCAUACAUUCAUCUCAUGCACUUUAUCUAACUUGUAUAUAGUCAUUUGAAUAGGUACCUCACUUAUGAUGAUUGUAAAAUAAAAUUAUACAACAAUUUUUCUUCUUUUUUAAAAUCAAACCAAUGCAACACAUGAUUAACCGAGCUAUUAUUAGAUAUUCAUGAGAUGAUGUAUGAAAUUUGAGUUAUUGUAUAAGGGUAUUACACUAACUGUACAAGAGAAAUUUACUAAUUGUAUAAGGGUGUACAAGACUACUUUUUGUUAAGGAUUUCAAGUGAUUUUGAAAAACUUUCCCAUUUUUUUCCACUCAAAGAUUUUUUCCCCACUCAAAUUCUCUCACUCAAGAAUUGUUUCGAAUUUUAUUUUUAAAUUUCAUCAUCAAAUUUUUGUAAUUGCAUAUUUUGUUUUUGUAGUUUUAGCAAUGUUUUUUCUUUCCACUAUUUUUUUAAAAAAUUUUUAUCCAAAUGAAUCUAUAUUUAAAAUUAUAAUCAUAUUUAUCAAUUUUUUUUUACUAAGAUUAUCUUUAAUUCUUCUAAUAUAUUUAUACUCAUUUAUUUAAAAAAUGAAAAACCAAUUUUUUUUUGUAAACAUAUUCUAUUACGGAAGUAAAAAAUUAGAUAAGUUUGAAAGUCAAUAAAAAAAAAAUUAAAUACCACUUUUAAUAAUUUUUAGAUAAAAUUUUAUAUAAUAUAUUUUAUUUGAAAUUUAAUUUCUAAAGUUUUACUAAAAAAUUGUAUUGACAAUUUUCUUGUUGUGAAUUAAAAUACUUUGCAUUAGUCUAUCUAAAUAAGAAAAAUUAUUAAUAUAAUAUUAGAACUUCAUAUCUUAAUUAUUUUUUUUCAAUAAAUUUAUCUUUUUAAAAAUUUUAAAAUAAAAAUAUUAAAAAUUAAAAAGGUAAAAGGAUAUAUCUAUAUAUAUAUAAUAAAUUGAAGUAAUAGUCAAGUUUAAAAUUUUUUAAAAUAUGGUUAAUGUAGAAAAUAUAAAAAAUAAUUAAAAAUAAGAGAAAAAUAUAAAUGAAAAGGUAAUAUAAAUUUAAAAUAAAAAAAUGAAAAAUUAAACUAAAAGAUAAAUAUAAAAAAAGAUAAAAAAUAUUUGGAUGAAAAAUCCCAAAAUUUUUAUCAUUGCUAAUAAGAGCAAAAAGAUUCAAUAUCUUUAAAAAUGAAAAACAAAAAAACAUUAUUACUUUUUAUUUGAUAUAAAAUAGAAAUAUAGAUUAGAAGAAAAAGAAAAAAAAAGUUAGAAAUGAGUAAUAUUUAAUAGGGAAUAGAAAAAGGAAAAAAAACACAAAAAAAUUAAAAUUCACACUCACUUGUGCUAUGUAAGGAUUAAGGGUAUUUUAGAGAUUAACUAAGGACAAUAUCCUUCAUCUUAAUUUUCAUAUUUUAUUUGAGUCUUAGGCUUAAAUAUGUAUGAUAUAUGUAUCAAAUGUUAAUUUUUGAGUUUAAUUGGAUAACACGAUUCUUCAAAAAAAAAUAAAAAUAAAAUGAAUGAAGUACAGGAGCAUAAAUGGUACAUCAAUUUUAUAUUGACUACCUUCUGAACCUUUAAUUGCAGCGUGUUGACUUGUCCACCGAAUCCAUAAUAUCAGCCAGUACCCAUGUGACUUGGCCCAUCCCAUCCCAUAUCUCUUACUUUGUUCCCUAUUCUCUCACAAUUCCCUCAGCUUCUCAUCUUGUACGUGCUGUAUUUUCUUGGCUUUCUGCAACUUUGAGUUGUUCCAAAAUGGCUUACCAAAUUCCAUUCGGUGUUGUGGAGCACAUUUUGACCAACUUGGGGUCCUCGGCGUUUCAAGAAAUUGGAUCCAUGUAUGGUGUUCCAAAGGAGAUAACCAAGCUCAAUGGGAAACUGGGCACCAUCAAGGCUGUGCUUUUGGAUGCUCAGGAGAAGCAGCAGCAGCAGAGCAAUCGUGCAGUCAAAGAUUGGGUCCGGAGGCUCAGGGGUGUUGUUUAUGACGCAGAUGACUUGCUGGAUGACUAUGCAACCCAUUAUCUUCAGCGAGGAGGAUUGGCAAGACAGGUCAGUGACUUCUUCUCAUCUGAAAAUCAAGUUGCUUUUCGUUUUAAGAUGAGUCAUAGACUCGAGGAUAUCAAAGAAAGGCUAGAUGAUGUUGCAAACGACAUCCCCAUGUUAAAUCUCAUUCCACGGGACAUAGUACUACACACAGGGGAAGAGAAUAGUUGGAGAGAAACCCACUCAUUCUCGUUGCCAUCUGAAAUUGUGGGAAGAGAAGAAAACAAAGAGGAGAUAAUAAGGAAGCUGUCAUCUAACAAUGAAGAAAUUCUUUCCGUUGUUGCCAUUGUUGGCUUUGGGGGAUUGGGUAAGACCACCCUCACUCAAUUGGUAUACAAUGAUGAAAGAGUAAAACAUUUCGAGCAUAAGACAUGGGUUUGCAUUUCUGAUGAUUCUGGUGAUGGUCUUGACGUCAAACUGUGGGUCAAAAAGAUUUUAAAAUCUAUGGGAGUUCAGGGUGUGGAGAGUAUGACCUUGGAUGGUUUGAAAGACAAGCUUCACGAAAAAAUAAGUCAAAAGAAGUACUUGUUAGUACUUGAUGAUGUUUGGAACGAAAAUCCUAGAAAAUGGUAUGAAGUGAAAAAAUUGUUGAUGGUUGGUGCUAAAGGUAGUAAAAUUAUAGUAACCACCCGAAAACUUAAUGUUGCAUCCAUUAUGGAAGAUAAGUCUCCCGUUAGUUUGAAAGGUCUAGGAGAAAAGGAGUCUUGGGAUUUAUUUUCAAAAUUUGCAUUUAGAGAACAGGAGAUUUUGAAGCCAGAAAUUGUAGAAAUUGGAGAAGAAAUUGCAAAAAUGUGCAAGGGAGUUCCUCUCGUUAUCAAGUCUUUAGCAAUGAUAUUGCAGUCUAAAAGAGAACUGGGGCAGUGGUUGUCUAUUAGAAACAAUAAAAAUUUGCUGUCACUUGGAGAUGAAAAUGAGAAUGUUCUAGGGGUGCUGAAAUUAAGUUAUGAUAAUUUGUCAACUCAUUUGAGACAAUGUUUUACAUAUUGUGCUUUAUUUCCAAAAGACUAUGAGAUUGAGAAAAAGUUGGUGGUACAACUAUGGAUAGCACAAGGUUAUAUUCAAUCUUCAAAUGAUAAUAAUGAGCAAUUAGAGGAUAUAGGGGAUCAAUAUUUUGAGGAAUUAUUGUCAAGGUCAUUGUUGGAGAAGGCGGGAAGCAAUCAUCUUACUAAUACAUUAAGGUAUAAAAUGCAUGACCUUAUACAUGAUCUUGCACAAUCAAUUAUAGGAUCUGAGGUCCUCAUUUUAAGAAAUGAUGUAAAAAACAUUUCAAAAGAAGUUCGUCAUGUAUCAUCGUUUGAAAAGGUGAAUCCUAUAAUAGAGGCUCUAAAGGAAAAACCUAUAAGGACCUUUUUAUACCAAUAUAGAUAUAAUUUUGAAUAUGAUAGUAAAGUUGUGAAUUCAUUUAUUUCAAGUUUUAUGUGUUUACGUGUGUUGAGCUUAAAUGGCUUCCUAUCAAAGAAGGUGCCAAACUGUUUAGGUAAAUUGAGUCAUUUAAGGUAUCUUGAUCUUUCCUACAAUACUUUUGAGGUACUUCCGAAUGCUAUUACAAGGUUAAAGAAUUUGCAAACACUGAAACUCAAAGUGUGUCCGAAUUUGAAAAAACUUCCAAAAAAUAUAAGGCAACUUAUCAAUCUUAGACACUUGGAGAAUGAGAGAUGGAGCGACUUGACUCAUAUGCCACGUGGAAUAGGAAAGUUGACUUUACUUCAAAGUCUACCAUUGUUUGUUGUUGGGAAUGAGACAGGGAGGUUAAGGAAUCACAAAAUUGGUAGCUUGAUUGAGUUGGAAAGCCUGAACCAUCUAAGAGGAGGGUUAUGCAUAAGUAAUCUUCAAAACGUGAGGGAUGUUGAACUGGUAUCCAGGGGAGAAAUUUUGAAAGGAAAACAAUAUCUUCAGUCCUUGAGAUUGGAAUGGAAUCGGUCGGGCCAAGAUGGGGGGGAUGAGGGUGAUAAGUCAGUGAUGGAAGGCCUUCAACCACACCCACAAUUAAAGGAUAUCUUUAUAGAAGGUUAUGGAGGUACGGAGUUUCCAAGUUGGAUGAUGAAUGAUAGGUUGGGUUCCCUGCUUCCCGACUUAAUUAAAAUUGAAAUUUCGGGAUGUUCAAGAUGCAAAAUUCUGCCACCCUUUUCUCAACUCCCUUCUCUCAAGUCUUUGAAGCUGGAUGAUAUGAAAGAAGUGGUGGAGAUAAAGGAGGGUUCAUUGGCAACGCCACUUUUCCCAUCUCUUGAAUCGCUCGAACUCUCUCACAUGCCAAAGUUGAAGGAAUUGUGGAGGAUGGACUUACUAGCAGAGGAAGGUCCUUCAUUUGCUCAUCUUUCAAAGUUGCAUAUUCAUAAAUGCUCUGGUUUGGCAUCACUGCAUUCUUCUCCUUCUCUUUCUCAAUUAGAGAUCAGAAAUUGCCAUAACUUGGCAUCCUUGGAACUGCCGCCGUCCCAUUGUCUUUCUAAAUUAAAGAUCGUAAAAUGCCCUAACUUGGCAUCCUUCAAUGUGGCUUCAUUACCUCGUCUUGAGGAAUUAAGCCUGCGUGGAGUCAGAGCAGAGGUACUGAGGCAGUUAAUGUUUGUCUCUGCUUCUUCUUCAUUGAAGUCUUUGCAUAUACGGAAGAUUGAUGGUAUGAUAUCUAUCCCAGAGGAGCCGCUUCAAUGUGUUUCCACUCUCGAAACUCUCUACAUUGUUGAGUGCUCUGGUUUGGCAACAUUACUACACUGGAUGGGCAGCCUUUCCUCGCUUACGAAACUUAUUAUUUAUUACUGCUCUGAAUUGACAUCACUGCCAGAAGAGAUCUAUUCCCUUAAAAAACUGCAGACAUUUUAUUUCUGUGAUUAUCCACACCUAGAGGAAAGAUACAAGAAGGAAACAGGCGAAGACCGGGCCAAGAUUGCUCAUAUCCCACAUGUUCGUUUCAACAGUGAUUCCUAUAUGGAAUUGGAGGUAGGUCCGAAAUCCCUAACCUUUCUUCCCAUUUUUAUUAAUUUAGAAUCAGAAUGCUAUAUUUUCAUUUUGUCUCUGGUAGUUCUUUUAUGUUGGCACCUCAUGUGUUUGUUUAAAUGCUCACAUCAAUAACUUUUCGAAAUUUUUUUCCAGCUUGACUACAUUUUCUGAUGCUGUGCACUAAACUAAUCAUUUUACUUGGAGUUCUACGUUCUAAGAGUUUGAGGAAAUACUGAGGUCUGGUAUGAUAACUCUCAAUCUUAAACGUUGUUUUGUGUUUGGAAUAUUACUACACUUGAUAGAUACCCUCACCUCACUUACAGAGCUUGGAAUUCAUGGCUGCCCUGAAUUGACAUCACUGCCAGAAGAUAUGUUCCCUCAAAAACCUGCUGACACUUGACAAUCUGCAUCUGUUCACACUUAAGAGGAAAGAUGCCGAAAGGAAAGGUGAAGACUAACCCAAGCACAAAUUGAUAUCAUACAUCCAUGAAGAUUGAACUGAUAUAGAAUGCCUUUCAGGUCUGAAAUCCCUAACUUUUCUUCUCAUUUUCUGUUACUUCAUUUGUAUUAUCUUACAUUUAAAAUGCUCUGUUUUCAUUUGUUUUGGUGGUUCUUUGUAUUUGCACCUUGUUUGAUUAAAUGCUUACUUCAGUAAAUUAGAAUUUUACUUGAGUCUUUUACAUCCUAAGAGUUUGAGGAAAUACCGAGCUCUAAUAUAAAUAGUAUUGGUCACAAAGUCCACCUUUCCUAAGAAGCUUACCAUUGGCCUAAUGCCCAAAGGAAACAACUUUGGAUUGGCUUGAAGAUUUCACAUGGUCUAAACAUUUGUAUUUACUAGAUGCCUGAUACAAAAAGUAGUUUCAAUUUAGCUCUUUGAUAUAAAGAUUAAAUAAUUGGAAAAUGUAUAAAUUUUUAUAUUUUACUUCAAAUUCAUUUCACUUAUUUUAACUCUUUGAUAUAAAGAUUAAAUAAUGGGAAAAUGUAUAAAUUUCUAAUUAAUCUUAAUAAUAUUUUAUUUUCUUUGAUAUUUUUCAUAGAACAACCAAACAUGAGAAAAUAAUUUUCCCUAUCAUUUUUUUCUUAGUACUUUUUGGGAACCAAACAUAAACUAGAUGUUUUACUUUAGUAGCUUCAUCAAAUUAAAUAGACAACCUCACACCUCUUAUUGAGCUAAGGUGUUAUUUGAGUUAAUGUUUUGUCUUUACUUAUUCAUUGAAGCCUUUGUCUAUUGGAUGCACAGGUGAUAUGAUCCAAACUCAAAUUGAACACCGCUCUUGUUUUGUAACAUUACUACAUUGGAAAGGCAACUUCAGCUCACUUAUAGACCUUUCUAUUGGUGAUUGCACUAAAUUGACGUCACUUUGGAAAAGAUGUGUUCUAGAUGGAAAAUCUUUCAUUAUAUGCACCUACUUGCAAGAUACCAAAGGGAAAUAGGUGAAUACUUGCCCAAGAAUAUAGAGGGCCAUACUUGGUUAAGGUUUCGUCAAUACGGAGAACCAUGUCAGGUAUGAAAUCCUCCUUUCUCAUUUUCUGAUGACUUCAUUUUUAUUCAAUAACCAUUUGAUAUUAUUUCUGUUGAUUUUAUUUUGAUAUUAGAUUUUCUUGCUUGCUCAAUAAUUUCAUUGAAGUUCUUUGGAUAUCACAUUUUCUUUGAUGUUUUUCUUUUCUUUUUAGAAUAAUUCAAAAUAUCAUUUUUACCUGUUCACAAAAUUUGAUCACAGUUGAGUGAUUAAAAUUCAAGUUUAUUAUUAUUAUUAUUAUUAUUAUUAUUAUUAUUAUUAUUAUUAUUAUUAUUGUUAUUAGCUAUUGGACAUAUUCGUUUUCUAAUACAGACAUAAGACUGACAGGUAAUGUGCAUAGAAUUUGUAGAAGAGAAGAAAGAUUUGAUCCAAGAUAUUCCUAAAGACCAAAAACUUUCAAAGUCGUCUAAGAUCCCAUAGGUUGAAUUUGGAUUCAUCCAAUUUACAAUCCACUAAUUCUACUUAUGUCAUCUUUGUUAUGUUACAAUUUGCUUUUACUUGUUAUGCAGCCUACCUUAAUAAUUUGGGGAGACCAAGAUACGACGUUCCUAAUAGAACCAGCUUACAAAUUGAAAAGGUAAACUUGUAUCACUUGCCUACAUGCCUACAACAAUACAAACACUAGCUUAUGUCUUUCUCAAUAUUGAGAUUGUUACUGCAUGCAAGCAUUUUGGGUGAGGAGGCCCAACUUGUGAUCAUCAAUAACAUAGAGCAUACUUUUAUUAUAGAGAAGCCCAAGGAAAUAUUUAAGCACUUGAAAUCCUUUCUCAUUGAUUUGCUUCCACCUCCUAGGCAACACUUGGAACCACUCACACCAUGACAAGGUGAAAAGAAACUAAUGCAACAUUCUCAAUAUAUCAAAGGAAAGGUCAAAUUUUAGAUUUUUGUGUUUUUCCUAUCACUGUUUCUAUACUAUUACUAGUGCACCUUAUUUGUCAACAUGAUUAAAAUAGAAUUCCCUAGGAUAACUAGUGUCUCAGGUGAUCUUAAGGUUCAUAAAUUUUUGGUUUCCACAAGAUAGGUGCCAACUAAUUUUAUUUUUUUCUACAUCCAUGCAAUAUUCUAGUCAUCUAUUAACAAGGGAUAAAAAUUCUUGUAGAGAAUAGAAUAAAGAACUAGAUUAAAUGAAAAUAGGACAUUAGUAUUCUAUUUACUAGUAAGGGUAAAAAAUUCUUGAUGGCCAUCAAGCACAUUGUUCCUAAAAUAAUAGCAUCCAUGUCGUUGAGCAAAAGUUUAUUGUAAUUGCAUUUAACAUAUAAAGCAAAACUGAUUUUUUUAUUUUAUUUUAUAUUUACACCUUAUGCAUUUGAUAAAAUUCUUAAACAAGUAAGUUUGAAAAUUUUCUCUUCAAAUCAUUUGAUAAUUGAAGGCCAAACUAAUCAAAUUGAUUUAAAUUUUACAUUCAAAAGUUGAAUUUAUUAUUAUUAUUAUUAUUAUUAUUUUUUUUUUUUUUGCAAAAUUUACUUCACUUUAGAAGUUUGUGAUUAUUCUCUAGUCCAUCUUAAAAUGAGUGCCUCCAUUAUUCCAUUCCUCUAUCACUACAAAAAGUUUAGAUUGACCUAAAAUUUUCUCAUGACCUAGAAACUCAUAUCUACUAGAUGGUUAAAGCAAAAAAAGGCUUUUGCCUUAUGUUUUAAGUAAUCUCCCUAUUAUCUAUUUGUUGAGAGCAUCAUACAAGAUGUAAUUAUAUUUCUUAAUUUUUUUUUAUGUAAUAAGAACUAGAUUGAGAAAGAUGCAACUUGUAGAGAAAAAAAUUUCUUUACUACUUCCCUUGUAUUUGCUUUGUGUGUAUCAACUGUGCUUUUCAUUAUUUUAAAAAAUAUCACUAACAAAAAACUUAUUAUUGUUAUAUAUCAUAAUUUAGCAAUUUUUUUAUUAUUUAGAAAUCAUGCUUGUCAUUGUGUUAAUUAGUAGGUAGCCUAAUAACUAUAUUGUUCAAGUUAUUUUGUGUUGGCAUUCUUCAUGUUUCAAAAGCUUGUUAGACUAGCAAUUUUAUUGCAAAUAUAAUGUUCUCAAAUCAAUACAGAAAUGGAUGAUUGUGGGGAUUAGGCAUUGACUUCCUUGAGAAGUUCAAUUGAGGGUUUUUUAAACUAGGUCUCUACAUCAACAAAUGCUACAUUUUAUCACUCGAGACCUUAGAAUAAAUAUUGCAGAAAGCUUCAUUUGCUACAUAGUAAGGAUGAGGUUGGCAUAUAAAUCCUAAGGACUUAAAAGCUUGAGUUGUUGUCUCUUCCAAGGGGCCUUUAGAUUUAUUAAUGAGUUCCAAAUCAUUGUCUACCUUGAAUUUGAAUCACUGCUAGAAGGAUGUGCCGCUAAGCAUUCUCAUGUUCUUGAUAUGGAGUAGAAAUGGACUUCUAAUUCAUGAAGAACUGAUGGGCUCUUUGAUUAUGCCAUCUAUAAUGUACUUCAGGUUCAUGCUUCAACCUCUCUUCUUGCUUUUGAUAACUUCAUUUUAGUUUUACACUGCUUUCCUUCCCUCUUAUCUGUGUUUAUGUAUGUUUGUGCAUAUAAUGUGAACCUUUUCCACUGUUACUUUAAAGUUUUUUCAUUCUUGGGCUUGGGAAAUUACUAAAUUUGAUUUUAAUAUUUUCCUGUAGAUUUCACCUUGCUUAAAAAGCUUUUGAUUAUUCAUAUUUGCAAGAUGGCUAAGACAUCUGAUUGUGCUCAGAACUUCUGGUUUCUAUUAAAUAUAGGUAUGUUGUUUGCAAUUCUAACCCACUUACUCCUCUUGAAGACUACAUAAAUUGCUAGUGUUUUUACUUUAAUGGUUAUAAACAAUGUGUGCCCUUGUUACUUCUUGCUUGCAUUCUAUAUGUUGAAGAGCUUUAUUAGGCUAAUUAUUUUAUUGAAGAUAUAAUUGUUGUCAAGUCAAAGCAAAGCCGAAUGGUGAUGUGGUUUCAACUUCUUAGAAGUAACCAAAAAGUAAGGAACUCUCUCUAUGGUAGUACUUUGAUGUCACAUUGGGCUUUCAGAUUGCUGCCUUGAAUUGACAUAAAUAACAUAGCAUCUUUCCCAAUUGAGUCGUUUCAACAUGUUACUAUGCUUCAAACUCUCUCAAUUAUGUCUUGUUUAGGUUUGGCAACAUUAGAACACUGGAUAGGCAGCCUCAACUUACUCACACAACAUAAAAUUCAUCUUUGUUGUUAACUGACAUCACUGCCACAAGAUGAGUUCACUCAGUAUUUUACAGACAGCUAUAGUUUGGGACAAUUCUGGUUUGGCAACAUUAUUAGACUUGAUAGGUAACCUAUCUUCACUUACAAACACCUUCAAAUUUAUAGUUGUCCUAAACUAGCAUCACUACUAAAAGACAUGUGUGUCCUCAACACCCUAUAGGCACUCACAAUUGGAGAUUGUUAUGGUUUGGAAACAUUCAACAGACUUGAUAGGUAACCUUACACCACUUAUAGAGCUUCAAAUUCAUGGCUACCCUGAAUUGACAUCACUUUCAGACUAGAUGUUCACCCAAACCUCAAUUGACACUCACAAUUCAAGGCUUCUCUAUAUUGGCAACAUUACCAGACUUGAUAGGCAUCAUCACUUCACUUACAUACCCUGGAAUUAAUAGCUACCUCAAAUUCACAUCAUUGUCAGAAGAGAUUGGUUCACUCAUAUCCCAACAGAGAUUCAUGAUCUUUUAUUGUCAAUGUCUAUUAGAAAGACUUCGAAGGGAAAUAGGUGAAGAUUGGGCCAUUAAUCUUCAAUCCUAGAUAUUGAUAUUUUGGUGAAGAUUGGAUUAAUAUAGAGUUCGUUCAAGUUUGAAAUCCUAACCUUCUCAUUUGUUAUGGUUUUGUUUUUAUCAAUAUACCCUGUUUACAUUCUAUUUGGUAAUUAUGGUAUGUAUUAGCAUAUAGAUAAAAAAGGACUUAGAUGGUUAAUUUGAAAAGUUUGCAUCUUCAAUUAAUUAGUAAUUAAAGACCAAACUGAUCAUAUUACUUUAAGUCUUGCAUUAUAAGAGUUCGGGAAAAAUGUUAGGGUCGAUUGAACUAUUAUUUUGUAACAAAUUUCACCUUGCUCAGGAAUCUCAUGAUUAUCCCUUGGCACAAACAUUUCUCGGUGUCUGAGAAAUUCAUAUCUACUACAUGGCUCAAGAAUCUAGUAGCAUUCAAAAUUUCUGCUCUCUUUCAAAUUAGGUGUGUUGCUUGCAAUUCCGGUCCUUUUCCUAUUUCUAAAUGCUAUAUUUUUAUUUUACUAUCAAUGUGUUAAGAGCAUUAUGUUCUGUUUUCUAUAAUAUUGUUUUCUUACUUAUCAUAUAUAUUAAUUAUUUCACUACAAAUGUAUUUGUUGCCAAGUUAAAGCAAAAAUGGAAAAUGACGAUUUUUCAUAGAUCAAUGUCUUUCUCAAUUGCUGCCACACCUGACUUCUCUCUAAGUUGUUGAAAAUUUAGAAGUGUGGUAGCAUAAUGUCUCUGGCUCAAGUGCUUUAGCGCCUCAUUGUCCUUGAAGCUUUAGAAGUUGUCAAUACAAUUGGUGUUUCAACAUGUAACCAGUUUGGAAAUUCUAAGAAGUGUAAGUACUAUGGUUUUGCAACUUUGUUAGAUUGGAUAGGCAACUUCAAAUUAUUGAAUGCCCUGAAUUGAAAUCACUACUAGAAGGGACCCACAAGCACUUUAUAGAAACUCAUAAUCUACUAGUCGUACCACUUAUUAAGAAUGCCAAAAGGAAAAAGUGAAUAUUGGCCUAAGCAUGGUUGAUUAAUAAACUACUCAUGGUCUCCUUAAUUCAAGUGUGUCAUUUAUUAUAUGUUUCAUGUUAGUAAUCCUACAUUUCUCUUGUUUUUGUUGGCUUUAUUUUUUUGAAUUAUUUUACAAUCAAUAUUUUAUCGAUGUUCUUCCUUUUGUACAAUUCUAUUUCUUGAUUCUCAAAUGAAUUAAGACAUAUCAAGAAAAAAAUCACAUUGUUUGCUUUCCAUAUACUAUAUGCUUAUAUGUACAUGUGUUAAAAACUUUUGAUUUUUAAUUGAUUACUUUCUAUUUAAUUUGUUAAAAAUUGUUAGUCUAUUUGGAGAUGAUUUUUUUUUUCAUAUGUAAUAGGAUACCAACAAAUUGAGUGAGGAGCACAUCUUACUAAAUCGUUUAUCAAUUUAUUCACCUUCCUAAUCUCAAGCUUCUUCAUGUUUGAAUUAAAACACCUUGGAGUACACAAACAAAAAUGAUGGUAAUAAGUCUUUCUCAUCAUCUUUAUUUUCAUUAGAAGGCAAUUUGUAUCAUCCUCAUUCCCAAUCCUAAAAAUAGGUUUAGAAAUUAGACAUGUUUUCUUAAAUGAUCUUCUUGGUCCAUGCAUGCUUUCUAUAUAUUUAAAAAAAUUUUAAACUAAGUACUUAAUUGUAGAUAUGAUAGUUUUCAAGUUAAUGCACAAAUGGUGAUGGUGAGGAUGCUAAAUAUAGUCCAUGCUCAGCCUAUUUGUUGACAAACUACCGAGGGCUAGUGCUAAGGGAAACACUUAAUGCACUUGUAUCAUACUCUCUUUUCUUUGCCUUCUCUAGUCGUUAUCCAAGGUUCAUAUAUAAUAUGUCUUUAUCAUUAAACUUUUCAUUUUUAACCUUUUGUCUUUUUAUGGUCUAUUACAUGGCCAUCAAUUUCUAAGAAAGUGGUGUACACUAUUAUAAAUCUUAUCUCUUUGUUCUUAUAGACAAUAGAACAACAUGCUAAUUGCAUGAUAUACAAUUUGUAAUAGAUGUUCGGCUAUCAGGUAACCUUUAAGUACCUUGGAGCUAAAACAUUUGAUGUUAAUAAGGUUUGAUGAUUCUCACUUUGGUGCUUAGGUGCUUUGUUGGAUUUCAAUUCAGGUGAUUAAUUAAUCUUAUUAUGAUUAUUUGAUUGCUAUAAUAACUAAAUAAUCAUUCCUAUUUUAUCUUGGUAAUUGACUUCAAUGACUUUUUAACAAUUAUAUCAUGCAUGAAAUGUCCAACCUAUUAUUGUUAGUAUUUCAAUAACAUACCUCUAAUGCUACCACUAAUAUACUUCAUGUAUUCAUAUUUAUAAAAUGUUUCAUUAUUUUAUAUAAUUUAAUGUUUUCAAAUUUCUUUUUUGAAUGGGAGAAAUGACCAUUAAUCUUGACAACAACACAAGUAUCAUUGGUCUAAUAUUGCUUUCUUGAGUAAUUUGGCAAUUUAAUUAUGAAGUUUAGUUGUACAUUACUUGAGAUUCAUGCUUUAUGUAUAUGGUCUAUUGUCCAAACUUCAAUGACAUUUAGUAGACUUGUGAGUGGCGUUUGUCUAUGAGUUUCAACUCUUCAAAACUAUUAUUGAAGCCUAAGUUCAACUUCAGUAAGGAAAAAAAAUCAACAUUUUCUUCCAUUAUGUAAUUUUAUUCACUAUUGAUCUCCCGAAAUAUUGUUUUUAAAACAUGCCCUUAAAUGGAAUUCAUGGCUUCGCUAUUAUUUGCAGGAGAAAUUGUCAAGUUCUAUAUUUGUUUAGAAAGUUGGAAGAAGUAUUUAAUUUGACAUGGUUUGGACAUCUUGCUGCCAUCUUUUUAAAUUAGUUAUCAAUAAUUUUCCAAAGUUGACAUUUUUGUUUAUCUCAUACUCCUUUUAUAUUAGAAGGUAAUGCAUCGGUAUUGUGUAGACGAAUCAAGCCUUCUUUAAUUGAGGCGGGCCUUUUGCAAAAUAUUUCAAGUUUGUUUUCUUUCCAUUUGUUGCUUCAUAUCUAUUUUUUGUAAUCAACCAAGCAAGGGUUUCUUGUCAUGCCAUAAUGGUGACUUGUAAUAAUCAAUUAUUGAUUGUAAGGAUACUUGGCUUUAUCAAUUAUUAUAUUGAAAUCAAUUCAGUACUAUGGCUAAUGCCAAAAGGACAAUAUUUAGUUUCGAUUGACCAUAAUUCACUAUUCUAGAAACAAGUGCUCACAAAUUUUGCAUCUUUGAAGGAUGUGGGAAAGAUUGGCUUAACUGCAUCACCAACUUACAAGCUCCUUAUAGCAUCCAUAUAUAUAACCUUCAUUGUUAAGGUUUAUAAUUCCUAUCUCAUUUUUUUCAUCUCUUUAUUGUUUAUAAUUUUUGAAUUGAUUUGUUAAAAAAAAUUUAAACCUUAUUUGCAAUACUGAUUUGUUUUAUUCUUAUGUGCAAUAGAAUAAUAAGUUGAAUAAGAAGCAUACACUACUUAAUUGAUAUAACCGUUUAGUCAAUUCUCUUCUCAAUUUUUUUUUGUUUUUCUCCAUUUUUGUUCAAGGUAAUCAAAGUAUCAUUAUUUCUAUUUCUAAAGGUACUUGUACCUAGCUUGAAAAACUUUAAGAUAAGUUAAAGUGGAGAACCAUUCCCAAAACAAGUAAUAAGUACAGUUGGGUUAUUGAUAUCAUAUCCUCGAUUGACAUCUAUGCCAUUGUAUUUACAUCUAAAGGAUUUAUGAUGAAAAUAAAUAUCUUCUUCAUUUCCAUUUUCCUCACUUUUUUUUUCGUAAUUUAUGUGCAUAUCAUAAUCUUUUGCGAGCAUAUAUAUGCAUGUUGUAAUCGCAAUAAUCUAUUGCUAUCAUAAUUCAUAGCCUAAUAUAGUUGCUAGCAUAUAUAUGCAUGUCAUAAUCUAUUGAAUUUUUUAGCAUAAGGUCUUAGAGUAUUCACAUAUCUAUAGGUUCUAUAUAUUUAUACUUUUUAAAACAUCAAAUGAAGUAUAUCAGCCUUAUCCCGAAGGUGAAGUCUCUUUAAAUUGAGCUUCAACAUGUUAGCAGUUACCUAACUUAAUAAUCUAACAAUUUGGUAUUAUAUAUCAUUUUGCAACUCUUCCAUAAAGUAAUUGUGUUUCCUCUAUUCAUAUUUUCUGUCCUUAUUUUUUUUUAAAAAAAUUGAAUUAGUAAUUGUGUGUCAAAUCAUGCUUACAAUCAUUAAUAGGUACUUAUAUGAUAAAUUGAUAAAUUUAUUUUACAAUUUUUUCAACAUAUUUGAAAAACAAAAAAAAUAAAAAAAAUAAAUAAGCAUGUCUUUCUAGAUGUAAUCACUACCAAGCUCAUGUGAAAAGCUAUAGCAAUGAGGGUAUAAGCUUCAGUUUUGUUUUGGAGAUUCAUAUUGAGAGUUGUAGAUUGUGAAUGUAAUUGUGUGCAUAAUGAGGACACUAAUAGUAUAAGCUUUGGUGUCUAUUUUUUUUUUUUACUUGAAAUAUCUAUAGCAGAAUCUGAGGUUCAACUUCAUCACCAAUAACAUGGUCGAGGACAUAACUUCAAGAGACAGCAAACAGUUUCAUAUUAAUCUUUUGGGGUGCAGGAAUUUGACAUUCUACAACGUUGCAAUUAGUGCACCAAAAGACAGCCUUAACACAGAUGGAAUUCACAUUGGACGUUCCUCAGGGAUCGAUAUCACCGAUUCAGCCAUAGAAACCGGAGAUGAUUGUGUCUCAAUUAGUGAUGGCAGUGGGCAAAUUAAUAUCCAAAGAAUAACCUGUGGACUUGGCCAUGGCAUCUGUGUGGGAAGUCUAGGAAAGUACCCCGAUGAAGAAUCUAUGGUUGGCAUUAGUGUCAAGAACUGCACCUUCAUCAACACCCAGAAUGGCGUCAGAGUGAAGACAUGGCCUGCUUCUCUCAUCAAGACACUACCUCUGAAAUGCAUCUUGAAGAUAUUGUCAUGAAUAAUGUUGGCAAUCCCAUAAUCAUAGAUCAAAAGUAUUGCCCCCAUAACCAAUGCAACUUAAAGGUACUUCUAAAGGAAAUGAAAAUUUCCAUUUUUAUUGCUUAUUUUCCCUCUUUUUCCCUUCAUUUUUAUUGGUUUGGAACUUAACUAUCCGUUGUUUUCAGAGUCUAUCACGCAUUAAGCUCAGCAAUGUUAGCUUCAGAAACAUCCAGGGCACUACCUCAACUCAGGUUGCUGUCAAGCUUGUUUGUAGCCAAGGAGUACCAUGCCAAGACGUUGAGCUUGGUGACAACAACGGAAAUGAAGGCCUUGCCAUGUCACAAUGCAAGAACAUUAAGCCAAAUCUACUGGACAAGCAACUGCCAAGGACUUGUGCCUAAGAUGCUUAAUCUUCUUCCAAAGUCUGAACAAAUUGUACUGCUUCUAUUAUAUAGCUACCUCUUCAUGCUCACGCGUCUGCUAUUUUAUUGGUGAAUAAACUACAAUGAACAAACAAUGAUACGAUACUCGGCUAUUAUGGAAGGUAUGUGCAGUUUGAUCCCAUAAGAAAAAACAAAUGUCUAUUUAGUCUUUUGCUGCUAUAGUACAAAUUGAAGCUCCAAAGAAUAAUGUUAAUGUAAAUUAUUUAAUGUUAAUGCAGUUUGGAUGAGAAAAUGCAGUCAAGUGAAUAAAAAUUCCUUUGGAGUGUAUCAUUUGAAAUUUUAUCUUUGGAUUACUACAACCAAGAAAAAACUAUAGAUUGGUAUCUGGUGUGUUGGAAAUGCUUGAUGGUUGGUAAUCGAACUAAUGUACUAAUGACUUCGAGAAAAACUAAGAAUGAUAAAGACAAUAGUAAUAAAUGGCAAGAACUGAGAAAGUAUUGAAGUUGUAAUUGUCUCAAGGAGCGUAUUUUGGGAUUUGAAUUAUAUGUAAAGAAGAAAUGCUCUUGGAAACUGCAACAUGAUGGAUCUUGAAUGGUUUUCUGUCAUAUGUGUUUGUUGUUUGGAGAUGACCGAGUAAUAUUAGUUUUAUCAUGCCCCUUUAAGCUGCCAUGUGGAAGCUGUAGCGUUAGCAGAGAGUUGAUAAUGCUUUUUGGGUAGUUGGAAGCUUGAACACCAACAUAUUAGUGCAAGGACAUGAAGAUAUUAAUUCAUUCAUACGAUUUAUUGUUUGAGAGGAUAGAAAAAAAAAAUAUAAAACUAUUUAAGAUCCUAAAAAUAUCUUAUAUUUCUCCGUUUUUUGUAUUUACACUCUGAUCCAUGGACUUUUACCCCACAAAAUAUCUCAUAUUCUUUUUCAAAUUUCUACCUACAUAUAAACUUCUUAUGUCUAUAUUUAUUAUAUUACUUUUUUCUCCUCAUGACCUAAUUAAAAUAUGUAUAAAGAUAAUCCUAACAACUUUUCUUAUUUUAUAGGCAAACCUAUUUCUAUAAGGAAUUAAUUGUAAAACAUCCUAUAUAAGCUACCUUAACAUAGCUGAAUUAUGUUAUAAAUUUUAUUUUGAUACGAUAAAUAACAAAAAUCCAUUGAUAAAAAAUUUAUCAAAAUCCAAUAACUGUAUAGGAUAAACUACACUUAUUUUGGAUAAAUAAUAAAGUACAUUAUCCAAGUAUUAAAAGAUUGUCUUUGUUGUGUAUAAUUUGGAGAGCCUCAGAUAAUGUGCAAGUAGAUGAGACUUAGAGUGAUAUGUUUUCUCUUUCAAAUCAAUUUUAGAGGGACCAAAUCCAAAAUUUUAGUCUUUUUUUAGAAGUGUUUUAGAAAAUAGUUUGGAAAAACACUUCUUGAUAAUAGCGUUUGAAAAUUAUUCUCUAAUAUUUUAUAGCACAUAAAUUUGUUUGAGAGAAUAAAAUGCUCUUAACUUGUUUCCUAUGUUUUUAAAUAUAUUUUAAAAAUAAUUUUCAUAUGCAUUGCUUUAUUUUUAAUCAUUCUCUAUAUUUGUAUAAUAAUUUUUUAAAACAAUUCUAUAAAGAAGUAAAAAGAAACAAAAAUAACUAAAAAGAUGUUCUUUCGAAACAUUGUAUUUUCUGUUUAAAAGUUUUUUUUUUUUUUUUUUUUCUGUUUUCUAGUUGUCAAACUAUACUUUCUUGUUUUUUUUUUUUUUUUUUUUUUUUUUUAUUUUUUUUUUUUUUUUUAUUCUAGAUAAUAGAAAACUGUUUUCAUAACAUGGCCUCAACUUUUACUAUGAAAAUCGAAAUGGUGCUUAAACUUAAACUUCAAAUUGAUUUUAAUCAAAAUAUGUUUUUUUUUUCUCCUUUUUCCUAUCAAAUCAAAACUCAAAUUUCUUUCUUUUCUAUAAAUACAAAAUUUCAAUUUCUAUCGUUGGACUAAGAACUCCAAAUCAUUUUCAAUUGGCGGUGGAGUCUUUGAUUUAAGGACACAGAAUGCGCAUGAAAAAUCUCAUAGUUGUGUGUGUGCAUGUAUGAUAUAUAUAAAGAAUGUUGGAUGAGGAAAUUGUGGAUAUGGCCAAAUCUGAAUCUCUUAUAUUUUUGCAAUAGCAUGUGAUUUACAUAGAAACUCGAUGGUGGAAGAAGACUAUAAAUAAAGGUCUCCUCUCCUCAUUCUAUUUAUCCUAGAAUUGAAGGAAAAAGAAUGAUCUAACUCUUUGAGUGAAAAAGUGAGGUUAUCUUGAGAAUUAGAGGAUUAUUAUUCUCUUGGGUGUAAUUAGGAUAUGGAUUGUGAGGAGUGAGUGAUUAUAAACACUUGUGGUUAUUUUUCUCCCUAUAAUGAAGAUCUAUAGUAGCUCUGUGGGCGUAGCUUGUUUUGGGUGAACCACGUAAAUUUCAUGUUUUGUUUGUCUACUCUAUUUCGUUAUUAUUUUCACAUUUUUUUUAUUCAUUUCAUUACUCUAGUCUUUUGGGAAGUUUAUUUCCUAACAACUGGUAUCAAAGCGACAUGUCUUGUGGUGUUUUAGGAGCUUAGUGGUAGUUUGAGGAGGUUGGAAUUUAAGAGGACAAUUGUGACCUCUCUAGUUUUUCUUAGGAACUUUUAUUUUUGUCUAAGGAGACUAGGUUUUAAGUGGGAUUGUUGUGAUCCUUCUAGUCUUUCCUGAGAACUUUUUUACUAGUUUAAAGCUUUGGGUGGAAGUUUUUCUAUAAUUUUUUGCAAGUACAGAGGUACUGUAAAAAGUACAAUUUUUGCAGAAGUCCUAAAGAACCAGAUUUGAGUGGGAUUGAUGGCAACAAACGAAGGAAAGAGCAUCAUAAUUUAGAAGUUCAAUGGUGAAGAUUUUAGCUUCUAGAAAAUGCAAAUUGAAGAUUAUCUAUAUUAGAAAGAUGUGCAUCUGCAUUUUUAAUGAAGAGUGGGCUCUACUCGAUAGGCAGGCCCUUGGAGUUAUCUGGUUGACGUUAUCUCAUAAUGUCGCUUUCAACAUAGCAAAGAAGAAGACUGUGAUGGGUCUUAUGGCGACUCUCUAUGACAUGUAUGAGAAGCCAUUCACUUCAAAUAAAGUGCACUUGAUGAGGUUGUUAUUCAAUUUGUGAAUGAUAGAAAGCGCGUCUAUAGCAACUCACAUCAAUGAAUUUAGUACAAUCACAACACAACUAAGUUUGGUGGAAAUCGAGUUUGACGAUGAAGUUCGAGCUUUAAUCUUUGUAUCCUCUCUACCGAAAAGUUGGAAUGCGAUAGUGACAACAAUGAGCAAUUCUUUUGCAAAGAAGAAGAUGGUAUUUAAGGAUAUUCAAGAUCUAAUUCUAAGCAAAGAAAUACACCAAAGAGAACUAAGAGAAACAUCAAGUUCUACCUUAAACAUUGAAUCUAGAGGUAGACAUAAUGACAGAAACUCAAAUCAAAGUAGAUUAAAAUCAAGACAGAGCAAGUCUAGAUCUAGGAAGGAAGAGAAUAGUUGUUGGAACUGCGGUAAGACUUAUCACUAGAAGAGAGAUUAUAGAGCACCGAAAAAGAACAAUGGCAGUGAAAAGAAUCCACGAACAUGGCCGAAGAUAUUGGCAAUGCUCUAAUCCUAACUGUCAAUAGUCUAGUUGAAUCCUAGAUUUUGGAUUCUGGGGCAUUGUAUCACUGCACCUCUUAUUACGAAAUCAUGGAGAACUACAUCAGUGGUGAUUUCAGGAAGGUUGACCUGGAUGAUGUUGAGACCUUGAAGAUUACGAGAAAAAAAGAUAUUCAAGUGAGGCUACCAAAUAUGUGGAAAUUUAAAGAUGUGAUAUGUAUUCCUAGUUUUAAAAAUAAAAAUAAAAAAUCUCUGUGGAUUAACUUGAUAAGAAGCGGAUGAAAGAUCACCAAGGGAGCUAUGGUCAUAGCUCAUGGAAAGAAGAACGGUCCUCUCUAUGUUACUUCUAGAAUGGAGAAUAUUGUUGAAGUUGUAAAAUCAAAUGAGAAGUAGAAAAUUUGGCACGAGAGACUCAGUCAUAUGAGCGAGAAAUGGAUGAAGGUUCUUGUUUCAAAGACAAAGCUGUCAAAUCUAAAAUCAAUGUGAAGAUUGUAUAUUCAAUAAGCAGAAAUUGGUUAAUUUCUCAAAGAUUGGCAAGCCAUCCAAAGUAGAGAAGUUAGAGCCGAUUCACAUAGACACGUAGGGGUCAUCACCAGUUUCAUCUAUUGGAGGCUCAUUGUACUACAUCACCUUCAUUGAUGACUCUACUAGGAAAGUAUGGGUUUAUUUUCUAAAAAAGAAGUUAGAAGUUUGUGAUGUUUUCAGGAAAUGGAAAGCCAUGGGAGAUGCGAAGAUCUACUAGGGGCCUAUAAGUAGAGGUCUCAUCUCCUCAUUUUAUUUGCCUCAUAAUUGAAAGAAAAAGAGUGGUCUAAUUCUUUGAGUGAAAAUUGAGGUUCUCUUAAGAAUUAGAGAAUUAUUAUUCUCUCGGGUGUAAUUCGGAUUUGGGAUGUGAGGAUUCAAUGCUCGUAUACACUUGUGGUUAUUUUUCUCCCUAUGUUGAAGAUCUACAACAAUUUUGUGGACGUAGCUGGUUUUGGGUGAACCAUGUAAAUUUCGUGUGUUGUUUUGUUUGCUCUAUUUUAUUAUUAUUUCCACAUUUUUUUAUUUGCUUCAUUAAUUUGGUCUAUUGGGAGGUUUACUUCCUAAUAUUUUUCAAGUCAAAUUCUUAUCUAAAAUUGAAAUAAGAAUUGGUUUCAUCCUCAAUUGAAAUCGAUUCUUGGAACACUUCACCAUUCCCUUUCCACAUUUCCCACCAUCCAACCCGGCCAAUAAAUACAAUUACUUGGCUCCAUUGCAUAUUUUUGCUUAUCUUUCAUUCACAUUCAAAAAUGGUUAGAAAGGAACCUUGAUUUUAGGAAGUUCCCAAUUAUUAGGAUUUGAUUUAGUUUUCUAAUAGUCAAUUAGAAUAUUUACAAAUUUGAGUGGUUGAUUUAAUUAUAUGUUUAUACAUAAUUCCUACAAGUUAUUUUUUUUUUAAUACUUUUUGUUAUUAGGAAUCUCUAUUUUUUAGGUAAAGGUGUCCAUAAAAAAAAAAAAAAAAGGAGUUAGUGCGAUAGUUGAACAAGAGUGGUGGAAAAUAAUGUCAUUUUCUUGAUUUUUCUCAAUUACUUACCUUCUUACCUUGACUUUCCAUCAUGACUUAUUUCUCUCUAUGGAUUUGUUUAUGUGUUAUCAACUCUAUUACUUGAAUAAAUUGGGUUGUAAGAAAAAGAUGACAAGUAGGACAGAUUUGUUACAAGUUCUUUAGCUCAAUAAAAAAACUUACAAUAAUUGGAGUAUGAAGGUAAAGACUUUACUUGAUUCACAAGAUGUAUGCAAAGGUUGAAGAGGAAGGCUAUAAACAAGGAGUCAUGACAUAAAACCACUAUUUUAAAAGCAAAGUAAUUUUUUGAAAGGUAUAAGGAAAAAAGAAAAAAAAAAAGGAAGAAGAAAGCUCUUACCCUUAUCUAUCAAGCAAUGAAUAAAGGCAUAUUUGGAAAUUUUCCAAAUGCAACCAUGCACUACCAAGAAAGCAUGGAAGAUAUUAGAAAAUGCAUAUAAAGAAAUUGACUAAUUAAGAAAAGUUUGCCUUUGUACUGGGUAUUGUGUAGAGAAAUCAAGUCUUCUUUAAUUGAGGUGAGUCUUUUGCAAAAUAUUUCGAGUUUGCUCUCUUUCCAUUUGUUGAUUCAUGUUUUUUUUUUUUUUGGUAAUCAACUAGGCAAGAAUUUCUUACUUGUCAUGCCACAAUGGUGAACAUGCUUGCAUGAAUAGUAUUCUCUCUACUCUUUCUUUUUUAUUCUUUCUUUAUUAUAUUGAUGGAUAUACUUAGAAGUGAAUAGUUAAUUGGGUUUUUUAUUAAAAGAAAUCAAAUAUUGGUAAUGCUAUUUAGUAUCAUGCUUGUAAUAAUCAAUUAUUGAUUGUAAAGAUACUUAGCUUAAACAAUUAUUAUAUUGAAUUCAAUUUAGUACUAUGGCUAAUACCAAAAGAAUAAUAUUUAGUCUUGGUUAACCAUUAUUCACUAUUCUAGAGACAAAUGCUCACAAGUUUUGCAUCUUUGAAGGAUACGGGAAAAGUUGACUCAACUGCAUCACCAACUUACAAGCUCAAGCUUAUAUACAACCUUCAUUUAUCAGGUUUAUAAUUCGUAUCUUUUUUUUUUCAUCCCUUUAUUGUUUAUAAUUUUUGAAUUGAUUUAUUAAAAGGAAUUUCAACUUUAUUUGCAAUAAUGAUUUUUUUAUUCUCAUGUGCAAUAGAAUAAUAAGUUGUAUAAGAAGCAUAUACUACUUAAUUGGUAUAACCCUUUAGUCAAUUCUCUUCUCAAAUCCUUUUUAUUUUUCUCCAUUUUUGUUCAAGGUAAUCAAAGCAUCAUUCUUUCUAUUUCUAAAGGUACUUGAACCCAAUUUGAAAAACUUUAAGACAUGUUAAAGUGGAGGACCACUCGCAAAAUAAGUAACAUUAGUUGGGUUACUAAUAUCAUAUCCUCGAUUGACAUCUAUGCCAUUGCAUUUUCUUCUAAAGGAUUUAUAAUGAAAAAAAAUAUCUUCUUCGUUUCCAUUUUCCUCCCUUCUUUUGACCAUAAAUUUGUGCACAUUGAAAACAUUCAUAGCCCAAUAUUUUUGCUAGCAUAUAUAUGCAUGUCACAAUCAAUUGAAUUUUUUAGCAUAAGUCUUAUAGUAUUCACAUAUGUGUAGGUUCUAUAUAUUUAUCAUGUUUACAAUAUCAAAUGAAGUAUAUGAACCUUAUCUCAAAGGUGAAGUCUCUUUACAAGGAGCUUCAACAUGUUAGUAGUUACCUAACUUAAUAAUCUAACAAUUCGUCACUAUAUAUUAUUUUGCAACUCUUUCAUAAAGUAAUUGUGUUACCUCUAUUCACAUUUUCUAUCUUUAUUUUAAAAAAAUUGAAUUGGUAAUUGUGUGUCAAAUCAUGCUUACAAUCAUUAAUAGGUACUUACAUGCUAAAUUGAUAAAGUUAUUUUACAAUUGUUUCAACAUAUUCAGAAAACAAAAACAAAAGAAAAGAUUAAUAAGUAUAUCUUUCUAGAUGUAAUCACUACCAUGCCAAUGUAAAAAAAUAUAACAAUGAGGAUUUCAAAGAUUAAAUUAAGUCUUGGAGACUCAUAUUGACAAGUUGUAAAUGGUGGGUGAAGUCUCUUUAAAAUGAGCUUCAAUAUGUUAGCGAUUACCAAACUUAAUAAUCUAACAACUUGACACUAUAUAUCAUUUUACAACUAUUUCAUAAAGUAAUUGUAUUAUCUCUAUUCACAUUUUCUAUCUUUUUUUUUUUUUAAAAAAAUUGAGUUGAAAAUUGUGUGUCAAAUCAUGUUUGCAAUCAUUAACGGGUACUUAUUUGCUAAAUUGAUAAAGUUAUUUUACAAUUGGUUCAGCAUGUUUUGAAAACAAAAACAAAAGAAAAUUAAGAAGUAUAUUUUCUAGAUAUUAUCACUACCAAGCCAAUGUGAAAAGUUAUAAUAAUGAGGAUUGCAAAGCACCAGUUAUGUUUUGGAGAUUCAUAUUGAAUGUUGUAGAUUGUGGAUGUAUGGUAUAGGAGUUAACUUGAGUUUAUCAUUCUUUCUAUUUUCGAUACCUUAAUUUUAUAUGCAUUGUCCAUCAUAUAUAUUUGUUAUCAUCUAUUCUUUACAACCAAUUUUUUAAUGACUUCUACAAUUUGUGUAUAAUGUAUAUAUUGCUUUUAUUUGUACCAAAGCAUCAUCAAGCUACAAAAGCAUCACAAGUUUUUCUAUUGGGUCAAGUAUUUUAGUAGUUUUUGUACUUAUACUUGAAACUUUUUUAUGACACUAAUGAGGACAUUUACCUUGAUUAAUUUAACAUUUAUAUUGCAAGUAUCUAAAUAAGAGUUCUAUAGAUUUAUUUAGACAUUUAUGGGCAUAUUUAUCCUCUUUCUGACAUAUUAUAAUGAUAUUUUUAACAUUGAUAUAAAUUAUUUGUUUGAAGGUUUCAACUAUUGAAAAAUAUUAUUCAAGCCCAAUGUUAAUCUUUUUCUAUAGUGGAUUUCAAAUAAUAAAUUCUUAUUUGAUUAUUUGUAGCGAAAAUAAACAACUUUUAUGUUUGAUGCGGAAAAAUAUAGAGUAGGUCACUUUCACAAUAUAUGGAUGCUACUCCUAUACUUUUAAAGAUGGUUACAAUCGCCUUUAUGAUGGAUAAUGAUUUUCUAGUUCUUUUAGUACUAUUAUAUUAUGUCCAAAUUUUAAUUUUGAUAUGGUCCAUAAUCUCAUCGUAUGUACUAUUGAUAGAUUACAAUGCAACAAACGCAAUGUGAAUCUCAAAGAUGAUUAUUACGUUGAAAAGUAAGUUCCCCAUGUUUUAUUUAAAUUUUUUUUAUUCUCUAAGGAUUGUUUUAUUCUCUUUAUUUUUAAAGGCUCAAAUCAUCUUAAGUUUAUUUUUUCUCUUAUUUCAAUAGUUGUAGCCCAUAUGUAGGAGAAAUUUCUCUAAAUGAAGGGUAAAGAAGAACAAGUGCAUUUAACUUGUUACACUUGCAAACUAGAAGACAACCUCAUAUUUCAGAACCUGCACUACAUGAUUUCAAUAAAAAUUAAGAUUGUUGAUUGAGAAAGGAAUGGUGAAUUCAAAAUUCUCUAUAAUUUCCAUUGUUGGUGCUCUUGAAGAUUUUGGUAAAAGACUGAACAAUUGAGUUUAGCAUGUCCUUGAAAUGUAUUUGUUUUAUGAAUCAAUGCAACUUGGUUAAAGUCUCUAUAUAAGUCAUAUACAACAUAUUUUCCCUUUAAUAUCAGCUCAUCAAUUUUUGUUUCCAAGCUUUUUGUCAAUUAUAUUUUUUAAUCCUUUCUAUUGUUUUUUGGUCUUCCAAUGACUUUGUUUCUAUUUUCAAUACUUGAAUCCAAUGUAAGAUGUUUGCAUUUUAAUUUUAUAAUUUUCUUUAUUAUUUUGCUUUUUGUUUUUUUAUGGUGUUUCCUUUGUAAUCACUUACUAGAUUCAUACUUCUAAGAAAACAUGUUGAUGAUGAUGAAAACAUGUUUCUAUAGAAAUAUAUAUAUUAUGAAGACUUCUUAUGCUUCUAUUAACCUAAAAUGAUGAUAUUGAUAAGAAGUGUAUUUAUUAUCAUAUUGCAUUACAAGUUUACUGGUGGAUCACUCUUAACAAGUACAUCUUAGCUAAAAGUUAAAAAAAUGUUUCUCUUUGCACAUACCUUUACUAUUGUUUCAAUUGCUAUCUUAAUAUGUUAUGGAAAAACUACUACAAAUAACAAUAAUAGGGAGAAAAAAACAAAAAAACAAAAAUAGAAAACUUAUAAAGUAGGACGAUUUAUGUGGUUUGGCCUAAAACCUACAUUUAUCCAUGAAAAUGAAGAAGAAUUUCCACUAUUAUUAAAGGAUAUUGCAUCCUAAAGCUCUCAAAUCCCAUAAUUACACUAAAAAAGGACUUUUUUUUUAAUCAAAAUCUCUUCCUUUAUUUUCUUGAUUAUAUAAGAACAUUCCAUAGAGAAUUAAUUAUGUAAUUAUCAAAGAUAACUAUUCCUAAAAAAAAAAUCUUAUAAUAUGAUAUUUUCUUUAUAAUAUAAAAAAAAAUCUUUUAUAUAAAUAUAUCAUAAUAGGAAAAUAUUAAAGACUUAUAAAUUGACUUGAAAAACAAUUUGAAAUAUUUUUCAACAAUCUCCACAUUAGCUCAAAUUCCCAAGAUUCAAAUAAACUCAAAAGUCUUCCAUGUUACUUUGCUCUUAUACACCCUUAAGGGGACUUCAAGUAAUGUCAAUACCAAUUAAGUCUAAGCAAUGCAUGAACUUAAUCAUAAAGAUAAGUUUAGUCAUCAUAUAUAUAAAAUUAUCAACUAUAGGGAUCUUUUUCAUUACAUUAGAACCUUGUUCAAUCAUAUCUCUAAUAAAAUGCAUUCUAACAUUAAUAUGUUUGGUCCUCUCAUGUAACAUAUAAUUUUUAGUCAAAAGUAUGACACUUUGGUUACCAUGAUAACAAUAAUCAAUGAUUGGAACCAAAUAAUUACAUUUUGUGUGCCUAAACUUAGACAUGCGUAUUUAAUAUCCAAUUCUAGUUUCAUCCCUUUACUCAAUUUUAUUCCUAAGUCCUUAAUUUUGUGUUUAAAAAUGCAUGUACUGGUGGUUAAUUUUUCACUCCAUAGUUGUCAUAUCAUCCAAGUAAUAGUUGCUACAUUAUUCAACAACGGGUUGCCUAUAGACCCACAUUUUUCAUAUGCAUCCCCACUCAAUGGCGUGGUUGACUUUUUAAGUGAAAAACUAUGUUUUAUAAAAACUUGGAGUUGCCACUUAUUUUUAUUUUUUUAAGGGAAAAUAAAAUAAGAAACUAAAUCUUAAAAAAAAACGACUCCUUAAACUUUUGGAAAAACUUGUCUUUUAAAAAUCCAAGUCUAGAUCCAGGGAUUAGGUUACUUAUUGGGAUGGUACCUUAAAAACGGAGCAUCCCUCUAAACCUUCAAAAGGUCUCUAUUGGCUAGGUUGAGGGAAGUGUGACAAUUAAUUGAUAGAAUUAGGGUACAAGAAAGACUAAAGUGUUUAGCUAAAUUCUAACAGCAUAUUAAGUAUGCAGAGCAAUCAUUUCAAGUCAUAAGUAUAAAAAGAGAGAUAGGGUGCGUACCUAGACUAUAACUCAAACACUAUCAUAAGACAUCAAAGUUAGUUCAGAUAUCAUAUCACUCAACACACAUUAUCAUUCACAUCAAAGAAUCAAAUAACAAUCAAAGCAACCAAUAACAACAUCAAACAUAGAGAUGUUCAUACAUGAAACAUACACAUAUGUUGAAUUAAGAGACAAAGGGUGAUGGGUGUAUUUGAAUUGCAUAAAUAAUUUACAAUGCACUUCGAUAAGAUAACAAAGGUUAGAAUAAAUUAUAAUGGAAAAUAAAGAGAUCCUAAAUCCUAGCAUGCAUGGUAUUUACAUGGCAUAAGGACAGAACAUAGGCUCACAAAGACAUCAAUAUUCCUACAAGGCAUGCAUACAACUUCUAGAUGUAUACAUAAGAUAUAAGAAACAAUGAUUAAUUAUAACAAAACAUAUAACCAACUAAUCAAAAUAUAGGCAUCACAAGUAUAAUUCUAAAAUAUUAUGUAAGCAUCACUUGACUAGAUAAUAAAUAAAAGCCAACAUCCAUAUCCAUUAAUCAUGAAUUAAACAAUAUGAGCAACUAGUAUGCAAAAAUCCAACAUAUGAAUAUAACCACACCAAAGCACAGAGGAUAUCUCCUAUACGUUUAGAACAAAUAAAAAAUUCCAAACACUCGUUCAAAUAUCAAUUUUAAUUCAAAAAGACCAAAAGUUCCAGAAGGUCCAAAAUUGAGUAGAACACUGAAUUUUUAAAAAAAUAUCUAGGCCUUCUAAAUUCAUACAAAAAAUAGAAAAUGUCAUUCAAGGUGCCUAAAUUAUAUAAAAAAUAAAUCCAAGACAAGGAAGCACUCAAAAGAAUUUUAAAACACUCCAAUUGAUUAGUUGUCCAAAAUUAGUCAUGUAUAGUAAGUGCAACUUUGAAAAAUCAUAUCUCUCUCUAAAAAAAAUAUAUUUCAAUAUUUUAUAUGUCAAAAUUCAACUUCAUGAAAUCAAUAAUUUUGGAAAAAUAUUUAUCUAAAUUAAAAAGGUAAAAAGGUAAUUUAAUUUUACAAAAUUCUAUCAGAUGUACCAAAACAAAACAUGCUGAAAGAAUAUAUCAUAACUCAACUUUGAGAAAGACUUGUUGACUCAACUAACGUUCCAAAAUCAACUUCAAGAAGUGAACAACAUCAUAAAAGUUUUGGAAAAUUUUUUAAAACACUCCAAAAUUAUCAAAACAUUUUUUUUUUCCUAAAGGGUUAGUAGCUGAGUUGAAAAAUGAGUUUUGAUAACCUUUUUCAUGUAGGUGUUCCAUCAAGUCCCCAUUCAAUAUUCAUAGGUUUAACCCAUGCAUUCCCAACCUCAAAUGAAAAGAUUCACCAAUGCCAAAAAUACUCCCAUUAGUUUGGAAGCACGAGUUCAAACUUAUGUGAAUAAAAAACAAAGUUUUGGAAGACCAAGAAAUAGAUAAUGCAACUUAGAUGAAAUGAGUUGCAUGUUUUUUAACGGAGUAAGAUCUUUGCCUUAAACCUAAAACACAUUUUUUUUCAAAGAUUUUAGAUAGUUUAAAUUCUUUUGAAAAUGAUUAUAGAAGAAGCACAAGGAUCCAACUGGUUUAAGUAAUCCCCGAACAAUCGGAAAAAAAAAAAAUGGACUUUUAGUUUUCUAACUUAAAAGGGAUUUAAAAACAUAAGAGAUAUUAACUUGGAUCCCCUUUAUAGUUGAAGGAGGCACGUGCAUGAUGGAGAAAAUCCAUUUUUGGUAAAAAGAAAUUUUGAAUUAACUCAAAAUAACAACUAAGAAAGUUUUUUUUCUAACAAAAAAGUUUCAAACUCAAGAAUUCUUCAAAGAGUAAACAAAAUAGGUGUCAGGUUAAAGAGAACCUACAAUUUAACUAGAUAUAACAUCUAAUGAAUUUUAAAACAACCAUCCACAUGAAAAUUUAACCAAACACAUAUCUAUAAUUUUUUUUGAAAAACAAUCAAUAUGGAAAAUUAAGCAAACAUAAUUCAAUACAGUUUUUUUAAAAAAAAAAUCUAAAUAACACAUGAACUUCAAUAAUUAAAAUAUCUAAUGGAUUAUUAUUAUUUUUAAAAAAAAAAACCAACAUAGAAAAUUUAACCAAGCACAUAUUUGGAAUUUUUUAAAAAGAAUAAUCAUCACUAAAAAAUUAACCAAACAUAAUUUAAUAAAUUUUUAAAUAUAAAUAACACAAGAACCUAAACAAUUAUAAUAUAUAAUGGAUUUUUAAAAAUACAACCGAUAUGGAAAUUUUAAUCGAGCACACAUUUAGAAUUUUUUAAAAGAAUAAUCAACAUGAAAAAUUAACCAAACAUAAUUCAAUAAAUUUUUAAAUCUAAAUAGCAUAAGAACUUAAUCAAUUAUAAUAUCUAAUGGAGUUUUAAAAAUAUAAUCAAUAUGGAAAAUUGAACCAUACACAUUGAAAAUUUUUUACAAGAAUAAUCAACAUGAAAAAUUAAACAAACACAAUUCAGUAAAAUUUUUAAAUCUAAACAACACAAAAAUCUAAAUAAUUAUAAUGUCUAAUCGAUUUUUAAAAAUACAACCAAGAUGGAAAUUUUAACCAAGCACAUAUUUAGAAUUUUUUAAAUAAUCAACAUGAAAAAUUAACCAAACAUAAUUCAAUAUAAUUUUUAAAUCCAAAAUAACACAUGAACCUAAACAAUUAUAAUAUCUCAUGGGUUUUUAAAAAUACAAUCAACAUGGAAAAUUUAACCAAGCACAUAUUUAGAAUUUUUUUCUAAAAAAAUAAUCAACAUGAAAAAAUUAACCAAACAUAAUUCAGUAAAAUUUUUAAAUUUAAAUAACACAAGAAUCUAAACAAUUAUAAUAUCUAAUGGAUUUUUAAAAAUACAAUCAACAUGGAAAAGUUAACCAAUCACAUAUUUAGAAUUUUAAAACUUUUUUUUUUAAAAGAAUAAUCAAUACGAAAAAUUAAACAUAUAUAACUCAAUAAAAUUUUUAAAUCUAUUAACUAACAAGAAAAAAAUUAUCUAAUCUAACAAUCCAAUGAAUUUAACAUUUAAAAAAAAAAACUAAAAUGAGAUUAUCAACUUCAAGUACCAAUGAUUCAAAAAAAUAAACAAUCAUCAAGAAGAGAUUAAACAAAUAUCUAAGAUUUAAACAAAAAAAUAAUAAAUAAAUAAAUAAACAACUUUUGAUCAUCAACACCAAGAACCAAUGAUCCACAAAAAUAAACAACCAUCAAGAUGAGAUUAAACUAACAUCUAAGAUUUAAACAAAUAAUAAUAAUAAUAAUAAUAAUAAUAAUAAUAUAUUGCUGAAUUCUGAACCGUGAUUGACUUGUUAAUGGGAUUUUAAGGAUUCGUAUGUGGCGGAGGAGUUUUGCACUUGUUUAUCACAGAAUUGCGAGGUUUUCUGUUUAUUAUCUUUGAGCAAAUCGGGGGUUAGAUUUGAGCAGAAAACAGAGGAGGGUGAUUGAGCGGGAGGCUAGUGAUGAGCAGUUCAUCCAACUUCGCAUUUUCCGUGUGAUAGUUUCAGUUCACAGAACAAUCAAGGAUUGAAGUUCUAAUGAAGCCUCUGUCACAACUCUCAGAACCCAACUUCCUUCAUCUUCGACUCUUUGAUCAGAGCUUUCACAUCUAUAGCAGAAUUCUUCAUUCCGCUGGCUAUCUGGCCUCUGAUAAUUACACUUUCAUGUUCUUGGUUCGCACCUCUGCUCAGCUAUUGGCGCAUGUGACUGGUUCGUCUACACAUGGUGCCGUUGUGAAAUAUGGAUUUGAGCAUGAGCCACAUGUUCAAAGUGGCUUGAUUUACAUGUACGCAGGAUUGGGUGGUUUGGUUGCUUGCCAUUGGAUGUCUUCAUCAAUUUGUGAGCCAGAUUUGGUGUGUCAGACUGCAAUGGUCAGUGCAUGUGCCAAGGUGGGAGAUUUUUCUUUUAAGCCGUUUGAUAAAAUGUCCCACAAGGACCCUAUUGUAUAGAAUACAAUGAUUUCGUGAUGCGCAAUGCAGGCAAUCAAAAAAGGGAAUCGAAUUUAUUCAACUUAAUGCAAAGGUCGGGUGUUAUUCUAGGAGGAUGAGUUUCUGAGAUAUUCAUUCAACUCAGAGGCUUCACGUUCUAUAACAAAAGGGAUCGGGUGAUUUAUUUGAGUCUUCGAGGAAUUCUAUCACUGAGUGUGAAAAGCCGCCCUCAACGCAUGCUGGCUCUCCUGUGUGCAGUGGUUCUGGGAGCAUGAAUGAUUAGAUAUCGUAUGUUUCAGGACGUGAAACUUGCUGCAAGGAGAGGAGUGGGGCUUCUCGAGAUGCUCUGUCAUACAACAGAGUUGGUAGUGAAGAAAUCUAAUAUGAAGUAACUGAUUGUGGCACUACAUUUAGUUUUGCUGCAGGAAACUCUUUUGGUGCAACACCUGCAAGCUGAAGUUUAAGGUGUCCUUCUUCCAUUUGCUUCAACAGAUGAAGAUUCUGAUAUAGAAAUACAUGGAUCUAGUUCUGUAAGUAUUGAUGAGAAUGAUGUGGUUGAGGUCAUGUUGCCCAGAACUUCAGGUGUCAGUCAUUGCUUAUCUACUGUAAAUUCUAGUUCUGUAAAUGGCAUUUUGACAGGGACAAUGUCAUUUUCAUUGAAGCUGCCACCAAUUGUUUUCCGGAUAAAUUUGCAGACAAUAAAAGCAUUGUUGGAUCUUUCUACAAGAAAAUUCGACUCGCUCCCAACUCCAAUUCAUAUCCUCUUGAAAGAAUGAAGUUCUCUAUGGGCACCUCAAAAGCAUCCUUCAAGACUGAGAAAUCCAGGAGUCAGUUACAAAACGCAAGACAUGUCAUGCUCAGAAAGUGCUACUGUCAUUUAUAUUUUAUUGCGUCAACGCGGGAACGAAUGGGCAAACUUCGCUUGAGGUGAGAUGCUGAGAACCAAGGUCCUCGAUCAUUCAAAGCCAAAAUGAAAUCACAUCAAAUGCCUGAACAGAUUGUUUUCUGGAAGUGGAUUACCCUGAAGAUGCUGAGCAUAGUCACGUAGACCUCAGUAUAUCAUUGAUCAAUCAAAGGUGAUUCAGAACCUGUAAAAAUGUUUGAGAGAACUAUUAAUUUGAUAAACAAUCAGAUAAUUAACUAUCGAUAUGAUCCGUCUGAAAAGUGGUUGGUUUUGAUUGGAAUUGCUCCGGGUUCACCUGAGAGACCACAGCUUGUCAAAGGGAAUAUGCAGCUUUUCUCUGUUGAACAGCAUCGAAGUCAAGCUCUUGAAACUCAGGCUGUAUCAUUCGCCACAUUUAAAGUUCCAGGGAAUGAUCAAUCCUAUGCACUUAUUGGUUUUGCCACAAUAUCCUUUAAUGCCGGACAGAUUGUCUCAAAGCUACAUGUCAUUGAACUUGGAUCCAACUCAGGGGAACCAGGAUUUAUAGGGAAACAGGCUGAUCUUUUCUUUCCCCCAGAUUUUACUGAUGAUUUUCUAGCUGCAAUGCAGAUAUCGCACAAAUAUGACUUUAUACAUGUGAUUACCAAGCUUGGAUUGUUGUUUGUUUAUGACCUGGAGACGUCUUCUACAGUAUACAGAAAUAGGAUUAGUCCAGGUCUAAUAUUUUCUUACUGCUGAAGUUACAUCUAUUGGAGGUUUUUAUACCAUCAAUAGGCGAGGGCAGGUGCCAAUUGCUACUGUAAAUGAGGCAGCAAUCAUACUUUUCGUCAGCGGCCAAUUGAACAACUUGGAGUUAGCAGUCAAUCUCACAAAAAUGGGGAGUUUCUCUGGUACAGAGAACUUGGUUGUCCAGCAUUUCCAAAAAUUGUUUGCUCAGACAAAAUAUAAGGAGACUUAAGGAAUCCCAUGGUGGAACCAUGUCAACAUAGACUAGAACUGAUGGAAAUUUAUCUUCCUCACUGUCAGAUAUCACUGCUCUUGAGGAGUCUCUUACUGCUGCUGGUGGGAAGUUCAUCUUUGUGCAAAAGCUUCGUGACUUUGUUUCUGUUACAUGUGACGUUUUGCAGCAUAAGGCUUUUCUUUUUAUUGAGGGACUUGAAGAGCAAAUGCAGAAGCUUCAUGAAGAGCGUGCAUCAGCUGUCUUAGAAAGGAGAGCUGCUGAUAAUGAUGAGAUGAUGGGAAACACAAGCAUCCAUUGAUGAUGCAAUGUCGGUUUUCACUAAAAGUGGUUCUAAAAAGGCAAUGGUUGCUGCUGCUGUUCUUCUAAGAGAACUGAACUGAGUAGCACACCAGCAUACUGUUACGGCUCAUGAGCAUCAGAAGAAUCAUAGCAGGGGAGCCAAAUAACCGGGUGGAGACUACCAGAAAUCAUGCUUAAGAUGACAUUGCUCAAUCCUAUGCCAGCGGAGCUGUUUCUAAUGUCCAAAACCAUUGUGUUAGAUGACACUAGUCCAGCCACUCUAAAGAUCAGAAAGCCUAUCGAGGGAGUUGCUUCAUCAGGAAAGGGGUAGAGGAGAUUUAAUUUCUAUUGAUGUUCUUAGUAUCAGGAACUCUUCAUCCUUGAGCGCCAAAAGUUGUAAGUCUAAAAUUUGGAAAGCCAGCUAUUUCUUCUGAACUGCAUCUGUCUCCUAGUACCAUAGGUCAGCUGACCUCAAACGUGAAAUCUAGAAAGGUUGACGCUGCUUGCACAGUGGUAGCUAGCUUCUCCUUUAUGCUGAACAAAUUUUAUUAGGAUUCACGAUCAGUUGAAGCAUCCACAAUUUUUGAUGCUGAAAUGGAAGAAACAUUUAAGGUCAUUAAACUAAGAAGUCUGAUGGCUGGUUCCUCUGCCCAUGCUGUUCCAACUUCAAUUGGUUCCAGUUUGCCACCAAGCUCAUCAAUAGACUCAUUGCCUUCAGAAAAGUCAACACCGAAUCCCCAUGCUGAGGAUUUCAAGUUCAAUCCCAAUAUAAAGGGGUUCAUUCCGCCUCAAGUGCCUCCUGUCAUAUUCAAUCCACAAACUACAUCAAUAUCCUUUUGACAUCCAGAAACCAUUUGGAAAGAUUCUCAAUGAAGAGACAUAUACCCCAAAAAUGAUCCCAAUCAAGGCACUUUCAAGCUUGGUCAAGCUUUAUGGAAGAGUUGCAGCAGAUUGAGAGGCUCAAAGCAUAGUCGUCUUAAAGCAGAGUAGUCUACUGGACACCUUCUUGAUAACCAACAGACUGCAAAGUUCCCAAUAGAAGUUAGUUCUUAAAGUAGCAUUUAUUGGGAUUAAUGUUCCUCUUGAGACCAUACAGGUGAAAGAUAUCAUCUUCAGUUUUACAAGGUGGAAUAAUGCUCAGUGGGCAUAAGAAAUGAAUGAUUCCAGUGAUGAAACCAUGAUCUUCAAUAGUGGUUCUGCUCCACCAGCCUAAAGUGAAUUUCGCCAAGCCCAGAUGGAGAUCCACUUGGUAUAAUAACUGGUUUCAGGCAGAUAGUAGUGACGGCUCAUGAUUGGGAUGAUAUAUGUGCCUUCUUCUCUUGGAUUUUGGGGUUCUGGAAAGCCAAGAAAACUGCAACUGUGGAAGACCGUAUCCUUGAAAGAUCAUUCUGGUGUUAUUGGUGAGAGCAUUAGCUUUUCAGACGAGGUAAUUGGUGUACUACAGCACUUGCUCGCUGUGCACAUAACAGAUGACAUUGAGAACCUGUGCUGGGAUUUCUUGAGUAAUAGAAUGCGGUUGUUUCUGGUACUCUCCUUGCUUCAAACUGGAAUUGGGGAAUAUUGCCUAAAAACAACAAUGUCCCUGGAAUAGGUCCAAUCUCUCCUGACUAUGCAUCCAGUGAUAAUGAAUAUCUUACUUUUGCAGAAGGCCUAAUUUCCAGUUUACUAGAAGCUGGGCAAGUUGCUAAAAUCUCAAGGAUAUUGUCAUCUUUCUUGAACAUAUAUUUACAAGCUUACCAGAAAGCAUUUCUCUCUACAAUUAACAAUGGCCAGCACCAUGGUGAUAGGUUUUCACCUUUAUUGCUUCUCAAACAUACUGGUGUUGACAAAGGCAUACAGGAUGGGUUUCUUGAGAAGAGUGGAAUAAAUCCUUGUCAUCUGGAGUCUGUUUAUGGUCUCUUAUCAAAGUUAGAUCAAAUGGUUAAGAAAAGAGCUUCUGGAUUCCUAUCGAAGGUCUUUUGGGAAUGUAUAUUGCAUGGUUUCCCCUCUCAUCUUCAAGCUCCCAGUGGAACUCUUCUUUCAUGCAUUCUAAGUAUAAGAGGGAUCAUUUGCAUUCUAGAUGAGCUACUGAAAAUCAAGUGAGCGCUUCUUUGGCUACAUAUUUCCCCUUGAUUGGCGAAAAUCAUCUACUGAGGCUACGGUUUCUCUCAAAGAAAAUGAGCUUGCUGGGAAUUUACUUAGGGAAGUUAUUCUUAAAAACAUCAGCUAGAUCCAGAAGUUUUAAAUCUUCUCAUACCAAGGCGAUCUGCAAUGGCAGUAGUCGUACAUCAUCUUCUGAUCAAAUUGGUAAUGAAAUUUGGGAGAAUGACGUUAAUAAAGUUGAGGACCUUGAAGCAGUUCAGAUAUUGCAGGACAUUUUUAGCAAAUAGCAGGGAACUACAGGCAAAAGUGUUAAAUAGGAUGCUUAAGAUUUUCUCAGGUCAUCUUAAAAGCUAUAAAUUGUGUCAACAGCUAAAGACUAGGUCACUCCCUAUCUUAAAUAUGGAUGAUUUUCUUCCAUCAUCGCAAGAGAUCAUCUUGGAAAAUCUUGGAUAUGCUCCGAUUAUUGUGAAAAGCAUUUCUGAGCAAGAAUCGCCUUCACUUUGCUGUUUGUUGCUGUAGCUAAUCACGUCUGAAUUAAAGCACACCAUUCUUUCAUUUUUUGUCAACACAAUGGUAAUCCUGAUCAGUUGGAGAGAAAAUUCAGCUACAGCAGCUUCAAGAAACACUCUGGCAGCAAGGAUGAUAUCAUAUCCUCAUCAAAGCUAAUUGAAUCCGUUUCUGGGAAGUUUCCUUUUUUUGAAAUUAAGAAUAUAGCUGCUGAUGCAUAGGGAAGAGACUCCCAGAUUUAAAAUUUGCAGUCAGGAAAGAAGCAGAGUACUCUCUGAGGAAGAAGUGGAAAAAGAUUGAAAACUUUGAUGCCCAUGAAGAAGGAACCUGAUUCCACUCUUGAAAAAAUAUUAGACAAAUCUACUGGUUAUUUGACGAUUGAAGAGUCGUAGGGUAUUAUUAGUUGCUUAUGAAUUGUUAAAACAGCAAGUUCCUGCAGUGGUCAUGCAGGCUGGUCUACAACUGUGUGCUUGCCUAAUAAAAACACAUUCUCUAGCCUUGGAGUUCCCUGAAAAUGGAGGUGUGGCUGCUCUUUUCUGUCUUCCAAGAAGCUGCUUCUUUCUUGGAUAUGACACGGUAACAUCUGCUAUCAUUCAGCAUCUCCUUGAAGAUCCGUAGACACUUCAAACAGCUAUGGAAUUGGAGAUACGACAAACUCCAAUGGGAACCUUGAAGUGUAUAUUUGUAGAUCAAAGCUUCGCGACCAUUACUGUUAGUAAUGAACUAAGCUUCAAUUUUGAUCUAUCUUCAACAAUAGGAAUUGAUUUAUCCAAAAAUUUGCUACAUAGAGAGAUACCGACAGGAUUUUCUGGGCUGUUGGGUUUGGAAUACCUGAAUUUAUCAUAUAAUUAUCUUGAUAGUCAGCUUCUUACCUUGGAAAAGACGGAGAGAUUGAUGGUACUGGACCUAUCAGACAAAUCUUUGUCAGGUCAGAUCCUAGAAAAUGUUUCCAAUCCAAGAAACGUAAAGAAUCAAGAUAUGUCAAGUGGAGGUUCAAAAUACGGAGGAUAAGGGUCAUAUUCAGAUUCCACCCUUCAAUUCGAUCAUGGUUUCUGGUUGUUCAUUGCAGUUGUUCUACUGAAAGGCACAGACGAGUAAUCAGUGAACUCGAUAAAGCAUUAUCUUCAUUUUCGAACCUGGAGUGCAAUUCUUCGAAGAGCAUUUUAUUGCCAGAUAAAAAGCAAAAAGCAUGAUAGAUGGAGGAAUGGUUCGGUGCCUAACUAGCAUUCUUGAGUGAUGCAGUUUUCAAGUUUGAUGGUCUGAACAAGAAAAAUCCCCAGCUUCAAACCGAAGAUCUGAUGAUCAGGGGAUUGCACCAUUAACUACAGAGAUUGGUGAGAAUAGUCAGAAUAGAAACAACCAACAAGGACUCAUGGAUGCAGUAGGAACAGAGCAGCGACAACGUCAAGGAAUUUUGCAAAGUGAAGGAAAUCAUUCAUUUACAGAUUCGGUCCGAUUAUGGAUGAAAAGCAACAAUUAGGAGUCUGCUUGGUGAUGGCAACGACAAGGAUACCUAUUCUAGUGGAACCAUUGAAUCAAAUCUUGGUGGCGAGAAAUUAACACAGAAUGCAGGAAAUCCGUCAAUACAAAAAACUGGGGAUUUUGAACUUUAUGUUCAGUGUUUGACCAAUAUUGGGGAGAAUCCAUUUGAGCUUACGGACCAAGUUACCUUAUAAAUCGAAAUGCUUCUGACCACUGAAUACUUUGGCAACGAAUUGGGUCCUUCUAUCCCGAAUUUUUAGACUCCACUCCAUCAUGGUUACCUUGCUACACACACCUCCUCCUCUUUUUUGGCUUCUUUGAUUAGGAAUUUACUAUUUUAAAUUGAAUUUUUUAAAUCAUUUUUCAACUAAGCAUUUCCAGCUUUGAAAAAUCCAGAUUUUAAUAAAUUUGCUGCCACUUUCCUCCAGGCAUGCAUUUUCACUAUCUUCUUUUAUUCUCAAUUAUUUUCAUGGUUUUCUCAAUUUUCAACAAGCAUGAACAAACUUCAUGAUUCCAAAUAAUGGAAUUCAUAGAAUCAAUUCAUGCAAAAUUAAUUAGAGCUAUGGUGGGGGCCCAACAUUCGUGAUAUUUUCCUCAAUAUUGUCUGUUUAAUUGUGCUUCCUCUAUGUGGAUACAUGAGAUUGUUUUACACUUAUUAUUGAGCUAAUCUUAUUUCUCAUUUUAGCGCACGGCUUGCUAUCCAGGUACGUUCCCUAAUACCCACUUUCUAAACCCUAUGAAUAUGAUUGUCGUUGCGUACUAUGCCCAUGCUUGCUAUCCUGUUUGAUUGUCUUGAUAUAUAUUUGAUGUUUGUUUGAUUAUCUUUGAUAAAAUGCAUAUUGGGUGAUAUAUUAUCUAAACUAACCAUUGAUGUUUUAUCAUAGCGCUUAAGAAGUGGUCCAGGUACGCACCCUAACUCUCCUUUAUUGUAAUUUGAUCAUGUUUGACAUGUUAUUUUUUAAAUCACCUUAGUCUAUCUAGAUAUCCUUAAUCACUCAAUUAAUUGCCACAUUUCCCCCAAUUUAGUCAGUAGAGACCUCUUUAGGGCUUAGAGGGGUGCUACCUCCUAGAGGUACCUUCGCAAUAAGUAACCUGAUCCCCAGACCUAGACUUGGGUUUUUAAAAAACACGCUUUUCCAAAAAUUAUGGAGUCAUUUUUUUAGGGUUUUAUUUCUUGUUUUAUUUUCCCUUUAAAAUAAAAAUAAAAUGAGUGGCGACUCCGAUUUUUCUUUCCAAAAAUUACUUUUUCAGAAAUAAAAAACGAGUCUCGCCGAUCGAGUGGGGACGCAUGUGAAAAAUGUGGGUCCACAGACAGGUUGGCCUUUGGCAAUUGCAGCAGACCCUCUGAACCAUCAUCAGCUAUCAGACCUAGCAGACCUCCUUGUCAUUUUGCUUACUUGGAGGUUCUUCAAGAUCACGGACCAUGCCGACUCCGUUUUGCAAUCGAUAUACUUUUUUAAGAUCAGCAAAAGCAACAAUCUAAACUCAGAAUCAGAUCACCCACAAUUGUCUAGUCACUGGAUGAGAAAACCUCCAGGUCCUUUUUGAGGAACAUGUAUUAAGGACCCUUCCACAACUUUCUUUAUCCAUUCCUUUGCCAAGUGAUAUGUUCUCUUCUAUCUUGCCACUCUGAAUUCAAGGAAAAUGAGUACCAAAUUAAACAUCAUAACCAACUUGUUCACUAUGGUGGCCUUUAAUUUGAGCUUUACAAUUUCUAGGAAACCCGUGACGGAUCAAAUUCCUAAGUUGCAUUCCUGAACGCACCAAAACUCAUGCUAAUACCUUCAUGGGCACCAAAACUAAUCAAUCUCACCACUAGCAAAACUUCUCCAAAAAAUCGGCAAAACUAUCCAUGCUUCAUCUUUCCUCUGUUCUUUCGCCCCUGUUUUUCUUCCUUCAUUCUCCAGUAAUAGAUACUUUAACCGGUGCCAAACAAUCUUCCUCCUGGAAUGGUAGUUGUACGAGAAACCCUUGAACUUGUUUUCUUAUUCCAAAUUUGGAUAUGGAGUUUUGACAGCAUCAAGAAACCAUUCUUUAGUGCCAUUGAUUAGUGAUGCAGGCAUGGCUGGAAAUACUCGAAAUAUCCACAUAAAACAAAGGAAGACUGGAAAUGGACCAAUAAAAAAUAAACAACAAAAAGGAAGAACCAAUGGAAGCCAAAUUUCAUAUUUUAUUCCAUGGGCUUAGGUUGGUGAGGGGAAUACAAGCAAAUUCCAACAAACAUAUACGACGACUAUUCUCAUGUAAUGCACAGUAAAUAAAAAAGGUAAAGUCUUUUAGCCCUAAACCAAAACUAGAGUACUCCAAAGGGAGAAAUCAACAACAUCUAGAGAAGCAAUCAAGUGCCAAUCCAAACAAACAUAUAGCCUCUAUCAUUCUACACCCAAGCAUCCAAACAAAACUCAAAAUCCCACGAAGAUCAAUACAUAACAAAAGGAUAACGAGAAUGAAGGAAGAGUCAACAAGAGGCAUUCCUGGAAAUGUUCCUCUCUAGUAAGAAAAUCCCUGUUGGUAUAUCGUCUUAGAUCUCUUACUCUGCUUUGUUGUGUUUCCUUCCUCUCCCUAUGAAGACAAUCUCAGAAUUCUCCNNNNNNNNNNNNNNNNNNNNNNNNNNNNNNNNNNNNNNNNNNNNNNNNNNNNNNNNNNNNNNNNNNNNNNNNNNNNNNNNNNNNNNNNNNNNNNNNNNNNUUUUUUUCCGGGGGGUUGGGGUGGGGGGGGGAAAAAAAAAAAAUUCCAAAAAAAAUUUUGGGGGUUUUUUUUUUUUAAAACCCCAAAAAAAAAAAAAGGAAAAUUUUUUUUCCCCAAAACAAAAAAUGGGUUUUCCCAAGGGGGAAAAUUCACAACUUUUGGGGAAGAAAAAAAGGGCCAAUCCAAAAAAAAAUUUUUCUUUUUUUUUUUUCCCCCCAAGGCUUCAAAAAAAAAUAAAAAUCCCCGGGGGUUCAUUUAUUUAAAAAAGGGUUCGGGGAAGGGGGGGGGGGCCCCCCGGGGGCCUCCCGAAAAAUUUUCCUUUUUUAAAAAAAAACCCCGGGGGGAUUUUUUUUUAAUUUUUUUUUUUUGUUUUUGGGGGUUUCCCCCCCCCCCCUAAAAAAAAAAUUUUAAAAUUUUCCCCCCCUUUAAAAACCCCCCCCCCCCCCCCCCCCCCCCCCCUUUCCCCUUUUUCUUUAUUCCUCCAAAAGCCUAAUCUAAACUCAAAGGGCAACCAAGGUCACGAUGAGGGGUCAAGUAAAUCCCCCAACUAAAGUCUCUGAGGUGGCUAAAAAAAAAGUAAAUUGUAUGAGUAGUCAUGGGCCACCAAGAGACUACUAUUAAGUAUCAAAUGAGCUUCUAAUAGGACAUGUGCUAAGAGGACAAAAUGGAGGGUCUACAAUACCUUUUUAGGAUCACAUAAAGGGACACUUUGUCUCAAUUCCAUGAGAUAUCAUGGUGCCUACAUUUAGAAUACCUAUUGUUACUGGCUUUCAUCAACAAUGACCCAAUCCAUAGGAAAUAUGUGAUCAACUUACAAUCUCACCCGUAAAUCAAAGACACUAGUAACUUUAGCAUAAACUCAACAUUCUCUCAAAGUUGAGGGACAACGCAAUGAAGUAGUUUGGUGAGGUCAUGACUACUUGAUAGCCUUAAGUCAUGACUUAUUGUAGGUCCUGUUCAAUGUGUAACCAUACACACUAAUGCACUCACCAUGGGAAACCCAUCUCGAUAGCCAAGACCAAUUAUCCCUCUAAUUAGGAGGUGGUGCACUACAACCCAUAAUAGGUUGCCUAGACCCAUGAAUCGGUUGUGAACAAGUCAUCUAUUUGUAAGAAAUCCAUGACUUGGAUCUUUCUUGCAACUCUUAAAGCACCAAGUCACGUACAAUGCAAAAUAUGCAUGCAAGAAUGCUCAUAAAAGUGUAAUGCAUGGAAUAAAUUAAAACAAAUAAAAGUGAAACUAGAAUAUCAUUAAAUAAUGAAUUCCAAAUUUGUUAUAUCAUUGUCAUGCUUUUAAGGGCUCUAUCUUAACAACAUUAAUUUAUUUUGUUCUAAGAUCAUCAAAUUUUUAUUUAACACAACCUCGUUGAUCUAUAUACAACACAACUUGACUUCUCCUUAAUUUGAUAUCAUAUUUUUUUUUUCUUUUGAAAGUAAAGGCAUCGUAUACCAUGAUCUCUUUGAUUUUCCAUUUUAUUUUUCAUCGUGGUUGCCUUUGUUUCCAUUUUGGAGGUGUUUCCAUAUGUUACAAGUGAGCAACUUAUAUUUAAGAGCAUGAAUUUUGGAAAGUGUAUGAGAGUUUUGCUUAUCUAAAGAUUCAAGUAUAUACUAACUUACUUCGAGAAACAAUUAUAAUGAUCUUAGUCAAACAAGGCAUGUAGACAAUAAGAUUUGAGCAUGAUGUACAAAGGAUCUUUCCAAAGAUAUCAAUGUCUACUUUAUGAGUUAAACUUAAGAAGUCUCCCUCUUGAUCAAGCACAAAAUGUAACUAAGGUUGAAAUUCCACUCUCCAAAGACAUUUAAUUAUCAAGAAUCAUAUCUGCAAUAGUGAUUAACAAAUAUCUAAGAAUCAAUCCACAUCAAGUCUUGUAGAUAUAGUAUAUUUCUCUAGUUCUCAAACUUGAGAUAUUAAAAAUCAUGCCAAUAUAUCAAGUAAAAAAGCAAAAAUCAUAUGCCCAAAGCAAACCAGAAGAAAACCCAAGGAAAAAAGUAGACAAUGAAACAAUUAAGCUCAAAACCUUUCAAGGCCUAUAACAUUAGAUAAUUAGUCAAUUAGGCGUAUGCCCAAGGAUUUCCUAAGGAACUCAAACCUAAGAGAAUUCAAGGGUUUUGUAAAGAUAUCUACCAAUUGAUGUUUCGUGGGGACAAACUCUAGAGAGACAACGUUUUCUUCAACAAAAUCCCUAAUGAAAUGAUGAAAAAUUUCAAUAUGUUUAGUACGAUAAUGAAGAACACGAUUCUUUGAUAUAUUUAUAGAACUAGAGUUUUAAUAGUAUAUGUUCAUGGUCCUUUACUCAAUCCUAUAGUCUUUCAGUAUUUGUUUCAUCCAUAAGAAUUGUGUACAACAACUUUCAGCAACAAUAUAUUCAACUUCAACAAUAGAUAAGGAUAUAGAUUUUUUUUUUCUUACUAAGCCAACCCACAAAACAAUCACCAAUAAAAAAGUGAGCAUCAUAUGUGUUUUUUCUAUCCUCAACAUUUUCGACCCAAUCAACAUCAAAAUAACUAACAAUCAUAAUAGAAGAAUCAUAGGGAUACCAAAAACCAUAGUCAAGAGUCUCACUAAUAUAUAAUGUAAUUCUUUUAACGGAAAUUAAGUGUGACUCUUUGGGGUUUGCUUGUUAGUUAACACAAACACCAACACAAAUGAUAUGUUAGGAUGACUCACUAUGGGGUAUAAUAAGUUUCCUAUCAUACUCCUAUAGAGCUCUUUUUCAACAUCCUUUCUAGAUGCAUCCUUAUUAAGCUUAGUGGUAGUGUUCAUAGGUGUCCUAGAGUGUUUGGUGGAUUCUAGACCAAAUUUCUUCACUAACUACCGAGCAUAUUCAGAUUGUGAAAGAAAGAUUUCAUCUUUUAGUUGUCUAAUCUACAAUCCUAAGAAGAAAGUUAGUUCACCAAUCAUACUCAUCUCAAAUUCAGUCUUCAUUUCCCUAACAAAACUAAAGUCAAGAUCACUAGAGGUGGCUCCAAAAACAAUAUCAUCAACAUAAAUUUAGAUCACUAAUAAUUCAUCCUUGUACCUAUGCGUAAACAAGGUUCUAUCAACUUCCCUUUUCUCAAACUUUUUCUCCAAAAGCUAGGUAGUAAUCAUCUCAUACCAAGCUUUAGGAGCUUGUUUUAAUCCAUAAAAGGCUUUCUUCAACCUAUAGCUAUGAUUGGGGAAUUUCGGAUCCUUGAAACCCUUAGGUUACUCUACAUAAACUUCUUUACUUAGAAUCCCAUUAAAUAAAGCACUCUUGACAUCCAUUUGAUAAAGCUUCAUUCUCAAGGAGCAUACUAUAGCCCAAGUAUCUUGAUUGAUUCUAGUUAGGUUACGGGUGGAGAUGUCUCUUCAUAAUCAAUCUCCUCUAUCUGUGAGUAUCCUUGGGCUACUAAUCUUGCUUUGUUCCUCACAAUGACCUUAUUUUCAUCUUGUUUAUUUUUUAAAAUCCAUUUUACACCUAUGACAUACUUAUCUUUAGGCCUAAGGACUAAAUACAACAUAUCAUUCCUAGUGAAUUGAUUCAACUCUUCCUAUAGUGCGGUAGUCUAAGACUCAUCUUCUAAAGCUUACUCCAUGAUAUUGGGCUUCAAUUGGGAGGUAUAGCAUAUAAGAUCCAUUUCAUUUAAUCUUUGAUUAUCUCCUAGCAACUACACGUUCAUUCACCUUACCUAUAACUUUUGAGAUACAAUAGUUCUUGGGUACUUUGGAUUUAUGCUUAUUCCCCAUUUCUUCAUAAUUGUCUUCUUGAGAUAUAUUCUCAUCCUUGUUGGGGUCAACUUCACUUUGAGGAACAUUAUUUGGGUUCUUUGAUUUCUCCUUAAAAAAACUCACAAAGAAGUAUCUUGAAAAAUCAUCCACAACAACUAGGACAAAUCUCUUACCACUUCUACUCUCAAUAUGCAUGGGACCCAUAGAUCCAUAAAAAGAAGGUCUAAAGGUCUAGUGGUCCUAAUUUCCUUAACCUUUUUGUGUGAACUUUUUUAUUGUUUACCCACCACAAAUGGGUUUAGGUUCACCACUAAGUUUAGGGAUUCCUCUAACUUUUUCACUAUUAACUAAGUGUACAAGAUCCCUAUAGUUUAUUUGACCUAGCCUUCUAUGCCAAAGUUUAGUAAGGUCUAGCUUAGCACUAGUGCACACAAGAGGUGUCUUAGAGUUAGGAUUUAUUGCAUAACAGUUGUCAACUAUCCUAUGUCCUGUGGUAAUGGCUUUUCCUUCUUUGUUGACUACCUUGCAUAAGUCUUAGCAAAAAUUCACCCUAUGAUCUUUGUCAUAGAUUUGACUAAUACUUAGGAGGUUUGCCUUGAGUUCAUCUACAUAAAGAACUCCAUCUAACUUAGGACAAGUAGGGAUAGAUAUACUUCAUUUGUCUUUCACAAGCUAAGUUUCCAUCCCCAAAGGUAAUUGUGCCACCAUUAUAGUCCUUAAAAGAUAUGAAAGAAGGACUUGUCUCUUGUCAUGUGUCUAGAGCAACCACUAUCAAAGUAUCACUCACUAGAAGACCUAACUUUAAGUGCAGUGAAGACUACUUGACAUUUAGGCUUAUUUUUUUUCAUCCAAACUUGUUUAAUCCUAGGUGGUAACUUAGAGAAGCUUUAUUGAGAUAUAGGCUUUUGAUUAGGUUUAUUCCCUUUUCCAUAAUUCAAGAUGUUAUUUUUAAGGGAAUUAAAGUCAUUCAUUAGCCUAUUUAUUUGAGAUUCAAAUCUCUCUAGGAACUUAGUGUAGCACCUAUACUGAGUGUGUCCUAUUUUCUUUCAGUGUAUAGUGAUGGGUUUAUGAGAGAUGCUACUUGGUUGGGGGUUUCAUCUUUUCCUUUAACAAACACAAUUUCUCCACUAGAAAGAGUUUCAUCUUUAUUAAUAUACUCCAAACCUCAUUUAUCACCAUGGGUUUUCAUUUAUCAAGUAUUUCAUUAAGCAUUUUAGUUCUAAGGUGAAAGAUCUCAUUCACAAAUGAAAAAGGCUUACUAUUUUUCAUCUCUUAAGUAGGAGUCUUAUUUUUCUCAAUAAGAGAAUGAUGUUCAGAUCAAGAAAUCUAUUUUUUUUUUCAAGUAUAUUAAUAUUUUUUUCUUUUAGCACAUCAAUCUUAGUUUUGUAAGCUUCAAGUAUAUGAUCAUAUCUUAAAUAAUUCUUAAUAAGUUUUUCAUGCUCAACAACAAGAUUAUUCAAAAAAGUAGCUUUUUGAUCAUUAGUGAAUUCAUUAUCACUAUCACUAUCAUGCACAAAUUCCAUAGAUGCAACAAAAGCUAAAAAGUUAUUAGGAUCAUACCUUGUAUCUUCAGAAGUUGUGGAACCACUUUCUUCAAAAUCAAUGUCACUCCAUGUAGCUUGCGUAGACUUUUUGACAUUUUUUGGGUUAGGACAAUCAGUAGCAAAGUGUCCCAAACCACCACAAUUAAAGCAUUCUACUUUCUUACCUUUGGAGGAACCUUAAUCAUUUUCUUUGGAUGAUUUCUUAAGUCUCUUUCCUUUUCUAGAUUCUUGAUUUUCGCAAAACUUUUUGUUGAAUUUCAUUACCGUUUUAAUUCUUUUAGUCAUAUAAAUCAAUUCAUUCCUAGUUAUAUUAUGUGACAUUUCAGUAUCUUUUUUCUCAUUCUCCGAAGCCUUAAAGACAAAGUCUUGAGGAUUUUGAGAAUUAGGUAAGGGCAUCUCAUAUGUCUAUAUAAAGCCAACAAGUUCACCAACUCUCAUCUAAUCAAUGUCUUUGCUUUCCUCUAUAGCAAUAACUUCAGGUUUAAAUCUCUUUGGGAGAAAACUCAAAAAAUUUUCUUACUACAUUUGAAUCUAGAAUGGGUUUUCCAAGGUUCAAAGAAGAAUUAACUAAUAAUCUCAAAUUUAGUUUUGAUUUUCAUGCAUUGUAAUAAUCUCAAAUUUAGUAGUAAGCAUUUGCAAUUUAGAAACUUUAAUAGUAGGUGUACCUUUAUGAGUGACUUGAAGGAUAUCUCAUGCUUCCUUAGCACGAGUAUGGUUUGUUAUCUUGCGAAACUCAUCUGGACAAACUCUAUUAAAGAUACUAAAUAAAGCCCUAACAUUGGCUUCACUUCCUUCAUUAUCAACUUUGUCCCAAUCUUGUUUAGGUUUUAAUUCUCCAAGUGAUCUUCCACGGACAUCAAGAAACAAUGAGGGCGUUCACCUUGCAUUUUAAGAAAAAACUUCAUCUAGGCUUUCCAAUAGGGAUGGUUACUCCCAUAGAAGCAAGGUAGACUAUUUAGAGGAGCCCUAGUUUUUUAUUGUUUCAUACUAGACUUACAAAAUCAAUAAAAAUUUCAUUUUUAUCCUAUAUAAUUAAUAAAAAUUUGAUUUUUAAUCAAUAUGAAAAAAAUCGAUUUUUAUUUGUUUGUAAUAUCAAUUGAAAAACCAAAAGUCUAUUAGGAUAACACCCAAAGGGAAGGGGGGUACUGAGUGUAUUUAAAAAUUAUUUGUAUAUUAUAACUAACUUUUUCCUUGCAAGAAGUUAGGGAUUAUUAAUUCAUUCAACAAUGGACAAUGUAAUCAAGAUAAUCAAAUAUAUGCAAUGAAGCAUAAGGAUAUUUACAUGGAAAACCCUCACACCAACUAUGGAGAUAAAAAACCACGAGGUCUAAGAUUGUUAAUCUAAAUCCACUAUAUGAGAUCAAGUUACACAAAUUUACUUGACCACUUUACCCUAAAAACUUACUCUCCAAUAUCUACAACUUAAUCCACGUCUGUGAUGCAGCAAAUCCCUAAUUGCUCCAAUGAAUACACUUCAGCCUCGCUAAAGGGAUGAAGAUCUUCAACCCCAAGAUUCAAAGCUUGAAUUCUUUGAAUGAGAGAUCAUGAAUGGUAUGACACGUUAGAAUUUCUCUUAAAGAGACUCUUUUGAAUCUCUCUAAUCUCUUACCCUAUAAGGGUUAUAGAGAGGUAUAUAUAGGCAAAUAACCCGAAGAGAUUUGAUAUGCAUAGGUUUCCAAAUCCAACUUAUGUGAAAUUCUCAAAAUUAUUCUCUAAUUUUUUGCAAGAAAUACAUGAGCGCUUGAGCACACAUAACCACCGCUUGAGUGGUGCUAAGCGCUUAAGCGGUCCCAAUGCUUGAGUGUUGCUGCCUACUCAAUUGUCCCCUAUUUCAUUCACUUUUUUUAAAAAAAAAAAAAAAUCAAUUUUUGUUGAUUUAAAAGAUAUCGUUCCUCUUUAUACCUCAUAAAAGUCUAACUUGCCACAAGUCAAACCUUUUCAGACAUACCUGUGACUUCUCAGUUGAACGAACAACAACCCUUGAUCUUCAAUGAAGAGCAAGUCACUAUUUAAUAGGACUUAUGUGUUCAAACAUUAAAAGAAAUAAAAUUGUCGACAUACAAACAAGACUCAAUGUCCUAACAACAUCUCUAUCAUUUAGAUUCCAUAUAUGUAUAUUACACCCAACAAACUUAAAAUGAUUGAAAAUUUCAUGAUAUAUCUAAUUUAAUGGCAAUAUAAAGACCACCAAAAAGAAUGAUAUUUGACAUUCUAAUCAUAAUACAUUUUUGUUAGUUCACGAUGUAAUUUUUAUUUGUUUUCAUUAAGAUUAUGUUUGAUUUUUGAAAAAUAGUAAAAAAAAAAAAAAAUGUAAUAAAAAAGAAAGAAAAUAUAAAAAAAUAAAAAAAUGAAAAAAAUAAAUUUUAAAUUUUAAAUUAAUAAAUUAUUUUUACACACUUCUUCAAACUUAACUCAUUUAGUUUUUAUCUUUUAUAUAAAAAUUAAGUAAUUUUUUUUUAAAGUUUCUAACUAAUUUUAAUUAUAUUUUAUUUUCUUUCAUAUUUCUUAUAGUAAAAUAAACAUAAAAAACAUUUUCCUUAACAAAAAUUUCCCCUUUUUCCAUAACAUUUUUCAAGGAAGAAGACCAAAAAACCAUAUAUAUAUAGCCUAAUUAUGUUUAAUCUUUUUAGAAAUAUCCCAUAAAAUAUGGAACUUUCCAAGUCAACCAAACAUUGUUUAAAAGAAUGAAUGAAAAGAAAAGUAAAAUGAAUAAAGCAUACACUAAUAAAUUUCUUUGGAUCAAUUUUCUUCUGUACUUUUAUUCUCAUCAGUUGCCAAUAUAUAUACACAGAGAAGAGAUACAUCAAGACUCCUAAAUAAGGUAAAACUAAACAAGGAAGAAAAUAUGUACAAAUUACAAACACAAUAUUUGCCUACCACGCCAAUCAAGGCUUACCAUAAUCGGCUUGCCCAUCAAAGUUUACCAUAAUCACUAAUAUAUGAAGUUGGAAUAUAAUUAAUGCGAGCACAUGAAGCUACAUUUGAUAAUAUCACAUCUCUUCAAUAACCCUUAAUUAUAAUGUCCAUAAUAAUUAUAAUUCACAUCUUAUAUUCAUGUUGCUUGAUAAUAAGAAAAUGGACACCAUAAAAAAUAGGAUAAAAUAAGUAUUGAAAGUCUUCACCUAAUGAAUAAUAAAUGUCCAUAUUUUCUAUUAGGCCACAUGGGAGUUUUCAAUGAACGAAUCAACGUCUCAGUUGUAGCCUUCACCUAACAUAUAACAUAACAUGGGCAAGUUAAUCGUAUUAUAUUAUCUUGAUAAACAUAAGUUUAUAUUUUUUUUUCUUUCUUAUCACCUCUUACUUUUUAAUAACUUUAGAAGUUCAACUUUUGUAUCAAAAUGAAAUUAUUAAAUCAACAAAACUUCAUCCAAAACUGGAAAAUUGAUAAAUUCAACAAUAAUAAAUUUUAUGAGGCACCAUAUUGACCAAAACCUAACCCAACUUUAGAUCUUUCUUCAAAUAUUCACACUUAUAAAUUUUUAUCCUCAAAGAAUUAUCGAUAACAUAUAUUUAUUUACCAUUACUUUGAUAUUUUGGUAAUCUAAUUUAUGGCCAAGCGCGAGCAUAAUUUAAAUUUAAAAUCAUUAUCAAUUCUCUCCCAAAUAUUUUCUUUUGUAGUUGAUAUUUGAACAUUUAUCAAUAUAAAGAUUAUUGUGUCGAUAAUAUUUUCACUCCCAACGAAAAUGAUGGCAUAAGAUGUAAGACUCAAGAUUCGGUAAGCUUGAGAUUUGAUAUUGGUUUUGAGAAAAUAUGUCUAAAAAAGUAAGUAUGAGAUUAUGUGUGCUUAAGAUUUGGUGUUGACUUAAAAUUUGAUGUGAUUUGAAUCACACAAAGAGGAUUAGUUUUAUCUUAUUGAAUUAACUUUCAAUAAUUUCAAGUCUUAGAUUGAGUUUUGUCCAUCUCAUCUAAAAUAUUAAUUGAUGUUUGACGUGGAUAACCUAAACUUUUUAUUACAUUCAAUUACCAUCAUUUAAGUGCUUUAUUCCUAAUAUUAAAGAGUAACAUUGUUGUACACUAACAAUCCUUCCUUUAACACUUCUAUGGAGUGAACCAUAACUAUUAACUCCAAUAUUAAUUCUUGGAUAGGGUAUUUAUCAUUUCUUCUCAAAACCAAUUAUAUUCAAUGAGAAUAAACUAAAUUUUUUAUGGCUUUCAACCACCAUCAUUUUGAUUGCCCAUCUCUAUACUUAAAGAAUGACAUUAUUGUUGCACCCUCAUGAUGAGAAAUAGUUUUAUUCACUACUUUUAACGAAUUUGUUAUUUUGAUUAAAUAUACUUCUUUUUAUUAAAAGUUUUGUAGCAUUCUUCGAACAGAUAACAAAUUAAUCGAUUUCAAUUUUAAUAAUAGUGAGCUUGUAGACUUGUUUUAUUUUCUAAUUUUUAUAUCAUCACACUUUGGUUUAUAAAUUGAUUCGUUAAUUAUAUUUAUGUAUUUGUCGCUUUCCUUUGACAUUUUAUAAAAUUAUUGUUCAUGUAAUAUGCAUGAAGAAUUUACUAAUAUUUUACUUAAAAUAUUAUAAGAAAUAAAAAGUAUUUAAACCACUUCGUUUUGAAAAAAUAAUGUAUUACCAGUGUUGUCAUUUUUAUAUUCACAAAAGUCUACUAUAAAUAUUUUUAUAAAUUCUCUCUUAUUAUUCACAAUUUUCCAUCCUUAGUGGUGUAUUAGGCAAAUAUUUUUUGUUACAAAAGUUACAAAAUAAAAUAUAGUUAUAGUGAAAAAAUUAUUAAAACAAUUAUACAUGACAUAGAAUGUAUAUUAUUAUAAUAUAUUAGCUAGUUUUAAGUUCUAAUAUUUAAUUGUGGGUGAGUGCUUAUUAAUGAAGCUUCUCCAUUUUUUCUCUUUUUAAAUGCCUUCUAAUUAACAUUUUUGGACUAUUUUGCAGAUAAUGAACAAAUUAGGUAACUUGAGUUUUAAUUAAUAUAAGUUUAUCCACUUGGUUUUCCCCUCCUUCAAUGCUUGGUCUCUGUUACAACCUUGUGAUUUGUAUUCAUGAGUAAUUAAUUGAUGGUAUCAUUUUCUAUAAAAUAUUGAAUGGUAGUUUAGGUUCAACUUUUGUAUUUAAAUUAUUUGUAUAUCUUUCUUCUAGAAGGAGUAUUCAAUCUUGUUUGGUAACUAUUUUUUAAAAAUAGUUUUUAAUAAUAGUUUUUGAAAAAAAAUAUAUGAUAUUUUGUAAGAUAAAAAUCUAUUUAAAACUUGAAAUAUUUUUAACAUGUUUUUAAUAUUUUUAAAUAUGUUUUGAAAAUAAUUUUAUGUGUAAAACUGUAUUUUUAUUUAUUAUAUAUAUUUAUAUAAUUAUUAUUUAAAGAAACUUUCAAAAAACAAGUGAAAACAAUUAAAAGAUGUUAUCUUAAAAUAUUCUAUUUUUUUCCUUAAAAAUAGAAAAUAGAAAAAAGUUUUUUUUAUUACCAUACAUGUUUUCUAGUUUUUUUUUUAAAGAAAAAAAUAAAAAAUUGCUCUUGAAAACAAUUGUGAAAUCAAAAAACAAAAAGCUUCUACACUUUUUUUUUCCCUAAAAUUUCUAUAUUUUUAUAAUAUUAGGUAAUGUUUGACUAAAAAAAUUAAGGAUAAAAAUAAAAAUAAAAAUGUAAAAAAAAGUUAUAAAAAAUUAUCUCCUAUUCUUUUGUCCAAGGAAAAACUACAAGGAAAACAAUUAAAAUUACAGAGGAAUACACUUUGGAUUCACAAAAUUUUCUCAUCCUUUUUUUUUUUUUGAAAGAAAUAUAAAAGGGAAAAAUCUUUUAGAUUAUGCUUGAUUAUUGAAAUAUAUUUUUUUUUAAAUAAUCCUUUGAUAUUUAGUUUUACUAUCGAAAAUAAGAAAAACUAAAUAAAUUAAUUAAAAAAUUUGUAUUUUCAAAUUAUUUAAUAUUUAUAUGGGAAUUAUUAACAUAAUUUUUUUAAAACAAAUUAUUUUUUAUUUUCUUCAUUAUUUCUUUCCUUUUUUUUUUUUUUUUAUGAUAUCUCAUAUGGCAUAUAUGAGAAAACUCCUAACUUUGUAUAAGUGUGGGUUCAUAUUAAUAAUAUAGAUAAACUUUAAAAUAGUGAGGAUCCCUUCAAACUCAGAAUAAAUAAUAUGUGUACUGUUGGAUAUGGAUAGUUACAUUCUCUUCUUUUUUUUUCUAUUUGCUUUAUCUUGGCUCCUCAUAAUUAGCCAAAUGUCCAUCCAAAAGACUUGGACGUAAAGGAAAAAAAGUAAAAUGAAUAAAGCAGUGGAGCAUAAAUAAUACAUUGGUUAUAAGGUUGAAUGAGAAGUGAGAACAGAUGGCACCACAUUUUAUAUUGACAACGACCGCAUUUUAUGGGAAGUAUUAUUUAAUACUUGUCCACCAAUUACAUAAUAUUAUUCAGUGCCCAUGUGACUCAGCAACGAUCUAUUUUUUCUAAGUCUCUUAGACUUUUACGUAUUAAUUUUUUAUCAUAUUCAUUGUUUUUAGAUUUAAUAAUUAUACAUUUACAACUACUUUAUAGUAAAAAUAUAAUAUUAUUUAUAAAUUAAUAAAUUAUUUAUUUAUCAAUAAAUUAAUAAUCCUACAAAAAUGAUAAAUUCUCUUGGUUCCAAGAGUAUUAUUUUACUGUAGUUGGAGAGACACCCAUUCCUUUACUGAUAUUAUUGGAAGAGAUGAAAGCAAAAAGGGUGUGAUACGGAAGUUGUUUUCAUUUAAGAAUAAAUCUUAAAGUUGUUGCCAUACUUGGUACUGGGGGCUGGUUAAGGCCACCCUUGCUCUCAAUUGGUCUACAAUGAGAGUUUAAGACCAAAAUAAUCCAUUUGUAAAAAAAAUGACAAUAAUAGUACCGAUCUCAAAAUAUUUGUCAAAAUAAUCUUUUGUAUCCACGUAAGCAUUCACAUGGAUUUUUUUUUAAGUGUAAAAAACCACCGUUGAUAACUAUGGUUUUAAAAGUUUCAAAAAUAUCUUUAAAACCACAGUUUGUAACUGUGGUUUUACAAUUUUUCUUAAAACCACAGUUAGUAACUGUGGUUUCAAAUUUAUUUUUAAUUCACCCCGUUUGAAUGGUAGUGUGAUUUUAAUAUUAUUUUUAAAAUAUUUUUUAUCAUAAUAACCAUAAAAUCACAGUUAGUAACUGUGGUUUUAGAAAUAUAAUAAAAACCACAGUUACAGAUUAUGGUUUCACACUUUACCAAAAUUUCUUAACGAUAUACCAAAUUUCCCUAAAGUUCAUUUAGGAGUAGAGAUAUUUUUUUGCAAUUUUUCAUUGUCAGUUUAAAAUUAUUUUUUUUACAAAUUAUUCUUAAUAAAUUUUUUCUUUACUAUUGUUUUAAAAUUAUAUAUAUAUAUUUUUAUCUUUAUUUUUUUUUCAUAUUUUCCUUGAAAUUUUGAGAAAAUAAUUUCUCCUACAUGCAUUCCCAUAAAAAUUUAUAUAUUUAUGGUAAAUAAAAUAUUUAUUUGUUUUAUGAAUUUUAUCACAUAUGAAUUAAAUAAAAUUAUUUUUUCAUAUUAUUUUUAAAUUUUAAAAUAAUUAAACAAAUUGUUUAUAUUAUUUAAAUUUUAUAUUUUCAAAUAAAAAAUAAUAUCAAUGAUUAUAAUUUUAGGUUAUUUAUUACUAAUUGUGGUUUAAUGGUUAUUAUGAUAAAAAAAAAUAUUUUAUCAUUAAAAUGGAGGUGGAUUAAAAAUAAUUUUGAAACCACAGUUAAUAAUUAUGGAUUUAAGGAAAAUUGUAAAACCAUAGUUACAAACUAUGGUUUUAAGCAUAUUUUUGAAACUUUUAAAAUCACAGUUACCAAUGAUAGUUUUUUACACUUAAAAAAAAAAUUCAUGUGAAUGCUUACGUGAAUAUAAAAGAUUACUUUGACAAAUAUUUUGAAAUGGGUACUAUUCCUACCAUUUUUUUUUACAAAAUGAUUAUUUUGGUUUUAAACUCCUAUGAUGAUGAAAGAGUGGUACAAUACUUGAGUCUAUGCGACACCUCAAACCCUGAGGAUAAGGGUACCGUGGUCAAAGUCAAAAUCUAAAUCAUCAAAUUUAAAGCAGCUUCUAAUGGAAGCAUUCAUCCUACACUAAUACCUCCUCAUUGAUAUCACGUGGGGAAUAAUAUAAAAGAGUUUAACUCCAUAUAUAGUAUCGAAUUAUAUCUUGGGAGAUAUCACCUUUUUUAAUAAAAAUCAAUUAGUAUGUAAGCUUAUUUAAUUCAAUUUCUUUGAAAAAAUUUACACUUUCAAUUUAACGAUAAAACAACAUAAUAGUUGUAGUAGAGUAAUUGAAAUGUUUUACAUAGAUUCACGGGCUGAUCUAAUGGAUUGAAAAAUAAACCUAUUUUUGGGUCUGAUUGAUUUUAUUUUAUUUUUAACAAUUAUGUAAUUGAGUUAUCCUUGUACCAAUUACUCAACCAAUUGGAUUGACCAUCAAUGUGAUUGACUACUUUUGAUAUAAGCGGGUCAAUGCAUCAUCAUCAUGUGGGUUAGGAGUAGUGUUAAAGCCGAAAGUCGUGAAUAAUUGAGUCUAUUACCAUUGAGUUAAUACCUUUAAAAAUACUUUUAGAAUUGGAUCAGUUUUUAAAUCGAAAAAUUUAAUAGUACAUGGUUUAUUGAUUGGACUAAUGGUUAAAUCGUGAUCAAAUAAUUAUAUUAUAAACUAUGCAUCAAUUUUGAUAAACCUUACAAAUGGCUUAGUAGUAGUGUUCCCAUUACUCACAGAUUAGCUAGACAUGUGCACAAAUCUGGCCCUUACAAAAGGGAUUGUGUUUCUUUUUUUUUUUUCACCUUGGUUCAAACUUAGAUAGAUUUAACUUUAAACUGACAAUUUUGAAGUAGAAUUUUUCAAUACUUCUGAAAUAUGAAAACGAACAAUUUUGAUUUUUUUUUUUUUAAUUUUAAAGGGAUAUUUGCAUAAGUAUUCAUAAUUUUUGCAUACAAUUGUGAAGCGUGACACUUUCAAAUUUAAAUAAGUAUUUUUCUUUACAUUUCAAUUUUUUUUUUAAUUAGCUAUUCAUUGACUUUUUAACAAGCUUAAGAGCAAAAUGUUUGAGUUUUGAAUGUAUAAAACAUGUCAAAGAUUAAAGGAGAAGAAAGAAAGUAUUUAAAUCUAAAAUUUAUUUCAAUAUACGUUAUUAAUAGUAAAAUAUCAUAUUUUACUCUUUAAUAAAUUAAAAAAAUCUAAAAACUUAUAUUUUAAAGUUUUUAAGAAUUUUUAUAACUAAUUAUAACUUUAAUAAUAUGUAAAAUUUACAUUUAAUUUUAUAUUGAUAUCAUGAAUUUAUAUUGGUCUCACAAUUAGAUAGUGAUUGAAUCAUGGAUCCAACUAGUCCAAUAACUUUUCGGAUACACUAACCCAUUCGAUUAUAAAAACAUAAUAAUAACUAUAAAAUUUUAUAUAUAUUAUCACAUUUACAAGUAAAAAAUCAUGCACGAUUUCAGACUUGAUUCUUUUAUACAUUUGAGUGAUAUUAGAGGUUGAAUUUUUUAUCUUAAUAUAUAUUAAUGCCUAUCAUGAAUACACAUUUGAGUGAUAUUGGUGGUUGAAUUUUUUAUCUUAAUAUAUAUCGAUGCCUAUCAUAAAUAAAAAGUAUGAAGACAUAAUACAACUGUAUUUGAGUUGUAGAAAGCAUGGUGUUUCCCACGUCCCUACCUAUGGAAUUAUAAAAUUCACACCAAGAAUGCAUCAUCAAAUGACCACAUCCACUGCAUGUGACCCCCAUGUGAUAUGUCACUACACUCUUUCCCAACUCUUCCAACUUCUUCAUCUAUAUUUUAAUCGACAAGUUUAAAUUUCUUUAAAAUGUUGACAUAGAAUUGAGAAUAAUGCUAAUCACAAUUUUCACACAAUUAAAAGUUUUGUACUUUUUUUUUAUUUAAGGAAUAAUCAUUUUUUUUCCUUAUAUAUAUAGCCUUACUCUAUGAAUGGCCCUUUCUCCUCUUGGCCAAAGGAAAUCCAAAUUAGCUUGAAUUUUGAUAUAAAUGAAGUUGUUCAAUUUGCCUAAUUUUUUUUAUUUUUUUAUUUUACUUUUUAUUGUAAUUUUCUAUUGCUUUUAUAAAGGUUGAGUUUUAUUUUGGAAACUUUUCACAAAAAUACAAGGAAAAAAUAGGGAGAAAAAUAAAAUAUAAAAAAGUUAAAAAAAAAAAAAGAGAGUAGAAAAUAGAUGUAAAAUUAAUAAAUUAUUUUUUCAAAUUUAUUUCAUUUAUAUUUUUUUAUUUAUAUAAAGAUUAAAUAAUUUAAAAUAUAUAGUUAUUUUAAUUAAUUUUAAUAAUUUUGAUUAUAAACCAAAUAUCAUAAAAUUAUUUUUCUUAAUUUUUUUCUUUUCUAUAUAUCUUCCAUAUUCUUUUCUUAAUAAUGCUGUAUCCAUAAUAAUAAUACUUCUGGAUGCUGAGGAAACCCAACCAUAUUUUAUAUCAUGUCACAUGGGGCUUGGAAUAGUUCUAGGUAGACGAGUUAACAAUUGAUUUGAAAUCUUCAACCACUAAUUUAAAUUCUUCACCUAAUCAAUAAUAAAUGUCCAUAUCUUUCUACCAGGCCACAUGCAUGGGACUUCGAAUGGUUUAAAGUGAACAUGUUCCCUGAUUAAUUUGGAGCUUUCACAUAAUAUAUAAUAUUUUUUUUAUUUACAUAAAAUUAAAUAAUUAAAAAAUAUAUAAUUAUUUUAAUUAUUUUGAUUUGAUUUUCUAUUAUAAAUCAAAUACCAGAAAAUAAUUUUUCUUAGCUUUUUUUUUUUUUCUAUAUAUCUUCCAUAUGUGUUUGUUCUUUUUUAGAAAUAUCCCAUAAAAUAUGGACCUUUUCUAAUCAACCAAACACCCAGGAGGAACAAAAAAGAAAAGAAAGAGAGAGAGAGAACUUAGAGAAAAAUAAAAUGAAAAAACCGCUAAAGAUAGUAUACGUUUUAUAUAAAGUUGGAAUAUAAAUAAAUGGACCCACACCCCUUCAACAACCCUUAAUCAUGUUGUAUCCAUAAUAAUAAUUCACAUAUUUUAAUAGAUUUGAAAUCUUCACCCAUUAAUUUAAGUUCUUCAUCUAAUGAAUAAUAAAUGUCCAUAUUUUUCUACGAGGCCACAUAGGACUUUGAAUAGUUUAAAGUGAACAUGUUACCUCAUUAAUUUGGAGACUUUACAUACUCUAUAAUACUAUAAAAUGUUGGAUAGAUCACUAACCUCAUUUAAAUAAUAAAAUCUUCUAAUUCUUUUUUUUUUUUUUCUGAUUUUUACAUGAUUGUGCUUUAUUUUAUAAAUUAAUUAAUAAUUAUAUUUAUUUAUCUUGGCUUCCCGUACAUAUUUUAUGAAAAUAUUAUCCAUGUAUGUAAUACACAAGAUGAAUGCACCCUUACAACUAAAUUCAUCUUUUAAAUUUAAAAAAAAAAAACUAAAAAUUAAUAUUAUUUUACUUAAUAUUUAAGUAAUAAAAAUAACAUAACCAAUUUAAUUUUUGGUUUUUCAUUUUUUUUAAAUUAGUCUUAUAUUUCACAACUUUUCAUCCUUAAUGUGCUACAAAUCUUUUUACCACUAUAAGGGUUAUGAAAUAAAAAUUAUGUGUAUGGAAUAAAUAAGAAAAAGAAAAUUAAAUUGUCUUAUUAUUUUGCAAUGUAGUUUCAUUCCCAAAAUUUCCUCAAAUCUUUUUGGUUAUAUUUGAUUAUUGGAAAAUGAAAAUAAAAAAUAGAAAAAAAAAUAUUAUUCUCUAAUGUUUGGUUUUUACAUUGAAGAUAUCGGAUAUAAUUAAAAUUAGUUAAAAUUUUUUAUAUUUUUAAAUUAUUUAUUUUUUAUGUUGAAAAAUUAAAAUGAAUAAAAUGAGUUUAAAGAACAUACAAAAUAAUUUAUUAAAUUUAAAACUAUCUUUAAUUUUUAUUCAUUUUUUUUUCACAUUUUCUAUUAAACUUAGGAGAACCAAACAUAUUCUUAGUAUUUUUUUUUUUUUUUUUUGUUAAUGUUGUUUUCCCUUGUCUUUUUCCAUAGUAUUUAAAAAUAAUAAAUUUGUUUCCAUUUCUUUUAGGUUAUAUUUGGUUUUUGAAAAAUUUGAGGGAAAAAAAUAAAGAAAAAUUAAAAAUAAAUUUAAAAUUAAUAAAUUAUUUUUAUAUGUUUCUUUAAAUUUAUUUCACUUAAUUUUCUCAAUUAUAUAUAGAUUAAAUAAUUUUAAAAUAUAUUUUUAAUUAUAUUUAAUUUUAAAAAAAUUUAUAGUGAAACCAAUGAGAAAACCUUUUUUAUUUAUUUAUUUAUUUUUCCUAAUAACCAAACCUAACCUUAGGAUUUUUCCAAAUUUCGGAUCCAAAAGUAACUGAAUGUUACGAAAAAAUAUAAAUUGAAUGAAGUACAGGAGCAUAAAUGGUACAUCAAUUUUAUAUUGACUACCUUCUGUACCUUUAAUUGCAGCGUGUUGACUUGUCCACCGAAUCCAUAAUAUCAGCCAGUACCCAUGUGACUUGGCCCAUCUCAUCCACCCCUAUAAAGAUAUCUCUUACUUUGUUCCCUAUUCUCUCACAAUUCCCUCAGCUUCUCAUCUUGUACGUGCUGUAUUUUCUUGGCUUUCUGCUACUUUGAGUUGUUCCAAAAUGGCUGACCAAAUUCCAUUCGGUGUUGUGGAGCACAUUUUGACCAAGUUGGGGUCCAAGGCGUUUCAAGAAAUUGGAUCCAUGUAUGGUGUUCCAAAGGAGCUAACCAAGCUCAAGGACAACCUCGACGUCAUCAAAGGUGUACUUCUGGAUGCUGAGGAACAGCAGCAGCAGAAAACUCGUGGAAUAGAAGCUUGGGUCCAGAUGCUCAAAGGCGCCGUGUAUGACGCAGAUGACUUGCUGGAUGACUAUGCAACCCAUUAUCUACAGCGAGGAGGAUUCGCAAGGCAGGUCAGUGACUUCUUCUCAUCUGAAAAUCAAGUUGCUUUUCGCUUUAAGAUGAGUCAUAGACUCAACGAUAUCAAUGAAAGGCUAGACGCUAUCGAAAAAAAAAUCCCCAUGUUGAAUCUGACUCGACGGGAGGCAAUACGCAUAGGAGUAGAGAAUAGUUGGAGAGAAACCCACUCAUUCUCGUUGCCAUCUGAAAUUGUAGGAAGAGAAGAAAACAAAGAGGAGAUAAUAAGGAAGCUGUCAUCUAACAAUGAAGAAAUUCUUUCCGUUGUUGCCAUUGUUGGCUUUGGGGGAUUGGGUAAGACCACCCUCACUCAAUUGGUAUACAAUGACGAAAGAGUAGAACAUUUUGAGCGUAAGACAUGGGUUUGCAUUUCUGAUGAUUCUGGUGAUGGUCUUGACGUCAAACUGUGGGUCAAAAAGAUUUUAAAAUCUAUGGGAGUUCAGGGUGUGGAGAGUCUGACCUUGGAUGGUUUGAAAGACAAGCUUCACGAAAAAAUAAGUCAAAAGAAGUACUUGUUAGUACUUGAUGAUGUUUGGAACGAAAAUCCUGGAAAAUGGUAUGAAGUGAAAAAAUUGUUGAUGGUUGGUGCUAGAGGUAGUAAAAUUAUAGUAACCACCCGAAAACUUAAUGUUGCAUCCAUUGUGGAAGAUAAGUCUCCCCUUAGUUUGAAAGGUCUAGGAAAAAAGGAGUCUCGGGCUUUAUUUUCAAAAUUUGCAUUUAGAGAACAGGAGAUUUUGAAGCCAGAAAUUGUAGAAAUUGGAGAAGAAAUUGCAAAAAUGUGCAAGGGAGUUCCUCUCAUUAUUAAGACUUUAGCAAUGAUAUUGCAUUCUAAAAGAGAACUGGGAUUUUGGUUGUCUAUUAGAAACAAUAUUAAAAAUUUGCUAUUACUUGGAGUUGAGAACGAUAAUGUUGUACGGGUCUUGAAACUAAGUUAUGAUAAUUUGCCAACACAUUUGAAACAAUGUUUUACAUAUUGUGCUUUAUUUCCAAAAGACUAUGAAAUUGAGAAAAGGUUGGUGGUACAACUAUGGAUAGCACAAGGUUAUAUUCAAUCUUCAAAUGAUAAUAAUGAGCAAUUAGAGGAUAUAGGGGAUCAAUAUGUUGAGGAAUUAUUGUCAAGGUCAUUGUUGGAGAAGGCGGGAACCAAUCAUUUUAAAAUGCAUGACCUUAUACAUGAUCUUGCACAAUCAAUUGUAGGAUAUGAGAUCCUUGUUUUAGAAAGUUAUGUAAAUAACAUUUCACAAGAAGCUCGUCAUGUAUCAUUGUUUGAAGAGGUAAAUCCUAUGAUAAAGGCUCUAAAGGGAAAACCCAUAAGGACCUUUCUAAACCUUGGUGAAGAUUCUUUUAAGGAUAGUACAAUUGUAAAGUCAUUUUUUCCGAGUUUUAUGUGUUUACGUGCAUUGAGUUUAAGUCGUAUGGGUGUAGAGAAGGUGCCAAAGUGUUUAGGCAAAUUGAGUCAUUUAAGGUAUCUUGAUCUUUCCAACAACAAUUUUGAGGUACUUCCAAAUGCUAUUACAAGGUUAAAGAAUUUGCAAACACUAAAACUCAUAUGGUGUCGGCGUUUAAAAAGAAUUCCAGACAACAUAGGAGAAUUGAUCAAUCUUAGACACUUGGAGAAUGAUAGCUGUUUUAACUUGGCUCAUAUGCCACAUGGAAUCGGCAAGUUGACUUUACUUCAAAGUCUACCAUUGUUUGUUGUUGGGAAUGAGACAGGGUGGUUAAGGAAUCACAAAAUUGGUAGCUUGAGUGAAUUGAAAGGCCUUAACCAACUAAGAGGAGGGUUAUGCGUAAGUGAUCUUCAAAACGUGAGGGAUGUUGAACUGGUAUCCAGGGGGGAAAUUUUGAAAGGAAAACAAUAUCUUCAGUCCUUGAGAUUGGAAUGGGAUCGGUGGGGCCGAGAUGGGGGGGAUGAGAGUGAUAAGUCAGUGAUGGAAGGCCUUCAACCACACCAACACCUAAAGGAUAUCUUUAUAGAAGGUUAUGGAGGUACGGAGUUUCCAAGUUGGAUGAUGAAUGAUGGGUUGGGUUCCCUGUUUCCCGACCUAAUUAAAAUUGAAAUUUCGGGAUGUUCAAGAUGCAAAAUUCUGCCACCCUUUUCUCAACUCCCUUCUCUCAAGUCUUUGAAGCUUCAUAAUAUGAAAGAAGUGGUGGAGUUAAAGGAGGGUUCAUUAACAACGCCACUCUUCCCAUCUCUUGAAUCGCUCGAACUCUCUGACAUGCCAAAGUU
rnacentral:lncRNA from 1 species